rnacentral:lncRNA from 1 species
UUCAAUCUUCAUGGCAACUCCCAUCACACUCCUCAAAAAAACUCCCACCUUCUCCGUCAAAUGCAUGUCACAAACACCUCAAAGCGGUGAACCGGAGAUUUCAAAACCAGCAACCACCCCAACACCACCAAAGAUCAACAUUCCUCCUCCUCCGCCACCUGCUCCAAAGGUCAGCACGAAGUUCUCUGACGUGUUGGCGUUUAGUGGACCUGCACCGGAGAGGAUCAACGGAAGGUUAGCCAUGAUAGGGUUUGUGUCGGCGAUGGCUGUGGAACUGAGCAGCGGUCAAGACGUGUUCACCCAGAUCGGCAACGGCGGUGUUGCGGUAUUUGUCGGGACAAGUGUGGUGUUGACGUUAGCGUCGUUGGUGCCGUUGUUUAAAGGAGUGAGUGUGCAGUCGAAGUCGAGUGGACUGAUGACAUCAGAUGCAGAGCUUUGGAAUGGGCGGGUUGCGAUGUUGGGUCUGGUGGCUUUGGCUUUUACUGAAUAUGUUAAAGGCAGUGCCCUUGUCUAGAUAAUGUAUCAUAGACUUUUCUAUUACAGAAUUACAUCUAAGAUAGGCAAAUGUAUAUUCUUUUGAAUAUUUAUGUGUAUCGAUUUACCAUACAUAGUUCAAAUCAUGAAAAUCAAUUAAUCAUGUUUUUUUGAUAAUAUAGUAUAAAACAAAUAUGAUCAAUCAAAUUGAACGAUUGUGGUAUCUUUCAAUAUAAAAUUCUUUUUAUAAAAUUAAACAAACAACAUACUAAGAUAAAUUUUAGAGGCAUGAACCUAGAUUAGCAAUAUAAGAGUCAAAGUCUACAAAGAUAUUGAAAUCCUAGUUUCACAACUUCCUCUUUGAAUGUUGAACUGAGGUGAUCUUCAUUAAUUCAGACCAAAUAUGUGCAUAAGUCCAGCCUAGUCAAUUAGCCAAUUUAAGAUGACAAGUAUCCAAAAUUCAAAUACAUUACAUACCUCAAUUUCAAACAAAACUGAAAAAUAUAAUGACUAAUGCUCACAAAAUGAUCACUUUCGGGGAGUGGUCACAGUUAAACUACCGGAAAAGCGCUGCAAACUCAACGUUACAUCUGCUCCAUCACCAAUUCCCUAAACAUUGGAAAUAGUUACCACUCUAUAUCAUUUAUAUUUAUAUUUUAUUUAUUUUUUAAAAUUAGAUUAAAUAAAAAACAUAAUUAUAAACUUAAGUAAUCAUUUUACUAAUUAAAAAAUCAACUAAACAUAUUAUUAAUUUUUAAAAUUAUUAAACAUAUCUAGUUAUAUAUAGUUGAGGGUUUAACUUAAUUCAAAGAAAAAUAAAAGGGUAUAAUAAGAUUAAAAGACACAAUUUUAGAGACCAAAUUUGUAACUUCAAUUAAAGCAAAUUUGAAUCGUCUUCUUCACCUGUCUUCUUCAACCUUUUUCUGAAAAACGGGUCAUUGCUCAAUACCAUUUUUUUUUCUUUUACUUUGAUGGAUACAAAAGAAAAGGAAAAAAGGGUUAAAUACGUGACCUUUGUUGUUGCUACUUUCUUAUUCGUUGUCUUCAUCCGUCUUUGCACCCACGUUACACCCAAACCACUGGCCUUAGGGGCGGUGUGGACAUAUCCUUAGGCCGGACACAUCAGCAAGAUGCGUGGGUUAGUCCUCCCACUCCGGUUAGCCUUAAACACUUAUUAAAAGCUAGUGGACGUCUUUGCACCCACGUUACACUCAAACCACCGGCCUUAGGGGCGGUGUGGACGUAUCCUUAGGCCGAACACAUCAGCAAGAUGCGUGGGUUAGUCCUCCCACUCCAGUUAGCCUUAAACACUUAUUAAAAGCUAGUUUAUUUCUUGUUAGUUUGAAAUCUAAUGUUAUCAUCAAAUCUAUACAAGAUUGAGAUUGAUAUCAGAGUAACAAUCUCCAAAAGAAAAAUAUUUUACUCAAAAGAAUAUAUAUAUAUAUAUAUAAUGAAUUAUAUCCUAAGAAGUACUAUGCAUGAGUAUAAGAUUACUAUUAUCUUGGGAUCUAUUAAUUGGUAACUAAGCAUACUUCCAAGUUACUAUAUGAAAUUUAGUUAAGGAUUAAUGUCAAGUUGGGUGCAUGCACCUCACUCAAAGGCCUUGUAUUUUUAUCGGUCCCAAGUGACAUCUUACAAGGGCCGUUUUGGAGUUUUUUCUUUCCCCAAUGUAUUAACAUUUAUUUUUUUUUGAUAUUUUUGAACUUUUUAUUUUCUUAGAAAAGUAUACAAAAUAAAAUAUAUACAAGUUUACUUGAAGAUAUGAGUGUUUAUCAGGUUAUUCUCUUGAACUAUCUAUUCUUAGAUAUGAAUAAAUGUGUUUGUCUUUAUCAUUUUUCCCCUUUGUCAAUUCUUGACUAAUAAGGUAAUAGUCGUUCUUGGUGAGGGAUUCACCUCUCUAUUGAUUCUUCAUUCUAAUUAAAUGUUUGGAUUCAACAAUGUCCGAUUGAGUAGUUCUUUAAAACCGCAUUCUACCAUUUGCAUCUUUAUAUUAAUCCCAUGAAUUGGGGAUUCCAUAAACUGAAACUCUUGGAGCUCAAUAGUGUAGUUGAAAAACAUUUGUCGAGCCUACCACUUCCAUGAAAUAGGAGAAUUUUUUCAAUAAACUAAGUAGUUCCUUCUUUAUGGAUCAUCUUUUCGUUACUCGACCCCUGCUUACAUGCGAUUCCUACUAGAAAAUAGAAUUGCAGACUAACUGCAGCUGCAGACAACCCUUCGUUUGGCCAGAAGGGGUUUGAUAUUCCUUGGAGAAAAAUCUCAUCCUGAAAAUAACAAUAUCCAUGAACACAAUGGCUACGAAAUACUGAUUUUCUUAACCGACGAACCGAAAUGUUACAGCCAUAAUGCUGAAACCUCAUUACUUGCCCGCCCUUUAAACAGGUAGAACCAUCCCUGAGCAUAGAAACAUAAACUAAAUCCUGAACCCUCCAGCUGAGGUCUUUGAUAUCCAAUUUUCUUGAUCCACAUCUUUCUGAGUAUAGAUGUUGCACUAAUACACUCGCGAUUCCCAAUGCGAGCUUUCACCAAAAACCCACUCGAAUAUGGCCACUCAUAUUCUUCUCGAAGACCCUUCCCUACAUCUAAUGAGCGUCCAAUUAUGAAUCUGCCCGCAAUUCCUGACUGGAGACACUAACAGAAACAUGCAUAACUGAUCCUCGAAACAUACCGACCACGAUCUUCACCCAAAACCAAACCAUAUGAUGUACCAAAACCUUAUUAACCCUUGAUCCUCUUCUAUUCCAUUACUGACCACUGCUUCGCCGAGCAAGAGAUAAAUCCAAGAAUUUCUGCUUUACAUCCAACCCCUUAUAGAAUCAGGUGUACCCCCACCUGGACAACCACUUGAGACAAUCAUAAAGAACUUUAUGACUUGCGACUUUCCAACCAAUCCCAACUUGAAAACCACAACAAUAGCAACAACUUGCGAACAACCAAAAAUAUAAUGUAUACAUCCCAUAAGGACUUUCUGAUUCCUGACAGAUACUCCCAACAACCUUUACUACUUCCUUUAUCCAACCAAUAGAUUUACGACUCGCUCGUCUCCCAUCAGUGUAUCGAUACCGAAAGCACCACAAGCAGAAUAAAUGAACAACCAUGUUCACUAGGCCCUCAAAGUAUGACUGGAAUACCCCUUAUAAUGUCCUCUGAAUAUGUUUGGAUUGCCUCUGAGCCCACAACAUGAAUCUGGAAUGCCCUCCCUGGCCUUCAGCCCAUGUCUGGAAUGCUCUCGAUAUCACAACGACCUUGACGCCAUCGCAUCGCUCGCCCAUCACUCCAGGCCCACAGAUACUCACCUCAUUCCAUUCCCUUGAAGGGACUUAAUCAAUUCCCUCACCACGCCAAUUGUGCAUCACAAAGAUGCCACCAAAGCAAACCUUACAAAACAUGGACGUACGCGACCCGUGAAUAGGAAAAUAGAUGCACCAUUGGCCCGAUUCGAAGGCUAAAAUCCAAAAGAACCAUGCACAUGAUUCGAACCAAGUGCUCCAAUGCUAUCUUUACCAGAUUACAUGAACUACCCCCAUACACAUACUUAAGAAACCUAGAAUAUCAUCCAGAGAGAGAAGGAAUGUCAGAUAUAAUCUAAAAAUACCUCAAUUAAUAACAUAAAACAUCCCCAUGAUCAGUUGAAACAAGAUCCCAUACUUGAUUGAGACUGAACGGAUUCCAUCGCUACACAACUAGGUUGAGAAGACUUCCGCGGAUAUCGAAGGUUGCCUAAACCUGAGUCUGCUAUUAACCAAGUUCCCACUCCACCAUUGAGGGUAAACACACUCGAAGGACCAAAGAACAUAGAUCAUACCGAACUUGAUGACAGAUUGGCCCGACCACUGCAUCUCGGCUGACACAAUUAAACUUCCGAGUGAACUUUUAUUGAAUGAUGAACCCCAAAAUUAGUGGUCGAGGACACAUUGACACUUAAUCCAGAGAAUCAAGACCCACAUGGAACUGAACAUACCCGCUUCUGGAAAGAUCCACUGACUAACGUCUGCCUAACUAAUCUGAAAAUAGCAAUCCAACAACAAACUCGCAUAUCCCUCAAUGGCUAAAAAUACUCAACCUUAGAAUCCCUAUUCUCCCCCACUUUAGGCUCAAACUACCACUUACUGGCGCUAAAACCAAAUCAUAACUCAAACCAUCUUGAGCAUGUACUACCCUUCCUAACCCUGGAAGUUACGAGUCUGCUCACUGCUUCCCCGAACUCGGAAAAACUGAAAGGGCGUAACCCUAUAUCUUAUAUUCUUCAAACCUAGAGAUAUGAGUUGUUACUAUGAGUUGGUUAUACAUUUGAUUGCACGAAAACGCAUUGGUAACUCGAUGAUAUAAAACGUGCCUUUGUGUAUGAUUCAACAAGUAGUAGAACAAGCCAUAUGAGUCGAAGUUUAUCCAUUCCUUUUACCUUCAGGAUAAAAGCGAUAUCCAUGGGCCCCUCGAUGAUUUAUUAAUGAUGACACAUGUGAGUGCUUGGGCAAGCCAUGACUGAUUUGAUCUGUUCAAUCAGUCAGUCAUCAUGAAUCGGAAAUCAGGAAACAAUAAAUGGAUAGAGAUAAUGAUUUAUAAUCCAUGUCUUAGUCCAUAUGAUAUUUAGAAUGGAGGAAUAUAUGAUCCCUUAUCUAAUGGACUAGUCAUUGACAAAGGUCAAAGUUCAUCGACGAGGUCAGAGUUCAACAACGGCUUUUGAGAGUUACGAUUGCCAGUUGGUUUUUGAAGUCAUCCUCAAUAAUAGUUUUAGACUUAUCCAAGUAGGAGACUAUUGGAUUAGUGUCUAAGUCCAUACCUAUAAUUGGUAUGUACUUGACCGUACUCGUCAUUGUCCAUUUGGGUUGCAUGGCAUCGGAACAUUUGGAUAAACUGUUUGUGAGAAAAGGACAUUUGUGACAUAUUAAUAUAUUAUAAGUUCUAAUAUAUUAAUAUUAAAUCAUGUUAUUUAAUUAGUAUUGAUCAAGAAUUAAUUCAGACUUAAUUUAGUGAUCAAAAGAGACUAAUUAAAUAUAUGGGGAUUGAUUGUGUAAAUCAUUCAUUCUUAUAUAUGUGGGGUUAUGAUCCAUUAUUCCUUAUGUUGGGUUUAACCCAUGUGGUGAUCCAUGGAUACUCCAUGGAGGUUAAAACCCAUGAAGCAUAAGGAAUUCGUAAAGUCAUGGGUUACAUAGUGUAACCCUAAUGCGCACACUAUAUAAGGACCCCUUUAGCUCAAGAAACGGCACUAGUGAUACUUAUAUGAGGGCUAGCCGAUUUCAACAUAGGGUUCUUCUUCUCAUGGUUAUUCCAAGUGUUGAUGAUGUUGUGUGNNNNNNNNNNNNNNNNNNNNNNNNNNNNNNNNNNNNNNNNNNNNNNNNNNNNNNNNNNNNNNNNNNNNNNNNNNNNNNNNNNNNNNNNNNNNNNNNNNNNUUUCCAUUGCAGUCAGAGGGGCCACAAGAAGGCCCAGUGUCCGAGAUUGUAUCCAGUAGGGCAGGUGCCAGCUCCUGCCCUUGGGAUUUCGAGUACCGCCAGCAGUUGUCGAGGCCCGGCAAGGGUGCCUACGGCUCAGAGCCGAGUUUUCCGGUAGAUUUCAGCAGGGAUUCGAGCAGCACUGAGUAAUGAAGGUACGUAACUUUUGUUUUUCUGUCAGCUUAUGUCAUGAUUAUAUUGUUAUGGUUCUGCAUCAAAUUGUGGUAUAAGUGUUGUGUUAUAGUGUGGCUUGCUUGUGAUUAUGUUAUAUGCCAUUUGCAUACCUCGGAUAAUUGGUUGGUAGUUAGGGAAUGUGCUCUUAUGGAGAAGGUUUCGGAGGAUGCAGNAUGGUUGGGAGAGAUUUGGUUCGUUUCGCGAGUUCGGAGUGGUUAGUGUUGGGUUGGAUUGGUUAGAUCCCUAGCUAUGGCAGGCUUGGGCUCCUUAGCAGAAUGAUUAUGGAAUGGCAGCAAAGAUCGGGAUCUCUUUUGAGUGUGAAGCAGCAAGGGGUAAGCAGGAUCGAAGUGGGGGAGAACCCUCCGGGUAUACAUGGAUAAGAGUCUCGUAGACUCAGAAUGAGUGCGCGGCCUCUGAGAAGAAAUGGUAGUAGCACAGUGAUGGAUGGAUUGAGAAGUUCAGAAUUGGGAGUUCGAGAACUUUUCCCAGCAGUUAGUUCAUGUAAUCGAGAUGGUUAGAAGCUGGUUGGGAAUCCAGGAUUGGAGGACCACCUGUCGGACGCAUGAGAGUCGGAAUGAAGAUCCUGAGAACGGGUAACAAGAGAUGUUUUCGUAUUAGUAGCCAGUGUCUGAGGCAGCAUGCAGGUUGUGUAGAUUCAGGAGUUGGGAGGUUGGAAACUUCCCAACAAUAGCUUCUUGUAUCCGGAUUAGUAGACGGUUGGUUUGGGAACCAAGCCGAAGGAUUCCUCGACGAAGCGCUAAGUAUAUCAAGGAUAUAAGAUGUCGAGGAUGAUGCAGAAUUCAAAGUCUAAGGACUGUUUUUUUUGAGAAAUCGGGAUGAGGAAUCACUAGCAGGACUAGGGAUAGUCAGGAUGUUCUCGAGAUAGUAGUAGUGUUGUAAGUCUGCGGGGGUAGCCGUAGCAUUCACUAGCAGUCAGAUAGCAGUAGUAGUGUUGUAAGUCUGCGGGGGUAGCCGUAGCAUUCACUAGCAGUCAGAUAGCAGUAGUAGUGUUGUAAGUCUGCGGGGGUAGCCGUAGCAUUCACUAGCAGUCAGAUAGCAGUAGUAGUGUUGUAAGUCUGCGGGGGUAGCCGUAGCAUUCACUAGCAGUCAGAUGGUAGUAGUAGUGGUGUUGUAAGUCUGCGGGGGUAGCCGUAGCAUCCACUAGCAGCCAGAUAGUAUUAGAGAGUUGUAAGUCCGCGAGCGUAGUCGCAGCCUUUUAUCAGAUUGGUAAGUAGCAUGAGCGCGUGUUAGACGCGGGAAAGCAGUUGUACCCACCAGUUCGGGUGUAGCAGUGAGGAUAUGGGAAUCCACGGGUUAGAUUUCGGAUUUCCCAAAGGGAUCAGUUACGGCUAAGUUAGCAAUUUGGGCUUUGGAUCGUCACAUCAGUUAUGAGAUCAGAGUAGCAGUGGACCGUUAGGGUUCAGGUAUGUUGCGGACUACAGUCAGUCUGGGAACCAUCAUGUUGUUAGUCGUGGAAUUGAUGAUGUCAGGAUGUGACGUAUGGACCCGAUCGGUUGGAUCGGAAAGUUGCUAGAGCCUCAGUGACAGGAUAACUAGUGGAAACUAGUCCUAGAGGAAAAUUUCGUUCAGAAGUCGUGGAAGCGACUAAGUGAGGAGUCCCUUGACUCCACAGUUGGGUUGGAGUUCAGUGUUCCAGUCAGUUCAGUGUUUCAGGCAGCUCAGCGUUUCAGGCAGCUCAGUGUUUCAGGCCGUUCAGCGUUUCAGUCGGUUCAGCGUUUCAGGCAGGUUCAGUAUUGCAGCUAGUUCAGUGUUUGGAAGGUUUCAGGGUUUUGGGUUAGUAUUGCAUUUGCGUUGGAAUGCAAGUGCUGACGGUAUAGUUGGUUGAUUUGGAAUUGGCAAGUCCCUCUCAGCAGGAUCAGUUGAGCCUUUUGCCGAGUAUAAGUGAUUGGUAGGGAUGGCUAGGCAGGUAGCUUUUCAUUCAGGAAGAAAGGCUCGAGUAAGUAGGAGAUGAGUAAGCAGGUGGGAUAAAAGCAAGCUGGUUCCAGCAGCAUCGUUUCAGUAUGAACGGCAGGAUGGAUAGAACAGUUAUAGAUAAUCAAAGUAUCUUUAGGAGUCGCUGGAAGAGACUAGGAGUUUGCGAUGGAGUGUAGUGACCGGUGGGAGUCCGGUAACUCAGAUAUAGGGAGAUUGGUUAGACCAGAGUAGUCUCAGUACAUCCGGUAGGCGGAUGGGAGGCAGCAGGAUUUUCAGUCGGAGGAAGUAACGUUGAGGAGAUUAUGGGAAAGAGAAGGAUUUAGUAUGUUCUAUCGGUAGUGAUCGGCACUGUGAGUGGCCGGAGUGAUGGGCAAAAGAGUGAGGGAUUUUCCAGACAAAGAGUUGGAGGCAGUUCGCAGGCAGUUGAUCAUAGCAAACUUCGAGGACGAAGUUUAGUUUAAGUAGGGGAGAGUUGUAACACCCCAAAGAUUGGAAAGUCAAGAAAAGAAAGAAGACCUCAAUUUUAAGAAGAGACUCGGCGAGUCCAAGGAGGGACUCGGCGAGUCCNNNNNNNNNNNNNNNNNNNNNNNNNNNNNNNNNNNNNNNNNNNNNNNNNNNNNNNNNNNNNNNNNNNNNNNNNNNNNNNNNNNNNNNNNNNNNNNNNNNNNNNNNNNNNNNNNNNNNNNNNNNNNNNNNNNNNNNNNNNNNNNNNNNNNNNNNNNNNNNNNNNNNNNNNNNNNNNNNNNNNNNNNNNNNNNNNNNNNNNNNNNNNNNNNNNNNNNNNNNNNNNNNNNNNNNNNNNNNNNNNNNNNNNNNNNNNNNNNNNNNNNNNNNNNNNNNNNNNNNNNNNNNNNNNNNNNNNNNNNNNNNNNNNNNNNNNNNNNNNNNNNNNNNNNNNNNNNNNNNNNNNNNNNNNNNNNNNNNNNNNNNNNNNNNNNNNNNNNNNNNNNNNNNNNNNNNNNNNNNNNNNNNNNNNNNNNNNNNNNNNNNNNNNNNNNNNNNNNNNNNNNNNNNNNNNNNNNNNNNNNNNNNNNNNNNNNNNNNNNNNNNNNNNNNNNNNNNNNNNNNNNNNNNNNNNNNNNNNNNNNNNNNNNNNNNNNNNNNNNNNNNNNNNNNNNNNNNNNNNNNNNNNNNNNNNNNNNNNNNNNNNNNNNNNNNNNNNNNNNNNNNNNNNNNNNNNNNNNNNNNNNNNNNNNNNNNNNNNNNNNNNNNNNNNNNNNNNNNNNNNNNNNNNNNNNNNNNNNNNNNNNNNNNNNNNNNNNNNNNNNNNNNNNNNNNNNNNNNNNNNNNNNNNNNNNNNNNNNNNNNNNNNNNNNNNNNNNNNNNNNNNNNNNNNNNNNNNNNNNNNNNNNNNNNNNNNNNNNNNNNNNNNNNNNNNNNNNNNNNNNNNNNNNNNNNNNNNNNNNNNNNNNNNNNNNNNNNNNNNNNNNNNNNNNNNNNNNNNNNNNNNNNNNNNNNNNNNNNNNNNNNNNNNNNNNNNNNNNNNNNNNNNNNNNNNNNNNNNNNNNNNNNNNNNNNNNNNNNNNNNNNNNNNNNNNNNNNNNNNNNNNNNNNNNNNNNNNNNNNNNNNNNNNNNNNNNNNNNNNNNNNNNNNNNNNNNNNNNNNNNNNNNNNNNNNNNNNNNNNNNNNNNNNNNNNNNNNNNNNNNNNNNNNNNNNNNNNNNNNNNNNNNNNNNNNNNNNNNNNNNNNNNNNNNNNNNNNNNNNNNNNNNNNNNNNNNNNNNNNNNNNNNNNNNNNNNNNNNNNNNNNNNNNNNNNNNNNNNNNNNNNNNNNNNNNNNNNNNNNNNNNNNNNNNNNNNNNNNNNNNNNNNNNNNNNNNNNNNNNNNNNNNNNNNNNNNNNNNNNNNNNNNNNNNNNNNNNNNNNNNNNNNNNNNNNNNNNNNNNNNNNNNNNNNNNNNNNNNNNNNNNNNNNNNNNNNNNNNNNNNNNNNNNNNNNNNNNNNNNNNNNNNNNNNNNNNNNNNNNNNNNNNNNNNNNNNNNNNNNNNNNNNNNNNNNNNNNNNNNNNNNNNNNNNNNNNNNNNNNNNNNNNNNNNNNNNNNNNNNNNNNNNNNNNNNNNNNNNNNNNNNNNNNNNNNNNNNNNNNNNNNNNNNNNNNNNNNNNNNNNNNNNNNNNNNNNNNNNNNNNNNNNNNNNNNNNNNNNNNNNNNNNNNNNNNNNNNNNNNNNNNNNNNNNNNNNNNNNNNNNNNNNNNNNNNNNNNNNNNNNNNNNNNNNNNNNNNNNNNNNNNNNNNNNNNNNNGUCAGCUUCGGACUUCGGUCCGAUGGAGGGGGCAAGGCCCCAGUCAGUUAGCUUCGGACUUCGGUCUGAUGUCAGCUUCGGACUUCGGUCCGAUGGAGGGGACAAGGUCCCAGAUAGUCAGCUUCGGACUUCGGUCCGAUGGAGGGGGCAAGGCCCCAGUCAGUUAGCUUCGGACUUCGGUCCGAUGUCAGCUUCGGACUUCGGUUCGAUGUAGGGGGCAAGGCCCCGUUAGUCCGGACUUCGGUCCGAUGCAGUGGGCAAGGCCCAAUAUGUGCUUUAUAUGUUUUGUAUGAUAUGUGGUAGAUUGGGGGAGCUCACUAAGCUUCGUGCUUACGGUUUUCAGUUUUGUUUUCAGGUACUCGAUUUCCAAAAGAGGAGCUCGGGAAGAUUGCAGAGCACACACCAUAGUCAGUUAGCCUGGGAAUGUUUGACUCUGAUAAUGAUAUUAUGUUUUGAAUUGAAUACUCAAAAGUUAUGUUUGACUUAUGAUACGUUGUUAUAAAUCUAUUUUUAGUAAUGUUUAAAAGAAAUUUUUAGUCAUGAUUUUUGGGUCGUUACAAAUACCUUGGAAUAUUCAUAUUUGCAUGUAUAAUAGAGAAAACGUAGAUCCAAGGUAUUUAGGGUUGCAUGUACACCAUAGGAGUGAUAGAGUGCUCAAAACCCAACAAAUAGGUCCGAGUCCUUCAUUCUAAGAUUAUUUAACCUUCAUAGCAUGUAAUUUAUUGUAUUCACUUGAUGGUUAACUCCCAUCAACAUGGGUUCCACAAAGCUCAAAGCAAGGAACAUUCGGGCAGAGAAGUCGGUUGUCACUAAAACGCAACAAAAUUUGACAGAUCCUCAUACAAAAUCCUCAAUCUCAAACUCCCCGCACCACGGGUGCACCUUUGCCCUGCUCUCACUCUCCCCAGAGUGGCUAAUCAUUCCUCGUGCUGACCAGCUAUACACUGUACCCACUCAUGAAACUUCCACCAACCCUACAACACUCUUGUAUGCUAGCUGUACAUAACACUGGAUCCUAUAGACAGUCGAAUAUCUGAUCCGAACCUAAGUCCUUCAUCAAACAAGAACAGAAAAUAAGGCCGAAUGAAACAUUCUCAGGCUAAAGAAUCUUAGUUAUGUACAACUAUAAUGCAUACUCUAAGCAAUUGUAGUAAUGAUGUCAAUUUCAUCUAAGGAAGAACCCUAGGCUAUCAUGCAUCAUAUAAUCAGGAAACUCUAUCAUGCAAUUCCUAUAGAUCCCUAGCCUAUCACUAACAUGCUAUUUUAACAUAUCACAAGAUCAAUAACAGUGUAGCAAUUUGGGGUCUACUUACUGGCUCCGACUGAUCUUACACAUAGUAUCCUCUUUAGUUUGAAAGCGACUUUGAAAGUUAUUUUUAAAACCUUUACUUUGAAAAUUAUUUUUUAAAAAACCCUUUUUCCUUAGUUUGAUACUGGAUUCACACGAGUGUUCCUCCAAUUCACUCAAACCAAGGCUCUGAUACCAACUUGUAACGUCACAAAAAUUUCAACAAAUUGAAACCUUUCGAAACAACCCAUUUAUUAAGAAAAGUGUUUUGACCCGUAGGCGCUUUGUACGCCUUGAACUCCCGGAAUGAGGGAGUUCGAUUCCUAAUCUGACCCGUAGUGAUCUCAGCUCAGAAAGAACAAUUUGCUCCUCUAUAAUCUCCAUGAUCCCCUCCUUGACGGUAUUGAAAAUCACUGGGGUAGCGUUAAGGAUGUCGCGAGUAACAUCGACUACGAUAAUCUCAUGCAACCUCUCAUCAAUCGGCUUUGCCGCAGAUCCUGAGCCCGAUCCCGAACCUGAACCUCCUCGCGUAGCCAUCACCAUCCUCAACUGAAAAAUACAACGUAGAAAGCAAUUGAUAAGGAAUAUCAAAAGGAUUUCUCCCCACCAGACUGAUGGUUUUUGAGCACUACACCAUUCCUAUGGUGUACAUGCAACCCUAAUGCUUCAGAUCUAUGUUUUUCUCAAGUUAUACAUGCAAAUCAAAUCAUCCAAAGCAUAAACCCUAAAUAGCAUACAAUUUUUGGAAUUUGUAACUUAAAAAAAAAGUUAGAAGAAUACAUUUUCCUUGUAGCUUGUAGAUCUUGACCUUCAAGAGCUUAGUGCCUCAAUUGUUGCACUCUAGUGAGUCACAAACACCAAGUAGCAAUUUGGAAGAAUAUGAGAGAGGUUAGGAGGCUCAAAAUCGGCUAGGGUAUUAUCUUAGAAGCAAUUGACUAAUUUCAAGGUGUCAUGGGGUAUUUAUAUAGUUGUGCAAUUAGGGUAUUUAACUGAAACCCUAAUUCUCUGCUUAGGCCUUAAGCAAUCCAGUAGAUCCUUCCAGAAGGCCUCUUAUGGACGAAAUCUAUGUGGGCUAUACAUAAGAUUUCGUCCAUCCCUUCUUAGGGAUCCACAUGCUCAACUUGGCAACUACCAUAUAAUUGCAAUAUCAGUCCUUGUAAUCUAACCAGUCUCUUUUGAUCACCAAGUUAAUUCCAAAUCAAUUCCUGAUCAAUACUAAUUAGUUAAUCUGAUUUCUCAAUUAAUAUACCAUUCUUAUAAUAUAUUAAUAAAUCAAAAUUAACCUCUUUCUCCAUAAUUCAUCUAGUCAAGUUGCUAUGGUGCAGGCAACCAAAAGCACCAUGCUACUAUCGGGUCAAGUACAUACAAUUUAUAGUUAUGGGCUUAGACACCUAAUCCAACAGUCUCCCUCUUGGAUAAGUCUAAUAACUAUAACUACAAGUAUGACUUCAAAAUCCGAUUAGCAAUCGUAGCUCUCAAAAGCCGCUGUUGGAAUCUGACCUAGUCAAUAUGUAACAUCCAUAAAUUUUACACCAAAUUUAAACUUUUCAAUCAUAAAUAAAAACCAAAUAGCAUUAUGUUUUCAAAUCAUUAUCCAUCAGAGUGUCCCAAAAUCAUAACAUAAGGAUGAGGAGUGGUAGGUCACGCCUACGCGUUGCUAGAUCUCCUGAAGUACCUGGAACAAUAAACCGAAAACUGUAAGCCCGAGGGCUUAGUGGCUACCCCCAAAAUACCUAUACCACAUUGACAAUACCAUAUCAGUAAUAAUCAAUCAAUCAACAUGCAUAUCGGGCCAUCGGCCUGACUGGACCGCCCUAUAGGGCCUACAGUCUAUCUGGAUCUAUCCCGAGCCUUCGGCAUGACUGGUCCGCCACAUGGCCCUACAGUCUCCCCGGACCGAUCAUAGGGUGUGCAUACUUUCAGCACAAAGCAGGACCGCCUCAACCCAACUAACAAUCAAAUAACUAUGUGCGCAUAACUAUCAUAUACUGGCAUAUACAAACAUCAAGCAUAUCUAUCACUGGUCAUCAAUCAUAGAAUUCCCUCGUAACUAGAGUACCGACCUAGCAGGUCACUAACAUACCAAUCCCUACGGAUCAUAAGAGCAUAACAUACUGUCUACCCUGAUUCCGAUCAAACAGAUCAUAACCACAUAUAGCAUACCAUAACAAUAAAAACUAAAGGGUCGACCUUGGUGCUGUAGACCCUAUCGAUAUAGUGAGGAUAACUCACCUCAUAGAUGUCGACUCGGAAGGUAAACUCCAAAUCUCGGAUCAAUUGACACAGGCCCCACCACAUAUCGCAUAACAUACACGUAAGUCCUUAACCUUAUAAGGUACUCCAUAACCUACUAGUCAACCCCUGAUCAAAGUCAAAGUCCUCAGUCAAGGUCAACAGUCCAUGUUGACCUCAACUCGCCGAGUUCCUUGAAGCAUAUUCAAACUCGCCGAGUCAUCGGGGUGACUCGUCAAGUUCCUUUGAUUCUCGAUCAAACUUUAAGGCCACCCGUCGAGUUCCCUCCUUGCAACUCGACGAAUACACAUGCAUACAUAUCCAGGAGAAAACUCAUCCGCCUCGCCGAGUUGUUCUUCAACUCGUCGAGUCUAUGGAAAUCAUCAUCGGACUCGUCGAGUUGUUUAUCCAACUUGUCGAGUUCACGACCAUCUUCAUGUGACUUGCCGAGUCAACCUUGCGACUCGCCGAGUCCAUUCAGUCCGUUUUCCAUACAGAUCUAUUUUGAGUCAUGCAGCGGCUCCAACUCACAGAUCUAAGCUUCUAGGACAUGCUUAUCACGUAAGGAUGCAAACUUUACGUGCAUGCAUGGCUUUAAAGGCUCCAAAUGCCAAAUCUAAGAUCUUAAUGAGGCUUCAUGCUCAAUAGGGACCUCAAUCACGACCAAAAUUGUAACUUUAUGCUUCUAGAAUCCGAAGAGGGUCCAGAUCUGAAGUUACAACUUCAGAUCUAGCCCAUAGCUCAUCAUACCAACUUGAUAUUACAAGAAAACCCUAAAACUCAACCAAUAGAGGAGAUUCAUAAGGAAAAUGAUGGUUUGGGUACGUCUGGAAGAUGAUAUCUGAGAUGAGUGUUGAUUUCCACACUCUAAAUGCUCCAAUCUCCUUCUCCUCCAAGUCUUCUCCUUCCAAAGAUCCUCUUUUCAAGCUUCAAACACACACAAGGCACCCACACACGAAUAAGGGCUCUCAAGGACUCUUUAGAACUGUAAAUAGGUCCAAGGGAGGCUAAGGCCCCUUUAAAUAGGGAUACAAACCCCAAGAUUUAGGGUUUCAUCUGCCAACUCCUACUCACCAAGUCCCAAUAUGGAAUCGUCAAGUAGGUCACUUAACACGGGAUCUCACCCCGCUGCUACUCGACGAGUAGGGCAACCAACUCGUUGAGUAGAGCGUAACUCAAUACAUCUUAUUUAAAACAAUACCUAAGAACCGGGGCGUUACAAAUCUCCCCCACUUGAACUAGACCUCGCCCUCGAAGUCCGCUGGAACAAACAAUGUCGGGUAAUGCUCGCUCAUCUCCGCCUCCGGCUCCCAUGUCCACUCGGAUCCCCUCCGAUGUUCCCACUGUACCUUUACCAAAGGUAGUUCCUUGUUCUGCAGAAUCUUCUUCUUCCUUUCCAAAAUAGCCACAGGCCUCUCCACAUAGUUCAGGUGCUCAUCGACCUGAAUGUCAUCCAACGAUACCACUGCCUCCUGGUCCAUAAUGCAUUUUCGCAAUUGCAAAACAUGAAACGUGCUGUGGAUCCGGCUGUGCUCCUCCGGAAGCUCUAGCCUAUAAGCCAGCCUGCUAACCCUGGCAACAAUCCUGAAUGGCCCAAUGUAACGGGGACCUAAUUUUCCCCUCUUCCUGAAGCGGAUCACACCCUUCCAACGUGAAACCUUCAGGAGGACCAUGUCACCCACCUGAAAUUCCAGUAUAGAUCGGCGUCGGUCGGCAUAACUUUUCUGCCGACUCUGAGGGGUCUGCAAUCGCUGUCUAAUCUGUUGUAUCAUCUCGGUAGUUUGCUGAACUACCUCUGUCCGACCCAUUACCCUGUGGCCAACCUCGCCCCAACAGACUGGGGUCCUACACUUCCGCCCGUACAACAGCUCGAAAGGCGGGGCGGGAAUACUGGAAUGAUAGAUGUUGUUGUAGGCGAACUCUACAAUCGGUAGGUGGGAAUCCCAACUACCAUCGAAAUCAAUGACGCACGCCCUCAAAAUAUCCUCGAGGGUCUAAAUGGUCCGCUCACUCUUGUUGGAUAAGGUGUCUAAGUCCAUAACUAUUUCUGGUCAGUACUUGACCCGACCCGACAUGGUCCAUUUGGGUUGCAUGGCACCAUGCAAUUGGAUAGACUAAAUGAGAGAAAUAACACUUGGAGAUUAUUAAUAUAUUAUAAGUUCUAAUAUAUUAAUAAUAUUAUUUAAUUAGUUUGAUCAAGAAUUAAUUUAGAAUUAAUUAAAUGAUCAAAAGAUAACUAAUUAAAUAUAUGGGUUGAUUAUGUAAAUCAUCCAUAUCUUGUAUAGUGGGCUAAGAGGCUCCAUGGAUUAUCAAGUUGGGUUCUACCCAUAGGAUGCUCCAUGGAUGCUCCAUGGGAGUUACAAACCCAUGGGUCAUGGAAAUGAAGAGUCAUGACACAUUAGGGUUUACAUGGUGUAACCCUAGAUGUGUCAACACUAUAUAAGAAUCCCAUUCUCCACCAAAAUCUGACACACAUAUGAAACAAGAGGGCUAGUCCGAUUUCAAGAAGUGUGUGUUCUCUCAAAAGUCUUUCCAAGAGCAUUUGGUGUUGUGUGAAGCAUUUAAGGCAUCACACUUGGGGUGCUAGGCUCACAAGGUUUCAAGGAACAUAAGCAACAACAAGGUAAGUUAUUCUAUCUUUCAUUCAAGUUAAAAAUUGUUCCCCAUGUAUGCUAGAUAGGAAUAUAACCUUGGAAUUCAACUUUGCAUGAUAAUUAGACAAACAUAGAUCCAAGGUUAUUAGGGUUGCAUGUACACUUAGGAAGUGUUAGAAUGCUCAAAACCCAUCAGUGGUAUCAGAGCCUAGGCUUGUUUGUUUGUUAUUUGUGCUUAAAAGUUGAAGAAAGUCGAAAAUCUUGCUGUCUGACUGAUGGACUCGGCGAGUCCAUGGGGAGGACUCGACGAGUUCAUGUGUAUCUUCAACCUACUCGGCGAGUAGGUUUAUGCACUCGGCGAGUAGGGUCGACAGAGUGCAGAAUUUCGACUUGUGUUGCUGGAAAUGGAUUAGAAUCAUUACCCUAAAAUGUUUUGGUACUUGAAAACUUAUUUUAGAAGGUGUAAUGUCUUUUCUAACUCAUUUACAACAACUAGUUAUCAAAAUUACAAAGAUUAAAUGUGAUUUUGAUUCUUGAAAGUGUUCAUAUUCAUAUUCUUGUUCUUAUGAUGUUUAGAUGAUCAUAGGAAUUAUUUGUAACCUAUGUGGUAGAUUAAUUCAUGAUCAUAAUGUGUUUUAAUGGAGUCCAUAACUUGUCCUCAAGUUAUGGAAAACCAAAAGUCUCUUGGAUUAAAAAACAUUAAAAGAACACAAGAGUUAGGAAAAAUGAAAAGUCCUCAUUUUAUUACUCUAUUAAACUCAUAAGUUACAAGAAAUGAAAAGUUUUGAAAGUUUACAAAACUUGCCCUCAAGUUUUGGAACAAGUAAAGUUAAGUUAAAACUUUAGUUCCAACCCCUAGAAUUUUAAAAGUUAAAAUUCAACCCUUAUACUUAUAUUAUUAUGAUUUAAUAAUUAUAUAUAUAUGUAUAAGAACAAAGUCGUCUUACCGCUAGUACGCCUCAUUCACGAAGCCGGUCUAUAAGGUGGGUAUAAGGUUGUUGCCUAUAAAAUGGUGACUUAAUGGGUGUCCACUCUCACCCACCGCUUGCUUGAUCGGUGGAGGGUCGUUAGCCGAACGGGUAAGACAAGGACUUAUUAAUUCUCAUUCAAAGUAUGAUGAAUAUUAUAAAGUAACUAAAUGUUUUAUUAAAUUCCCAAUCUUAGUUACUUUAGGAAAAAUGUGAAUAAGGUGCUAUUCCAUGAAAUUACACUUUACACUUUGAUUAAGUCGUUGGUGGAGCGUGUGUGGUUAACCGGCACACUAACUUGGACUUAACAAGGUAGGUAAAGGGUGACUUAGGGUUUAUUAUAGUAUCGAUGGAGCGUGUGUGGUUAACCGGCACAUCGAUUGAGUGAUAAACUUUAAGGGUACCAAGUGAUUUGCAUGGUUACUUCACACCUCGUUUUGUGAUCCUCGGUAUCCCAGUCACAAAACUUGGAGGGCACACUCGAGAUUGAAACAUGCCUUUGAAAAGUUCAUUGAAUCUCAAAGAAUCUAGGAAUUUCUAAGAACCAUUCAAAAACCUAAUACUAAAAUAUUGCGGUUUUCGUGGUGGAAAUUGGUGAAUCGUCAUUCACCUACCUUUCAAAUAUGAUAUAGCUUAGAUUACGGCAUACCUCUUCUAAGUUAUAUUAUAUUGUGAUUGGAUCCUAGCCUUAAUAUUACAUUUGGGUGUUUUAUUAAGGACUCUCUUAUAUCUAAACUAAUCUUGUCCUCUUUCCUUCAGAUGUCUUUCAACAAUGCUUCUGGCUCUAAUCCUAAUGGCUCCUUUACCCUUAUGAACUUGUGUGGGAAAGUCACCUUUGAUGGAUCCAACUUCAAUGAGUGGAUCAGAAACAUCAGGAUGAUUACCCGCUACGAGGACAAAGAAUAUGUCCUUGACAAGGAGCUUAAGGAGAUUGAUGAGUCCACUGCAACUCCUCAGGAGAUCGCUGAAUUUCGGGCACAUGAAAGGGAUGCUACGAAAGUGGCUUGCAUCAUGAUGGCCACGAUGACAGCGGAACUCCAAAAGUCUUAUGAGGAUUUCUACCCUUAUGAAAUGCACCAAGAUUUGAUGGAAAGAUACCAUCAAAGUGCAAGACAAGAGAGGUAUGAAAUCAUCUGCUCCAUGAUAACAACCAUGAUGAAGGACGGGGAAUCCGUCACGAGCCACAUGCAGAAAAUGCAAAGGUAUGUGGAUCGUUUGCUGAAGCUUAAUGUGAACUUCCCGGAGGAUCUUGCAAUAGAUAUUAUUUUGCAUUCCUUACCAUCGUGCUAUGAUCAAUUCCGCAUGACAUAUCACAUGAACAAGGAAGAAGUCACCCUCAGCAAACUUCAGGGACUUCUCAAGACCGCAGAAUCAGGUCUUAAGGGGAAGUCGGUUGCUAUCACUCCUACUCAAAACUCUACUCCGGUUUUGGCAAUCGGGAAAAGUCGAGGGAGGAAGAGAAAGAGCUCUUCUAAGGGUACCAAGGUUCGGACCCUUGAUGGCUCUUCUUCAAGUGGAACCAAGAAAGGUUUCAUUACUCCUUCUUCUGACCCAAAAGAGGCUGAAUGCUUCUAUUGCCAUGAAAAAGCUCAUUGGAAGCGGAACUGCCCAAAAUACCAGCAAGAUGUGAAGGAUGGGAAAGUUAAACCCAACCAUGCAGGUAUUUACACUAUCAUUUCUAAUAACUCACCCCAUUCUAAUUCUUGGGUCCUUGAUACCGGGUGUGGUAUUCACAUUUGUUGUGACUUGCAGGGACUAAGAAGAAGUGAGGAUGUGGAGCAAGGAAGGAUAAACUUGAUCAUGGGGAAUAGGAAAGCUAUACCUGUUACCAAGAUUGGAGUUUAUACUUUAUCGCUAAGUAGUGGGUUUAGUUUAGAUUUGAAUAAGUGUUGUUAUUCGCCAGGAAUGGCAAGAAAUAUUAUUUCCUUUCAUGCUUUGUACAAACAAGGGUUUACCUUUUCAUUUAAUAAUGAAGUUGGUUCUAUAGAUGUUUUCUAUAAUAAUGUCUUUUAUUUUAAAGCAUUACCUUGUGAUGGUGUGUAUGAAGCUGUAUCUGUUGUAGAUAACUUGGGAAAUAAUGUUUUGUGUAUUGAUUCUACUAAUAAUAACUUGGAUAAAGCAUCUUUAUGGCAUUGUCGUCUUGGACAUAUAAGCAAGAAACGCAUAGGCCAACUCCAAAAGGAUGGAGUCUUGGAGUCGUUUGACCUAAAGUCAGAUGAUAGUUGCGAAUCAUGCUUACUUGGAAAAAUGACAAAGUCACCCUUCACAGGUUCGUGUGAGAGGGGUGAAGGUUUGUUGGACCUUAUACACACGGAUGUGUGUGGACCAUUCAAACAUGCCACAAGGGAUGCUAAUCGUUAUUAUUUGACUUUUACUGAUGAUUAUAGUAGAUAUGGAUAUGUCUACUUGAUCAAGCAUAAGUCAGAGACUUUCGAGAGGUUUAAGGAAUUUAAACAGGAAGUCGAGAAUCAAUUGGGCAGGAACAUUAAGAUGCUUCGAUCCGAUCGUGGUGGUGAGUAUCUUAGUUCAGAGUUCCUCGACUAUCUAAGGGAAUGUGGGAUAGUCUCACAAUUGACACCUCCCAGGACACCACAGUUGAAUGGUGUGGCUGAGAGGCGUAAUCGAACCUUGUUAGAUAUGGUUCGUUCCAUGAUGAGUCGAGCUACGCUACCAAUCUCAUUCUGGGGGUAUGCCUUAGAGACUGCCGCCCAUAUUCUUAAUCUAGUCCCUACAAAGAAAGUUGCCAAAACUCCUCACGAGAUGUGGACUGGUAAAGUACCUAAACUAGACCACAUCAAGAUUUGGGGUUGCGAGGCUUUCGUGAGACGCGAGACUCAUGAUAAGCUCGAACCUCGAAGCGAGAGGUGUAUUUUCAUCGGUUACCCACAGCGAUCCUUUGGUUACCUCUUCUACAGACCUAGUGACAAUGUGGUCUUUGUAGCAAGAAGAGGAGUCUUUCGAGAAAGAGAGUUUAUAAGCCAAGGAGACAGUGGGAGGCAAAUUGAUCUUGAAGAAAUUCAAGAAUCAAGCGGUGAAGGAACUUCAAACUCUAGCCCUCAACUUGAGGAGGAAACUCCUGUUGAGCCAAUUGACAAAUCUGUACCUCUGAGACGUUCCACGAGAGUUAGGAGUGCACCUGAGCAUUACUAUGGAUUCCAUAUUACUGCAGAAGGUGAGACACUUAUUAGUGAUGAGACACUAGUAAGUCAAGAUGACCCUAACAGCUACGAGGAAGCCAUGGCAGGCCCCGAGUCUGCUAAAUGGAAAGAGGCUAUGGAUAGCGAGAUACAAUCCAUGUAUGACAAUCAAGUUUGGAACUUGGUUGAAAAUGUACCAGGUCGUAAGACAGUAGGGUGCAAAUGGGUCUUCAAGAAGAAGACCGACAUGGAUGGUAAAGUACACACUUAUAAGGCUAGACUGGUUGCAAAGGGCUUCUCUCAAAUUCCUGGAGUGGAUUAUGAUGAGACCUUUUCUCCGGUAGCCAAGAUUAAGUCUAUUCGGGUUCUGUUAGCCAUAGCUGCAUUUCAUGACUAUGAAAUAUGGCAGAUGGAUGUCAAAACCGCUUUCCUUAAUGGAAAGUUGGCUGAAGAUGUUUACAUGAGUCAGCCAGAGGGUUUUGUCAGCAACGAGUACCCUAAUAGAGUGUGUAAGCUUGAGAAAUCCAUUUAUGGAUUGAAGCAAGCACCUCGCAGAUGGAAUCUUUGCUUUGAUGAAAAGGUCAAGGAAUUUGGCUUUUCUAGGAGUGAAGAUGAAUCUUGUGUGUAUGUCAAGGCUAGUGGGAGUAUAGUUAGCUUUUUGGUAUUGUAUGUGGAUGACAUACUACUCAUAGGAAACGACAUUCCAACCCUGCAGGAAGUAAAGUCCUGGCUUGGGAAGUGUUUCGCUAUGAAGGACCUUGGUGAAGCUGCCUAUAUUCUAGGGAUAAGAAUCUUGAGAGAUCGGAGUAAAAGACUAAUUGGACUUAGUCAGAGUACCUACUUGGAUAAGGUGCUGAAGAGAUUCAGCAUGCAGGAUUCCAAGAAAGGAGAGUUACCCAUCCAGAGUAACACCAGAUUGAGUAAGACACAAAGCCCUAGCACUGAGGCUGAGAUAGCAGAAAUGAGUCGAACACCUUACGCUUCGGCUGUAGGAUCGAUCAUGUAUGCUAUGACGUGUACUCGACCCGAUGUAGCUUUUGCCUUGAGCAUGGUUAGCAGGUAUCAGGCGAACCCUGGCAAGGCACACUGGACUGCGGUAAAGAAUAUCCUCAAGUACCUACGGAGGACUAAGGACUGGGUCCUUACCCUCGGUGGGAGUGAUGACUUGAGAGUUGUAGGGUAUAGUGAUGCUAGCUUCCAGACUGAUAGGGAUAAUUUCCGCUCUCAGUCGGGCUGGGUCUUUACCCUAAACGGAGGAGCAAUUUCUUGGAAGAGUUCCAAGCAAGAGACAGUGGCAGAUUCUACUUGUGAAUCAGAGUAUAUUGCAGCUAGCGAAGCAGCAAAGGAGGCGAUAUGGCUGAAGAACUUCAUUGGAGACCUUGGAGUUGUACCAGCUAUUAAAGAGCCAAUGGAAAUUUUCUGUGAUAGUGAAAGUGCUGUUGCCUUAGCCAAGGAACCAAGGGAUCAUGGGAGAUCCAGACACAUCGACAGAAAAUACCAUUUCAUUAGACAUCGGAUCGAAGAAGGACUCCUCGUGGCAAAGAGGGUAUCAUCGGAUGAGAACCCAGCAGAUCCCCUCACGAAGGGACUGAGUAGGGUUAAGCAUCUCCAGCAUGCUCGGAGCAUAGGGCUGAAGGAUGAUAUAAGUUUUAGUAGUUAGAUAACCCAGAAAUUUGUAAAGUGUAAUUGACAUUUGAUGAUGAAUAAAAGGUGUUUUAUUUAUGAGUAAAGUGUUGCUAUCUCUUGUCAAUCGUUUACUAUAUUUCUUUUGCAUGUUUUGACUUCCAGAAUAAUUUUGUUUGGUGUAACAUAUUAUUCAAACCUCCACAGUCGGUCAUAUGUCGGAAGUAGGUAUGAAUCAAGACUGUCAUGAUGGGUUGUAGAGGUCUAAGGUGUUGGACAAGGCUACAACAAUCAUGAGUGCUCAUAAGUUCUGAGCAUUGGACUCAACCCACGCUCACUGGAAUCACUUCAUGGAAUUCUAUCUCGAGUGAUCGUGAGACGGUAAUAUCAUAUAAGUCUUCAAACCUAGAGAUAUGAUUUGUUACUUACAAGUUGGUUAUGCAUUGACUGUACGAAACCGCAUUGGUAACUCGAUGUUAUAAAACGUACUUUUGUGUGUAAUUCAAUGAGUGGUAGAACAAACAUAUGAGUCGAAGUUUAUCUGUUCCUUCUUGGAUUAGAAGCUGAUAUCUGGGCCCCUCGAUGAUUUUGUUUUGACCCAUGUACCGGGCCCGGUCAGAACUAAGUUGAUGUGUUCAAUUAAGUUCUAUGUCAAACAAAUCGGAAAUCGGGAAACAAAUGCUGGACAAUAAGCAAGACAAUGUUCCAUGUAUUUGUCCGGCUGAUAUCUAGAACGGAGGAUUAUAUGAUCACUUAUCUUAAAUGGCGUACCAUCAUCUUCUCAGUUCCGAGAGACCUUGAAAGAGCUACGAUUGCCGGUCGGUUCCUGAAGUACUAGAGAUAUAGUUAUUAGACUUAUCCAAGUGGGAGACUGUUGGAUAAGGUGUCUAAGUCCAUAACUAUUUCGGGCUUGUACUUGACCCGACCCGGCAUGGUCCAUUUGGGUUGCAUGGCACCAUGCAAUUGGAUAGACUAAAUGAGAGAAAUAACACUUGGAGAUUAUUAAUAUAUUAUAAGUUCUAAUAUAUUAAUAAUAUUAUUUGAUUAGUUGAUCAAAGAAUUAAUUUGGAAUUAAUUAAGUGAUCAAAGGAUAACUAAUUAAAUAUAUGGGUUGAUUAUGUAAAUCAUCCAUAUCUUGUAUAGUGGGCUAAGAGGCUCCAUGGAUUAUCAAGUUGGGUUCUACCCAUAGGAUGCUCCAUGGAUGCUCCAUGGGAGUUACAAACCCAUGGGUCAUGGAAAUGAAGAGUCAUGACACAUUAGGGUUUACAUGGUGUAACCCUAGAUGUGUCAACACUAUAUAAGAAUCAUAUUCUCCACCAAAAUCGGCUACACUAAGAAACUAGAGGGCUUGGCCGAUUUUGAGAAGUGUGUGUUAUCUCAAGAGUCUUUCCAAGAGCAUUUGGUGUUGUGUGAAGCAUUUGAGGCAUCACACUUGGGGUGCUAGGCUCACAAGGUUUCAAGGAACACAAGCAACAACAAGGUAAGUUAUUCUAUCUAUGAUUCAAGUUAAAAUUGUUCCCCAUGUAUGCUAGAUAGGAAUAUAACCUUGGAAUUCAACUUUGCAUGAUAAUUAGACAAACAUAGAUCCAAGGUUAUUAGGGUUGCAUGUACACUUAGGAAGUGUUAGAAUGCUCAAAACCCAUCAACUCUGCCCAUCAGUCUGCGGAUGGAACGCCGUGCUAAAAUGUAGUCUCGUGCCCAGUUCCUUGUGGAACUUCUGCCAAAACGGGAAGUAAAUCUGACAUCCCGAUCGGAAACAAUGGAAAAUGGGACCCCAUGGCGAGAGACAAUCUCGCGGACGUACAGGUCGGCCAACUUCUCUGCCGAUGAACUCUCCCAUAUGGCUAGGAAAUGGGCACUCUUGGUCAAUCGAUCCACGAUGACCCAUAUAGCAUCAAACCCCUUUUCCGUCUUCGACAACUUCGUGAUGAAAUCCAUCGCGAUCAGUUCCCACUUCCACAUGGGAAUCUCUAGAGGCUGCAGCUUACCGUGCGGCCUCUGAUGUUCGGCCUUGACCAUCCUACAGGUCAAGCACCUCUCAACAAACCAAGCGAUAUCUCGCUUCAUACCAGGCCACCAAUAACUCGAACUCAAAUCACAGUGCAUCUUGGUGGCUCCCGGGUGAAUACAAAACUGAGACUUAUGAGCCUCCUCCAUCACUGUCUGCCGGACCCCUUCGGACAUCGGAACCCAAACCCGACCGUAACGGGUCAACAAUCCGCGGCUAUCCUGAACAAACCGGGCGCUUUCACCCUUAAUCCUUUCCAACUUCCAGUUCUCCGGCCUCAUACCCUCAAUCUGAGCAUCCCUGACCAAACCCACCAGCGGGGAAUCCACCGUUAUCCUCAUACACUUGGCUGGGGGUAAAGGACCCAACUGAAUUACGGCUCAGAGCAUCCACAACUACGUUCGCUUUACCAGGAUGGUAAAGGAUCUCAUAAUCAUAGUCCUUGACCACAUCCAGCCACCUGCGCUGCCUCAUGUUCAGGUUCGGCUGAUUCAUGAUGUGUCUCAAACUCUUGUGAUCCUUGUAUAUAGUACAACGGACCCCGUACAGAUGGUGCCUCCAAAUCUUGAGAGCGAAGACCACCGCUCCCAACUCAAGAUCUUGCGUGGGGUAUCUCAUCUUGUGCGGCUUCAAAUGACUCGAUGCAUAAGCUAUCACUCAUCCCCUCUGCAUGAGGACUGCCCCCAAAUCUGUGAUGGACGCAUCACAAAAUACCACAAAACCCUCAACUCCCUCGGGGAGUGUCAACACCGGCUGAAUAUACUGUUGAGCCCUAGCUGCCGAACAAAACCCUGAUCCCAACCUGGUGCCCUCACCAUAUGUAGUGACAAAGAACAUGGUUUGGCAUGCGGAAUUAAAGCUUGCACAAUUGAACAUGGUGAUUUGGGUGUUUAAGAGAUAUAUUGAAUGUAUAUGGUGUUACAAAAAGGACUAGAUCUAGACUACAUAAUUAACACACACUUACACACUCACUUCUACAUCUCUCAAGCACACCUCUAUAAGUGGACAAACCCACCUUAUAUAGAGGGGUUUACAUGCCUCUCUCUCACUCUAACAAUCAAAUGGGUCUAAAGGCUAAAGCACCACAUGCAAGUGGGUUUUACAAAAGUCAAACAUUUACAAAGUCAUGAAUGAAGAGCUUUGCACCCCAACAUUCUCCCCCUCAAAGUUAGGAAUGAAUCACCCAUUUCAAAUCUUCCAAAAUCAAGCACUACGCGGUUCGAGCCUCAAAGGUGACACAUGUCGAAACGAACUUCAAUCUUCAAUUCUUCCAUGACUCUUCAAUUUGGGCUCUAGGAUGUGAGACCUUACAAACCGAGCAGCAACGAAUGAUUAAGAGUAUUCCAAACUCCAAAUAAUCACCCAAAAGUUGCGCAUAAAAACACACCCCAAAAAUCUUCAAUAAAACCAAACCCAUUUCGAAUACAUCACUUCCGAACAUCCAAUUACAUCAUCUCGUAGGCUUCAAAACUUCAAGAUCACUUCGGUCUUCAAAUCCGCGUAAUAUGAAAAAUUCAAGUUCGAAUUUCCAUAUAAAACUUCUCCCCCUUUUUAUAAUCGAAAUUUGAUUAUAAAACUCCAAAGGAAAAAGAACGUGCUAUAUUCGGAAUUUUUCAUGUCAAAACUCCCCCUUAACAUGUGGCAUAAACUUUGAGCUUCAAUCCGGAAAACCCAAAAAAUAAUCAAUUUGUUUUUCCAUUGCUGUUCAUUGAUCUUGAAGCCCUUAACAUGUGGAAUUUUUCACGGAUCGCCUUUGACAAAAUUUCUCAAAAAUGGGUAGAAAUUGUCAAUUUCAAAAUUCUGCAGUGACCCGUUGCGCCCAAAACAGCAAAAUAUGCAAAACUCUCCCCCUUUUCCAAAUCUGGGUAGAAAGCGUCAAUUUGCACAAACUGCAGGGGCCUGAAAUGCACAAUCUUCAAAUUUUAGCAAAAAAUAGUCCUUUUUCGAUUUUGGGUGAAAACUGCCAAAAAUUCGAAGUCUGAGGGACCAUUUUCGAAAUUCUGCUCUUUGUUCACAAUUCAUACGAAGAUUCCGCAAAUAUUCGAAGCUCCAAAUUUUUUUUUGAAAUCGGGUGAAAAGUGUCAAAUAUUCAGAAAUUGUGUUAAUGUUCGAAGUGCCAAAAAUUCGAAGGAUCAGGGGCCGUUUUCGAAAACUUGCCAUUUCAUCAAAUCAUACGAAGCCUUUUUCCAUUUGUCAACUAUUCAAAACAAUAAGGGCCAUUUUCAAAAAUUCUAUCUUCCUUCUUUUUAAUUCAUAUGAAGACUUUUUGACAAAACAUAUCAAGCAUACGAAGAGUGACUGUGAACAGUAAUGCACAAUGAUACCCUUCGUAUGUUAACCCAGUUCUUCGUUUUUUUUUUCAUCUAUUACCCUUCGCCUUUUGCAAUCCAUUCAUAUACCCUUCGUUCCAAAAUCAUCAAAAUCAAUAGAUCCUUCGUUCAAACACCCUUCGUAUGAAUCUUUUAACAUCUCUUCGUACAAAUCCAAGUUUUUCCCAAACCAACACCAACUUAGUCUUCGAAAAUUAGUAACCCAAACCAAUUCUUCGCUUUUUGGUGUAAACCAUCUGUUCUUACAGUUCUUCUUCACUUCGUACAUCAAUCACCAAAAACCAAUCCUUCGUUCAUUAACCAUGUAAUGCCCUGUCGUCCAAAUUGAUUUCAUUAAAAUCCAAAUAGGCUUCGCUUUUCCAGUUGAUGCCAAUGAACAAACGUGAUCAACCAUUUGAUUUUACAGUUCACUCUUCGAAUCUUAACCCAAAUCGAUCAUUAACCCUUCGUUUUUUCAGUUUAUCCCAAAACUGAUUCCACUACUUUCAUUCUUCACUUUUCAGUUUAACCCAAAACGAACGAAAUCGUUUCUUUGUUCCUUACAGUUCUUCCCAAACUCAUCGACAUCAAGAACAAACACAUCUAUUCGUUCACUACUUCAAUCGAUAUCAACUUAAUCAACACAAAUCAAGCUUGCAAAAUCACAGAAUGAACGGAAUCAACAAACCAAACUUGAUUAUCAACCAUACGAAAUCAAAAUCAUCAGACUUCUCUAUUUAUGUAAACUCGAUUUUGACUUUUUGGUUGACCCUGACAAACAACAAAACUAUUGAUCUUUAAUCCAAUUUUGGAUCAAACACCCAUUUUUAACAUAAAUCGUAACAUUCUUCAACUGUUCUUCAUCGAGUUCUUGACCGAUUUUAUCAAAAUCAAAAACUAAAUUGUUGACUUCUCAACUACAACUCGAUCAUAAUCGACUGAUAAUUAUCCAAAUCAGAUUCAGUCAAUUCAUAAGUUCAGAAUCGCAAAUCGUUGAUCAACUUUCAUAAGCGAAAAAGAAAACUCAAGAACAUUAUGAUUACAAGUCAAAAUAUGUUUGAGCUGAUUACAAGAACAUUAUGGUACAACCGAUAAAAGCGUACGUACAUAUCAAACAAAGAACAACGAAUUUUAGAAUUAAAUCACAUUGGAUGAAUUUUGGGUUCCAUCAAAGAUAUCGGAUAAAAAAAUAUGUAUGGGCUCAAAUUUAAACAUGAACAGUGACAGAUUCGUACAUUGGAUCAUAAACGAACAAAAUAUUGGGCUGUUGAUAACCACACAUAUCGAAAUUAUCAAAUAAGAGUAUGAAUUGGGCUCCAAGUUCAUUUAUGAACAGUAAGAUGUCAAAAUUUUUGGCUAAAUCAAAAUAAAUGGAUCAUAAUGAAUUUUGAGCUCAAAUCUCGAUUCAAACGAACAACUGUAAAAUCGAGUCGAACAAACAAAUAUGAGAUUGGAUCGGACUUUGAUCAACGAAAAAAUUAUUGGAUCAUAACAAAUGGGUUUUCAAAGAACAUUUGAUCCAAUGAGUCAAACGAUCAAAAAUUAAGAACGCAACGCACGAUUCAAAGAGAUUAAGAGAGAUCAUAGAGAGAGACUCACCAAAAUUGAUCAAAUUACGACAAAAUUUGCCAAACCGGGAAUCAUUCUUCAAAUAUCACCUUGAUCUUGAAGACCCGCUCUGAUACCAAUUGUUGUGACAAAAAUACUACAAGUUCUCCCCCACUUGGGGUUCGAACCCCCACCCGCUAUCCCUCAUAGUCGAUCAUGGCGCCAAAACGGCUAAGCCAAUCCAUCCCUACAAUCCCAUAUACAUCCCCCAUGGGGAUAGGAAUCAAAUCUAUCGGGAAUGACACCCCGAAAAUCUCCAACUCGCAUCCCCGGUAGACCGAAGAAAUAGAAACCCCGUGCUCUUUGGCGAUCGAAACUCGCAACGGGCACUCAAGAUCAUCCAUCGGCACACUAAACCCUCUAGUGAAAGUCUGAGAUACGAAUGACCGACUGGCCCCCGAGUCAAACAAAACCAAAGCAGGCAAAGAAUUUACUAAAAACGUACAUAAUCAUAGGUACAACCAAUAAGUACAACACAAAUACGAUAACUGAGACAGAGAAUAGAAACGUACCAGCAACCAUAUCCGGUGCUGACUUGGCCUCCUUGGUCGUGAGCUGGAAGGCACGACCCUGAGCCUUCGGAGGCUCCAACUUAACUGGCCUCCCGUCUCAAAUCAUUACAGUAGCUGGCACAGAACCCUGCACCGACUUCGCGGCGAGCUGCGGACAACUGGUCUUCACAUGACCAACCUGAUGACAAUGGUAACAAAUCCUCAUAUCUGUGGGAGGGGCGGGCUGAUGGUAGCCCUGGCAUAGUGCCCCUCCUUUCCACAUUUGUGGCACCCACUUCCUGCUCUACAAGUUCCCGAAUGAACCCUGCCACACUUUCCACAAGUGCGGCUCUGCUGACCCACACCGUGUAUCAGCGGUCUUAGCCCGCUUAGGCGCCGGCUGAGACUGUGCCGGUGCCUGACGCUGCUCCUUCAGCUGCUGCUCUAUCUCAACUCACGCUGCCUCGCGGCUUCCUGAAGGUCCCGGAGGGUAUCACAACGCUGUGUAGCCACAAACUGCCAUAUAUCCAUCUUAAGCAUACUCAGAUAACGAGUCAUCUGAGACUGUUCUGACGCAAACUCUGGGCAAAACAUAGCCCUCUCAGUGAACAUCCGGGUGAUCUCCAUCACCGACUCCCCAUCUUGUCUCAAUGUCAAAAACUCCUGAGCAAGCCACUCCCAUUCCACGCGCGGAACGUAGCGGGUGCAAAACAUAUCCCGGAACUGCUCCCAAGUAAUAGCAUCCCACUAAUCAUCAGAAUAUGAACCUGUCUUCAAUCUCCACUAGUCCUUUGCCCCGAGCCUAAGCAGUUUCAGAGCACACCUGACCUUCUGGUCAGCAGGACAUGAGCACGUGAAGAAACAGCCCUCCACGUCAGACAACCACCACAUAGCCCUGAUCGCAUCCUGUGUACCAUCAAAUGUCGGGGGCUUCGUAUUAUCGAAGUCCCGAUACUGGAAAGCCCUGCCGGCUCCUCCUCCAACCCCUGCCGCAGUUACAGCCUAAGUGGCUGCAACGACAGCUAUCUCUGCUAGAGCUGCAUAUCGCUCAACAAAAUACUCAACCAUUGCGGUCUUAAUCGACCCAAACAUCUCUGGCAGCUGUGCUCGGAACAUAGCAACAAUCUUGUCUUGCAUGAUCUCCCGGAUCCUGGCAUCCAACUCCUUGGUCCCUAUUUGUACCACGGGCUUAGGUGCUACCGGCACCUCCAACCCUCAGUCUCCCGACCCCGAUCCUGAUCUUGAUCCAGAAGCAACACGUCUCGUCACCACCAUACUGAAAUAUAUAUACAAGUCAUCAAAUAAAUAACAUAAUGUCGGGAGACCAAAACCCACAAACCCUAGGGGGUGUGAUUUCCUUGCUAAGCAUAUGGGUCCUGUGCUUUAAGUAGUACGGGCCCAUACUACCUUCCACACCUACCCAUAUUUGUCUCAAGUAACACCACAACGCCCUAACAAUAUUAUCAACAUAGAAAUGCGCUCAACCCUCACUUCUAGGGGAAUACCAACUAUCUCGCACCUAGUCUCACCACUUAUCAUGACUCACACAUCCAUGAAACUUCCAUCAUCCCCUGCCGCGCCAGUGCAUGCUAGCUGUACGUAACACUGGAACCAAUAGACUUUCGAAUAUCCAAUCCAACCCAAAGGUCGAAUCAACAUUUUCAGGCUAUAAGGUCUUUAUUAUGAACAACCGUGAUGCAUACACUAAAAAUCUACAGUUAUGAUGUCAAUUCCACAUACAAGAAACCCUAGGCUAAUAGGCAUCAUGUAACUAGGCAAAUCUAUCAUGUGAUUCCUGAAGAUCCCUAGCCUAGCACUAGCAUGCUGUUCUAACAUAUCAUAAUAUCAAAUAACUAUAUGGUAUUUUGGGGUUUACUUACAGGCUCCGGCUGAUCGUACCCUCUACAUCCUCCAUCCUUUAUUUUGAAAACCAUUUCAAAAACUUACUUUCUGAAAAUCUCCUUGAUUUGAGACUGAAUUCACACGAGAGUUCCUCCAAUUCACUCAAACCAAGGCUUUGAUACCAACUUGUAACAUCCAUAAAUUUUACGCCAAAUUUAAACUUUUCAAUCAUAAAUAAAAACCAAAUAGCAUUGUUUACAAAAAUGUUUUCGAAUCAUUAUCCAUCAUAGUGUCACAAAAUCAUAACAUAAGGAUGAGGAGUGGUACGGUCACGCCUUCGCCACUACAAGAAAAAGACCCUUUUACGACGCGCAAGCAACGACACUCGGAGAUUUAUGUUACGCAAAAGAGAGUGACGUUAAAAAAAAUGUUAUCUCUUUAAAAAAUUUAAGAAUUUAGGUUGCACAUUAUUGCGUGCCCUUAAAUUAGUGUCUCAUGUAAAAAAAUUAAAAACACGAAGGGCACUUUAUCUAAAAGGUGCGCCGUCUAUGAAUGUCGUUUUAUAUUUUUUUAAGGAACGCGCUUCUCCUUAGAGGGAAAAUGAAAUCUCCAAAUUUUUUAAACCCCCACCUUCUUCUCCCUCGUCUCCACCCCCUAAUCGAAGCUACCAGUUGAACAACCCCUAAUCCACACCACCACCUUCUCGUCUCUCCUUCUCCACCAGGUUUUCUCUCAUCUCUAUCCUCCACCUUCUGGAUUGUAAAGGCGUCAUUUUAUAAUUCUUUUACCAAACGCACAUCCAUUAUCCUCAAUUACAAAAGGCGUCCAAAUCUAGGGGUUUUUUUUCAAGAAGAAACCAAACGGGAGUGCUCUCUUCAACAUUCGAUACCUCCGCUCGCCCCACCUGCUGGCGACCUUGGUUCUUAUAUCCUCCCAGUUUUUUGCGUUCUUCUUUCAGAAAUUUAAUCGAACAAGAUCUUGUGCCAGGCAGUUAAUCUAACGAUGGCGACAUUUUGAUUUUGAUCUCAAAAUACAUCAAAUACGAGCUUAUGUUGGAACUGAUUACCUAUAUAUCUUUUCCUUUAUGGGAUAAAUACAUCGAAUACGAGUAACAACAACAAUAGUGUUCCAAUCUUGCAUUGAUAUACACACACGGAUAUCGGAGCAUCCUAAUCAGCAAUUGGACCGCUAUUAUAACAGGUGAUAUACAAUUUUUUACGUAGAAGAGCCUCUAGCUUUUGUUAGGUCCAAAAUAAACUAAACAUGGUCAUACUCUUUCCUACAGUUUACAGCUUUAGGGAUUAAUAGCAAGUCGCCCUUUAUCUGAACUAAAAACCGCUGAGGAAGUUGCAGCUGCAACAAAUUCUAAAGACGAAGCCAAUAUUGAAGAAAAUGAAUGGGAAUUUCAUCCGGAUGCAGUGGAAAAACCUUCUAAACCUGUAAGUGAAGGCGUAAUAGAAGCUGAAGAGGUGGAGUCUUAUAUUGCCAUUAGAGAAGAGCUGUACAAGAAGGCUAAAGAAUUUGAUUCAAAGAUUAUUGAUUUUGGGACUGCUAUCAGAAGACCCUACUUGCAUAAGGUUUUUAACAUUUUUUUUGAUAAUGUAUACAGAGGCAACCGGAGAUUCACUUAUUCACUUGAUCUUACUUGUGAACUUUGAAUAUGUGUGGGUCCGAAGGGCUUCAUAUGGACGGAAAAGUGAUAUAGGAUAACGAAAGGAAUAUAACUGUUAACAGUUGAUCAAAAUCAAAAGAUACAAUUGGUAUUCUUUGUUUAGGUUUUGUUACUGCUUAAUAUAUAACUUCUGCAUGUUAAUUGCCACAGAGACGACAACCUUUAGGGUUUGCGUUAAGGUUGAUUGUUACAGAGAUAUGGAAACUUUAAUGAGAAAGCUUAACUGAAGAACUUAUAAAACGACUAGAGUAUAGAGUUUCCUUGGCUGAUGAAUGGAUUAUCUCUAAUUAUGUAGCAGGUACUCCACACUCAAACAAACACUGAUAUAGUUUCGUAGGCUUUCAAGUUUCAAUAUUGUAUUCCUAUUUAACAUACUGAGUCUACUCUUGCAAAAGUUGUGGCGAAUUUUUUUUUCUUCAUGCAACUGUAUCACAAAUAUAGCUAACUGGAAAUAUUAUUAUGAUUAGGUUAUCUAGUUCUUCAUUUAGACCUCUACUUGUAUUGCCUAGUUAAAAUAUAUAACUUUUAGCACUUUUUGUGUUUAUUUGGACUGAUUAGAUGUUACAUGGUUGAGAAUUUGGAACUGCUAUCACCUUUGUAUGGUUACCUUGGUUGUUCACGGUUGUUAUCUUCUAUACAGGUUUAAGAUACAAUCAAUCACCUAUUUACUAUGGGUGAUAGUGAAACAGUUGUUGCUCAAUCAUCAGCUAUCCAAGAGCAUCCAUCAACUACAGUUAAUAGAGAUUUGGCUGCUUCUACAGGUAUCGAUACCAUGGAUGUAGACAAUGUCAUUCCUCAUGAGGAUGAUCGAGCAUCCAUCCAGGUAGUAUCUUACUGCUGCUAUAGCAACCCCCUAUGUUCUUUAGAGUUCUUGGGCAUAAACUUCCUCUUUUUGGUUCAUAUGGUGGCUUUUUUAUAUAUAUUAGUAGAAAACCAUGUUACACAUCACCCAAAAAACAAAAUGAAAAGAAACUGAACAAAAAACUAUGAGUUUUGAUUUAUGUUAUAGAUAAUAACGGGCAUUUGAUUACUUAAUAGUUUUUAGAAUCAGUCGGGAGUCUUUCCAAGAAUUCAGAAAGUUUUCAAGAAUCAAAAGCUACAGAGUCUUCUUUGCACUUUUUGAAUAGCAACUAGCAAAUCCCUUCUAUCUUAAUGUUCUUUAUAUAACUUAUUUGCUGCAUGAAAUCUUUUCUUAAUGCAUAAGAAUUUCAUGCUUUCAGACUUUACUUACAUGGUUGCUUUUUAUAUCAGGCAUCACCCGAACAUUGUUCUAUUGCUUUUUAUCAAGAGGGGUAAGAACUAAGAAUUACUUUCUUAUUUUAUCUUUUUCUGUUAUUUUUUCAAUCUGAUAAUUUAUAUAUAUUUAAAAUGACUUGUGAUAUUAAUUUGUCCAAUAACUUUUGAUGAGCAUGUGCGUAGGGGUAAAACGGGAAGAGGAAAUGCUCGGGAGAUGGGCUUUGAGAGUUUCCUUGACUUUGUUCUAGCCCUGGAAAACAAAGACACUCCAGAGGGAAUUACAUAUCUUUAAUGAUGUUUAGAUCUUAAUGGAAGAGGCUUCUUUACAACAGCUGAUAUUCACACCCUUUUCAGGUAUAACUAAUUAUUAUUAGGAAAUAGGAAAUUGAAAAUUGGAAGUAAAGGAGGGGAGCAUUUAAAGUUUAAAUGUUGCCUGAUAUACCCUUCCUACAACAAAAAAUAAAAAUGAAAAAUCUCUGCUUUUCCUACUUGUUGCACGCGAGACACGUCUGCAAGCCUCUUGACUAUGAGAUACAUAUUUUCACCAUAUAUUAGUAAUAAAAAAAUAAAAAAAUGAUUUGAUAAUUGAUUGGUACACUACACUACAGGGAUGUGCACCAAAAUUAAAUUUAUUUACUAUUAGUGGAAUUCAAGAUAUGUACAGGAGUGUUUGUUGCCUUUAUAAUUGGUACAAUGCUAACAUGGAGGACCUUGGCAUUGACAGGUUUUAAAUUAGUCUAAAUUAUAUUUAUUUACUACUAGUGGCAUUCUUAUGGAUAAAGAAAAUAAAAGGUGAUGAAUUCUAGUGUUCUGUUUGCAGGAUUAAUCCCUUGUGCUGUUCUAUUAGUGGGACUUUUCUUUGUACCAGAAUCUCCUAGAUGGCUGGUAUGUGAAGUAUCAUGAUUCAUGAAGCUGUUUAAUUUAUCUUCAAGAAAUUAUGUUUGACAUCAUGCAUGCAGGCAAAGAUUGGAAGAAAGAAAGAGUUUGAUGCAGCCCUAAGAAAACUUAGAGGGAAGGAUGCUGAUAUAUCUGAGGAGGCGGAUGAAAUCCAGGUGUUCAUUUCAAAGCUCUCAACUUUUUUUCUUAUUUUUGUUAACGAAUAAAAAUUAUAGAAUUCUUUUUAUGUGUUAUCAAUGGGGUCUUGAAUAUGUUGAUAGGAUUAUAUAGAAACACUACAAAAGCUCCCGAAGGCCAAAAUAUUCGAUUUGUUUUAGAGAAGAUAUUUGCGAUCUGUCACUGUAAGUUUAUUUUCUUGAUAACUCUUGUUGGCUACUUUAAAAAAAAGAUUUUUAUAAUUGUAGUCCGAAUCUUGUUUUGACCAUACAUGGUACUUUUUUUUUUUUUCUGUAAUUGUAGUCUGAAUCUUGUUGGCUACUUUAAAAAAAGAUUUUUCUAACUUGCUCCUGGACGUGAUUGUGCUAUUGAGUUUGAUCUUGGAAGUGGAAGCUAUAAUGUAACUUGCUAUUGCUCAUACAACUUUUGUUGGAAUGUGAGUAUCAUAAUUCAUGCAUUUUUAUAAAAGUUUAAAAUAUUAGUUUAUGUUUUUUCUAUAUAAAAGAUAAAAUAUUUUUGUUGCUAUUGUUGUAGUGUACAAAAGAAACUCAUCGCCUUGUGGACUGUGAAACUGUGUCCAAAUGGAUUAUGAAGAAAAGUGCAGAGUCUGAAAAUAUGAAUUGGUAAAGGUCUAAAUUGCCCCUUGGCAGGUAUGCUGAUCGAAUUGCUAAUGCUAAAUGGGAAGUUAAAGAACAUGGAAUGGAACGCAAAGGUGAUUAUUUUUAAUUUUAGCACCAAAUAUUUUAAAAUAUCAUUUUUUUUAUGUUAAAUCAUAACUAUAACUCAAGGUGCUAUAUCUUUUAUCUGUUGUUUGUAAUGUUGAUAUGAUAACAUUAGUUAAUAACAUAUUUAUAUAACAACUCUAUCAGUUAGCUAAAACUGAUUAUGUCAUUAAUAUAUUAAAUUUCAUAAUUAUUAUUUAUUACAUUAAUGCUUUUAAUAUGUUCUUUAGUUGCUUACACCAUCAGUUCUCAAUGGUCGAUUAGUUAAUGCCCACCAACAUCUCCUAGCACUAAGGAUAUCAGAUUAUCUUGGAAUACACCAAGUUCUGUGAUAUUUUCAAUACCAAUCAUAAGGAGGAAUUACAAUAUGGUGUUAUGGAAGGAGUCAAUCUCUUAGGGAAGUAAUGGAGCCAAAAGAAGGUAGUCUACUCUAGGUGCAGUUUGUUAUUAUUCUAUUGGUGAUUUGAAGCAUGGAGUUGAUUCCUCCUGCAAGUGAAGUUACUUAGUUGGAAUUUGAUGUACAUAGUAGAUUAGAUGCAAAUUUAUUUAUUGUAAGAAAUAGAAUUGUAUGACAUUAAAUUUAAGCAAUGGAUUCUAUUUUUUGUAUAUAAUAUUUUAUUUUCAGUUAUGAAACAUUAAAUACAAAUUUAAUUAGAAAAUAAGUAAACCUAUAAAGAUUUUUUUUAAACAUUUAAAAUUAUGAUACGCAAAAAUGUGUGUCAUCUUCAUUUAUGACAUGGCCUUUCUUGACAGGGGCUUUCUUAAUACGCAUUACGUGUCAUUAACACGCGCGGCGUAAGGUUACGACACGCGAAUGCGUGUCAUCUUCCUUUAUGACAGGGUCUUCCUUGAUACGCAUUGCGUGUCGUAAACGCACGUCGUAAUUGCGCGUCGUAAAUGAGCGUCGUAAAUGCGCGUCGUCUAUAAACGACGCGCAAAAGCGCGUCGUCUCUCUUUAUGACAGGGCCUUCCUUGACACGCAUUUGCGCGUCGUCUGAGCCUUUUACGACGCGCAAUGAGCGUCGUAAAAGGCUGUUUUUCUAGUAGUGCGCCCUAGCGGCAUAUCACACACACUCUUGUUUCCGCAGUUAUGAGUUCAUUAUGGGAUUGAUACUUUGAUAUUUUGGUUGUUUACAUGUUGUGGAUUUCAAAUUUGGGUUUUCGAUGUGAAAUGGUUUAAUUGAACAAUGUUUUNGGCCAUCGGCCUGACUGGACCGCCCUGCGGGGCCUACAGUCUAUCUGGAUCUAUCCCGAGCCUUCGGCAUGACUGGUUCGCCACGUGGGCCUACAGUCUCCCCGGACCGCUCAUAGGGUGUGUGGGCCUUCAACACAAAACAGGAUCGCCUCAACCCAACCAAAAACAAAUAACUAUGUGCGCAUAACUAUCAUAUACUGGCAUAUACAAACAUCAAGCAUAUCUAUCACUGGUCAUCAAUCAUAGAAUUCUCUCAUAACUAGAGUACCGUCCUAGCAGGUCACUAACAUACCAAUCCCUACGGAUCAUAAGAGCAUAGCAUACUGUCUACCCUGAUUCCGAUCUAACAGAUCAUAACCACAUAUAGCAUACCAUAACAAUAACAACUAAAGGGUCGGCCUUGGUGCCGUAGACCCUAUCGAUAUAGUGAGGGUAACUCACCUCAGAGAUGUCGACUCGGAAAGUAAACUCCAACUCCCGGAUCACUUGACACAAGCCCCACUACCUAUAGCACAAUAUACUCGUAAGUCCUUAACCUUAUAAGGUACUCCAUAACCUACUAGUCAACCCCUGAUCAAAGUCAAAGUCCUUAGUCAAGGUCAACAAUCCAUGUUGACCUCGACUCGUCGAGUUCCUUGAAACACAUUCCAACUCGCCGAGUCAUCAGGGUGACUCGUCGAGUUCCUUUGAUUCUCGAUGAAACUUUAAGGCCACCCGUCGAGUUCCCUCCUUGCAACUUGACGAAUACACACGCAUACAUAUCCAGGAGAAAACUCAUCCGCCUCGCCGAGUUGUUCUUCAACUCGUCGAGUCUAUGGAAAUCAUCAUCGGACUCUCCGAGUUGUUCAUCCAACUCGUCGAGUUCACAACCAUCUUUAUGUGACUCGCCGAGUCCAUUCAGUCCUUUUCCCAUACAGACCUAUUUUGAGUCAUGCAACGGCUCCAACUCACAGAUCCAAGCUUCUAGGGCAUGCUCAAAAGGGACCUUAAUCACGAGGCGAUCCUGUUUUGUGUUGAAGGCCAAGUUUCUAGGGCAUGCUCAAUAGGGACCUAUUUUGAGUCAUGCAAACUUUACGUGCAUGCAUGGCUUUAUAGGCUCCAAAUGCCAAAUCUAAGCUCUUAAUGGGGCUUCAUGCUCAAUAGGGACCUUAAUCACGAUCAAAACUGUAACUUUAUGUUUCUAGAAUCCAAAGAGGGUCCGAUCUGAAGUUACAACUUCAAAUCUAGCCCAUAGCUCAUCAUACCAACUUGAUAUUCCAAGAAAACCCUAAAACUCAACCAAUAGAGGAAAUUUAUAAGGAAAAUGACGGUUUGGGUACGUCUGGAAGAUUAUAUCUGAGAUAAGUAUUGAUUUCCACACUCUAAAUGCUCCAAUCUCCUUCUCCUCCACGUCUUCUCCUUCCAAAGAUCCUCUUUUCAAGCUUCAAACACACACAAGGCACCACACACGAAUAAGGGAUCUCAAGGACUCUUUAGAACUGUAAAGAGGUCCAAGGGAGGCUAAGGCCCCUUUAAAUAGGGGUACAAACCCCGAGAUUUAGGUUUUCAUCUGCCUGCUCCUACUCGCCGAGUCCCAAUAUGGACUCGUCGAGUAGGUCACUUAACACGGGAUCCCACCCCCGCUGCUACUCGACGAGUAGGGCAACCUACUCGUCGGGUAGAGCUUAACCCAAUACAUCUUAUUUAAAACAAUACCUGAGAAUUGGGGCAUUACACAAUAACGCGUCCUUUAGAUAAGGGAUCAUGUAGUCCUCCAUUCUCAAGAUAUCGUGUGGACAAAGACAUGGAAUAAAGUCAUACUCAUUGUCUAAUAGUUUGUUUCCCGAUUUCUGAUUUGUUUGACAUAGAAAUUAAUUAAACACAUCAAUUUAUUCCUGACCGGGCCCAACACAUAAGUCAACACAAAAUCAUCGAGGGGCCCAAUAUAUCGCUUUUAAUCCUCUUAGGAUAAAAGGAAGAGAUAAUCUUUGACUUAUAUUCUUGUAGUAUUUACUUCUUAAAUCGUACAAAAUAAUACGUUUAAUAACAUCAAGUUAUUGAUGCGUUUACACACUAUCAAUGCACAACCAACUUGUAAACAAUAACUAAUAUAUCUCGGUUUAAAGACUAUGCUAUUAUCGUCUCACAAUCAUUCAUGAUAAAUUCCAUCAAGUGAUUCAUAUGAGCUUGGGUUUAAUCUAAUACUCAAAUAUUAUUUCAGGAGCACUCAUGAACAUUGCAACAAACCUUUGCUAUGUCCAAACACUUAUACAAUCUACAAACCAAUUCAUGAUAGUCUAACCUCAUAGCCUACUUCCAAAGUAUGAUCGACUGCGGAUAAUUCGAAUAAUCCUAUUAUUCUGGAAGUCAAAACAUGAAAAAGUGAAACAAUAGUAAACAAUUUACACAAGAUAGUAACUUUACUCAUAAAAAAAAACCUCUUUAUUUAAUCAUCAAAUGUCAAUUACAUUUUAUCUAUUACAAGUUUCUAAACAAUUAUCUAACCACUGAAACUAAUAUCAUCCUUUAGACCAAUGCUCCUCACAUGCUGUAAGUGCUUAACCCUGCUUAGACCCUUUGUGAGGGGAUCUACUGGAUUCUCCUCUGACGAUACCCUCUUGAACACGAGGAGUCCCUCCUCUACCUGAUGUUUGAAGAAGUGGUAUUUUCUGUCGAUGUGUAUGGAUCUACCAUGAUCCCUUGGUUCCUUGGUUAACGCAACUGCUCCUUCGUUAUCAUAGAAAAUUUCCAUAUGCUCCUUUAUGGCUGAUACAACUCCAAGGUCUCUGAUGAAGUUCUUCAACCAUAUUGCCUCCUUCGAUGCUUCGCUCGCUGCUAUGUACUCUGAUUUGCACAUUGAAUCAUCUACAGUCUCCUGCUUGGAACUUUUCCAAGUCACUGCUCCUCCAUUCAGGGUAAAUACCUAGCCCGACUGAGAGUGGAAGUUAUUUCUGUCGGUCUGAAAACUAGCAUCACUAUACCCUAUCACUCUCAAAUUUUCACUUCCACCAAUUACAAGGACCCAAUCCUUCGUCCUUCGUAGAUACUUAAGAAUGUUCUUUACUGUUAUCCAGUGAGCUCUACCAGGGUUCCUUUGAUAUUGACUAACCAUGCUCAAAGUAAAAGCCACAUCAAAACGAGUAGACGUCAUAGCGUACAUGAUCUAGCCAACGACAAAAGCAUAUGGUACUCGACUAAUUUCCACUAUCUCGGCAUCGGUACUCGAACUUUGAGUCUUACUCAAUUUUGUAUUGCCCUGGAUUGGUAACUCCCUUUCUUGGAAUUCUCCAUGCUAAAACACUUUAUCCAAGUAAGUACUUUGACUAAGUCCUAUUAGUCUCUUACUCGUAUUUCUCAAUAUCCUUAUCCCUAGAAUAUAAGCAACCUCUCUGAGGUCCUUCAUAGCGAAACACUUCCCAAGCCAGGGCUUAACCUCUUGCAAAGUUGGGAUGUCGUUUUCUAUGAGUAGUAUGUCAUCCACAUACAAUACCAAGAAGCUAACUAUACUCCUACUAGCUUUGACAUGCACGCAGGACUCAUCCUCGCUUCUUGAAAAACCAAACUCUUUGACUUUCUCAUCGAAACAAAGAUCCAUCUGCGAGAUGCUUGUUUCAAUCCAUAAAUGGAUUUCUCAAGCUUGCACACUUAGUUUCGGUACUUUGCAUCCACAAAACCCUCUGGCUAAUUCAUGUAAACAUCCUCAGCCAACUUUCCAUUAAGGAAAGCAAUUUUGACGUCCAUCUGCCAAAUUUCAUAAUCAUGAAACACAACUAUGACUAGCAUAACUCUUAUAGAAUUGAUGUUGGUCACUGGUGAGAAGGUGUCGUGAUAGUCAACUCCCGAAGUUUGAGUGAAACCCUUCGUAGCUAGUCGUGCCUUGAAUGUGUCCACUUUCCCAUCCGUGUCGGUCUUUUUCUUGAAGAUCCACUUACACCCGACCGUCUUACUACCUGUUAUAUUGUUAACCAAGUUCCUAACUUGAUUUUCAUACAUGGACUGAAUCUCGUUGUCCAUCGUCUCUUUCCAUUUUGCAUACUCUGGGCCUGCCAUGGCUCUCUUGUAGUUGUUAGGUUCAUCCAUAUUUAUUAGUGUACUAUCACUAAUAAACAUAUCACCUCAGCAGUUAUAUGGAAACCAUAUAACACGGGCGGAUCACUAACUCUAGUGGAACGUCUAAGAGGUAAGGACUCGUCGAGUCCCACUAUGGACUCGUCGAGUUCAUCUGUCAGGGGCCAGAAAUCGAUUAUUUUCAGCUUUGAACAAUUAACCAUGACAUCAAAUACAACAUAAAAACAGCCUAGGCUCUGAUACUACUGAUGGUUUUUGAGCACUACAACAUUCCUAUGGUGUACAUGCAACCCUAAUGCUUCGUAUCUAUGUUUUUUUCAAGUUAUAUAUGCAAAUCAAAUCAUCCAAAGCAUGAACCCUAACUAGCAUAAAAAUUUGGAAAUUUGUAACAUAAAACAUAGUUAGAAGAAUACUUUUUCCUUGUAGCUUGUUGAUCUUGACCUUCAUGAGCUUAGUGCCUUAAUUCUUGCACCUCGAUUGAGUCACAAACACCAAGUAGCAAGUUGGAAGAAUAUGAGAGAGGCUAGGAGGCUCAAAAUCGUCUAGGGUAUUCUCUUAGAAGCAAGUGGUUGAUUCCAAGGUGUCAUCGGGUCUUUAUAUAGAUGUGCAAUUAGGGUAUUUGAUUGAAACCCUCAUUCUCUGCUUAGGCCUUAAGUAAUCUAGUAGAUCCUUCCAGAAGGUCUCUUAUGGACAAAAUCUAUGUGGGCUAUAUAUAGGAUUUCAUCCAUCCCUUCUUAGGGAUCCACAAGCCCAAGUUUGCAACUAGCAUAUAAUUGCAAUAUCAGUCCCCAUAAUUUAAUCAGUCUCUUUUGAUCACAAAAAUAAUUCCAAAUCAAUUCCUGAUCAAUACUAAUUAAAUAAUAUGAUUUCUCAAUCAAUAUAUCAUUCUUAUAAUAUAUUAAUAAAUCAAAAUUAACCUCUUUCUCCAUAAUUCAUCCAGUCAAGUUGCUAUGGUGAAGGCAACCCAAAUGAACCAUGCUACUAUUAGGUCAAGUACAUACCAAUUAUAGUUAUGGGCUUAGACACCUAAUCCAACACGGGCUCCUUAGAGCUUUCAGGUCUCUCCUUGUCUCGGGUACAAGUCUUGUGCUUUUAGUAGUACGGGCCCAAUACUACCUUCCACACCUACCUGUACAUUCCCCCAAGGCCAUACCUGAUACCUCUAAUUCACCAAAACAUAGAUAAAACAUGACAUACGAAACACAACACAUAUCCUAGAAUCCUUGGGGAUUUCUCAAUCCUCAUAGAACCAGAAGUCUCAAUCAACACCGCAGGUUGCCUUAUGCAUGCAAGUUAUACAUACAUAUAAUCACAUAGACUGUCAAGUGAAGUUUCUACCCUAAGACCAAAAUGAAGCAAGGAACAAGAAGUAAGGAAGAAUCCAUCGUUCUAGGGCUAUGAAAUCCUACACGUAUACAACUUUGAAAGAAUACACUUAGCAAAUAACAAAGACAACAUCGAUUUCAAGCAUUAUAUUCAUAGCAUUGAAUUCUAGCUAGUAGGCUACAAGGCAUCACACAAAUCAGACAAUUCUCAUAACUCCUGAAGGUAUCCUUAGCCCUAUUCUAGCAUGCAUUUCACACAUUAACAUACUGGUUGUAAUUCAUAAGCUUGGUUAAAUUUUUGGAAACACUUACUUGAGCUUGGCCGAUUGCGUGCAUUGCACUCUCCCUUUUUACUUAAGAAAACCGGUUUAAGAAAAAAUUUACUUUUGUUUAUUUUUUAAAAAGGGUUACCAUUUCCUUAGUUUGAGUUCUGACACACCUUCGAGUGUGGCCGAAUUUCUCAAACCAAGGCUAUGAUAGCAACUUGUAACAAUCCAAAAAUCUAGAUAAAAAUUUUCAUUUUUUUAAAAAUAGAAAUUACAAUCAUAAUUUGUUUAUGAAAAUCCAUUACAUGAUUUCAUAUCAAAAUAUCAGAGUAUCGCUAUCGAUAAAUGAGGAAAUUCUUGGGAGUGAUGUUGCGCCAUCAAGCUGGUCCAUUCCCAUCAAUACCAGAAGUACCUAAAAACACCCAAAUAAACUAUAAGCAAAAUGUAACAUCCCAAAAAUACAGGCAAAAAAUUUCAUUUUUAAAUACAUUAUUAUAACACCAGCAGUAUAAUAAGACAUCCAUAAUAUCAUGUCAUGUCAAAACUAAAGUAGAAAUAAUCAAAACAUGUUAUAAUAAAACAAUAUCAAGGUGUAAUCUCAAAGAUCUCAUGUGCGGAAAACCAUAGCGUGAUGCACUGUGAUCAAGCCGACUCCUUUCCUUUAAAAACGAGUACCUGAAACCAAAACUGUAAACCGUAAGCAUGAAGCUUAGUGAGUUACCCCAUCAUACCACAUACCAUACAACAUACAUGCUACGAAGCAUAUCUGGGUGUUGACAUACCCCUUUGGUAACUUUAACCGAUAUCCGGGGACUGUUUCACCCCUAUCACUACCACAUAAUAACAUAGCAUAACAUAUAUAAAUAUACUGUCAUGCAUAUAUGGGUGCCCGACCUACCCCUUCGGUAUCUUUCAACCGGUAACCGGGAGCUAACCUCCCCAUCGGUAUCUUUCAACCGGUAACCGGGAGCUAACUACCCCUUCGGUAUCUUUCAACCGGUAACUGGGGACUAUUUCACCCCUACCACUACCACAUAAUAACACAACAUAAUGUACUGCAAGGCAUGCAUGGGUUCUGACGAUCCCUUCGGUAUCUUUCAACCGGUAUCCGGGGACUAAUAUUUCACCCCUAAUACUACUAACUCAUAUAACAUAGCAUCCUAGAACAUAGAGCAUAUCAGAUAGUUGUAAACUAGACAAUUAUCACAAAGACAAUCAUCUCAUACAUAGUCACCUACUAGUGGGUCAGCAUUGGUGCCUUAGACUGUCACACCCCAAAACCGAGAACGGCGGAAAUGUUCUGGGGCGGAGGACGUCAUGUAUAAUAUCAACAACAAUGUAAAGUAGUAAACAAGCAACAACAUCAUCCAUUGCAUUAAUAAAAUAAUUAUUAUACAAUUGUAUUCUGUCAAAUUUUGAUAAACACUAAAGCAUAAAUCAAAAUGAAAGAUAAGUCUUGAACAAGCUCCAUCUUCCUUUCUCCUUGCAUCGGUACCUGUCUAUGAUGACCUGAGGAUACAAGUAAUUUUGAAAGCGAGUAUCAGCUUUAAAGCUGGUGAGUUCAUAAGUAUAUAAGUGUCAUUGCCUUGUUUGUGAAAAGCUGUUAUGAAGGCCAUGAAAACCUUUAAAUGAAAAUGUUGAGGUAAGUAUGAAAUCCCUAGAAAAAACCCUUAUUUUCUAUAAGUAUGAAAUGUAGUCUUCUACUAAGACCCGAAUGUUCUGUACGUAUGAAGUGUAGUCUUCUACCAAGACCCGAAUGUUUUGUAAGUAUGAAGUGUAGUCUUCUACCAAGAACCGAAUGUUCUGUUUGUAAAAUGAUAGUUUUCCCUUUGUAUUGACUAGUACUAAAAGUGCUUAGUCUAACUCAUCGUCUAUGUGAAUGCAUCACAAAAUAAAGUAAACAGGAAAAUGUACUACUGUAAGUGUUGUCACUGGGUACUAGGACCAACACAGCCUAGGUAAAUAUUAUCCCGAGGUACUAGGGUUAACACUACCUAAAAAUAAAGUAAACAGGAAAAUGUACUACUGUAAGUGUUGUCACUGGGUACUAGGACCAACACAGCCUAGGUAAAUAUUAUCCCGAGGUACUAGGGUUAACACUACCUAAAAAUAAAGUAAACAGGAAAAUGUACUACUGUAAGUGUUGUCACUGGGUACUAGGACCAACACAGCCUAGGUAAAUAUUAUCCCGAGGUACUAGGGUUAACACUACCUAAAAAUAAAGUAAACAGGAAAAUGUACUACUGUAAGUGUUGUCACUGGGUACUAGGACCAACACAACAUCGCAUUAAGCGAAAUGUAUAACCUAAUGAACAUCCGAAGAUUGUCCAAUUGUCCUCUGUAGCAGCAGCAGGUGGGUGGAAGGGUUAGUCCCAAAUCGAUCUUCCUAAUAUAAGUAGUAACCUUAGACCUCCGUAGAUGGUCAUCGACCACUGGUGCUAAUCAGUGGGGUUCGGAAUGGUGAGUCCCGCCUAGAUAUCCCAUUGAACCGGGAUAGGAAAGAUAAUUUACACAGAAAGUACUAAUAAAUUAUCCUCUUAGUUCUAAGUACAAGUAUCCAGGUAAGUGAAUACAGGAUAAUGCACCUAUGUAAAAGUGUUCCUGUAUGGCAUUCAUGUAUGUGCGUCCAUGUAACAGGUAAGUAUAUGUGAACAUAUUCAUGUAUCAGGUAAGCAUCUGUAAGUACUCAUGUAUCAGGAAAUGUACUAGUAUAGACUCAUGAAUGAACUGACUCUUGUGUGAUUCUUUGUAAUAGAAAUAAUGUUUGAUAUCUUCAAAUUAUCCCUAUGAUAAUUUACUGUAAUAUAACUGGAUGAUCAUGUAGGUUUAUACACUCUUACUACUCAAGGGUGUGGGAAACUAAAUGAAAGAUGUAAACUAUAAACUCAAUACAUAUAUAAGAAUAUAAGUGUAUAUGCAUAGUUUAGUUCAAGAAUGUAAAAAUGGUUUUGUAAGACCUCUUAUGGGUUUUGAACAAUAAUUAACAAUGACUUGAUGUCAUUUUAAUAAACAUUUCAAAGGUAAAACAUUUGGUAACAAUGUGUUUUUAAUAUGUAAAACCAUUUCAUGCAUCACAUUUUGUAGCAUGUGAAAUCCGUUAAAUGACAAACAUAGUUAUAAAAUGCAUAUCAAUGAUUCAAUAACAUGUAUGUUUCUACUUGUAUUCCCCCCAUUAAAGCAUUUAAAAUCAUUUAAAAUAUUGAUUAGGGGUAUGAACUCACUUGAUUGAAGUGGUUGAUUUGAAAUAGUCCAGAGAAGAAUCAAGCAGAACUUCGACAGGAAGAGCUGAAAACGCGGGAAAAUCUCAGGAUUCUCGGGAAUCUCGGGAAUCUCGAGAACACAAAACCUUCCUUCGGGACUUGAAGGUGAAAACCGGGGCUUUGGGAGGGUCUCGGGGGCUUAAACGCAGAGUUUCGGCGCGAGAAAGAAAGGAACUGAGCAAUGGAACUCGGAGCCCUUGAAAUCUAUUUAUAGGGGCAUUUUUGGGGUGUGCCACGUCGUGGCAAGUGAUGGCCACGUCGUGGGGAGUCAAACCUAUCCUCUUCCAUUGAUUGGACGCCCUCAGUCACUUGCCGGGUCGCGGCAAGCUUGUGCCACGUCGUGGGGCCUGACAGCAUCGGAUUUUGGGCCCCGAACUUGUAAAAUCCAUAACUUUCGCAUACGAGCUCCGUUUUCGACGUUCUUUAUAUGCACACAUAGCUAAAAAUAUGAUCUACAAAUCUCGUUUAGACUUCAAUUGCAAAUUUUGACUUUAUUUUUAAUUAUUUAUUUUUAACGGGUCGGGACACGAAAAGUCUGUUAAAAAUCCAUAACUUCUUCAUCCGGUGUCCGUUUUCGUCAGACUUUUCGCCGUUGCGCUACUAAUGUUGAGACCUUAGAUUCUCAUUUAGGUUGUUUUGGCACNUUUGGUCAAAAGUAUCUCGAGCUCUAUUUCGAGUUUUUAGCUGUCUACUGCUAUACUCGAAUCUUGGAAAAAUCAUAACUUUCUCAUACGAAGUCAGAUUUGGACGUUCUUUUUAUGUACGCUCACGGUUUGAGGUUAUCUAUAACUUUCAUUUAGAUACUUAAGGCUAAAAACUAUUGUAUUGAAACUUCGCGUUUUUCGUUUAAUCGGUGUUGUCGGUUUUGCCGAGAAUCUUCGGUUGGUCAUAACUUCUUCGUUAUAACUCGAAUUUUAGGGUUCUUUAUAUGUACUAAAACCUUGAUACGAUUCCUACUACUUUAUUUAACCCAAAUAAGAUUUUAGGAAAGUUAUAUUUUGACCUAAAUUUGAUUGGUUUUACAUUUCAUUGUCUCGAAAUAUCGGGUUGUCACAUAGACCCACCUCUACUGGAAGGUAAUUCACCUCGAAUGCAGAAGCUUCCUAAAGAAAUUCUUAUUGCUGCCCUGCCCACUUCCCGAGCUAUCAAUACCAAUCAAUAUACCAAAUUAGCAAUUGGUUCCCAUACCAAAAUCCUUAAUCCAUGCAUGGGAUAAAAUGACCAUUCUACCUAUGGCCCAGUAUGAUCCGGAAUUAUGGCCAUAACCCAAACAAAAGCCCAACACUAUAAUGUCCAUAAUACAAUCAAUGGCCCAAUUUUCUAAAUUGGGCCCAAACCUCUACGUGAGUCUUGCCAUGAGGCCCAAUCAUUCUUUCCAGUCCAAUACACCUCAUAUUCUGAUGGCCCAAUAAUAAUCCAAACAUUUAAACCCAAAAUGCUAAAACUCACUCAUGGCAUGGUCCAUGGACUAGUUUUCCAAAUUGGGCCCAAGACUUUAGUGGGCCUCUACAAAUAAAAUAUCAACCCCAAAACUGAUGGCCCAAUAGCGCCCAAAACAACAAGCCCAAAAGAUGGCCCAAACUGAAGCCUAAAAACCAAAGUCCCAUUCUGCUGAGUACGCGGGGCGUACUCAGCUUGUACGCUAAGCGUACUGGCUUAAGGGCUUGUACGCUACAUGUAGACGCUUGUACGGCCAGCGUACUCCUCCUGUUGACCAACUCUCAAUCCUAGCUCUUAAUCCAUUAAGCCAAGACGUCCAAAACCUCAAAAUGGCUUAAUAUAAGUGACUUGACCCGUAAAGUCGAAUGCUUUAAGCCUUUGCAUGGCUUAUUUAAUCCCAAACACUAAAGAUGAAUUCCAAAAGGUCAAAAUCACUCCCAAAAUGUCUUAGAACUUCUUAAUACCUUAAGACCUCAGUCCAAACUUCCAGAUCUGAUUUCAAGGGACUUCUUAAGUCAUAAAUUUUCCAACUUUAUGACUUAGCAUAACUCAAUGGGGCCUAAAUCUAAAACCUAAGUUCCAAACUUCAUUAAAUGAAUACCAAAUCAUGCAUGGAAGGUUUAUACCUCUCAAGAUCUAGACUUUAUGACUCCAUAACCUCAGUAAGGACCAAAUAAGAGGCUCAAAGGUUCUGGAGUAACUUCUACUCACAAGAACCACCUCAAAGGGACCAAAAAAACAUAACAACGUACCAUUUUGCUAGAUCUACAUGAAAAAGUUGUCAAUGUUGAGACUCUAUACCUUCAGAAGAUAGAUCUAGGUGCACAAAGCUUGGAUUCAAAAGCUCCAAGUCAAACAAUGACUCUUCAAGAAGUUCCUUCUUCCUCCUCUAGCACCAAAACACACCAAAAAUCACUUUGAAGCUCUAAAAUUACUCAAAUGGGGGCUAAGGGUCGAUUUCUAGGGUUUGGAGGGAUGGAGGAUGAAGGUAUUAGGGUUAGGUUAUGAGAUAAGGAGCUUAAAUAUGCUCCAAGACCCUAAAAUAGGGUUUUGAUCUAACUGGCGUACGCUCAACGUAAUUAUGGUACACCCGACGUACUCCAAAGAACAUUCGCGACCAUCCUGGUCAGUAUGUCCAGCGUACUCUAAGGUACGUCCAACGUAUUGCCUUCUUCACUAGUACGCCCUGCGUACUCUUUGUGUACGCCAUGCGUACUCGGCUAACCCUGAAAACCAUGAAACUUCUGAAGGCCAUAACUUCUUCGUUAUAAGCCCGAUUCCAAUGAUCCUUAUAUCCACGGAAAGGUGACGAGAAACUCUAUGCAUCCAUCAACUUAUUCUCACCUCAAAACCUUCUGAAAAAAAAAUCCAAAAUUUAUAAAGAUCUUCAACUACCACUUUACCGAUAUACCCCUUGGCUCCAAAACACGAACCGAACACCCGAAUCACUUAUAAUACAUCACCUGCACCCAAAUGGGCCUAGAUACUACCUUUUCAAAAGCCCUAAUACUUUUGAUGACCAGCCUUCAGGCCACAUCGUUAGACUAGAAGUCAAUCCGGAACAGGGCGUUACAUAAAAGCUUAGUGAGUUCCCAAAAUACAACAUAACAUAUAACCACAGAAUACCACGCUAUAUACAUAAGAUUGCCAUAGGAAACCCCUAUGGUCUUUACCUGGAAUGCCAUGGGCUACCCCCAUGGCCUGAUAUCCAAGUUCCAUGUGCUACCCCCUUGGUCUUUACUUGGAAUGCCAUGGGCUACCCCUAUGGUCUUCACACAAGUGCCACGGGCUACCCCUGGGGUCUUCAAAUAAUGAAUUCAUAACAACUAUCAAUGCACAUGUCAAACAAUGGGCCGAAAUUAGUGCCUUCGACCCAUUGAUAUAGUGAGAAGACUCACCUCAGACUGCUGAUAAAAAUACUACUCGGCUAUCGGUCCAGAUAUCUCACACUGAAUAUACACAAGUUAACCUAAUUAGAAUUAAGUCACAAACUCAAGGCAUAGGCCAAAACCCUAAUUACAAACUCCUCCAAUAAGGCCCAAAAGCCUUUCUCCUUUAAUGGGCCUAACAUCCAAGCUCCAAAACAAUUAUAGGCCAUAAGGCCCAAAAGGCCCAAACAUGCCACCUAUGGUCCAACAACAAGUUUAAAGGCCCAAAUACUCUAAUAGAUCCAGGCCCAAGGCUAAGUAGGGCCCAAAUGGAUCAAAGGCCCAACAAUAGCCUAAAACUCACUGGAAGCAUACGCCCAAUGUACAACAUAUAUACGCUUAGCGUACUGGGUUAUUUGGUGGUACACACAGUGUAAAAGCUAGUACGUCCAACGUACAAGCUGCUUUGCACAAAUAGCCAUUAAGUGCUUACUUCAUGAAGCCGCUUCGUCCGAUUCCAAAUCUUGGUCAUCAUAAAGGUUGUAGGGCAAAAAUUUUGUAACUUUAUGCCUUUGAAUGCCAUAUGGGAACCUAACACCUCGUUUUAUCCUUUAAGACUCCCUUUAAGAUCUUAAACUCAUGCAUGGUGUCAAAACAACCAUCAAGUUAACAUUUUUAUGGUUUUAACAUGCCAAAGGAACUCAAAUCAAACAUUUCUAACCUCUGGAGUUGCUCAAACUCACAAAAGAGGAUCCAUGGACCAAAAAUGGACUUAUUACCAAACCCUAACUCAAACUAGCGAAAGGAUAAGCAAGGUCUGGACUUUUUACCUCCAAAAGUUCCGCAAGAUGAAAUAGAUGCAGGAUCUAGAAGCUCAACCACGUAUAAGACUUGAUCACAACCUUCUCCUUCUUGCAAACACACUAAAAUAGCCACCAAAAUCACUUUUAAUAUCACGAAUCACACUCACUUGCAAAUUAAGGUUUAGGUAUGAUAAGAGGCAAUAGAAGUUGUUUAGGGUUAGGUCUAAAUGGCAUAAGAGUGUUAAAAUGGGGCUAAAAUUAGGAUUUUUGUCUUAGGCCACGUACGCCCCGCAUACAUUGUGCAUGUCCGAGUCCAAACCACCCUAAUAUGCUAAGCAUACACAUAUGUACACCCAACGUACGUAGGGACCUCCUUUGCAAAUAAGUUUCAUUCCAAGGGUUAAAAGGGUAACUUGCAUUCCGAAUGUUACAUAUAGAUAAUCAAAUACUUGAUUCUACCCUAAGCCCUUCAUCAACCAAGAACAUGAAAUAAAGCUAAACCAAAAAUUAUCAGGCUAUAGAAUCUUAAUUAUGUACAACUAUGAUGCAUACACUAAGCAGGUACAAUAAUGAUGUCAAUUCUAUAUAAGAAGUAAUCCUAGGGUAUCAAGCAUCAUAUAUGAGGAAAUUUUAUCACGUAAUUCCUGACGAUCCCUAGCCCACCGCUAGUAUGUUGUUGUAUCAUGAAUAACAUAUCAAAUAACAGUGUGGGUAACUUGAGGUAUGCUUUCUUACCGCGGCUGACCGUACACAUCACAUCAUGCAUUCCUUGGUUACUUUUGAAAACCAUUAAAAAAAACUUUUACAACUCCCUAGUUUGAGUUUGGAUUCACACGAAUGUUCAUCCAAUUCUCUCAAACCAAGGCUCUGAUACCAACUUGUAACACUCCUAAUAUCAUAGAAAAUUAAAAAUUUUAAAUUUCAACCAUUAACCAACAUUGUUUAUAAAAAGUGCUCAUUGCUUCAAAAGUAUUAUUCAAAAUCAUAGUUUUUCCCAAGACAUAAAAACACAAAACAGGAAGAUGUGCACGAUCACGCCUUUGCCUUCCCGCGAUUAUCAGAAGUACAUGAAAUAAUAAACUGAAAUUGUAUUUCAAAGCUUAGUGAGUUCCCCCAAAGUACCAUCAUGAAACAUAUAAAAUACAUAGAUUAACAUGAUGGGCCCACAACCUCCCAGUUGGAUUACCUUGGCCCACAACCUCCCUGUUGGAUUGCCCUGCAUACCAUAUACUGGGUCCAUAACCUCCCAACCGGGUUGACUUGGCUAGUUUGUGGAGUUUGACCUAUUUUGAGCCAAGUAUAUUUUGGAUAAUUUGGUAUUAAUUUAAGUUGGGAAAUAUUUUGGGAUAAUAGGUGUUGAGUAGAGCCGGGUGUCGGGGAAGACAUUUAUUCAGCUUGUGUUUAGACUGAGAGGUGAGUUUUCCUCACUAUACUUACAAGUCGAAGGCAUCAAGGCCGACCUAAUGGAUUGAUAUCCUGUUAGAUACUAAUUGAAGAUAUGUUGAGUAUGCGAUACAUCUGUAUGAUUAUAUGAUAGGUAUUGAUAUACAUUAGACUGGUAGAUCUGUAGGACUACAUGUGAUUAUUGGUUGUGUAAUCACCUGUUUGUUGUAUGUAUAUUAUCUAUUAUAUGUCGACAUGUUACUUUAGGGUUGAGAAUAUUGCUUUGUGCUGUCAUUCGACAGACCGUGACAAUCCAACCAGAAUGUUUUGGGCCAGAGUAAUCCAACAGGGAGGUUGUGGACACAACAUGCUAAUCUAUGUAUUUUAUAUGCUGCAUGAUGGUACUUUGGGGGAACUCACUAAGAUUUGACUUACAGUUUCAGUUUAUUGUUUUAGGUACUUUUGAUGAUCAUGGUACGAUGAAGGUGUGAUAACGCACAUCUUCCUAUUUUGUGUUAUUGUGUCUUGGGAAAAACUCUGAUUUUGAAGAAUACUUUUGAAGCAAUGACUCUUUUUUUAAACAAUGUUGGUUAGUGGUUGAAAUUUAAAUUUUUUAAAUUUCUAUGAUUUUUGUAAUGUUACAUUGGUUUGGCUUGUAACCGAUCUAAACCCCCCACAUACCCUUGUUAAUCAUAAAAGAAGAAUCCAUUUAGAACUAACUAUGUUCAAAAAUAAGAACCAUAGUGUGUUAAAUAUUCAUUACCUCAAAUGUAGGGAUCUUUUGAUGUCGAAGAACAUUAGUUAAGAUAAAUUAAAAAGGAUAUUCAACUAAACCAAAGGUCUUUUGGCCUAGCACUAUCAUAUGUUGGAAAUGUGACCCUUCCUAAUAUCAGAAAAACGUGUUAUUUCGAUUGCUUGGAUUACACUGAAAGUCAUGAUACACUUACGUAUUAAAGUAUUUCGAUGGUACAAUCAAAAUUUAAAUUGGAUAAAAUUCUGUGAGAACAACAGAGAAUGAAAAUGUUAUGAUUCUUGUGUGUACCAGAUUCAAAUGACCAAAAAGGGAUAUGACUCCUUGUCCGAAAAUUGUCAUAUUUCCAGUUACAAACUGCCACAAAACCAUCACUAAACUGACUUAGUCGGCUUAACAAACAAGAACUACAUAUUUAACAUACAAAGAAAAGCUAACAAGUCUCCUGAUACUUGUAAAAAUCAAAUGAUGUAAAAAAAUUAGAUAUCAAAAAAUCUAGUAUUAACAUAGAUUUAAUUAAACUUAUAGAUUAUCUGUUUAUAUAUCAUGGAAAUUUAUUCCCAAGGUCAUCCUUAACUCGUUAACAAGUUUUGGGUGUAACGAUAUAACAAUAUCUAAUCAUUACUCCUCUGAUAAAAUUUUGGAUUCUGUGGUCUAUAGGUUGCAUUUUUUGUUGCUAAUAGGAGUAGAAAAGCUAAAAUCAUUUGGGUCGAUUGGAUUCAUAAUCCUACUUCAACUUGCACUCUUAUGUAAUGUUUUUUUUCCUAGCUUACUGCUAGUUUUUAUAAAAUUUUAUCUUGUUCCGAAAAAACUCCUCUUAUAUAUUGGUCAACUUUGAGAUACAAUUAAAAAGGUUCUCUUGCCACAUCACACGCCAUCCACCCCAACGACCACCACACAAUAAUAUCGAUUUGGUAUAGACCAACAACUAUCUCUUUCCUCAUCUCCCUCAAAUCGGUCUUCAUUUCCUUUCUUUUCAGUUUGCUUUUUAAUAUUCAUACAUAGAGACUCAUUUUUGAGAAGUUAAGACACAUAAAUGUGUUUAAUAUUGGAAUCCCACAUGACAAAGUAGCAUCUAGGGAUGUCAAUGGGGGCAAACGGGACGGGGGUUGCAUUCCCCACCCCCACCCCCAAAANNNNNNNNNNNNNNNNNNNNNNNNNNNNNNNNNNNNNNNNNNNNNNNNNNNNNNNGCCCCCGAUUGAUUUUGGGCUACCUUAUUUGCACUAAAAGAAGUUCUUGUUUGGACUAAUAGAAACUAUAUUUUGGGUUAUAAAUAGAUAUUUAUAACAUAAUUUUACAUGUACAAACAACUUAAAACAUGUUUUAUUUUGAAGUUUUGUAUGCAAAAAUCUUUUUAUUGUUUAUUAUAUUUAUAUAAUUAAUAUAUGUCAAUUUAUAUAAUUUAUUAACGGGGCUCCCAUGGGGGUUUCGGGACGGGACUACCAACCCCUGCCCCAGCCCUUGAAAUUAAAACGGGGGUUAACCUUGCCCCUGCCCCCGUCCCCGAUUAUUUUCAACAAAUGCCCCCAUACAAGAUGGGGUCCCCGCGGGAUCGGGGUCCUACGGGACUUUUUGACAUCCAUCGUUAAGUAAAGAAUGUUUGUGACGAUGUAACUUCCUCUUGAUAUACAUAUCUUUUAUUAGAGACCGACCGAUGUCAUCCUUUAACACUGUAAAUUUUCAAACAAAGUUUUCAUUUUAAAACACAAUAAAACACAUGUCACAUUCCUUUCAAAAAUCACAAGUAUCAAUUUAUCAAUACAUUUUAAAAGUUGUUUAUCGCAAAUCCAGAUCCUCAAACAUAACUCUUUUCUCUUGUGUGUACAAUCAAACCGGUGCCUUAUCGUGAUCCUGAUAAGAACCUGAAACACAUAACACAUAACAUGGUAAGCAAGAAGCUUAGUGAGUUCCCCAAAACACCACAUACAGCUCAUUAGCCACUCGAGGCUAUAACACAGUAAGACCCUCCGGUCAAUGUAUCUCAGUGGGAUCCUCCGGUCCCAAACUCUGAUGGACCCUUCGGCCGAAUAGAAUUUUCCACCCGCGUCCAAGAUUCACAUAUACUCGACGAGUUUGGGGACUCCAACUCGUCGAGUCCCAAUGCAAAAAUGCAAAAAUUCAUAUGUAUAAUACGUAUCGGGAACCGGGCGUUAGAUAUUGGUUGUAUAAUCAUUUGUCUGCUGUAUGUAUAUUAUCUGAUAUAUGUCAACAUGUUACAUUAGGGUUGAGACUACUGCUUUGUGCUAUCAGUCAACAGAGAGUGGCAAUCCAAGCAGGAUGUUAUGGGCCAGGGUAAUCCAACCGGGAGGUUGUGGACACAACAUGCUAAUCUAUGUAUUUUAUAUGUUGCAUGAUGGUACUUUGGGAUCACUCACUAAGCUUUAGCUUAUAGGUUCAGUUUAUUGUUUCAGGUACUUCUGAUGAUCGCGGUAUGACGAAGGUAUAAUCAUGCACAUCUUCCUGCGUUGUGUUAUUGGGUCUUAGGAAAAACUCUAAUUUGAAUAAUACUUUUGAAGCAAUGACUUUUUUAAACAAUGUUGGUUAAUGGUUGAAAUUUAAUUUUUUAAAUUUCUAUGAUUUUUGGAGUGUUACAUUGGUUUUGGUUUAUAACCGAUCUAAACCCCCACACACGCUUGUUAAUCAUCAAAGAAGAAUCUAAUUAGGACUAACUGUGUUCAACAAUAACAACCAUAGGGUGUUAUAAAUCCAUUACCUCAAAUGUAGGAAUCUUUUAAUAUCGAAGAACGUUAAUCAAGAUAAAUUAAUAAUGAUCGUAACAUCCUGUUUAUUAAAUAAAUAAAUAGAUAAAAAUUUGAUGAAAGAAUAGUCGCCCUAAAUUCAUAUUAUUUAGUGGGGCGCUGGUUUUGGGGAGCCGAAUGGUAUAAUUUGGAUUAUUCGGAGGUUAAAAGUGUAAGUUCUAGAUUUAAUUUGAAAAUGAUUUUAGAAGUCAUGGUGUGUUUAGUAAUUAAUGGACUUAAAUAGAAAGGAUUUGAUGGCUUAAGGGGGUGAUUGGUAAUUUCGGGACCUAUUAUGAAACGACUUUCAGAGAGAGGGGUUAAAGGGGUAAAUUUCUGAUUCAUUUUGAAAAGAUUAAUAGAGGGAAGGCUACUGUUGUUAUUAUGGGGAGAAGUUUUAUGGGGAUUGGGGUAUAAGACCUGUCAGCCCGGUAAACCCUAAACCUAGCCAUGUGUCCCAGCCGCCGCCACCUUAUACCCCCCCCCCNNNNNNNNNNNNNNNNNNNNNNNNNNNNNNNCUCCGGCGCCGCCGCCAUCAUCCCGUUUCCGAUCAGCGAGCUGCCGAGAAGCUACUCCAUUGGACUUCUGCCACUCUUCUCUUAUCCUUCUUCAGUCGUUGCCAUGUGAGGCCUCAUCCACCACCCGCUACUUCAUCGUUGGAGUGCUACCACCACUGUCGGUGCACCAUUGUUGUCGCUGCUGUUGAGGCCAAGGAUGAAGACGGAUGUUGGGACGUCGGGAAUGAAGAAGAACAAGCCACAAGUCGCUGUAACGUUGGUUGUAGCGCUGCUGCUCCGCCACUGCCCAUUUCCGUUAAAGACAAGGUCGUCACUUGUUUCUCGUGGAUGGCUUAGUCGGAGGUGUCGUUCGUUUCCGUGUGGUGCUGUUCCUCCGUGAGCUGCUGCACUGGUGGUGCUGCCACUGUUGCCGUUAGUGUUGCUGCCACUCUCUACCGUUGUCGCCGUACGCCACCAGGUGGGUGGCAGGGUUCUUUUGCGAAUGAAAACAGUUUGUUUGUGUGUGUGUGUUGUAUGUGGUGAUGUUUGGCCUGAAUUAACGAGAACAAUCACCACCACCUUCGUGAGGUGGUAGCUGCCACCAUGUACCACCACCGGCCACCACAAGGGUGGAUGUGUAUGUGUGUGUAUUGGCAUUUAUGUUGUAAAUUGUAAUUAGUGCUAGUGUAAUCAAAAGAAAAACUCAAAACCACCACCGUGAGGUGGUGGCUGCCGCCACCAGUCGCCGUGUUGGAUGGCGGUGUGCUCUGUUUAUAUUUAGACUUUGUUUGGGUUGGACAAAAUAGACUAGACCCAUAACCACCACCGUGAGGUGGUGGCCGCCGCCGUGAGCCGUCGUUGACCACCACUACACGAGGUGGUAGUGGGUGGUGCCUGACUUAGGAACACCCUAAUUGUCUUAAUGAAACCUUAAUGGGCCUAAGGACUUAGCUUUUGGGCUUAAUUGGAUUGUAAUGGGUUGGAAACCCUAAUUAGGGUUUAGAAAACCCUAAUUUUGGAAUUAUUGGUUUGGACUUAUCGGGACCCACAUUUGGGACCAUUGGAGUGAUGACUCAAGCCCGUUUUCAUUGUAUGCUUGGACUUAAUGGAUUAAUGUAAUGACCAAAAUUCUCUAUGUUAGUGAAGUUGGUUUUCCGUUACAUAGAAUUAAGUCGUACAUGCGUCUAGGAUGUGAGAUUAGACCGGUUUAUAUAAAAAAAAAUAAUAAAUAAACAAAAACAUAUUUUUUAACAUUUUAAGAAUUUAAUAGGGAUUAAAAUAAUUUAUAAGAUUUAGUUAAUAAUUAUAAUGAGCUAAAGAUAUUUAAGUAAUAUUACGAGUUAAAUAAAUACUCAAAUUAUUAAAAAGUGGCUUAUUUUAUGUGUAAAUUAAUCAAAUUAAACGACUAUAAAGAAAUAAAAUAAAAGAAAAGGUAAAGUAUAUAUAAUAUGGCCAGGGUUAAUAAUGAAUUGAGUAUAAAAGAUCAGGGACUAUAACUGUAAAUUGGAAUUCAAUCGGUGAAUUGAAUUCUAUAAGCUCGUUACCACUGAUAAUAAAUUUGUUUUAAUUAAUUCUAUUCGAUUGCCGCAACCUAUGUUCUUCUUAUUCGUUUCCGUUACCAGGCAACUUAUUCGCCUUGCCGAUUACACCUUCUCUUUAGGGUUGCCAUAUUUGUGUCGACCAGAAAAAAAGAGAGAGAAUUGAGUGUGAGAGAGUGUCUGCGUGAGAAGGAAUGAACGAGGCUCACAUCCUACUGCUAUUAGAUCGAAACAAGGUAAGCUCUUGAUCCCGAAAACCUGUCAUGUUUUUUUUGUUCAUCAAUGGCUUAUUGUGAAUAUCUUGCUGCCAAAAUACUUGUUUUUAGAAGCCACACAAACCCGUGAACUACUUCAAUUCAUCUCUGUCAAGCCUUAGGGAUGAAGCACCCAUGUUUGAGUCGUGUCGGGCUUAGUCGAGACAACCCCAUAAGCCAUCAGAACACCAGAAUCACAUUUUGGAAUGGUGUCUUCUCUAAAGCGUAGCCUCAAGUCCCUUAGACGCUUUGUUAAGGCUUUGAAACAGAAGCAGGGGAAGCUAUAUGUGUUCUUUCGCAAUUUUAAUGCAUGCCUCUGAAUUGCUACCGGACAAUCAAAAUAGACUAAUGCUUGAUGGAAUAUGAUAGUUACAGACAUAAUGGUUGUAUAGUUUCACUAAUGACUAAUUCAUAUCUAGACUUAGCUAUUUAAAUCAAUAGAAAGAGUCUGGAUAACAUAUUUCAUGAUAAACACUUAAAGAUUAAUUCAUCGUCUUGUGUUAAUGUAUGUAAUUCCAUAAAAGUUAAGAUGUUAAAAAAAUGGAUUGCCUACGUAAUAUUGUCUAAUUAGAAGUCUACUUCACACUAGGGUGUCUUAUAAAUAUAUGAGUGUAAUUUAUAAAAGAGUUUCAGUAUUAUAAAAAGUGAUUUAAUCACUAAUUAUAUGUCAAGGAGCAUGAUAUGAAAUAGUUGAUUAAAAGCAAUUGAUUACAAAUCAGUGUCAUCGGCUAUAAGGCUUCCUUAUGGUUAGUUAACAUUACAUUAUUCAUGAUACAACUUAAUUAUACUAUAGAUUAAAAUUGUCUAUCCUUAGCUACAGUAAAUAUGCUAAGGAUUUGGCAAAAAUGAUCCUCCAUCUAUAUGGGUAUUUAUAAUUCUGGAUCAUUUCUUUUAAGAGGUUAUAAUUUGCUAUUUUCUAUAUUUUGUGUAUACGUGUCGUUCUUUUUACUGAUCAAAGGUUUGAUCGUGUGCGUGUCAUGGACACGCGUUUUUUUCCUGUGUUUAUUAUCGAUCACCCUAUUCUUUUCAUCUGCCCACCGCCCUUACUUCCAACAUAUAUUCCACCGGCUUCCUCAUUCAUUUUUUCAUUAUCCCACCCCUUCAUUGACUAACUUCACCAACUGUGUUAUUCUUUCUUUAAAGAAGCUCAUCGGUUCCUUAUAUGUUUUUUUCAGGGCCUAUGUUUGUUGGAAUCCUUACGCUUGCUGACGUCUUUUGUGAUUAAGGGAUAAUUUUGUUCCUGGUUGCAUAUUUGAGUCUCAGGCACUCACUUCCUUUCUCUUUCUCUGUUUUCUUUCUACUCAUGGCAUCUCUAAUGGCAUUCUAUUACCGUGUUUGUAGGUUUACGCUUCGAAUUGUGUGAUUUUGUAUUUUUCAUUUCCGCUUUCGCUCUUGAAGAUGAGUAGUAGAAAUCGAUUGGAUGGUGAUUACAAAUACCUCUUGUCAUAUCGAUUUGAUUGUAAGUAUCUCACCUCUAAUUUGUUUUCUUUUUUUGGACUUUGUUGUUUUUUCAAAUAACACUUCUUACCUUCUAAAGCUCGGUUUCAUACACUUCUAUCACUUUUCUGUUAUCAAAGCUUCUUGACUAUGGUAAAUAUGGAAAAUCCUGUGACAUGUAUGUUUAUGCCCACAAAGUGUUUGAGGAAAUGCCUUUUGUGUUUAGGUGCCUGAUUGUUAUUCUGUUGAGUGUAUAAUUUCACAAUAUUGCGUAAAUUUUUAUUAUUGAGGCUCAACUGUGUAACUUGAACUGUUUUAUUGUAGUCUUACGGUUCUCUCCGUUCGAGGCAACAUACGACACUCACAUUCCACUACGCUGAAGCAUGAGACUUUCCGAUUUGUUGGUCUUGCCAAGUAGAUUCAGAUAACAUUUUCUUUCCAUAUAUUCUUCUAAAAAGCAGUAAUUUAUGAAAUUCUCAUUCUACAAUCCAGAAAACUGUUAAAAAGGAGCUUGAAAAUCUCCAAAAAGAUUAAUACUUUUAUUGAUUUGGCUAUUACCAGUGCUUUUUCAAGGGAAAUUAAAACAAUCAAAGGGAAUUUUCUACAAAAUACGUAAAUAUGUUAAUAGCUGUGUGUUUUUUAUUUUUUUUUUUGAUAGCUAAUUAGCAUUGAAGUGGUAGAAUGAAUUGGUUAUUAUUUACCCAUAUACCAGAUUAUGUCAUCUCUCUAUAUGUUUGGAAUGUUUGUGGGUUUGAUAUGUUUGCUGCUACUGUCACACCACAGUUGAAAAAACAUAUUUCCCUGCUAAAGGGGUUGUGUAAUUGUGACCAUUUUACAGUUUUGAUUUCAAAAUUAUAUUAAAAAAUUUAAAUUGCAAUCAAACUCAUAACAUGUGCAUGUUUGACUGAUUGAGUUGUCCUACAUCUCAAAAAAUCAGGGAACAAUCGACGGUGUUGACAUUAAGCCAACUUCAAAUUCGUGGGUCACAGUAACUGGAGGUAAUUUUCUUUCUUGAAUGCUUUUGGUUCACCUGUCAAUUUUAGUAUUUAUUUGAAGUAUAAUUUGUGUUUUGUAAUGUAAUAAUAUACUCUCACACAGAAGUUUUUAAAGCAGUGCUAUAUAGGAAAAAAUUAUUAAACUUCUACAAAGGGCAUUAGCAAAGUUAUGGGAUAAAACUUUAAACGGCCUAAAACAUUAACAAACUGUGAAACAGGGAAGACAAAAUUCAAUGGUUUUUAAAGAUUUUUGUUUUUUGGUUGUCUACGUUAACGAUCCUGCUGUUAAAAUGUUAUGAUUAUGACUAUUUUGUCCUUCCUUUCAUUACUUUCUGAAGGUGGUAAAGAAAAGGGAUAUAAUCCAAGGGUAAAAUGGUCAAUUUACAAAUUUCACAGCUGUGAUGUUAAGUUAGAUGGCCUAGGGAUGAAACACAUUACCAAACAGUGACAUAUGAAAUUUUUGUACGACGUUAAAGUUUCAUAUCUAUAUUUCAAAAAAAAAAUUCAUUUGCAAUUUUCAUCUGUAGUUCCCUGUUUUUGACUAUUUAUUGCCUCUUUUAUAUUGUGAAAAUUAUGUUUGGGUUGUUGUUUAUGAGGUAAUUGGUAUUGAUGUCAAUACAUAACUUUCAAAAGUGUUAUCUGCCAUACAGGAGAAUUUGGGAAAACAAGCACAUAAGCAAGAAAAAAGAAGGGAAGGUCAUAAUGUAAAAAGAGAAGGUUAUGACGAUGAGAAUUUAAUUUUGCACCUUCAACUUUAGUCACUUUCAUCAUUUUUAAUGACUCAUAGUUUCUUGCCAUUCUCAGUCUAUUUUGAUUUUUAGAUAAACUUAUUUUAUUGAAAACUUUUUUGUAUUAUCAAGGAACAUCAUUCGAUAUCUCAACUGAAAAUUAUGAUAACAACAUUACUAGAUGAGGUUGUUUAUGAAUUUUUAGCUAUAUAUUUUGCUGCUAAAAAAAAGAUAAGAAUACCUUGACAUUCUGACCCUCGCGAAGCGAGGCUCACCCUCUAGUUAAUAUUAAACCAAGGUGAUUUGUAAUUUAUAAACUACGAUAGACUUAUCUAAUCAAUUAAUAUGACAUAAACUAAAUAUAGUUUAAUAUUAAUCAUGUUUAUCUUAGCCUAAACUAAAUAAAUAUAUACUUUUUGUUUAGGUAUUUGUUGAGUAAAAGAGCUACGAAUUCACGUUUUGAAGUGAUUUCACUACCGAACUAAAGGUGAGUCAAUAGACUUUUCAUAAACCCUAUAUAUAGUCGAAAACUACUUUCCGAAAAUGGCUCGAUUAGUCAAAUUAGAAUAUUAUUAAUUGUUGAUAUUAUGCCUAUAUGUGCAGUAUGAGAUAUGCCAUUGUUUUGCUUUCUGUGACAUUUACAUGCUUAGUAAAUUUGGUUUAUAUGUCUAUCUUGGUACUUGAUACGAUUAAUUGCAACUAUGAUAUGCUAUAUGAAAUGUUUGAUAUUUGACUAUGACCUUGUUGAGUAUCUUUUAGUAUAAACUAGGUUACAACCCGUGGAAACCAUGGGUAAAAAAUUUAAAAACAAAUUUAUAUUAUUAAUAAGAGUUAAGAUUGUCAAUCCUUUUGUAUUGAUUAUUUAAAAUUAAAAUUAAUACAAAUUUGUAAAAAAGUAUAUAAAUUUGAAUAUAUGUUAAAUAGAAACGCAAUCAAUCCAUCGAAAGUUAAAUAUGAAUAUAACUAAAAUGCAUCUUUGAAUAUGUGAAUGAUUUAUGAAGUGUGAGGGCAAAUCAUUAUUUUUUGUAAUGAGGGAGCAAUCAAGAAACACCAUGUGGCGUCUAUUAAAGUCUGAAAAUCAAAUAUCGAAACGAACUGAAUAUUAUGGAUUACAAUUACAAUGCUAUAUAAAGAAUAAAUUAUUUAAAAAAAAAAUGUUACAAAAAAUAGAAAAAAACACAAUUGUUAGAAGUUAAUGGGUACGAAGCAUUUAUAAAUUCCUAAAAACUUCCUUAUACACAACAUUUGAAGUUUUGUUUGUAAGUCUACCAUCCUUAUCUAAAAUUAACAAUUUCAAUCCUUCUCUACUUUGAACUCUAGAUAAGGCAACAUACUGUUGUCCAUCUGAAAAAAGGAUCCUUGAGAUACAGACCAACCUUUAAUAACGACUGGCCCUGACUUUUAUUAAUUGUCAUUGCAAAACAUACAGCCAAUGGAAAUUGUCUUCUUUGAAAUUUGAAUGGAAUUUUCUUUCCAGAUGGACUUAAAGACAUUCUUGGAAUAAAUGUUUGCUUUCCAAUAUUAGUUCCAGAUAUGAUAAUUGCCUCAAUAACACGUUUGCCCAGAGAUUUCACUUGUAGUCUAGUGUCGUUUCAUAAUCCAUUUUUCUGAUCAAUGUUUCUUAGUAACAUAACUGGAACACCGACUUUUAGAAUUAACUUGUGAUUUGGCAAACCUGAUACUUUAAGACCAUUUAAAAUAUCCUGGGAGUAUAAAUUGGGAUCAAACUGAUCAUGAACAAACUCUGAUUGGCAAAGAGUAUCUGAACUUAAAUAUUCUACUUCAUCUUCGGGAAACAAUGCUAGCAAACGAUCAUUGAUUUGUUGGACAACUUCAUUUUUUGGAGCUAGUAUAGCUCUUUCUUGAAAAUAACUCGUACCGUUGAAUUUUUCAAAGAUUGAAGGAUAUACAAACUCAAUUAAUGAACCUAUAGGAUCAUGUGGAUCAUUAAUGAGAAUAUCAUUCGGAACAUCAAUAAUCGAUUCACCAUCCUUCAAACCACCAACUUUUCCUUCUCCUAUGUCCAAAAGCCAGUUUGCAAAAUUAUGUAUUUUUUGAAUAUCAUAUGGAUCCUUUCCAACGGUUAGUCUCAUCUUUUUUGUUAAUCUAUGGACUUUGCAUUGUUGCCAUAUAUAUGAAGAGCUUAAAGAAGCAUUAACGAUAUUUUGUCUGCUACCUCCUUGAACAACAGGUAGAAUCUGUCUAAAGUUUCCUCCAAAAACAAUCGCUUUCCCUCCAAAUGGAAUAUUUGAGUUGGUAGACUUAUCAAACUUACAUACAUCUCUCAGAGCUCGAUCUAAAGCUUCAAAUGCAUGUUUGCGGACCAUAGGUGCUUCAUCCCAGAUAAUCGAUGAGCUUUUUCUUACUAAUCUGCUGAGUUCACUAUCAGGCGGUAUCUUACAAACAGAAUACUCCGUAAGAUUCAACGGAAUUAUAAACCGAGAGUGUGCUGUCCUACCUCCAGGCAAUAAUAAAUAUGCAGUACCACUUGAAGCAACAUUUAAAACUAUAUCACCAUUACAUCUAAUUGCUGCAGAUAACGUCUUCCAAAGAAAGGUUUUGCCUGUUCCACCAUAUCCAUAAACAAAAAACACACCUCCUUUAUUAUCAUUGACUAUAGUCAUGAUAUCAAGAAAAAUAUUGCUUUGCUCGUUUGUUAAUGCAUGAAACAUACUAUCAAACUCUUUCUUUAAAAGCGGUAUGUCAUACUCUAGCUCCUCCAUGAUAAAUCGAUUUGUUGAAGAAGAAACUGUAUCGAAAUCAGGGUAAGGCCUUUGUUUAUAAUUUUUAAGACUGGUGUUGUUAUGAAGUAAAAUCUGUUCGAUCUCGAACAAAGUCAGGUUUUUGAGUUGAUCCUUAUUGAGUGAUAAACCUGUAUAAAAUGAACAAUAUGUCAAAAAGAAUAUAAUAUUAAACAGUUUAAUGGUAAUAAAAAAAUUAUACCGUGCAUAUUGAUAAUAUAUAGUAUCCGUUUUUACAAAUACUGAUAGGAAAUUAUAAUACCUGGAGACUUUAAUCUACGCUGUUGGUUGUAAAGAAUACCAUCCGACAAGUGUUGCCAUGUAUUUUCCCAAACAAACUCUGGUCUACCCAAACUGUUAGACAUUAACAUCGUAGCAAAUAAGAAACGAAGAUAAAAACCAGUUCCUGAAUGACUUGCUUCCUUAAUUGCAUCAACGUAUUCUUUGUCAUCAUCUAAGAGGCCCAAAGCAUAGCAUGCAUCUCGAAAAGUAGGAAAUUCUUCACCGUUUACCGUGCGAAUUUCUUCAAAUGAUUUUGGACCUUUCACUUUAUUUAAAAGAAUCCGUAAGAAGUAGACUUCGCCAAGUUUAGGUGAAACAGAGUGAAUCCUUCCUAUUGAACGUCCAAUUUUCCUUGGCUUCCACAACUUAUCAUCAGGUUUCCAAACAAACUUUGUAGGAAAUUCAACAUAUGUAAGUUUUCGUGCAUCUUUAUUAAUUUUAUUACAUUCCAUCCAAGAUGUGAACAUAGAAGCAGCAACUGAAGGUUGUUCAAGAACAUCGUCAAUAUCAUCGUCUGCAGCAUAUAUGACUUGUUGUUGAUCAGGAAGAUAAAAAGGUAGUCGCAUCACAGAAGGAUAUCGGUAAUGGACAUCGUAUUUAAAUAUUCGCCAUGAUGCUUCACAUGCAGAUAUAUAUCUACAAUCAUAAUAAUCUUUUAUUUCAUCGACAACCUUUUCGUGAUUAGAAUCAGCGUUGAUGUCAUCAACAAUUAUAGCUCUAUCUGGACCUUUGUUUAUAUAUUUAAACAUAUACUUUAUGGAAGAUCCCUGAUUGCACCAUUCAACAUUAAUGUGUGCCUGAUAUCUUUUCAACAUAUAUUUGUUAUAUGGAACAACAUUUCUGUUGUCUAACUUGACACCUGAUUUUUCGACAAAAUAUCCAUUGUUUCUUCUCAUAUAUAAGGGAUAACCGUUGACAUCAACCGAAGAAUGAUCACAUAAUUGCUUUGGAAAAUUUUUCGAACAUUGCUUGUCAACCAUGCAUGGACAAUUCAUAUUUUCCAGCUCCAUAAGGACCAUGUAUCAUGAAUUCACUUACAAGUGAAUACAAUUCUGGAUCUUCAUUGAUAUUUGGAAUCUCAGCAGAAAUAAUCGGAUCAAUAUAUUCAACAGUAGGCCGCUUGGAGUCGGCAUGCAUAAACAAACAAAUAUGACUAUGUGGCAAACCUCUUUUUUGAAAUUCAAUUGUAUAGACCACUGCAAAUUAAUUUUAUAAAUAAGAUAAUCUUUGUACUGGAUGAAAUAUAUUUGCAAAUAACAAAAAAUAUUAAGAAACUAAAUAAUCAUUAUAAAAAAAUAUUAGAAAUAAAUACAACUUUUAAUACCUCCUUGUACAAUGUCGAAAAUUUUAUUUUCCCGUAUGUCUUUAAUCAAAGCAUCGAGAUUUAUUUUGAAUAACCUACAUAAGAUAUCAGGUCAAUCUUCUGGAUGUAGUGAAGUGUUAUGAAGAAACCUUUUAACUUUAGGCCAUUUUGGAUUACAUGUAAAGGUUAUGAAGAAAUCAUGAUAUCCAAUCCAUUUACAUAAGGACAUGGCAUCAAGGUAGUUUUACAUCAUAUAACGUGCACCACCAGUGAAUGAAGAAGGUAAGAUUACACGUUGUCCAACAUUGGAUAUAUCUUUAUUCCCUAGGUCUUGUUGAUUACGUAAAUUUUCAUAAGACUCACAUCUAAGAAUUUGUUGUUUGCUCCUUAUGAAAUGUAAUCUCUCACUUUCAAUCAUAGUAUAAGCAUCAACCAAAAACUGUUGGAACAACCUUUUUGAAUUAAUAAUUAGUGAAAAAUAUUGAUCCCUGUCUUGUAUUCUAUAAGAAAAAAAUUCUCUCAUUGUACAGUUGGGCCUCUUGCUGUUGCUUAUUGGUGUAAUACCUCGAUGUGGUAUGUCAACCCUAUAACCAUCAUCACCAUAUGGAAACAGUAGUGGAUUCUGAAAGAGGAAGGUAUGAUGGAUGUAAUUUACUAAUACGCCGUAGAGAACCUGAUGAAGUUUGAACAACAAUAUAUCUUUUAUCAAUUGAAUCACCAAUAUCUCAAAUAAUUAAAGCGGCAACCUCAGAAGCAGAUGGUAGGUUGUAUAUCCUUCCAUCUUGGUCCCUGAUUCCAAUAAGUCUCAACUUGAUAUCAACAUGAGGUUUUUGAUGAAAACAAUCCCUAACCAUUCUAUAAGACUGAACCAAGACAUUAUUUGAAUCCAACAUCAACUUCAAAUCUUGUAUAAUAUCAUUAUCAAGGACAGAAGAAUUUGAUGUAGAUCGUUGAUUCUCUCCACUACAAGUAACAUGAACAUAUAAACAUAAGAUAAAUAAAUAAUAUAAUGUUGAUGAAUAAGAUAUCUAUUAAUGUGAUAAUUGUGAAAAGUGUACCCAAAACAUGUUCGUCUAUUCGCGAUCUCAUUAUCAGUAUCGUAUAUGUACAACUGAGAGAAUUUUGGUUUUAACCCCUGUUCCGGUAAAAGGCUUCCGAUACUAUGAUAAUUUUGACCGCUAAGUCUAAAAAUGUAUGGAGCAUUUCCUCUAUUGAUUGAGGAAUCAAUCUUUCCACCCAUUGACGUAAAAGAAAACAUAGAAUUGUAAGAACGAAUGUUCUUCAUGAAGUGUUUGCUUUUAGAAUCUCCCGAUGUAAAAAGAUGAACAUAACUUGAAGGUGAAUUCUUUAAAGCUGGUAGUUCUACUUUGCCAUAACCACAACAUAAACAAUAAUUUUGAUUCGACUUUUUUUUUUUUACAUCUGAUAGAUUCAUCUUUCCAUAAUUUUGCAAAACAUGUUUGGUAUACAACAAUCUGAUCACCAUGAUCCAAAUAAUCUGUCAAUUAAGGUUGACAUAAAAAUGUUAAUCAUGUAAGUUUAUAUAAGUGAAAAAUAUUGAAUGAACAAAUGUAAAUAUUAUAUUUUUAUCAAAAUUACCUUUUGAUAUACCGUUGUAUAUGUUUUGAUCAUUUUGGCCAUCGAUUUUGUCUUGAUCGGAUCUCAGACCAAAUAUUGGAAUAGGAGUUAAAUUUGGCAUUUUUUUCUUUGCUUUAUUAUUUGGAUUAGUUAACAUGACUGAAGACGAUUUUGAUGUUAUUGUAGAUGAUUUGUCGGAUGUGUCGCCAUUUGAAAAUACAGAGAAUUGUCUAAUAUUUGUUAACGGCGAUUGACAACUAUUAUUGAAAAUAUCCAUGGCUGGGGGAAAAAUUGAAAGUAUGCAUUGUUAAAUAUGAUACAAUAAUAAUAUAUAUUAUAAAAUAAAAUGGUAAAAUAAAUGAGUUACCGUUGGAAAUGUUAGAUAACGGAGUUCUAACAUUUAAAUGUGAAGGAGGAGUUUGUAACAUUGCUUGUUUUGUUAUAUAUGCACUUGUUUUAGAUCAGAAUGUGCUUUUAUUUCGAUGUACAACUCCUUUGAAUUCAUAUACAAAAAAAUGGUUAUGAGAAAUGUAAAAUUGUUUAAUAAUUAUUUUAAUAUUAUAUAAAUAUGAAUAUUGAUAAAGAGAUUAUAUAAAAAGACGAUGAUGUAAUAAAUUUUAUUACAUAUAUUUAAAAAAAACUUAAAAAGUUUAAAAGCAAUCAAGUAUGUUACCGUUUGAAUCCAAUCUGAUGUUUGGUAACGGUGUCUGAAAACUGUUAUUUGGAAUAUCGAUGACUGAGAAAAGAAGAUUGAAAUGUACAUUAUCAAAUAUGAUACAAUAACAACAUAUAUUAUAAAGUAAUAUGGAAAAAUAUAUGAAUUACCAUUGGAAAUGUUAGAUAACGGAGUUCUAACAUUUAAAUGUGAAGGAGGAGUACGUAACAUUGGUUGUUUUGACAUAUUUGUUGUUGAUGUAGAUGUGGAUACGCUUUUAUUUCGAUGGACAACUCCUUUGAAUUUGAUUGGAAAAAAAAUCUUAUAAGAAAUGGAUAAAUUUUAAAUAAUCUUGUAAAUUUUUAAAUAGUAUAUGAAUAUUAAUAAUGAUAAAUAGAUUAUAUAAAAAAAUGUGGAUGACAGAAUUUUUAUUUUACAAAUUUAAAAUAGAAAAAAAAAGUGUAUAAGCAAUCAAGUAUGUUACCGUUUGAAUCCAAUCUGAUGUUUGGUAACGGUGAUUGAAAACUGUUAUUGGAAAUAUCCAUGACCGGGAAAAGAAGAUUGAAGGUAUACAUUAUUAAAUAUGAUAAAAUAAUAAUAUAUAUUAUAAAAUAAAAUGGUAAGAUAAAUGAGUUACCAUUUGAAAUGUUAGAUAACGAAGUUCUAACAUUUAGACGUGAAGGAGAAGUUUGGAAAUUUGAUUUUUUUGACACAUUGGCACUUGAUGUAGAUGCGGAUAGGUUUUUAUUUCAAUGCACAAUUCCUUUGAAUUUGUCUGCAAAUAAAAAAAUUGUUAUAACAAAUGGAUAAAUUUUAAAUAAUAAUGUAAUUUUUCAAAUAUUCUAUGAAUAUUAAUAUACAAAAUACAUGACACAAAAAAUGAGCAUGUAAGAAUUUUCAUUUUACAUAUUUAAAUAAAGAAUAAAGAAUAAAAGUGUAUAACCAAUUAAGUAAAUUACCAUUUCCCUUCAUUUUAAAAAGAUGUGAUGUUGAUGAAGUUGUAUGAAUUCAUUCGGUCAUAACUUUUUUUUUAUUGUCCAAGUAUAAUUUUCUUAUUUUUCUUUUUUCUGUAGCCUGAACAUGAUAGAUGUUCCUAUUUGAAUCUGUAUAAGCAUAUAUACACACAUAAAAUAGUUAUAUUCAGAUUAAAAACAUUGAUAAAGAAAGUUGUAAAAUAUAUAAUGAACGUACUGUUAUCACCUGGGUUAGUAACAUUUGUAGAAGAUGGAAUUCGACCGACUGAUGUAGUGUACAAAGGUAAUUGUUUUGUAUUAUCCAGAUAGAAAUUAUUUAAUUUUAUCUUCUUAUUAGUCUUAAAAGAGUCCAUGUUAGUAGCUGCUAUCUGAAAUGGAAAAAGAAAUAUAACUUUAUACAAAAACAUUAUAUAUUGAAAAUUAUUUUCAAAUUUAAGAAUAAAUAAAUAAAUAUUUCAAAUUUAAAAUAGUAUGCAAUAAACCCAAAGAAAAGAAAGUAUUAUGUAUUAUUGAUGUGCACAAAAGUACCCACUAAUUUUAAUAUUUAUAACCUAACAAACUUAGAAUAACUAUGCACUUAUAGGCAGUGUACCUAGUCAGAUUACAAUAUAGCUUAGGUAAGUCGGGUGUCGAUCACAGGGAACGGUGGUGAAUUAAUUUAAUAUAUUUGAUUAUAGGUUACAGGUCACAUGAAAAGAAUAAAGAAAUAGUUUAAUAAAUCUCAAACUAACAAUUAAUUAACAACUUUGGAUAAACUAACUGGAAAGCAAAUCUCUUCAGGUACUUUGGUUUAGAUAAAUUACACCUUAAAAAACAUAGACAAUUGUAUACACAAGUUCAUUUAUUCAUGUUCACCGAUUCCUAAAAUGAUUAGAUUCGCGUUCACUAUAACUAAUCCUUUAGCAAACAAGUCAAUUCAAACAGUGAUCAGUUGAUUAAACUAACAUGCUUCCUAGUGUUCAGUUCGUAUCAAGCAAGACUUGUAAAUAUAGUUAAUCAAAUUACUAAUUCAAUUUAACCUCUUGUUGAUGGUCAUCAAACAAGGCUCACACAUUAACUUACUUAUUCCCAAGUUAAUCCUAGUUUCACAUUCGUUAUUCCUAGACUUAUAAUCUCGAUGGUCAUCAAAAUCAUAAGAGACAAGCAAUCAAACAGAUGUUCAUAUAACUCAAUUUACUUAACAAUUAACAUCAAAUAAUUAUCAUUAAUACGUAAGGAUCUUUUAACAAGCUUGGCAAGAUAAAUUAAACAUAAACAAACAAUUCAAUAUAGCAAUUAGUCUAAUAAUCAAGGUUUCAUUCAAUCAUAAACACAAAGUAAAAGGUUUUUACACCCAAAUCAGAAACUAAAUACAGAAUAGUAACACAAUGGAAUGCUAAACAUGGUCACGUUAACAACCCAUAUGAUUACCGACAUGUAUCCACUCUCCAACCCUUCCGAUCUUCACUCCUGUUAGCUUAACGGCCUUCCGGCCGCCUUCUAGACCCUCAAAACGGCUUAACAGAAGUUUAAUAUCGACUAAAUUAGGUUGGAAGUCGAAUCCCCCCUUCUGGUUAGCUGAUAAUCGACUUUUAUAACCUUUGUAACCGACUUACGUACGCUGGGCGUACUAAGGGUUUAUACGCGAUUGGAGUUAUCCGAUGCCAGCCGUUACGUGGGGCAUACACAAGAAUUACGCUGGGCGUAACUCGUCUUAGCCAUUACGCUUGGCGUACAAGUAAAUUACGCGGGGUGUAAUCGUUCCUCCAGCAUUUUCCUUUCUUUUAGCCUCUAAGCCUGAUUUCCGCUUCAGUCUUUUCUUUUGUGCUUUAUCGACAACGAAUAGCUGCAAAUCAUAAUUUAAAGCAUUAUGAGUACUUUUUAGUUCUAAAAGAGAAUAAUAAAGGCCAAAAUAUUAAGAUAUAAUGCAUAAAAAUAUAUAUAAAAAUACACAUAUCCAAAUACCCCACACUUAGUCUUUGCUUGCCCCCAAGCAAAUUUUAAUUUUAUUUUACCAUUAUCGCAUUAAACAAUCCAUUUAAAACUCAACCAUUAUGCCAAGACCUCAACGCAUGCAUUUGUGUCUAAAAUUUUCCUAAAAUACCCCCCUACUUUAAAUACUCACAAUCUUCAUAAACACUUGCCCACUUUUUACGAACAAUGCUCAUUUUAUGCAACCCUCCGAAUCCAUCCGCAGAAAACCUCCUUAUCCUCAAGGUAUUUUCCUUGAUAAUUUGAUCUUUGAUUUCUUUGAAUUCACCAUCUUAUUUGAAUUGAUUUCUGGUAUCUUCAACUUUUUUGAAUUUCUUGGAAUUUUGAUCUAAUUCUUCACUUUAUUCGCUCCAAAAUUCUUCAAACUUUUCUUGCAAUUCUUUUUUUUUUUCUUUUAACAUGUACCUCACUUUUUUCACUCAAAACCUACAAGCUUAAGCAGAGGCGCUCAACCUCAACCUUUAUCGGUUAACGAUAAUAAUUUUCCUGGAUACAUUUCAGGUUUAGGCUGCUAAACAUAUUGCAUCCCUCAAACCAAGCGGGGUUAUGUUUUUGUUCCAUGAUUUCACUAAAAUAAGGGAGGCCACAAAUGCACUAUAACGUAUAUUGGCUCAACUAAACAUUUGAGUUCUCAUCGGAUCAUCUCAUACAAUAUUAGCAAAAUUUAAAUUAUCACUAGAUUUUUCUAAAUUAAACUAUUAUUUCAAGUUUUAAAAUUUUUAAAUUUCCUAAAUCUAGCAAUUUCCUAACUAUUAUUUUAUUUUUAUAAUUUACUAUUACCGACCCCCUACCCCACACUUAUUUCAUACAAUGCCCUCAUUGUAUGCUAAAACGAAUUAAGAACAUAAAAAGGGAGAAAAAGGAACAGACUCCCCUGGGUAGUUGUGGCGAGAUCGAAUGGGGCUGCUACAAGUUGCUCCAAAUAUCGCUGAAAGACUGAAAACUGAACUGCUGCUUCUGAAUUUGUCGAAAAAUAAAAUCAAGACUGCCGACUUCAAAAAAUGUGGUGCACAAUAUUGCAAGUAAAUGCAAUGUGUAGUAACCAUGACGUGGGAAAGUGUUGACCACAUCAUGUCUUCAAAAAUGACAUCCUCUUCUCGCGAUGAAAAAUCCUCCACAGCAUAGGAAAGUGUCAGCCAUGUCGUGGCAGCCGGGAUGAUACGUCUUCCUCGCGUCAAAAUAGAACUCUAUGGUGUGGGAACAGCUCAUCAUACCAUAAAAGGUAAAAUAUCGUAAAAAUGCCAAUCGUCUAAAUGAACGCUCACGAAAUCAAUAUGCACCCCACACUUAUGACAAAUUGUGGGUCUUGACUAUACUUUUCGAACUCUCACACGACUCUCUCUAGCAACAGUCGGACCUAGCUGCUAAACUUACUGCCAGCUUUCUAAGGGCGAAAAUUCUGCAGAGAUCUAAACAACCAAAGAGCAUCAACAUGGAAAACAAAAAUAGAACAUCCUAAAUUAAAGUUUAAUUACAUACCAAAUAAAAAACUAAAACUAGAAACACAAAAAUAAACUAAAAAUAACAUAAAAAUAAAAAGGAUAACUAAAUCACUCAUCAUCUCCAUCAUCAUGCUGCUGUGUCCCAGAAGUACCGGCCCCAUCAUGUCGUGGCCGGAAUGGUGGAGGGUAAGGAACCGAGUACUGAAACCCCUAGUGGGAAAAGAAUACGGUCAACGCAUCCCCAUACCACUAUUGUUGCCUGUCCACAUGUGCAACAUACUCACUAAGGUUCUGAACCCUCAUGUCAAGACAGUCAAUGCCCUGAGCUAGGUAGCGCAUAUCAAUCUUCGGCUCAGGUCCCUGUUGCGCUCCCCGAGGAGCAGGUCUACGCUGCUGGACCCGUCUCGGCUGUGGCUCGGCAGCACCCUCCUCGUCCGCCACAUCAUCUGCUCGUACNNNNNNNNNNNNNNNNNNNNNNNNNNNNNNNNNNNNNNNNNNNNNNNNNNNNNNNNNNNNNNNNNNNNNNNNNNNNNNNUGAUCUCUCGUUAACAACUGAUAUGAUCGGGCUAGUCGCGUGAUAAAAUGCCCUCUGCACAUCGGGCUAUCCUCCCGAAGUCCCCUGGCCCUCUGUCCCAAAUAUGCAGCUAAAGCAACUGGAAGGUUCAGGUGCCUCCCUGGAGUAACAAGUGCCCAUAGGAAAUACAAGUCUAUCGAAGGCACUCUCUCACUAUUCUUAUGAUGCGUGAGAGUCAUGGAAAUCAACCGGUGCAACAGUCUAUAUGUAGUAGACCGAAUCAUCCUACCCCGUGCAGUAGAUGGCGUAUAAACUCCCCCUGUAAUCUCAGCCCAAAAAGUGUGCUCAUUAUAUUCAUCUGGCCGCUCCGUGAGACAAUCAGCAAGGAAUGUCGGGAAGUGGACACUCCUCGUCUCAUCUGCUGUGUAUAUACCCACUCAAGUCGCAAGCUCUAUGACACUGCACUCCCGACUCACACCCCCCAGUCUAAAGGCAAAAGUUGUCCUAUCAUCGGGUGCCUUCCUAGGAUCAUAGGAAACUGUAGCGUAAAACUCCAACAAAAAUUCCCGAUAAACAGGCUCCUGGAUCCUGAACAAUCGUGCCCACCCCUGCCAUACGAACAAUUCCACUCCAAUCGCGUCCGAGUGCGUGUAUUGCAAAAAAAUCCUGGAUCAGUGUAGCAAGUCCAGUCCAGGUCGCCAAUUCCCAGUCGAAUGAUGGUGCUAUGUCGAUCUCCUUGGUGAGCAGCAAACUCAAACUGUUGACAUAUCGUGCCCGGGUUGCAUCGUUCAGAGUUUGCGGAAAUUGUAAGAAACGNUCAGAGUUUGGGAAAUUGUAAGAAACGGUGAUCGGUCACAUCCUCGGGUGGGUUGGUCCUUUGAGUUCUUCGGGCCAUAAUCUGCACACAUAAACACAAAACCAAACAAAAUAUAACAGCAUUAAAAAAAUUUUAAACCAAAAAAAAAUGGUGCUGGAUAUGGACUGUACGCUGGGCGUACGUCCAGGUUCCACGAAUAUGUGUUCUGCUUCCUUUUCUUGUGCUAAAGUUAUAACCCAUAUCAAAAAAUUUCAAAUUAACCAACUGCAAGCAAUAAACACAGCAGGGCAAACACAUGGGGCAUAUCGAGCUUCGUGGUCCAAGACAGUAGAAAAACGGGACCACUCUAAAAAAUAUGAACCAUUCUCCUGUUCGUUCCUUAUCUUAUCAAGAUUAGAAAGCACUACAAAAGAAAAACUUCAUUGGGGCAGUCAAGAAUCGAAGUCAACAGGGUUACGCUUAGCGUCCGUCCCCGAGCUCAAAAUGAUGGGUCUAUCACGGGAUUAAGACCAAAUUAGGUACUAGGGUUUAGUCCAUUGAUGGAAAUCGGUCUUUUUAAGUCCUAAUCAAAACAUACAAUUAUGAAAUCGGCCCUAAUUCAAGAACCCUAUAAACCCUAGAUUUCGAACAAAGGCAUUUUGCAGCUUAUUCCAUCGAUUUAAACACAAAUCCAAAACAUUGAGUAACCGAAAAACUUACCUGUGUGCUGAAUUUUACAAGAAAAGAAGCAAAAUUGAAAAUCCUUGGGAGAGCUUGCCGUCACAGUUCGUGUGUGCGAAGGAAAGGAUUUUGAAAAAGUAACAAAAAAGUCAAGGGUCAAAAGAUAUAACCUGGUCACCGAUUUACGCUGGGCGUAAAACAAGGUUACGCUGGGCGUAACUCCAACUCCAUGAAAAGUCCAUCCGCGAUCCGGGGUUUAUUACGCUUGGCGUAAUUAAAAUUACGCUGGGCGUAAUGAAGUAUUCCUUUUCUUUAACUGAAAUUUCUUUUCUUUUAACUAUUUAAUUAAGGGACUAAAAACUUAAUUAUUUUUCUUUUUAAUUUCUUCAGCAACUGAUGACUUUCCGAUGAGUAAAAAAAAUGAGACGUCAUAAUCACUUAUCUUUGUCAAGAUCAAACAACAAUGGUUGAUUAAAAACCUUUGCACGCAAGAAUUGGUUUGCGAAAACACCCACUUUCGGGACCCGUUAGAAUAUUUCCUUUGUUUUCUUUGCACCUUUAACUAAAAGCGGAACAAGAAGUGACCUAACUAGUCAAGAACAGCAAGAGUUCGGUCUUCCACUUAACCACCACAAUACGCCUUACUAUACUACGCCUCAUGGAUUGAGUUGGACAAAUCAACAAAGUAGUAAGCCAACCAGGUCAAGAAUUUCCUAAUCGCUUGGAUUCUCGAAACCCAUGCAAAAAGUAAAGUCAAGCAAUGUGUACAAUCCCAAAUUCCUGCAAUUAACAACAAGAACCUUCCCGACAAGUGAAAUGAUAUCAACGAAAACCAAACUAAAAAUAAAAACUAACUAAAAACAAAUAACGAAUAAUCAAAAAAACUAAAUUAAUGACAAGCUGUUCCCGGCAACAGCGCCAAAAACUUGAUGUGCACAAAAGUACCCACUAAUUUUAAUAUUUAUAACCUAACAAACUUAGACUAUCUAUGCACUUAUAGGCAGUGUACCUAGUCAGAUUACAGUAUAGCUUAGGUAAGUCGGGUGUCGAUCACAGGGAACGGUGGUGAAUUAAUUUAAAAUAUUUGAUUAUAGGUUACAGGUCACAUGAAAAGAAUAAAGAAAUAGUUUAAUAAAUCUCAAACUAACAAUUAAUUAACAACUUUCGAUAAACUAACAGGAAAGAAAAUCUCUUCAGGUACUUUGGUUUAGAUAAAUUACGCCUUAAAAAACAUAGACAAUUGUAUACACAACUUCAUUUAUUCAUGUUCACCGAUUCCUAAAAUGAUUAGAUUCGUGUUCACUAUAACUAAUCCUUUAGCAAACAAGUCAAUUCAAACAGUGAUCAGUUGAUUAAACUAACAUGCUUCCUAGUGUUCAGUUCGUAUCAAGCAAGACUUGUAAAUAUAGUUAAUCAAAUUACUAAUUCAAUUUAACCUCUUGUUGAUGGUCAUCAAACAAGGCUCACACAUUAACUUACUUAUUCCCAAGUUAAUCCUAGUUUUACAUUCGUUAAUCCUAGACUUCUAAUCUCGAUGGUCAUCAAAAUCAUAAGCGACAAGCAAUCAAGCAGAUGUUCAUACAACUCAAUUUACUUAAUAAUUAACAGCAAAUAAUUAUCAUUAAUACGUAAGGAUCUUUUAACAAGCUUGGCAAGAUAAAUUAAACAUAAACAAACAAUUCAAUAUAGCAAUUAGUCUAAUAAUCAAGGUUUCAUUCAAUCAUAAACGCAAAGUAAAAGGUUUUUACACCCAAAUCAGAAACUAAAUACAGAAUAGUAACACAAUGGAAUGCUAAACAUGGUCACGUUAACAACCCAUAUGAUUACCGACAUGUAUCCGCUCUCCAACCCUUCCGAUCUUCGCUCCCGUUAGCUUAACGGCCUUCCGACCACCUUCUAGACCCUCAAAACGGCUUAAAAGAAGUUUAAUAUCGACUAAAUUAGGUUGGAAGUCGAAUCCCCCCUUCUGGUUAGCUGAUAAUCGACUUUUAUAACCUUUGUAACUGACUUACGUAUGCUGGGCGUAAGUCGGAUUACGCUGGGCGUACUAAGGAUUUAUACGCGAUUGGAGUUAUCCGAUGCCAGCCAUUACGCGGGGCGUACACAAGAAUUACGCUGGGCGUAACUCGUCUUAGCCAUUACGCUUGGCGUACAAGUAAAUUACGUGGGGCAUAAUCGUUCCUCCAACAUUUUCCUUUCUUUUAGCCUCUAAGCCCGAUUUCUGCUUCAGUCUUUUCUUUUGUGCUUUAUCGACAACGAAUAGCUGCAAAUCAUAAUUUAAAGCAUUGUGAGUACUUUUUCGUUCUAAAAGAGAAUAAUAAAGGCCAAAAUAUUAAGAUAUAAUGCAUAAAAAUAUAUAUAAAAAUACACAUAUCAAUUAUGUAUUAUCAAUAUUAAUUUUUCUUCAAAAUAAGUUGAAUAUAUCAAGAUAAAAAGUAUAUUCAAACUAAGAAAAUAAACCAGAAACACACAUACAAUAUUUUUGAACAACAAAAGCAUAAAAGUACAUACAAAAAAUAUAAAGACAAAGAAUUUACCAUUAUGUCCCUAGAGUACUAAUAAUGAGAAGAACAAAGAGAAACUGAAAUAUAAAUUUAUAUAGUUGCACUCAUGAAUGACUAAAAUAACACGAAAUGUAUUAAUUGUCAAUGUGGUUGAGCGCAAAUUACCAUUAUGUCCCUGGAGUACUAAUAAUAAAAACAAAAAUUAUAAAAUCCUUAAAAUAGUUCUAUAGAUGGUAUACUGGUAAUUAAAACAAUCAGUUUUUCCACAUGCCUCUUAAAAAAUCAUUUACAACCAUAAAUAAGUUUACCAAUAUACCCGUAACACAUUAAUUUUGUAUAUGUAAUAUGUAAGAUAUGAGAUAUAUGUGGCGAGGGCAUUUUCGUCCUUUAAACAUACUUAUAACAAUUAACAAACCUCAUGAUACAUUAUAACAGUGGAUAAUGGAUCGACAUACAUAUAUACUUUUCCUUUUAAUGAAGAGGCGUGAAAUAUGCAAUUGACAGAAAUGCCCCUUCUACAAGACACACCUAUUUAAAUUGCAUAAAACCACACCGCUUAACCUAUUUAUUCAUAUUUGAUGUUAGAGUUCUAUAAUUACCAAGGUGUUUUUAUCUUUUACUUAAUAGAAAUAUGUCUCGAUCAAGUAAGUUCAGGUAUAUGUUUUUUUUAUCUAAUGCAAAUAUAAUGACAUAAUAAGUAAAAUAAGAGAAAAACUACAAAAUAUUGGGUAAAAUUAAAAAACGAGCCACACCCUUUAAACAAACCAUCAUUGGGUUAUCAAAAUCAGUAACAUGAAUGUAGUCACUAUAAAUUAUAUGCAAAUAGGUAUACAUGAGAAAUAGCUAAAAUGAAAAAUGAUAACUACCUCCACCUUAUAGUUUAUAAAAAAUAAGGCAAACACCUUAACUACAUGCAUAGAUACUCUACUCCCAAUACUAAAGAAAUUAGUCUACAAAUGGCUUUAGUUAAUAUGUUUUUGGUUUAAACCGGUUCAGAUCAAUGACAAAAAAAUAUAAUUAUAGUAAAACAUGACAGAAAUGCCCCUUAAUUCAAAAUGGGACCAAUCAAUCAAGUAAUACAAAAUACAAUCACGUAAUACCUAAGCAGAGAAAAUAUAACACAAAAAACAGAAAAAAAAUUUAUUUCUAUAAAACAUGACAGAAAUACCCCCGAACUAAAAAAAUAAAAAUAAUCAAAAUUACAUUUCUAUUCGUAUGAGUUUGACGGUACUUUUAGGUUUCUUUGUGUAAUCCGUCAAUGAAUCUGGCCUAUGAGUUUGACGGUACUUUUAGGUUUCUUUGUGUAAUCCGUCAAUGAAUCUGGCCUAUAAACAUGACCUGAACCAAUUUUUUUACUUGGUGAACCAAUUUAAUAGAAAAAAAAAUUUGUUCUAAUUACCAUUCUACCAUUUGUAACUUGGGAAUGAUUAAUUAACAUACAAAGGUGAAUUUUCUCUACCUGCUGCCUUACGUUCAAAAUGACAAAAUUGUAUUGGUAAACAUGAACCAAAAUGGACAAAGGUUUCAAUUUUGGACAAACACAGUAAAAAUAUGAACCAAAACAAUAAACAUUGAUAUAAUUUUGCGAUGGUAUUAUCUCCAAAAGAAUAAAAAAUUUCAAUUUUGCGAUGAUAUAGUUUCAAUUUUGCGAAGAAGCAACGUAAGCAGUAAACCAGAUUGCGGUGAGAGAGAGAGAGAGAGGGCCUGCCGCCUGCGAUUGGUAAUUUGUGAUGGUAUCUCUCGACCGAGAAAGGGGAGCGAUUGAUGAACAGAACCAUAUUAAGAGGAAUUAUGAUUGUCAAAUAAGUUUUUGAUCGUUCUUUUGAUCGUUGUUAUUUAGGACAAUAUCUCAUAGUGAAAUACGAAUAAGGUAUCAGUUAAAGUGUCACACACACGCAUACACAUUAAGAAGCAUAAAUAACUUUCAAUUUUGCGAUUAACACAGACAUUGAGAAGCAGGGGCUUACAUAUACACAAUGAGAAGCAGAAUUGAGAAGCAGAAACUUACCGAAGGAUUGAAGUCGUUGACACAGACUCCAAUAACUGAAGUGUCGAUGAUGCUUGAUUGUUGGAAGACAAUGCUGUAAAGAACCUUGGAAACACGAUGCUAUAAAUAAAUUAAGAAGCAGAAUUGAGAAGAAGAAACUGAAAUCGAGAUUGAAGUCUAAGAUUGAAUAUCCGAUAAAUAAUUAGUCCAUGAUUCAGAAACUUGAAAACAUAAUGCUGUAAAGAAAUAUUGAUUAUCAUAUUUUUGAAAUAUAUAUUGACAAUAAUAUGAUCAAAUCGACAUAAUAAUCAAAAUUAAAUGUAAUCGAUGUGAUUGAUAUGGAUACCAUAAUAACAUGCUCUUAAUCGGGUAAGAAAUGAUUUUGAGUUAAUGUGUACAACUGGUAGCAAAGAUAAAAAUCGGUAAUUAAAAUAGGGAGUUAUAUGGAUUCCAUAUUGGAUUCAAUAUUCAAUUUCAAAUUUCCAUAUUCCACAUCGAUUACUACGUGAAACAAUAAAAUAACAAAAACGGUAUUUUACAUUUGUAGAAUACUAAUUAAUUGCAGAAUACUGAUUUUUUGAAGUUUAUAAUUUCACUAUAAAAAACUGUAAUAACAUAACCAUUUUUAUUUUUCUGAUUUAUUUGAAGUAAUUUAGACUUAUAAUACCUGAAAUAGUGGUAUGUGUUUUAGAGUUUUGUACAAGAGCAUUGUGUUUUUUAAAAGUAUUUACAUAUCUACGGUACUUUUAAAUUUAUUUACUAAAAGAUUGUAAAAUUUUAAAAUUCAUGUGGACCUAUCCCUUUUAUACCAAAAAUAUAAGAAAUUAAUUAUGCGCCUCCCCACCGCUCAUUUUUCUCGCAUUUGUCGCUGGAAAAUGAUGGCCAACAAGAUAAUUUCAAAACAUUAUAAAAAGAUUUCUCUUUCGCUUGUUUGCUCGCUAGAAAAUGAAAACAAACAUAAACGGUCAUAAAUAAAAACAACCAAACACGAAUUAAAUAUAUUGACAGAUUUAGAUUCUUCCGGCUGCGAACUUGGUUUGCUCAUUGGAAUAUGAAUACAACCAAACAAUUUGGAAAUCGAAAAGGAAAUUGUUGGAAAUGCACCACGUUCAUAGAUCUUGUGCCAAAACAUUUCUCGUAUAUAUUUGUUUCAAACAUUGGUCGUUCAAUCAAUGUCAUAUAACUUGGAAAUUUGGAGGGGGGAGGGGUUGUUUAACAGAUGAUACCGAGGGUUAUGAAUGGGUUAGUCGGUGGCAAGGCGGAUGUAGAGGUUCAUCCGCAGUGUGGUUUGGGGAGAAUUUCAGCAGUGUUUUGGAGUUGACGAUGUCGGACGGUGAUCGUGUCAUAGGUGUAAACACUGCACAACACAACAUGUAGACUAGGUAUUACUGGCAAUGCUUGUUAUGAAAAAAAUAAAAAACCAGUAGACUUCAAUCGUUGAAGCAGGGAAAAUGUGGUUGUGGUAGGUUCAAUGGAUGUAUGCGCACUCAUGCACAGUAGGGGUUUGCAGCGGUGCUAAGGGUUGCCAAAUGGUUUUGCAAGUAAUGUGAGCAUCAAAAGACAAUUAACAUGAUUUCAUUUAUUUUAUUUAAGUACAAUUAAAUGGGAAAUAAUUUUAAAAGUACUAUAUUAUAGUAAAUAUUUUUCUUAACCGCUACCUUUUAGUAAAAAACUAUGUGUUUUAAACAGGUAUAACUGUAUAAAAAACCUAAGAGUUUGCAGAGGUUCAUGGGAUUACAUCUUAGUGGUAUGUGCUUUAAGGGUAAACACAUUUUUCUUCUUUUAGGCUAGAUUUAUUACAUCACAAGGAAUCCCGUGGCGAGGGCAUUUUCGUCCUUAGGAUAUAUAAAUUUUGUUUCCGGUACUGUUUUGUACUUUGUAGUGCUUAAGAAACGGGAAGAUAUGAUUAAGUUGUGAAUGAUCUGGAUCCAUAUCAAUGAUCCGGUACUAUUCUACCCUUUGUAAGAGAAAAACACAUAAAGUCACAAACUAUAUACCCCUGUUGUGAAAAUUACCAAUAUGUCACUAUAAAAAAAUGAGCAUUAUUUUGAACAGGUUGUUCUAAUUACCAUUCUACCCUUUGUAACUAGAGAAUGAUUAGUUAAUAUGUCAUGCAUUGUUUCCUCCUGUUGCGUGUUCAAUAUUAUAACAAUCAAUAAACAAUUUUAAUGGAAUUUAAAUGAUUGAAAUUGUAGAGAUGAACAAAAGAAUUGACAAAGGGCAAAAUUGACAUCUAAUGCAUUGUUUCUUCCUGUUGCGUGUUCAAUAUCAUGACAAAUCUCAUUUGACAGCUUCAUUACAAUUUUUGUUUCAUACAUUACCUCAAAUAAUAUACAAGCACAUUCCCAAGAAUGCAUUCACCGAUAUACCAUUUUAUUGUGAAAAUUACCAAUAUGUCCAUGUACAAAAAAUGAGUAUUAUUUUCAACAGGAUUUUAUUGAAUUUAUUCAUAUUUGAGACAUCUUUUUUAUAGAGCAAAUAUACUUAUAACACGAAAAUGAAAAGUAGAAUGGUAUAUUUUUUAAUUUUUUUGAAUUUUAUUGCAAAUAUAUUGGUAAAAAAAAUCUUUAAAAACAUAAUGGUUUCCUUCUUUUACACUAUCAAUAGACACACAUAUAUUAAAAGAAGAUUAAUCUAAUUACAGGCAUAACCCAAAAAGCAGUUUUUUACUUAAGAUAGAGAUUAGCAGCGUAAAGAAACCAAGAACUAUCAAUGUUUGAAUACUGAACACCACGAAGAGCAAAACUGUCAAACAAAAUCCCCAAAAAAAAUAAUUCAAGAAUAUUGUUGGUGCAUAAAAAGGACAAUCUAAAAUUACUUUUCAAGCUUUGGUAUUAAUAGACCUGUGUUUCCAUCCACCCUGGAAUUCAAGCGAGGUAUUUUUGUCGACGAAUUCACAUUAUCAUACUCAUCAAUAUCAAUGCUAUCUCCAACGUUUCGCUUUUUUACCAUUGUGGGCGAAUUAAACUUGAACGGACUUGUAGCUUCUAUUUGUCAUGCAUGGAAGGGGUCAAAUUAUCACUGGUUUGUUAUAUCGCGUCCUUAAAGCAAAAACCCGAAACAGCGUUAGUACGAUAAUAUUAACAAAUUAACAAAAAAAUAAUUUAUAAAAGGAAUUUAUAUAAAAUUAAAAAAUGUGGAUUUAUAUUAUAACCUUUAAUGACUUUGUUUCAUGAGAUGCUUCGUGAGAUGCGAUUUUGUAUCGUCAGCAUUUGUAGAAUUACCUCCCUGCUUCAAAAGUUUAAAUAUGUAUUAUCAUUUGUGGGAUUAAAUUUUUGUUCCAUCAAGAUUUACAAUUAAUUAGUGACGAUCAUUAAAUAAAAGUAUGCAUCAUAAUAAUUAAUUAAUUUUCAAAAAACAUAAAAAUAUAUGUAUAUAAAUACCUCAACAGCUAACUUUUUUUCCAAAACAUUGAUAAUGUUACUAUCAAGCGUAUAGCCAAGUAUCCCAAAACGAUUGUAGUUAUUGGAUACGUUAAAACUAUUAACAUCUAACACGAAUGCCAUCUUUUUAUGCACCAGACAGUUGAGGUCAUAAGGAUACAAUCUCGGAUCAUCACCAGCCUGGAAAGAAUGAGUUAUGUAAUAUUAUUAUGGUUAAAAGCACAUUAAUAUAGAUAAAAUCAAAUAGAUAAUAGAAUUUAAUAAAACAAAUAAUAUAUUUAUAGUAUGUCUGUUUGAUUUUCUCUAUGGGUUCACUUGCACGUUUUUUGACGAGUUUAUAAGCAUCUCUAUCAAACAUAGUGAGUGUGAUUGUUCCAGAUUCAUCUUGGACACGAAUAGGUAUUUUAUACCUACAAAAAAGUACGACAUAAAUAUCAUAUUAAAUAUUAAAUAUGUUUAAUGUGUAAUGUUUGUUAAUGUAUUUAAUUUGUGGGUGAACUAUUGUUAAAUUUUAAAAACCUUGGAACUGAAGAUAUCUCCUUUUUUUACACUUAGAAUUAUAACAUUCAACAACCACACUUGCAUCACCACUAUCUGGACCGCUGAAAACGUUUCUUGGUUCAACCUUCCUUCCACAUUUUGAACACGCAUCAUAAUACCAAUCAAUAUCUUGUCGGAUACCAUAAAUGGUACCAACAAUGAUAUAUUUCCCGACCUUAAAAAAUAUAAAAUACAAAAAGAAUCAUAAAAAAAAAUACAAUUAUAAUAUUAUAAUAAACGAAUAAUAGAUAACAAAAUCACAUUAAAAAAAACUAAAUUAUUCACAUACCUCUUGUGGUUCUAGCAAAUCGACAACAUUUUUAACGUUGUGAUUUGUCAAAAAGUCAUCAUAUUCAUUGCAUGAUUGAGAGCUAUCAACGGUCAAAGAAGAAGAAGGAUUUUGAAUUCCUCGUAAUCCAACCAUGUUGUUUUUUUUAUUUGAUAGAUUAAUUAUGAAAUUAGUAAAAUUAUUAAAAAGAAACAAAAAAAACAAUGAAUUAUUAAAAUAGAUUGUUACCUAUCUGUGAAUGUAACAAUUUCGGGAAGAUCAACAUUUAUGAACAUCGGUGUGUGUUUAUAAUAACUGUUAAAAUAGUUAAAAUAAUGAGCAAUAUAAAAGCCUAAAAUAACAAAGGGGUCCUUUUAUAAGAAAUGUACCGUUAUAGACAUUAAGUCUUGCAAACUGCAAAAUAACAACCACACGACCAACUUCUUUAUGUGCUUCAAGAUAAGAAAUCAAUUGGUAUGCAAUAUCUCCAAACAAUGUGACGUUAACCUGCAAACCUCUGCAAAAACAGUACGGGUUAAAUGAUAAUAUAAUAAUAAAAUUACAUAUGGCAGUUGUAACCUAAUCAAUUUAAUAUAUAAUAAUAAUAAUAAUAAUAAUAAUAAUAAUAAUAAUAAUAAUAAUAUAAGAUAUAAUAUAAGAAAAGUUAUGAUUUGUAAAGUUAGCCGAUGUUUGGAUUUGCUGACAUCACGGGAAUCAAGCUUUCCUAACGAAACAACUUCACCAAUAACAUCUACAAAAUGAUAAUACAAUAUGUCAAAAUGAUGUAAAAUUAAAGAAUUAAAUAUAAGAUGCAAUUAAAUAGGGGAAACAUUUACCAAUUGAGUUAUUAGAUGUAGCUGUUGCAGAAAUAAUGCUUUCAAACGAUACACAACAAAAGUCAUAUGUUGUUUUGGACUAAAAAGUUAGACAAUCAUUAACAGUUUUUCGUCCAUGCAAGUUUAACUUGGAGAGUACAUCACUUAUUUUAAAAAUGUAUCUGUUUGGAGCUAUAGUGGGGGAUCGGAUGUAAAUUGCUUUAUCUUCUUUCAGUUUUAAAAGUGUAUCUCUUGGGUAGACACUUGCUCGGAUUUUUGUACCCUAUUCACAUAUCGUAAGAAUAUUAUAUAUAUUGCGAAACAAUUGUAUAUUAAUUUAUAUAAAUUGGUCAACAUUGAAUCAAUUAUUUGACCAUGAAUGAUUUUAAAUAAUAUUAUUGGAAUGAGCAAAUAAACAAAAAAAAAUAAUUUUGAAUAAUGUAAUUAGAAUAGGAUAUUUUACCAUCUCAUCCAUUAAUAUCAUUUCAAGUGCUUUGACAAUACUAGGGUUAACUUUGGAUAAUGAUCUCCACAGCCGGAUAAUACACACUUUUAGUGUUUAAUCAUCCCUCAUGUUGUCUAAGUCUUUGAUCAAAGUGACAUUUCUAUCUGCCAUUGUCACUAUAAUAGAAAGACAUAACAUAUUAAGAAAAAAUAAUGGAACAAAAUUACACAAAAAAUAUAAAGACAAACAUAAUUACAAUUAUGUCCCUGGAGUAGUAGGCGGAUAAAAAGAUUCUGAAUAAUACAAUAAAUUAUUAUAAAACAUUCAAACAUAUUCAAACAAACUAUAUACCGCUGCUGUGAAAAUUACCAAUAUGUCCCUGGAGUUGUAGGCGGAUAAAAAGAUGAAAAACAAACAGGGCAUUUUCGUCCAUUGAACUUACUUAUAACAUGAAAAAUAAAAGUACAAUGCCAUUAUAUGUAAUAUUUUCGAAUUUUGUUGCACAUAUAAUUUUUUUUUUUGUACUGUACUGUUGGAAUACAUUUUUCUUUCCUUCUGUUAUUUUACUUUGUAACUAUUGGAACUAAUGUUUAUUAUGUUAUAUAAAGAUAAGCAUUGAUGGAAAGGAUACUAUUAGGGAGGAUGAUGUUGAUGAAUUGACUUCCAAUUCCAUAGUUACAGAUUAUGAAAUAUCAAGCAUAUCAGGUUCAGAACUAAAAUAGAACAAAAUUACACAGAAAGACAUAACAUAUUAAGAAAAAAUAAUGGAACAAAAUUACACAGAACAUAUAAAGACAAACAUAAUUACAAUUAUGUCCCUGUAGUAGUAGGUGGAUAAAAAGAUUCUGAAUAAUGCAAUAAAGUAUUAUAAAACAUUCAAACAUAUUCAAAUAAACUAUAUACCCCUGAUGUAAAAAUUACCAAUAUGUCCCUGGAGUAGUAGGCAGAUAAAAAGAUGAAAAACAAACAGGGACAACCUCAGUGAUUCAAGCAUAUCAGGUUCAGAAAAAACAAAAAACAGAGAAUUAGAUAAAAAGAUGAAAAUACAUUCUCCAUAUUUUACAGAUUUACAGAUUAUGAUAUAUCAAGCAUAUCAGGUUCAGAAAAACAAAAAACAUAGAAUUUGACAGCCUCAGUGAUAAAAUCGGUAAUUAUAAGUAAAACAAUAACAUACAACGUUAAUGUGGCCUAAGUCCUAAUUCAUAUAAAUCUGAUUAUUUACCAAUCGCAGGCGUACCUUCAAUAGUUCAAUGGGAUAGACUCGAAGAAGCAACGUAAGCAGUAAAGCAGAUUGCGAUGGGGGUAGAGAGAGAGAGAGAGGGCAUGCCGCCUGCGAUUGGUAAUUUGCGAUGGUAUCUCUCGACUAAGAAAGGGGAGCGAUAGAUGAACAGAACCAUAUUCAGACGAAUUAUGAUUGUCAAAUAAGUUUUUGAUCGUUCUUUUGCAAUUAACACAGACAUUGAGAAGCAGGGGAUUACAUAUACACAAUGAGAAGCAGAAUUGAGAAGAAGAAACUUACCGAAUGAUUGAAGCCGCUGAUUGAAUAUCUAAUAACUGAAGUAUGGAUGAUGCUUGAUUGUUGGAAGAUGAUGCUGUAAAGAAUGAUUCAUAUUUGUAUGCUUCAAGUAUAUAUUGAACAUAAUAAGAUCAAAUCGACCUAAUAAUCAAAUUUAAAUGUAAUUGAUAUGAUUGAUAUUGAUACAAUAAAAAGAUGCUCUUAAUCGGGCAUAUAACGAAAUUGAUUCAAUAUUCCAUUCGAUUUCCAUCCAUAUUCCAAAUUCCACAUUCAAAUUGCCAUAUUUCCAUAUCUAAUUUCCGUAUGUAAUGCUACGUGAAACCAAGCAGGGGUAAAAAUGGGAUUUAACAUUGGCAAGAAAGUGAAUUUUUGUUAGGACACGUUUCAAACAGGUUUUGUUUAUUAGAUAGGGAGAUGUUAUGAAUCUUGGUUAUGAUAAUACGAAUAUUGUAUGCUUGUACUUGAUUUACGAUCGAUUAUGUGGGGUUAUGCAUAGAGGGCAAGGGUAGGACCUAACACUUAGCAUGAAACCCUAUCCAGAUACAUUCGAGCCUCGUUAGUUGAGAAAUACCUUCUAGGAAAAGAGAUUAAUCCAUUUACGAGUUGAUCGGUCUUUCUAGAUGCCCGUGCGACACAUUGUACGCGUACACUUCGGUGUUUGCGGAUUGGAGUGAUGUUGGCCAUUCGAACGAGGCUUGUACAGACAUCACGUAGGUGUUGGGAGGUGGCGGACGAAUGCCACUGCUUGUACCAACACCAGAACGGCACCGCGAUGUACUUGUACAUUACAUAGUCGGAGUAGUGAAAGUGGAGUCUUGGGGUCGGUGUGGCAGGGGGGGGUCACGAACCACCUAAAGCACUUGGUUGUCCAGACACACAAGUAGCGAACGGGUUUUCCUUUUGGGUUAGGUAUUACUACGAGACUACCUAUGCCUAUACGAUUAUGAUACAUUUUUUUUUAUAUGAUGAUAUACGAUUACGAUAUGAUUAUGCAUGAAAUACAAUUGAUGUUACAUAAAUGAAUGAUAUGUGAAUGGAUGAUACAAAGUUGAAUGAUUGAAUUUUAUGUGAAAUAUGAUUGAUUAUUGAUUGGUAUGUGAAUUUUGUUUAUAUGAUUAAAAUAUGAAUGAUUGACCCGUUAAGGGAUGGUAUGUUUUCCCUUUGAUUGUGUACAAACUCUUAUUGGCUCACGAAGCAUUUGUUGACACUUGUUUCUUUGCUUUGUGCCUUUAUGAUUGGUACAGGUAGCUUAAGAGCUUCGCUUGGUGAGAUGGGGUCAUUUUUUGGUAGUUUAUCCUUAGAAUAAAGAUGCCACUUGGAAACGUUAUUUAUUUUUUGAUACUUAUGCUUCCACUACAAUUAAAUACUUUUGAUAUUUUGGUUUUAAAUUGAACGUAACUUGGUGGUUUGAAAUGUUUUUAAAAUAAAUAAUGUGUACACUCUUCCGUUGCAUUUUCCGUUAAAAGAUUUUAAAAAUAAAUGAAAUUUUUUCGCGAAAAAUCAUGACUUUACAAUUAAAUCCUUAAUAGAUUAAGUCCUUAACAGGUUAAGUAGGAACACUUAACCCUAAUCGUCAUUUUAUGUGAAAAACCCUAAUUGGGUUUGGGUUCUUAUUAGGUCACUUAUUGGACUGAGUUGUUGUGGGCCUUUGUGGGCCAAUUGGGAACAUAUUUAUGGACUAAGGAAAUUAUUGGUCUUUAGGAUAAGGCCCGUUGGAAAGGCUUGGGCCCAAUUUGGAAAAUUGGGCCAUAAUUAGGCCUUGAUGAUUAUGAGACUGGAUUAAAUGGUUGGGCCUUAAGAUAAGCCCAUGUAGAGGUUUGGGUCCAAUUUGGAAAAUUAGGCCAUAUGUUGGGCUUUGGUCCAUAGUUUGACUUUUGGGCUUUUGGAUUGGGCCUUGGAGUUGAAUAAAGCUAAGUCAGGGGUAAAAUAGUCUUUUACCCUAACCAUGGAAUUAUGGUUAUGUAUUGGAACCCAAUUAUUAAUUGGGUGUCGUUUUGAUGUUGAUAGUUUAGGAACCUAUCAACCAGCAGCUAAGAUUUUACCCGUGGAACUUGAGCAAUGCGAAGUGAGUCUCCUCACCAUACCAACGGGUCGAAGGCACCAAUGUCAGCCCAUUUUAUGUUAUGUGAUACACUAGCUAAAGUUGUAUUAUGUGGCAUGUUAGCUGGUUAUGUCAUAGGAAGUAUGCUAGUGGUAUAUGUGGUAUGCUUGUAUGGAAGACCAUGGGAGAGCCCAUGGCACCUGGAUGUAAGACCAUGUGGAGAGCCUAUGGCUUUCUUACUAUGUUUUAGUGUUAAUGUAGAUUCACUAUUGAUAUGUUUGGUAUGCACGUAUAUGUGGUAUGCUAGUGAUUAAGUGAUAUACUAGCUGACUAUGUGGUAUGUGGUAUGCUAGUUGUCUUUGUGAUACUUGCAUGAAAGCCCAUGGGAGAGCCCAUGGCACCUGGAUGUAAGACCAUGCGGAGAGCCCAUAACUUUCUUACUAAAGACCAUGGGAGAGCCCAUGGUAACCAGAUGUAAGACCAUGUGGAGAGCCCAUGGCUUUCCUAUUAAAGACCAUGGGAGAGCCCGUGGCAUUUAGGUGUAAGACCAUGUGGGGAGCCCAUGACAUCCUGGAGUAAGACCCUGGGGACGAGCCCACGACAUCCUUAUAUGUUUAUAUUCAUGGCUUAUAUGAUUGAUAUGACUUAUGUGGAUAUGUAGCUAAUAUAACUAAUAAAUAUUAUGAGAUUAUGUGGAUUGUAUGAGGUAUGCUCUGGGGAAUUCACUAAGCUUCGUGCUUACAGUUUUGUUUAUGGUUUCAGAUAUUUAACUUUAGGAAAGGAAGGGCUCAGCUUGACCGCAGCGUACACACCCAUGCUUUCCACAAUGAAUGAAAUGUUUUAAUUAACAAUGUUUUGGAAUGAUUGGAAUAAAUGAUAUCUAUGUUUGGGUUAUAUUAAAAAUGAAAUUGUUACCCCUGAUUUUUGGGUUGUUACAAUGAUAUUCAAUUAAAACACAGGUCUUUUGGCCUAGCACUAUCAUAUGUUGGAAAAGUGACCCUUCCUAAUGUUAGAAAAACGGGUUAUUUUGAUUGCUUGGAUACCAUUGAAAGUCAUGAUACACUUUCAAAUUGAAUUAUUUUGAUGGUACAAUCAAAAUAUCAAUUGGAUAAAAUUCAGUGACAAACAGAGAAUGAAAAUGUUAUGAUUCUUGUGUGUACCAGAUUUAAAUAACCAAAAAGGGAUAUAACUCCUUAUCUGAAAACUAUCAUAUUGACAUUUACAAACUGCCACAAAACCGUCACUAAAUUGACUUAGUCAGCUUGACAAACAAGAACCACAUAUUUAACAUACAAAGCAAAGAGAAAAAGUUUCCUAAUACUUGUAAAAAUCAAAUGAUGUAAAAAAAUUAGAUGUCACAAAAUCUAGUAUUAACAUAGAUUUAAUAAAACUGAUAGAUUACUUGUUUAUAUAUCGUAAAAAUUUAUUCCCAAGGUCAUCCUUAACUCACUAAUAAAUUUUGGGAGUAACGAUAUAACAAUAUCUAUUCGGUACUCCUUUGAUAAAAUUUUGAAUUUUGUGUGGUCAAUAAGUCGUAUUUUUGGAUUGCUAAUAGGAGUAGAAAAGCUAAAAUCAUUUGGGUCUAUGAGCUUCGUAAUCCUAUUUUAGCUUGCACUCUUAUGUAAUGCUAUUUUUCCUUGCUUCCUGCUAGUUUUUAUAAAAUUUUUUGCUGUUCCAAAAAAAAAAAAAAAAAAAAACUCCUCUAAUAUAUUGGUCGGUCGACUUUGAGAUACAAUUAAGAAGGUUCUCUAGCCACAUCACACAUCAUCCUCCCCCAAUGACCACCACACAAUAAUAUCGAUUUGGUAUAGACCAACAACUCUCUAUUUCCCCAUCUCCCUUAAAUCAAUCUUCACUUCCUUACUUUUCAGUUUGUUUUUUAAUAUUCAUACAUAGAAACUCAUGUUGGAGCAGUUAACACACAUAAAUGUCCUUAAUAUUGGAAUCCCUCACCAACAAAGUAGCAUCGUUAAGUAACUAAUAAGUUAGAGACCAUACGUACAAAUUAGCCCAAACCAUAGGGACCAUUCGUGUAAUUUACUCUUCCUCUUAAUAUACAUAUUUUUUAUUAGAGACAGACCGCUGUCAUCCUCAAUAUAAUACAUGUGUCCCCAAGUCCAUUUUGCAAUUCUUUUUGGAUUUGGCAAACUUGUAUAUACAAUUUCCUCUCUUUACUUUUCAUAUGUCAUAACCUUUGCUUUAGUUAUUGCUUUCUUCUUCCAAUUUCUUGUCACCUUGUAAAUAUUUCUUUGACCUCUCUUCUUUCCCAAUUGUCACUACUUAAUAGAAAUUCUUUAAAAGGAGUUUCUUUAUUUUGACCUUGAACCUUCUUGCUCCACCAUUCCGAUUAUUAGCUUAGCCUUUCAUCCUUGACGGAUAUGGCCUCCUGCUACAAUUACCAUGUAACAGAGCCGGCCCAAAGCAAGUUCAUCCAGUGCCUUUGAACAUGGCCCAAAAAAUCAGAGGGCCCAUUUUUUUUCAUUCUUUAAUAGGGUAUGUUCAUUUGGCCCAAAAAAUUUAGGUUAUAUCCAUCUAUAUACUCAGUUAACGAAUGCAGGAAGCAGGCAAGAGGGAGCAGGAACUCAAUUUUCGGGAAAAAGAGAACUCUUCGGUUUCUUCAUUGGUAACGCACGCAUGGAUAAUAGGAAUCAUCAUUGCUGGAACGGUAACAUCAAUUUACAUUCAUUUAUCAUUCAUUCUAUUCCAUCAAUUUACCUUCACUUCUUAUUUCUUCCUUCUUUAUCUUCUUCUUCACUGAUCAGUUUUUACAAAGAUUACCAACAAUUUUAGAAGAUUCAAAAGAAGAAAUUCAAAGCCAUCAAAUUUCGAAAUCAGAAGGUUCAAUAUCAGAAUUCAGAACAAUCAAAAUUCGAAAUAAGAAGCUUCAAAAUCUUACAGUCUUACAGUCUUACAGUUUGAGUUUCGAAAUCAAAGGUAUAAUACUAAAAUUAAACUUUAGUUUAUUGUUUCAUGGGUUUGUUUUUUCUAAUUGAGUAAUUUGAUAAUUUCAGAUUUCUUAUCGGUUCUUCUUUUUUCAUUUUCUUUAAUUCCAAAUUACUAAAUCAGGAUGAACAAUCAACAGUGAUAUCAGUUUUCAAAAAUUUGAACUUAGAAGGAACAAGGAAUUGAGGUAAAUUCUAAUUCAGAUUUCUACUUUUUAUGUUUUUUUGUUUAUGAUAAUUUCGAAUUUGUAAGAACUAAGAAGUAAUUAUGAAUUUAUGAUCUCAUCAUUUCAGAUUGCAAAUUUUCUGAUUUCCUUAGAAUCAUAUUCUUGUUUUUUUGAUUUGAAGUGUCGAUGAUAAUAAGGUAAUUUUUGGAUUUCUUAUAUGAUAUCAUUGCAGAUUUUGUGAUUUCUUUAGAAGCAUAUUCUGAUUUUUUUUCUUUGCAGUUUUGUUACAUUCUUUUGGUGAUUUGAAGUGUGGAAAAUCUGAACCAAGAAGGAAUCUAUAAAUUGGAAGUCAUAAAUAAGGUCGUUUCUUUCUUUUCUAUAACUUAUUAUGCCUCCUAAAAUAAAAAAAUAUGCAUCUGGAUAUGAAAAACGUAAGAAAAAACAAAAAAUUGAAGAAGAUAAUAAAACUCAAGCAGGAUCUAUGGAUAAGUUUAUAACAAAAAAAACACAAAACUUUACGAAAAAUGAAACACAAAAUGUUAAUGAAGCUAAUCUUGAUAAAAUGAUAAUGUUGAUGUUGAUGUUGAUGUUGAUGUUAAUGAUAAUGUUGAUGUUGAUGUUAAUGCUAAUGUUAAUGUUAAUGUUAGUGAUAAAGUUGAUUUUAAUGAUAAUCCUAAUGUUGUUGUUGAUGAUAAUGUUGAUUUUCACACUUUUGAUAUAUUUGAUCCAAGAAAUCGGGAUGCUCUUGAUUCUAGUAUGAUAAAUAUUUUAGUGUUGAAAGGUCCUAAAAGAGAUUUGUCUCUUACAAAAGGUCCUAAAGAUAAAUAUUUAAGAAGAUUUUCUGCAACAUAUUAUACUAAAACUUUACCAAAUGGGGAAAAAUGUGAUAGAGAUUGGCUUGUUUAUUCUAAAGAAAUUGAUAAAAUUUUUUGUUUUUGUUGUAAAAUAUUUCGAAAAGGGUGUCGGAAGGGUCAAUUAGCAAAUGAGGGUUUUAGGGAUUGGAUACAUCUUAACACUAGAAUUAAAGAGUAUGAAACUAGUAUGAAACAUGUUAAAACUAUAAAUACUUGGUAUGAUUUGCGUUUAAGAUUACAAAAAAAUGAAACUAUUGAUAAUGCGGCUCAAAAACAAUUAGAAAAAGAAAAAGUUCAUUAGAGACAAGUUUUGUUGAGAAUUAUUUCUAUUGUGAAAUUUCUUGCUAAACAUAAUCUAGCUUUUCGUGGUACUAAUGAGAAAUUGUAUGAAGAUAACAAUGGAAAUUUUUUAGGCUUAUUUGAAAUGUUGGCUGAAUUUGACAUGGUUUCUUAUGACCAUAUACAACGUAUUACAAAUGAAAUUGGUAUCCAUAAACAUUAUCUUGGGCAUAGGAUACAAAAUGAAUUAAUACUUUUGCUUUCUUCAGAAAUAAAGUCUAUGAUUAUUAAAAAGAUAAAAAAUGCAAAAUAUUUUUCUAUAAUACUUGAUUGUACUCCUGAUAUAAGUUACCAAGAGCAAAUGACUAUUAUUUUAAGAUGUGUAGAUGUCUUGUCAAAUGUUGUUUGCAUUGAAGAGUCUUUUUUAGGGUUUUUAGAUGUAAAUGAUACAACCGGCCAAGGACUCUUUGAUGUUUUACAAAAUGAAUUGAAUUUGCUUGAUCUUGACAUUAAUAAUAUACGUGGCCAAGGUUAUGAUAAUGGAUCAAAUAUGAAAGGAAAACAUCAAGGAGUGCAAAAAAAGCUUUUAGAUAUAAAUUCAAGGGCUUUUUAUACUCCUUGUGGUUGUCAUAGUUUGAACUUAACUUUAUGUGAUAUGGCUAAUACUUGUGGUAAAGCUAAAGGUUUUUUUUGGAACAAUACAACGUAUCUAUACAAUUUUUGCAAAUCCCACUAAGAGAUGACAAAUUUUAAAAGAUAAUGUGAAAGGGGUAACUCCUAAAUCGUUGUCAUCCACUCGUUGGGAGAGUCGUGUUGAUAGUGUUAAAGCUAUAAGAUUUCAUAUACAAAAAGCUUUACUUCAAGUAGCCAAAAAUGAUAAUGAUCCAAAAAUAACAAGUGAAGCUAAAUCCUUAGCAAAAAAUGAACUUGACAACUUUGAGUUUAUAUUGGCAUUAGUAAUUUGGUAUGAAAUGUUAAACACUAUUAAUUUAAUUAGCAAACAAUUGCAAUCAAAAGAUAUGUUUAUUGAUGUUGCUAUGGAAAAAAUAAUGGGGUUAAUUUCGUAUUUUAAGGAAUAUAAAGAAAAUGGGUUUUUAAAUGCUUUACAAACCGCAAAAGAUAUUGCCUUAGAAAUGGGGAUCGAUCCAAUAUUUCCUAAAAAACGUGAACCUAAAAUAAAAAAACAUUUUGAUGAGAUUUCAAACGACACUUCUUAUAGUUUUUCACAAUCCGCCCAAGAGAAAUUUAGAGUUAAAUAUUUUAUUUAUAUUGUUGAUCAAGCAAUUAGUUCUUUAACUACAAGGUUUGAACUAUAUCAAUAAUAUGAUAAAAUAUUUGGCUUUUUAUUUAAUUCAGAAAAAUUGCUUUCAUUAGAUGAUAUAACAUUAAAGUCUUGUUGUAUGUCUCUUGAAACUUCACUCAAGAAAGAUGAGCAAUCGGAUAUUGAUGGAAAUGACUUAUAUGUUGAAUUAAAAUUACUUUUACAUCUCUUGCCUAAGGAAAAAUUGACAGCAAUUGAUAUUCUAAAUUUUUUAAAACGUGUUGAUUGUUUUCCUAUUACAUCUAUUACAUAUAAAAUUAUGUUGACUAUUCUUGUUACUGUUGCAUCUGCAGAACAGAGUUUUCCAAAAUUGAAGAUUCUGAAGUCCUACUUAAGAUUUACAAUGACUCAAGAACGACUUAAUGGAUUGGUUUUGAUGACGAUUGAGCGUAAUAUGUUGGAUAAAGUUACUUAUGAAGAUGCUAUUGAAAAAGUUUAUUUCAACGAAUAUUAGGAGGAUGACUGUUUUCAAGUAGAAGCUAAUUUUUUUUUGUAUUAUUUUGAAUGAAAUUUUAAUUUUAUGUAUUUGCAAUAGAAAAUUAAACUAUAAUUUUUUUUUUGCUUAAAUUUUGAGAUCUUUCAAAUUUUAGAGCCUAUUUUUUGUUAAAUCGCACAUGGUCUUCAAUAUCUCAGGGCCGGCCCUGCCAUGUAGACCGAGACCCCUACUUGUAACUAACCUUUUCGGUCCUAAUAGAUACACAUGUAAAAAACUAAUAACUACUAACUAACUAUUAAUUAUUUAAUAUAAAAUACAAAUAGAACAUCAAUGAUAAAUAUUAAAAGGGUGUUGCUAAAUUGACACCCCUUAGACACCCUAUAAACACUUUUAUUAAAAGUCAAUUUAUAAUAAACUAUUCACAAUUUACUUUUUCAAAAAACAAUGCAAAUUAACUAAUAAAAAAAUCUUAAAAAUCAAAUAAGGUUUCAACAUGAGAGAAAUUAUAUUGCAAUAAGUUUGUUGUCAGGUGAGGAAUACAAUGCAUAAAUGAUUUACAAAAUCGAAAGUUCCAGACACAAGUUAAAACUUAAAACCCUAAAAGACCACACAAAUUUCAAUCGUCGACAUACCCCACCACAAAGGCACAAACAAUCAAUGAAACAAGUGUAGAUGUAGAGGCCUUUUUCACCACAAUCACCCUUCAUCGGCCAUUUCGAAGGCCACGUGAAAUGUCACUAACGUGGCCCUCUAAAUAUCCACUACUUUGUCUUUAACCCCUCCCCCCUCCCUUAUAAAACACUCCAUCCUCCUCCUUAAUCACCAUCACCAACAACCUUCUCUCCUCCCUCAAAAGUACCACCAUCUUUUCCGACAUGGCUACUUCUUCAAUCUUCAUGGCAACUCCCAUCACACUCCUCAAGAAAACUCCCACCUUCUCCGUCAAAUGUAUGUCACAAACACCUCAAAGCGGUGAACCGGAGGUUUCAAAACCAGCAACCACCCCAACACUACCACAGAUCAACAUUCCUCCUCCUCCGCCACCUGCUCCAAAGGUCAGCACGAAGUUCUCUGACGUGUUGGCGUUUAGUGGACCUGCACCGGAGAGGAUCAACGGAAGGUUAGCCAUGAUAGGGUUUGUGUCGGCGAUGGCUGUGGAACUGAGCAGCGGUCAAGACGUGUUCACCCAGAUCGGCAACGGCGGUGUUGCGGUGUUUGUCGGGACAAGUGUGGUGUUGACGUUGGCGUCGUUGGUGCCGUUGUUUAAAGGAGUGAGCGUGCAGUCGAAGUCGAGUGGACUGAUGACAUCAGAUGCAGAGCUUUGGAAUGGGCGGGUUGCGAUGUUGGGUCUGGUGGCUUUGGCUUUUACUGAAUAUGUUAAAGGCAGUGCCCUUGUCUAGAUAAUGUAGCAUAAACUUUUCUAUUACAGAAUUACAUCUAAGAUAGGCAAAUGUAUAUUCUUUUGAAUAUUUAUGUGUAUCGAUUUACCAUACAUAGUUCAAAUCAUGAAAAUCAUGUUUUUUUGAUAAUAUAGUAUAAAACAAAUAUGAUCAAUCAAAUCGAACGAUUGUGGUAUCUUUCAAUAUAAAAUUCUUUUUACAAAAAUAAACAAACAACAUACUAAGAUAAUUUUUUGAGGAAUGAACCUAGAUUAGCAAUAUAAGAGUCAAAGUCUACAAAGAUAUUGACAUCCUAGUUUCACAACUUCCUCUUUGAAUGUUGAAGGUGAUCAUUAAUUCAGACUGAAUAUGUGGCUAAGUCCAGCCUAGUCAAUUAGCCAAUUUAAGUUGACAAGUAUCCAAAAUUCAAAUAAACUACAUGGCUCAAUUUCAAAGAAAACUGAAAAAUGACUAAUGCUCACAAAAUGAUCACCGAAUCAAUUUAGGCUAUGAGGAGUGGUCACAUUCAAACCACCGGAAAAACGCUGCAAAGUCAGUGAUAUGUCAACUCCAUCACCUUCUAAACAUUGGAAACAAUUACCACUCCGUGUCAUUUAUAUUUUCAUUUUUUUUACAUUAGAUUAAAUAAAAAACAUAAUUACUAACUUAAGUAAUCAUUUUACUAAUUAAAAAAUCAACUAAACAUAUAUUAAUUUUCAAAAUUAAAUAAACAUAUAUAGUAUAUAUAGUUGAGGGUUUAACUUAAUUCAAAGAAAAGUAAGAGGGUAUAAUAAGAUUAAAAGACAUAAUUUUAGAGACCAAAUUUGUAACUUUAGUUAAAGCAAAUAUGAAUGGUCUUCUUCACAGGUCAUUGCUCAAUACCAUUUUUUUUCUUUUACUUCGAUGGAUACAAAGGAAAAGGGAAAAAAAGGGUCAAAUAAAUGACCGUUAUUGUUCUUGCUUUCUUAUCCGUCGUCUUCAUCCGUCUUUGCACCCACAUUACACCCAAACCACCGGCCUUAGGGGUGGUGGUGUUCACGUGUCCUUAGGCCGGACACAUCAGCAAGAUGUGUGAGUUAGUCCUCCCACUCCGAUUAGCCUUAAGCACUUAUUAAAAGCUAGUCUAUUUCUUGUUAGGUUGAAAUCUAAUGUUAUCAUCAAAUCUAUACAAGAUUGAGAUUGAUAUUAUAGUAACAAUCUCCCAAAGAAAAAUAAUAUAUUUAAAAGAAUAUAUAUAUANNNNNNNNUAUAUAUAUAUAUGAAUUAUGCCCCAAGAAGUACUAUGCAUGAGUAUAAGAUUACUAUUAUCUUUGGAUCCAUUAAUUGAUAACUAAGCAUACUUCAAAGUUACUAUAUGGUCGUAUGAGACCCGCGAAUAGGAAAUUGGCUGCACCCUUGGCCCGAUUCGAAGGCUAAAACCCAAAAGAACCAUGCACAUGAUUCGAACCAAGUGCUCUAAUGCUAUUUUGCCCAACUUACAUGAACUACCUCCAUACACAUACUUAAGAAACCCAUAAUCUCAUCCAGAUAGAGCAGGAAUGCCAGAGAUAAUCGGAAUAAUACCUCAAUCAAUUACAAAAAACAUCCGCAUUAUCGGUUGAAACAAGAUCCCAUACUUGAUUGAGACUGAACGGAUUCCAUCGCUACACAACUAGCUCGAGAAGACUUCCACGGAUCUCGAAAGUUGCCUAAACCUGAGUCUGCUAUGAAAUAGGUUCCCACUCCACCAUUGAGGGUAAACACACUUGAAGCCCCAAUGGACAUAGAUCAUACUAAGCUUGAUAACAGAUCAGCCUGACCACUACAUCUCGACUGACACAAUUAAACUUCCAAGUGAACUUUUAUUGAUUGAUGAACCCCACAACCAGUGGUCGAGGACACUUUAACACUUAGUCCAGAGAAUCAAGACCACAUAGAACUGAACAUACCCACUCAUGGAAAGAUCCAUCGACCAACGUCUGCCCAACUAAUAUGAAAAUAGUAAUCCAACAACAAACUGGGAAAUCCCUCAACAGCUAAAAAUACUCAACCUGAGAAUCCCGAUUCUCCUCCACUUAGGGCUUAAACUACCAUUCACUAGCGCUAAAACCAAAUCAUAAAUCAAACCAUAUUGAGGAUAUACUCCCUUCCUAACCCUGGAAGUUACGAGCCUCUUCACUCCUUCCCCGAACUCGGAAAAAAUGAAAGGGCAUAACCCUAGCCAUUGAUAAUGACGUUCCAAACCAACAAUCAACCACUUCCAACUGUAAAACCCAAGUCAAUCUUAAUCAUCGUCCCCUUCACGAGUCCCGCGACUCGAAUACCCGACCUCAAGCAAAACCCCCGAGGCCUCAAACAAAAAAGCUCCCUAGGUCUGCACCAAACAAACAAAAUCACUAACGCCACUGGGGCUCAAAACACUUACCAUAUCCAUCCGCAUGUCGGAGCAUCCACAAGCAAAAUAUUAACAGGAACAUAAACACUGCCGCGAAUCAUGGUAUCCAACCAUGCUAUCUUCACCGACCAACCCUUAGAAUCCCCAAAACCUUCCUUGAUUAGAUUAUGGAUCCUGUGCUUCAAGUAGUACUGGCCCAAUACUACCUUCCAUACCUAUCCAUACUUUCCUCAAGAAUCAUCCCAAGUCUUUUAAGUCCUAGUCAUAAAAUACUCCUGAAACUUGCUUAACAAUGAAGCAACCACGCUAAAAUACUCACCUACACUCCCUCUGCCAUCAACUGCUGAUAAACCCCUACCAAUGCCAGCUAACCACUUCAUGAAUACAAUUACACACAACCAAGCUUAAAUAAUCCUUCGAAUAAAGGGCUUAGCCCUACAACGAUUGGACUCAAACGAGAGCUGCACAAUAGGUUUGAGUCCUUCAUUCUAAGAUUAUUUAACCUUCAUAGCAUGUAAUUUUAUUAUAUUCACUUGAUGGUUAACUCCCAUCAACAUGGGUCCCACAAAGCACAAAGCAAGCAACAUUCGGGUAGAGAAGCCGACUGCGACUAAAACGCAACAAAAUCAGACAUAUCCUCAUAGAAAAUCCUCGAUCUCAAACUCCUCGCACCACGAGUGCGCCUUCACCCUGCUCUCACUCUCCCCAGAGUGGUUAAUCAUUCCUCGUGCUUACCCGCUAUACACUGCACCCACUCAUGAAACUUCCACCAACCCUACAACACUCGUGUAUGCUAGCCGUACAUAACACUGGAUCCUAUAGACAGUCGAAUAUCUGAUCCUACUCUAAGCCCUUCAUCAAACAAGAACAUGAAAUAAGGCCAAACCAAACAUUCUCAGGCUAUAGAAUCUUAGUUAUGUACAACUAUGAUGUAUACACUAAGUAACUGUAGUAGAUGAUGUCAAUUUCAUUUAAGGAAGAACCCUAGGCUAUCAGACAUCAUAUAAUCAUGCAACUUUGUCAUGCAAUUCCUGAAGAUCCCUAGCCUAUCACUACCAUGCUAUUCUAAUAUUUCACAAGAUCAAAUAAAGUGUGGUAAUUUGGGGUCUACUUACUAGCUCCGACUGAUCAUACACAUCGUAUCCUCUUUAGUUUGAAAGUUAUUUUUAAAACCUUUACUUUGAAAAUUACUUUUUUUAAAACACCUUUUCCUUAGUUUGAGACCGGAUUCACACGAGUUUUCCUCCCAUUCACUCAAACCAAGGCUCUGAUACCAACUAGUAACGUCACAAAAAUUUCAACAAAUCUAAACCUUUCAAAACAACCCAUAUGUUAACAAAAGUGAUUUGAUCCGCAGGCACUCUGCACGCCUUGAACUCCCGUAAUGAGGGAGUUCGAGCCCCAAUCUGACCCACAGUGAUCUCAGAUCGGAAAGAACAAUCCGCUCCUCCAUAUCCUCCAUGAUCCCCUCCUUGACGGUACUGAACCCGAUCUCGAACCUGAACCUCCUCGCGUAGCCAUCAUAAUCUUCAACUGAAAAUACAACAUAGAAAGAAAUUGAUAAGGAAGUUCAAAGGGAUUUCUCCCCACUGGACUCCUUAAAGCCUUCAGGUAUGUCCUUGUCUCGGGUACAAGUCUUGUGCUUUUAGUAGUACGGACCAAAUACUACCUUCCACACCUACCUGUACAUUCCCCCAAGGCCAUACCUGAUACCUCCAAUUCACCAAACCAUAGAUAAAACAUGACCUACGAAACACAGCACAUACACAUAUCUUAGAAUCUUCGGGGAUUUCUCAAUCCUCAUAGAACCAGAAACCUCAAUCAACACCGCAUGUUGCCUUAUGCAUGCAAGUUAUACAUUAAUAGAAUCAUAGAGACUGUCAAAUAAAGUUUCUACCCUAAGACCACAACCAAACAAGGAACAAGAAGUAAGGCAGAAUCCAUCGUUCUAGGGCUAUAAAAUCCUAAACAUAUACAACUUUGAAAGCAUACACUUAGCAAAUAACAACGUCAACAUCGAUUCCAAGCAUUAUAUUCAUAGCAUUGAACUCUCCUAGGCUACAAGGCAUCUCACAAAUCAGACAAUUCUCAUAACACCUAAAGGUAUCCUUAGCCCUAUUCUAGCAUGCAUUUCACACAUUAACAUACUAGUUGCAAUUCAUAAGCAUGGUUAAAUUUUUGGAAACACUUACUUGAGCUUGGCUGAUUUCGCGCAUUGCGCUCUCCCUUUUUACUUAAGAAAACCGGUUUAAGAAAAACUUGACUUUUGUUUCUUUUUUUAAAAAGGUUUACCAUUUCCUCAGUUUGAGUUGUGACACAUAGUGUGCCCGAAUUCCUCAAACCAAGGCUAUGAUACCAACUUGUAAAAGCCCAAAAAUCCAGAUAAAAAUUUUCAUUUAAAAAAAAAUAGAAAUUACAAUCAUAAUUUGUUUCUUAAAAUCCAUUACAUCAUUUCAUAUCAAAAUAUCAGAGUAUCAAUAUCAAUAAAUGAGGAAAUUCUUGGGAGUGAAUGUUGCGCCAUCUAGCUAGGCCCUUCCCCUUAGUACCGAAAGUACCUGAAAACACCUAAAUAAACUGUAAGCAAAAACUUAGCGAGUUCCCAAAAUACAACAUAACAUAUAACCACAGAAUACCACGCCACAUACAUAAGAUUGCCAUGGACAACCCCAUGGUCUUUACUUGGAAUGCCAUGGGCUACCCCAUGGUAUUUACCUAGAAUGCCAUGGGAUACCCCCAAGGUCGGAUAUCCAAGUGCCAUGUGCUACCCCAUUGGUCUUUACCUGGAAUGCCAUGGGCUACCCCCAUGCUCUAAUAUCCAAGUGUCGUGCGCUACCCCCAUGGUCUUCAUAUAAGUGCCACAGGCUACCCCCGUGGUCUUCACAUAAUGAAUUGCAUAAAAACUAUCAAUCCACAUGUCAGGCAAUGGGCCGCCAUUGGUGCCUUCGACCCAUUGAUAUAGUGAGAAGACUCACCUCAGACUGCUGAUAAAAAUACUGCUCGGCUAACGCUCUAGAUAUCUGACACUGAAUAUACACAAGUUAACCUAAUUAGAAUUAAGUCACAAACUCAAGGCCUAGGCCAAAACCCUAAGUACAAACUCCUCCAAUAAGGCCCAAAGUCUUUUUCCUUUAAUGGGCCUAACAUCCAAGAUCCAAAAAGGGGCAUAAGGCCCAAAAGGCCUAGCCAUGCCACUUAUGGUCCAACAACAAGUUCAAAGGCCCAAAUACUAUAAUAGAUCCAGGCCCAAGUCUAAGUAGAGCCCAAAUAGCUUAAAGGCCCAACAAAAGCCCAAAACUCAUUGGAAGCGUACGCCCAACGUACAUCAUCAGUACGCUUAGCAUACUGGGUUCUUUGGCGGUUAGCGUAGUGUACAAGCUAGUAUGCCCAACGUACAAGCUACUUUGCACAAAAAGCCAUUAAGUGCUUAAUUCAUGAAGCCAUUUCGUCCGAUUCCAGAUCUUGGUCAUCUUAAAGGUCCUAGGGCAUAAAGAUGGUAACUUUAUGUGUUUACAUGCCAUAUGGGAACCCAACACCUGAUUUUAUCCAUUAAGACUCCCUUUAAGAUCUUAAACUCAUGCAUGGUGCCAUAACAACCAUCAAGUUAGCAUUUUUAUGCUUUUAACAUGCCAAAGGAACUAGGAUCUAACAUUUAUAAUCUCUGGAGUUGUUCAAACUUACAAAAGAGGAUCCAUGGACCAAAAAUGGACUUAUUACCAAACCCUAACUCAAACUAGCGAAAGGAUAAGCAAGUUCUGGACUUUUUACCUCCAAAAGUUUUCCAAGAUGAAGUAGAUGCAGGAUCUAGAAGCUCAAACACGUCUAAGAGUUGAUCACAACCUUCUCCUUCUUACACACACAUUAAAAUAGCCACCAAAAUCACUUUUAAGCUCAAGAAUCACACUCACUUGCAAACUAGGGUUUAGGGACGAUAAGAGGCAAUAAAAGCUAUGUAGGGUUAGGUCCAAAUGUCAUAAGAGUGUUAAAAUAGGGUUCAUGCGCAAAAAUUAGGGUUUUUGUCAUAUGCCACGUACUCCUCGCAUACAUGGUGCAUGUACGCAUCUAAACCACCCUAGUACGCUAAGCGUACACGUAUGUACGCCCUGUUGGAUUAGUGUUUAAGUCCAUAACUAUAUUUGGUAUGUAUUUGACCAGGUUGUGCAUGGUCCUUUUAGGUUGCCUUCACCGAAGCAACUUGACUAGAGGAAUUAUAUAGAAAGAGGUGAUUAUGGUUUAUUAAUAUAUUAUAAGAUUUAUAUAUUAAAAGAGAAAUCAUGUUUGAUUAAUUAACAUUGGUCAAGAGUUAAUUAAACAUUAGUUUUGUGAUCAAAAGAAGUUAAUUGAACUUAAGGGGCUGAACUGUAAUUAUGUGAUAGUUACAAAGUUAGGCAAGGAAACCCUAAUGGAUAGGGUGGAUGAAUUCUAGGGAUAUAGCCUUAAGAAUUCGCCCAUGAUAGGGAUUCUAGAAUUAUCUUAUGGGCUGCUUGGUGGCUAAGUAACCAUAUAAGAAUAAUGAAUGAAACCCUAAUUCCUAAACCUAUAUAAAGGACCCUUGGUCAUGGGAAUUUCGGCAACUUGAACCCUAGAAGUCCUAGAGCCGAAAUUCUCCUCUUCCCUCUCUUGCUUCCUCUAAUUGCUAUUGGUGUUUGUUAUUAAUUAGAGGCACAACACUUGAGGUGCUAAAGUUGUCAAGGCUUCAAGAUCUUCAAUCAACAACGAGGUAAGCAUCUUGAUAUACUUUGCUAAGUUAAUUUCAAUUAUAUACACUAGAUCUAGGGUUUGAAAGUCUUGGAUGAAUGCACGUACAAUUAGAGAAACCUAGAUCCAAGCAUUAGGGUUUGCAUGAGCACAUAGGAUGUUCUUUUGGCUCAAACCUAUCAGUGGUAUCAGAGCUUUUGUUUGGUUUCUAUUGUAUUGAUGCCUUGCUUGUUCAUCCUCUCUUGAAAAUCGUGAUUUUGUGUUCUCUGCCUGACGAACUCGAUGAGUCCCAAUGUGGGCUCGACGAGUAGGAUGAACUCGACGAGUCCAUAAGGGCACUCAACGAGUCGGAGCGUCAGACAUAGAUUUUCGGGAUUUCUUGUUGUUUUGCUUAAUGAUAAUUACCUAAAUCGUUUUUGACUAAUAAAAUCUGAAUUUUAUUACUGCUUUAUGUUUAUCCUUUCCAAAACAAAAGAUAAUUUCCAUUUAUUUGAAUAAUAAAUUCCUUAUAUGAUAAUAAUUGAUUAUUUAAAUUAUUUGUUGAAUUAUCUUAUGAAUAAAAUUGAUUAGGUCAAAUUUAGAUAAUCAUUAAAUUAAUUGUUUAAUUUAAAUUAUUUGCUAUUUGAUCCUUUAUGUUUUGAAAAGUUCAAAACUUGUCCUCAAGUUUUGAAAUUUAAAUUUGUGAUUAAAAGUUUAAUUUAAACUAUUUAAAUUUCAAACCCUAGAAUUUUACAAGUUUAAAAUUCAACCUUAUACUUUACAAUANUUAAACGCUAGUCUUACUGUUAGUAGGCCUCAUUCACGAAGCCGAUCUAGAAGGAGGUAUAAGGUUAUGACCUAUAAAAUGGCCAUUUAAUGGGUGUCCACUCUCACCCACCACAUCCUUGAUUGGUGGAGGGUCGUUAGCCGAACGGGUAAGAUAGGGCAACCCUUUCUCAUGAAUAAGUAUAAUGAAUUAUAAAAGUAACUAAAUGUUUUACAAAAUUCCCAAUCUUAAUUACUUUAGGCAAAAGUGAAAUUGAUGCAAUUCCAUUAAAUUACAUUUUGUACCCGUGCUAAGACGUUAGUGGAGCGUGUGUGGUUAACUGGCACACUAAUUCGGUUCUAAGAAAAGGUGGUAAAGGGUGACUCAUUGUUUCUCAUUGUUCGAUGGAGCAUGUGUGGUUAACCAGCACAUCGAAUAGGUGACUGUAACAAUGAGGGCACCAUGUAUAUUUGCAUGGUUAUUCAUACCCACUUUGUGAUCCUCAGCAUCCCAGUCACAAACUAGAGGGGCAUAUCAAGAUUUAUACAUGCCAUUGAAAAGUUCAAUGAAUCUCAAAAUAUCUAGGAGUUUUCAAUACAUUUAAAACUUAAUCUCUUUUUCGUUUUUCAUGGUGGAGAAUUAGUGAAUCGUCAUUCACUUACCUUCAAAUUAUUUGCAUGUUAGAUUACGACACCCCUCUUCUAAUAUGUAAAUAAUGUUGUUGGAUCCUAGCCCUAAUUUCUCAUUUAGGUGUUUCAUUAGGGAUUCAUUUCUAAUCAAACUUUGUUCUUUUUCCUUUUCAGAUGUCGAACAACAACAAUGCUUCCGGAUCGUUCUCACUCAUGAACUUGUGUGGGAGAGUGAUCUUUGACGAGUCCAAUUUCAAUGAUUGGAUUCGCAACAUCCGAAUGGUCACUCGUUACGAGGACAAAGAGUAUGUCCUUGAUAAGAAGCUGAAGGAAAUCAACCUCAACACUGCUACUACUGAAGAGAUCGCCACCUUUAAGGCUCAUGAGCGUGAUGCCACGAAAGUCCAUUGCAUCAUGCUAGCGACCAUAACUGCAGAACUCCAAAAGUCCUAUGAGGACAUGUAUCCCUAUGAAAUUCAUCAAAACUUGUUGGACCGGUACCACCAAAGUGCAAGGCAAGAAAGGUAUGAGAUCAUCACUUCGAUGAUCACUACCAGAAUGGGUAAUGGAGAGUCCCUUACCGCCCAUCUGCAAAAGAUGCAGAGAUAUGUUGAUCACCUGCUAAAGUUGAAAGUUAACUUUGAUGAAGAGAUGGCAAUCGACAUUAUCCUUCACUCCUUACCUCCCUGCUACAACCAGUUCCGCAUGACUACCACAUGAAUAAGGAAGAGGUCACCUUGAGCAAGCUUCACGGCUUGCUAAGAACUGUUGAGAGCAAUUUCAAGGAUAAGUAUGUUGCAUCAACUCCAACUCCCACUGCUGCCCUUGUCUUGGAAAAAGGGCAAGGGAAGGGUAAGAAAAGGAAGGCUCCCUCAAAUAUCCACCACAAGGGAAAGUCCCAAGAUGUUACCUCUUCUAGUGGAACCAAGGCUGGUUCUGCUAAACCCAACUCUAACCCUAAUGAGCCAGAGUGCCACCACUGCCACAAAAUAGGGCAUUGGAAGAGAAGCCGCCCAGAAUAUCUGCAAGCUAUCUAGGAUGGGACGAUCAAGCCAUCCUUCGCAGGUAUUUACACUAUUAAAUCUAAUGAUUCAUCGCAUGCUAUUUCUUGGGUUAUUGAUACAGGAUGUGGUUUUCACAUAUGUUCUGAUUUGCAGGGACUAAGAAGAAAUAGGGAUGUGGAGCAUGGAAGAAUAAACCUAAUAAUGCGAAACAAAAGAUUGUCGCCUGCCACCAAUAUUGGAGUAUAUAUAUUCCUUAAUGCUUAGUAAUGGAUUAGGUUUUGAUUUAAACAAUUGCUGCUAUUCGCCAGAUAUGGCAAGAAACAUCAUUUCAUUUCAUGGUUUAUAUAGGCAAGGAUUUAGAUAUUCAUUUGAUAAUGAAAAGGGUUCUAUUUAUGCUUAUCUUAAUAGUGUUUUAUAUUUUGAAGCAUUGCCUUGUAAUGUAAUAUAUGAAACUGUGAUGGUUGUAGAUAACUUAGGAAAUGAUGUAUUGUGUGUUGAUUCUUCCAACAAUAUAGAUAAAGCAUGCUUGUGGCAUUGUCGUCUUGGACAUGUCAACAAGAAACGCAUAGCCCAACUCUAAAAGGAUGGAGUGUUGGAGUCAUUCGACCUUAGGGAUGAUGACGUGUGUGAGUCUUGUUUACUUGGAAAGAUGACCGAUGUGUGUGGGCACUUGUGAAAGGGGUGAGGGUUUAUUGGAUCUCAUACACACCGAUGUGUGUGGGCCCUUUAGAUUACCACAAAAGAUGCAAGCCACUUCUAUGUGACUUUUACCGAUGAUUAUAACAGAUAUGGGUAUAUCUACUUAAUCAAGCACAAGUCGGUAACCUUUGAAAGGUUCAAAGUGUUUAAAGAAGAAGUGGAGAAUCAUUUGGGCAGGAAUAUCAAGAUGCUUCGAUCCGAUCGAGGAGGAGAGUACCUAAGUCUUGAAUUCCAUGACUAUCUCAAGGAAUGCGGAAUCGUUUCACAAUUGACGUCACCUAGGACACCGCAGUUAAAUGGUGUGGCUGAGAGGCGUAAUCGAACCUUGUUGGACAUGGUUCAUUCCAUGAUGAUUCGUGCUUCACUACCUAUCUCAUUCUGGGGGUAUGCCUUAGAGACUGCCGCCCAUAUCCUUAACUUAUUCCCUACGAAGAAGGUUGCCAAAACACCUCACGAGAUGUAGACAGGGAAAGCUUCCUCGUUAGCACAUAUCAAGGUUUGGGGGUUGCGAGGCUUUCGUAAGACGAGAGACUCACGACAAGCUCGAACCUCGUAGUGAGUGGUGUAUUUUCACCAGCUACCCACAAAAGACCUUUGGAUAUCUCUUCUAUAGUCCGAGUGAGAACGUUGCCUUCAUUGCGAGGAGAGGGGUUUUCCGUGAGCGAGAACUCAUAAGCCUAGGGGACAGUAGGAGGCAAAUCGAUCUUGAAGAGAUUCAAGAGUUGAGCGAUGAAGGAACCUCCAACACCGGGGCUUACCCGAGGAGGAAACUCCGGUUGAACCGAUUGACGAGUCCUUACCUCUUAGACGUUCCGAAAGAGUUAGGUUUCAACCCCAGUUAUAUGGCUUUCAUAUUACUACAGAAGGGGAUACGUAUAUUAGUGAUAUUAUACUAAUAAAUUUGGAUGAACUUAACAGCUAUAAGGAAGCCAUUGCAGGCCCAGAGUCUGCAAAGUGGAAAGAGGCGACGGACAGUGAGAUUCUGUCCAAGUAUGACAACCAAGUUUGGAAUUUGGUUGACAAUGUACUAGGUCGUAAGAUGGUCUGGUGCAAAAUGAUCUUUAGGAAGAAGGUACUAAAACGUUUUGUGACAACCCGAAAUUUCCAUUUUGUACGAACAUUAGCUAUUCAAUAGAAGCUAGUCCAAUUUCAAUGAAUUUCAGACUUUUCUAAAUAAAUUUGUGUACAUUAGGGUUUACGUUUAAGGAGAUAUCAGGAGAGUGGAUGCUCAUGGGUUUGUGAAACUUGAGCAUUUCAAAACUUCAUAAUGUUAGAGUCCAAUUCCGGAAUAAAAAUAUUUUCUGCCAAAAUAUUUCAGGACUAUAAAUAGAUUUCUGAACUAAAUUCAUUCAUUAUUCACACUUCCAACUAGAGAAAAGCCAUUUUCUCUCUCACAGAUCUUCGGGUUUUCAUCCCAAAUCGUGAGUACACUUCUUUAGUUGUUUUAUAAUGCUUGUUAUAUGCUUAAUAACAUAGAUUACAUGUCAAAUAUGUGAGAUCCGGGAGUUUACCGCCCAAGAACGUUCUUGGGGAGUAAACUCGAAAAUAAAGCUUUAAGGCUAUCUAGUCCCAUUUCCUUGUUAGGUAACUAGCUUAGGAUAAUAUGUAGGAUCAUUUGAGACAAGAAAACAAUCCAGAACACAUAGCUUUAGGAGUUUUCGGCCCAAGAGUUUCUUGGACCGUAAACACCAAAUACAAGGGCUUAAAUGUGCCCUAAUCACUCCCAAAGGCUUUAGACUUUAACCCUAAAUUACUUCUAGCUAAUAUGGGGACAUUAACACAUCAAAAAAACCCCUAAAAGGGAGUUUACGGCCAAGAAAUGCUCUUGGGCCGUAAACACCAAUUAAGGGCACCAAAGUGUGCCUAGGGCCCCCCUUAGCAUAAAUCAAAUGCCUCGAAAGUAUUCUACUUGUGUUUGAGACUUGAAAGAAUUAAAACAUCCAUCCCAUGAGAGUUUACGGCCGUAAACUCUAAGGGAUAUGGCCUUUUGGCCGUAAACUCCUCAAAGGAGUGUUAUCUAUGCCCUAAACUACCCAAAGGAUUAAACCACCAAACUAGGCUUAUUCUAGAAAUCAUUUAGCACUUUAAAACACCCAUUACCACCAAGAUUGGAGUUCACGGCCGUAAACUCAAGGUUUUACGACCGUAAACUCCUUGUGUGGGGUUUAUUGGGUAGUAAACUCUUAUACAAAGUCCUUGGAAGCUUUAAACCCCUUUAGCUUGUCCCAUAACAACUUAGAUGCAACCAUUAGGACCUAUAACACUUAUACAAGGUGUUUACAUGUUCCUAAGUGUCCCAACUUAUUUCAUUAAGUUAUUAUUUGGCUAAUUAGUUAUAUAUAUGCUCAUUAUAUGAUAACUAGGCUCGUGCGUGUGAACAAGUCUCCGUUUGCCACCUAGCACGGUAUCCGACACUACAAUCCAAACCACUCACCACAAGUGAGUUCAUACCCCUUUAAUUAACCUUUGAAAUACUUUUAAAUGUUUUAAAUACUUUAUGGGGGGGAUACAAGUUAAAUGCUUAUAGUUAUUGCAUCAAUCACAUGUGAUUACAUUAAUCAUAUGUGAUUAAUAACUAGAAAACCAAUGAUCUUAUCACUGUUUAAACUGUUUAUCAAACUGUUUUACUUCAAACUGUUUUACAAACUCUUUUACUCAUCAAAUACUUUUAUUUAAACUUUGUUAUACUUCUUAUAAACCGCAUGCCCAUAUAUGUAUAGAUAUAUAAGCAAUGUUUAAAGGGUUUAGGAAGGUCAUCCGCCCUAUUUCCUUUUUCUCGAUUUGGAUGUGGUCUGGUGGGAUUUCGGGUAACCAUCCGAAGGUCGUUUCAAUAUUAAUUAUAUAUCAAAUGUACAUAUAUAGACAUAAAAGUACUCCUUNUAUACUAGGAGAAGAACAUAUACAACUAUACUAGAGGAAGAACAUAUACAACUAUACUAGAGGAAGAACAUAUACAACUAUACUAGAGGAAGAACAUAUACAACUAUACUAGAAAGAGAACAUAUACAACUAUACUAGAGGAAGAACAUAUACAACUAUACUAGAACAGUUCAUUACAUUACACAUACUAGAAUACGUUCAUUAUUGUGAUAUGAAUCGGGGCAUGACUUAAAUGCCAUGGCCCGAGUUGUAGCCAGAGUCUCUUGAAGGGAGAGCGUGAGUUUGCGUAUAGAUCUAUACUGGAUUGACUAUCCUACACCUUGCUGCUAGCUACAGCCGGACCUGCAGGUCUGCGGGUGCCAAACGUCAUUCCGUUAUUACGACCAUUCGUAUGUCGUUGUUACCAGUCGAUAGUAUGGUGCAAUUAGUCACAUGAUACCUUAAUAUAAAUCCGGUUUAAGGUAGUUAGUACAACAAUAGUUCCUAUAAUACAACACUACAGUACUACAAUAAUUUACCCAUUACAUAUAUUUAGUGAUUAUUUCACUUAAACAUUAAUGUACAAACUAUAUUUUGUUAAAUGAUAGUUACACUUGGGAAAUUACACACUUUUACAACAAACGAGCAUACAAAACAGUUAAGCCUUGGUAGAAGGCUACUUUAAUAGAAAAUAUAGGUUUUUCUGAGAGAUUCAAACUUUUACAAACACUUACAUACAUUUUACAAACUUACACUUGAGACACGUUCAAACGUUUUGAUAACAAACAUCGACACUAAAAUACUUAUGAACUCACCAGCUUAAUGCUGAUAAACUCUUUCAAAAUAACUUGUAUUCUCAGGUCAUCAAUAGACAGGUACUUAGGCCAGCUUUUGAGAAGAUGGAGCGCAUUCAAGACUCAUCUUAUUAUUUUGAUUUACAUUAUAUUUUGGUGUCUAAAACUGUACAGAACACGCUUGUAUUAAAAUUAUAUAUUUAAUGCAAUGGAUGAUGCUGUUUGCUUAUUUACAUUUACUGUGUUGUGAUACUUUACAUGACGUCCUCCGCCCCACAACGUUUCCGCCGUUCUUGGUUUUGGGGUGCGACACGUUUUAGUAUGGAGAAUUCAAAGAAGGCAGAGUUACCAAUCCAAAGUAAUGCGAAGUUGAGUACGACUCAAAGUCCGAGUACUGAAGUCGAGAUAGCAGAAAUGAGCUAAGUACCUUACGCUUCCGCAGUUGGCUCGAUCAUGUACGCUAUGACUUGUACUCGCCCUGAUGUGGCCUUCGCUUUGAGCAUGGUCAUUAGAUAUCUAGGGAACCCUAGAAAAGCACAUUGGACCGCAAUCAAGAAUAUUCUUAAGUACCAUCGAAGGACCAAGGAAUGGUUUCUAGUCCUCGGUGGGAGUGAUGACUUAAAGGUGCGAGGGUAUAGUGACGCCAGUUUUCAGACCGACAGGGACAACUACCGUUCGCAGUCGGGCUGGGUCUUUACCCUAAAUGGUGGAGCAGUGACUUGGAAAAGUUCCAAGCAAGAGACCGUAGCUGACUCAACAUGUGAAUCAUAGUACAUUGAAGCAAGCGAAGCGUCAAAUGAGGCAAUAUGGUUGAAGAACUUCAUUGGAGACCUUGGAGUUGUGCCGACCAUACAGGAGCCUAUUGAGAUUUUCUGUGAUAAUGAAGGAGCGGUUGCCUUGACCAAGGAACUGAGGGAUCACGGCAGAUCUCAACAUAUUGACAGAAAAUAUCACUUUAUUCGAUAUCAGAUGGAAAAAGGACUCCUCGUAGUGAAGUGCGUAUCGUCAGAAGAUAACCCAUCAGAUCUGCUUACGAAGGGACUGAGCAGGGUUAAGCACUUGCAGCAUGCUAGGAGCAUCGGGCUGAAGGACGAUAUUAGUUUAGAUUAGAUAGUUUGGAAACGUGUAAUAGAUAAAUUAUAAUUAACAUCUGAUGAUUAAAUAAAAGAGUAUUAUUUAUUAGUAAUGUUACUAUCUUAUGUUAAUUGUUUACCUAUUGUUUCAUUUUGCAUGUUUUGACUUCCUGAAUAAUAAGAAUUAUUUAAAUGGUCUACAGUUGUUCAUAUGUUGGAACUAGGUAUGAAUGAAGACUGUCAUGAAUUGGUGUGUAGAUUGUCUAAAGUGUAUUAGACAUAGCAAAAGUUUGCUACAACAUUCAUGAGUGCUUAUGAAAAGUUUUGAGCAUUGGAAUAAACCCAUGCUUGCUGGAAUCACUUCAUGGAAUUCAUCAUGAGUGAUCGCAAGACGAUAAUAUAUCAUAUGGUCUUAAAACAUAGAUAUAUGGUUUAUUGUUUUCUAAUUGGUUGUGCAUUGAUAAUGCGUAAACACAUCAGUAACUUGAUGUUAUAAAACGCAUUGUUGUGUAUGAUUUGAUUAGUGGAUAGUAAAUGCAUAUAAGUCUAAGUUCAUCUGUUCCUUUUAUCCUAAUAGGUUAAAAGUGAUAUCAGGACCCCUUGAUGAUUUGAUUUGACUUAUGUGUCGGGCCCGGUCAGGACUGAAUUGAUGUGUUCAAUUACGUUCUAUGUCAAAUGAAUCAGAGAUUAAGAAACAAACUGUUGGAUAAUAAGUAUGACUAUGUUCCAUGUAAUUGUCCGCAUGAUAUCUAGAACAAAGGAUUAUACGAUCCCUUAUCUUAAGGACAAGUUACUGAUAAGAUCAAGAGUUUUGAGAACUGUGAUUGCUAAUCGAAUCCAGAAGUUGCAUUUGCAUUUAUAGUUAUUAUCAAGGUUGUAAAAAAUUCUCGACGUUAGCUAGUCGGUGGACUGGGGUUAAGAGAUUAAUCGGGUAGGCGGAGAUUAAUCGGGGGAUUAAUGGAGACCAUUAAUUGAUAAUUUGUUGAAUUUUAAAAAAUUGAAUAUGACUAAUAUCAUAUCAAAGUCCGUAAGUACCACUAAUAUCAUAACAAAAUAGGUUGAUAUGUUUAAUACAACAUUAAUCAUGCUUGAAAUAGUUUCUAUUGAGAUAAAACUUCUUAAAAAUGUUUAAAUUUCAUCGUUUUAUACAGUUUUACUCAUUAUUUAUGCAUGGAUUAAUCGCUAGGUGCCAUCUAGUUGGUUGAGUAAUGCCUAGGGAUUAAUCGGAGAUUAAUCGGGACCUAGUCAUGAUUUUUACAAUAAUGGUUAUUAGACUUAUCCAAGUAGGGGAAUGUUGGAUUAGUGUCCAAGUCCAUAACUAUAUUUGGUAUGUAUUUGACCCAGUUAUGCAUGGUCCUUUUAGGUUGCCUUCACCAAAGCAACUUGAUUGGAGGAAUAAUAUAGAAAGAGGUGAUUAUGGUUUAUUAAUAUAUUAUAAGAUUUAUAUAUUAAAGGAGAAAUCAUGUUUGUUUAAUUAACGUUGGUCAAUAAUUAAUUAAACAUUAGUUUUGUGAUCAAAAGAAGUUAAUUGAACUUAAGGGGCUGAACUGUAAUUAUGUGAUAGUUACAAAGUUAGGCAAGGAAACCUUAAUGGAUAGGGUGGACAAAUUCUGGGGAUAAUGCCUUAAGAAUUCGUCCAUGAUAGGGAUUCUAGAAUUAUCUUAUAGGCUGCUUGGUGGCUAAGUAACCAGAUAAGGAUAAUGACUGAAACCCUAAUUCAUACACCUAUAUAAAGGACCAUUGGGCAUGGGAAUUUCGGCCACUUGAACCCUAGAAGUCCUAGAGCUGAAAUUCUCCUCUCCCCUCUCUCUCUUGCUUCCUCCAAUUGCUAUUGGUGUUUGUGAUUCAUUAGAGGCACAACACUUAAGGUGCUAAAGUUUUCAAGGCUUCAAGAUCUUCAAUCAACAACAAGGUAAACAUCUAGAUCUACUUUGCUAUGUUAAUUUCGAUUAUAUACACUAGAUCUAGGGUUUGAAAGUCUUGGAUGAAUGCAUGUACAAUUAGAGAAACCUAGAUCCAAGCAUUAGGGUUUGCAGGAGCACAUAGGGUGUUCUUUUGGCUCAAACCCAUCACGCCCAAUGUACGUAGGGACCUCCUUUACAAAUAAGUUUCAUUCCAAGGGUUAAAAGGGUAAAUACCUACAUUCCGAAUGUUACAUAUAGAUAGUAAAAUACUUGAUUCUACCCUAAGCCCUUCAUCAAACAAGAAAAUGAAAUAAAGCUAAACAAAAAUUCUCAAGCUAUACAAUCUUAGUUAUGUACAACUACGAUGCAUACACUAAGCAACUACAAUAAUGACGCUAAUUAUAUAUAAGAAGUAAUCCUAGGGUAUCAAGCAUCCUAUAUCAGGAAAUCCUUUCAUGUAAUUCCUGAAGAUCCCUAUCCUACCACUAGCAUGAUGUUAUAUCAUGAAAAACAUAUCAAGUAACCGUGUGGGUAACUUUGGGUAAAUUUUCUUGCUCUGGCUGAUCAUACACAUCGCAUCAUUCCUUGGUUACUUUUGAAAACAAUUUUUGAAAACCAUUAAAAGAAAACUUUACAGCUUCCUAGUUUGAGUUUGGAUUCACACGAAUGUUCAUCCAGUUCUCUCAAACCGAGGCUCUGUUACAAACUUGUAACACUCCAAAUAUCAUAGAAAAUUAAAAAUUUUAAAUUUCAACCAUUAACCAACAUUUUUUACAAAAAGAGUCAUUGCUUCAAAAGUAUUAUUCAAAAUCAUAGUUUUUCCUAAGACCUAAUAACACAAAAUAGGAAGAUGUGCACGAUCACGCCUUCUCCUUCCUACGAUCAUCCGAAGUACCUAAAACAAUAAACUGAAAUUGUAAGCCAAAGCUUAGUGAGUUCCUCCAAAGUACCAUCAUGGAACAUAUAAAAUACAUAGAUUAACAUGUUGGGUCCAUAACCUCCCAGUUGGAUUACCUUGGCUCACAACCUCCCUGUUGGAUUGCCCUGCAUACCACAUACUGGGUCCACUACCUACCGACUGGGUUGACUUAGAUGGUUUGUGGAGUUUGGCCUAUUUUGACCCAAGGAUAUUUUGGAUAAGUUGGUAGUUAUUUAAGUCGACCAAUAUUUUGGGAUAAUAGGUGUCGAGUAGAGCCGGUUGUCAGGGAAGAGAUUUAUUCAGCUUAUGUUCAGACUGAGAGGUGAGUUUUCCUCACUGUACUUACGGGUCGAAGGCACCAAGGCCGACCCAACGAAUUGAUAUCCUGUCUAUACUGAUUGAAGAUAUGUUGAGUAUGCGAUAGAUCUGAAUGAUUAUAUGAUAGUUAUGAUAUACGUUAGACUGGUAGAUCUAUAGGGCUACCUAUGAUUAUUGGUUGUAUAAUCAUCUGUAUGUUGUAUAUAUAUUAUAUGUUAUAUGCCGACAUGUUACAUUGGGGUUGAGACUACUGCUUUGUGUCGUCAGUCAACAGACCAUGUCAAUCCAAUUGGGAUGUUGUGGGCUAGGGUAAUUCAACCAGGAGGUUGUGGACACAAUAUGCUAAUCUGUGUAUUUUAUAUGUUGCAUGAUGGUACUUUGGUGGAACUCACUAAACUUUGUGUUAUAGUUUCAGUUUAUUUUCAGGUACUUCUGAUGAUCGCGGUACGAUGAAGGUGUGGUCAUGCACAUCUUCCUGUUUUGUGUUAUUGGGUCUUGGUGAAAACUCUGAAAGUCAUGACACACUUCAAAUUGAAGUAUUUCGAUGGUACAAUCAAAAUCUCUAUUGGAUAAAAUUUAGUGACAACAACAGAGAAUUAAAAGGUUACGAUUCUUGUGUGUACCAUAUUCAAAUACCCAAAAAGGGAUAUAACUCCUUGUUCGAAAUAAAGCUAAACCAAAAAUUCUCAAGCUAUAGAAUCUUAGUUAUGUACAACUAUGAUGCAUACACUAAGCAACUACAAUAAUGAUGCCAAUUCUAUAUAAGAAGUAAUCUUAGGGUAUCAAGCAUCAUAUAUCAAGAAAUUCUAUCAUGUAAUUCCUGAAGAUCCCUAGCCUACCACUAGCAUAUUGUUCUAUCGUGAAAAACAUAUCAAAUAAUAGUGUGGUUAACUUGGGGUAUACUUUCUUACUCCGGCUGAUCGUACACAUAUCAUCAUUCUUUGGUUACUUUUGAAAACCAUUAAAAAAACUUUUACAGCUCCCUAGUUUGAGUUUGGAUUCACACGAAUGUUCAUCCAAUUCGCUCAAACCAAGGCUCUAAUACCAACUUGUAACACUCCAAAUAUCAUAGAAAAUUAAAAAUUAAAAAUUUCAACCAUUAACCAACAUUGUUUACAAAAAGAGUCAUUGCUUCAAAAGUAUUAUUCAAAAUAAUAGUUUUUCCCAAGACCCAAUAAUACAAAGCAGGAAGAUGUGCACGAUCAUGCCUUCGCCUUCCCGCGAUCAUCAGAAGUACCUGAAACAAUAAACAGAAACUGUAAGCCGAAGCUUAGUGAGUUCCCCCAAAGUACCAUAAUGCAACAUUUAAAAUACAUAGAUUAACAAAAUGGGUCCACAACCUCCCAUUUGGAUUACCUUGGCCCACAACCUCCCCGUUGGAUUGCCUUGCAUACUACAUACUGGGUCCAUAACCUUCCGACUAGGUUGACUUGGCUAGUUUGUGGAGUUUGACCUAUUUUGACCAAAGGAUAUUUUGGAUAAUUUGGUAGUAAUUUAAGUCGGGCAAUAUUUUUGGAUAAUAGUUGUUGAGUAGAGUCGGUUUUCGGGGAAGAGAUUUAUUCAGCUUGUCUUCUUACUCAGAGGUGAGUUUUCCUCACUGUACUUAUAGGCCAAAGGCACCAAGGCCGACCCAAUGGAUUGAUAUCCUGUUAGGUACUGAUUGAUGAUUUGUUGAGUAUGCGAUAGAUCUGUAUGAUUAUAUGAUAGUUAUUGAUAUACGUUAGACAUGUAGAUCUAUAGGGCUACCUGUGAUUAUUGGUUGUAUAAUCAUAUGUCUAUUGUAUGUAUAUUAUAUGUUAUAUGUCAACAUGUUACGUUAGGGUUGAGACUACUACUUUGUGUCGUCAGUCAACAGACCAUGAGAAUCUAACCGGGAGGUUGUGAGCCAGAGUAACCCAGCCGGGAGGUUGUGGGCCCAACAUGCCAAUCUAGGUGUUUUAUAUGUUGCAUGAUGGUACUUUGGAGGAACUCACUAAGCUUUGGCUUACAAUUUCAGUUUAUCGUUUCAGGUACUUGUGAUGAUCGCAGGACGGUGAAGGUGUGAUCAUGCACAUCUUCCUGUUUUGUGUUAUUGAGACUUAGGAAAAACUCUGAUUGUGAAUAAUACUUUUGAAGCAAUGAAUCUUUUUGUAAACAAUGUUGGUUAAUGGUUGGAAUUUUUUUUUUUUUUUAAAUUUUUAUGAUUUUUGGAGUGUUACAUUGGUUUUGUCUUAUAACUGAUCCAAACCCCCACACACCCUUGUUAAUCAUCAAAGAAGAAUCCAAUUAGAACUAAUUCUAUUCAACAAUAACAACCAUAGGGUGUUAGAAAUCCAUUACCUCAAAUGUAGGGAUCUUUUGAUGUCUAAGAACAUUAAUCAAGAUAAAUUAAUAAGGAUAUUCAAUUAAACCAAAGGUCUUUUGGCCUAGCACUAUCAUAUGUUGGAAAAAUGACCCUUCCUAAUGUUAGAAAAACGGGUUAUUUCGAUUGCUUGGAUUCCACUGAAAGUCAUGAUACACUUUCAAAUUGAAGUAUUUCGGUGGUACAAUCAAAAUCUCAAUUGGAUAAAAUUUAGUGACAACAAUAGAGAAUGAAAAGGUUAUGAUUCUUGUGUGUACCAGAUUCAAAUGACCAAAAAGGGAUAUGACUCCUUGUCCGAAAACUGUCAUAUUAACAGUUACAAACUGCCACAAAGCUGUCACUAAACUUGUAACACCCCAAGUUCAGAAGUGCAAGUUCAGGGUUCUUGGUGUAAUUAAGGAAGAUCGACUCGGCGAGUCGAGUCGUGAUUUGGCCAUGUGCUAAGUGACUGACUCGGCGAGUAGGCAGCUAGACUCGACGAGUCAGUGCUGGAGUGAGAAACCCUAAUUCAUGGGGUUUGCACCCUAUAUAAGGAACCUUAAGUCCCACCCCAGCCUCUUUAGGACUCCCUCUGAUGUCCAGAAACUUUCCACAUCGAUUUCAAACCCUAAAUUGAGAGUGAGAGGGAUUUAAGUGUGUUUUGGAGCUUGAAGAAGAAGGAUACUUGAAGCAAGAGUUGGUGGGAUCAUAGAGGAGCGAAGUGGAUCUGAUUUCCUUGCUUCUUGGCAUCAGCAUCAAGGUAAAAAGUUGUUGCCUUGACUUUGUUGUGUUUAGAUGGUUCAUGAAUGAAGUUUUAGGGCCAAUUUAUCAUAUAUGAGCCUCUUUUCGAGUAUUGGGUUUAGAUCUGUGGUUGCUACUACAGAUCUAGACUGGUCCUGACUCAUGAAUCUGGAAAGUGAUAGCUUUGGGGCUUGAUUGAGAGUGUCCUUGCCUUAAAACUUCACUUUAGCUUGAGUAGAGCUUGUUGAGCCUUGCAUGCACGUAAAGUUGGAAACUUUACAUGUAGAUCUUGCCCUAGGAGUCCAGAUCUAUGUAUUGAAAGCAAUAGUUUGGCCUGUGAUCAUCUGAAUGAAGGUAUUACGUAUGGACUCGGCGAGUCUGGGAGAUGACUUGACGAGUCGGACAAAAGAUUUGGAAUGAAUCGCGUAGUAACUCGGCGAGUCACAUGGGUGUACUCGACGAGUUGGAUGAAGAUAGGCAAGAACUCGACGAGUUGGAAGAACAACUCGACGAGUCUAUUGAAGAUUGCCUUGGGCUCAACGAGUCUGUUCUUGGACUCGGCGAGUCUGGUCGAGGAGUCCUAACCUUUUCUGGUUAAGUCGUGAAUCGGUGAGUCGAAGGAUGACUCGGUGAGUUGAGCAUGAAGGGACUCAGAGUUUGUUGGACUCGGCGAGUCUUGGGGCAACUCGACGAGUUGAGUCGUAAUAUGAGAGUUUUGAGUAUGGGAACUCGAAGAGUCAACGAGUUGACUCGGCGAGUAGGGUCAACCAGGAAGGUUGACCUUGACUGAGGACUUGGACUUUAACCAAGGGUUGACCAGUUGACUUCCGGGGGUAUUUUGGUAAUUAUUGGUAUUUAUUGAUUUGGUUUUUGGUAAUGAUCAGUGGCGGAGUUCGUGCUGGUGGUUGGAGCAGCGUGAUCUUAUUCUUCAGUCGGCAGUGACAGUUGAGUUAUCCUCACUAUACUGACAGGGUCUACGGCACCAAGGCCGACCCUCCAUCGGAUGGAAAUCCGGGUAUUGUUGUUAUGUUAUUGCUAUAUGGAGAUCCUUGUUGAUGGAAAGGCGGCCGACGAACGCUCGGUGGACUCUAUAUCCUCAAGGAAUCAAUUUGGAACCCGGAAAAUCAUAUUUAUUUAGGAAUGUAGCAUAUGGUUUUAGAGGUUGUCCUAAAUGGGAGGAUGUGGAUACGGUUAGUUAAGUUUAAUAAUUAUUAUUUUAUAUAUAUAAUAUUACUGAAAUUACUAGUAUUUAAUUUAUAUUUUUUUUGCAGGUUAUAUCUGUAAUAAAUGUUGUGCAUACCCAUUGGUUUUUGGUGGUUCUACAUUUAGAUACCUGGAAAGUAGAAAUUUUUGAUUCAGCACAAGUUGCGGGUUACUUCUCAACAUACAACACUAAUGGAGAAUUCAAAAGUUUUGGAGAUAGUAUUAUCUCAGAGUUGGAUGCCAUUGAUUACUGGAGCCAUUUCCCCCAUUGGACACAGAGACAAGCAAAGGUCGAGUUUUUUGAUGUUUNGACACAGAGACAAAGCAAAGGUCGAGUUUGUUGAUGUUGUAGACGCCCCACAACAAGAAUAUAGUCUUGAAAGAGGGGAUUGUGGAGUAUUUGUAUGCAUGUUUAUGGAAAUGAUUGUUUCUGGGGGUACCAGUGGCGAUUUCAAGGACAUGUAGAGAAGCUGCAUUUCUCUAUAGAAAUAAGAUGGCAAAUGUUAUUUGGGAUACUAUAUAAGUUGAUAUUAGGAACUUUGUAUAUAUAUUAAUAUUAAAUACUUGUUUCUAGUAUGUAAUCGUGUCACUUCUGGUAGUAUGUAAUCUUGUAAUUAUCUUUUAUAUUUUUUAAACAUAAUUCACCAAAAAAUGUUACGAAACCAUACAUUCAAACAAAAUAAACAUUACAAAUAACAUGAAUACAUUACAAUAGAGUCGUCUACAUAAAAAUAAGGUUUCUUACGACUAACAAACAUUAGAUAAAACAUUGGAAAUAAAAUACUCAUCUACUUGAAAAAAACUUUAUCUUUUACCAGAUUCCAAACGUCCGUAUACUCGAAAUCAUGUCCAUCAAACUUGCAUAGGUAAUAUCCAUUCACAUCUUCAAGAAGUUCUUCAUUAUCUGCUUGAGAGCGUCGCAUUUUCUCAGGAUUGUAGCAUCGAUUGAACCAUGUGACCUUAAACUUUAAAUCCAUCCAUUUACUAACAAUAGCAGGUUUUAGUCGUUCGUGUCCUUGCCCGACUUGAUAGUUGAACAAAGCUAUGAGGCGGGACCAUUCAUCACCUACAAGGCAAUUCAGGGGAGCCAUCACUGGUAGACCCUCGUAAAUGGUAAUCCAACUUUGUAUUAGGACCAACAACUCUGUUGGCGUCCAUGGAGAUGUACAAUUUGUUGGAGAGGCUGCAUUAGAUGGAUUUGUUGCAUUCGAAGAACUUGGUACAUUGGACGCCAUUUCUUAAUUGAUCUACUAUCAACUAAAGAAUUGAAUUUCGUAUAGACACUACGUUUAAUAUAUGUACAAACAUAUGUUAUACAAAGAUAUGUCAGUAACGCGGACUGACGAGCCAGUAACGCGGACUUACGAGCCAGUAACGUGGACUGACAACGAUUAAUAUAUAUAAAUAGUUUCUUAAUGCGGACUGACGAGUCAGUAACGCGGACUUACGAGUCAGUAACGCGGACUGACAACGAUUAACAUAUAUAAAAAGUUUCUUAACGCGGACUAACGAGUCAGUAACGCGGUCUUACGAGUCAGUAACACGGACUGAAAACGAUUAAUAUAUAUCAAAAGUUUCUUAACGCGGACUGAUGAGUCAGUAACACGGACUAACAAUUACUAGACAAAACAGUUUUGCGGACUGACAAGACAGAAACACGGAUUGACAAGUCAGUAACGCGGAGUGAUCAUUGGCUUUGCGGACUCACAAGUCAGUAACGCGGACUGACAACGAAGUAACACGGACUAACAACCCCGUAACGCGGAUUGAGAACGCAGUAACGCGGACUAACAAGUCUAUAUAAAACGACAAACAACAAUGUAUCACUUCAUCUAAGGUAUUUUAGUUCAUGUGCUUUGUAUGUUUUACAANUUCAUGUGCUUGUAUGUUUUACAAUGGGUUCAAACCAAUGGACCGCUAACGAGUAUUUCCUUCUAGCUCGUGCAUAUAUUAAUGUCAAAGAGAACACCAGUUUGGAGGAUAUAAUGUUUUUCUCCCAACUAACGAAUACCUUCAACACUGACGCUGAAACCACCAUACAAAACCAUCGCAACACGCUUGAUAUAGCUACAAAAUGGUAUGAAUUGAAAACGGAAGUUGUGUUAUUAAACGAUCUUUAUAAUAAGAUUGAAGAUGAUCAUGUCAAUGAUACUGAGGAAGAGAUCUUGGAGGUGUCUAAAGAAGAAUACAAAUCCAUUAGCAACGGACAGAGUUUCGAGUUUGAAGCCCCUUGGAAUCUUUUGAAAAAUGUACCGUUUUUUUAAGUAGAACUGCAUUUUGUAUUGUUCUUGUAUUUCUUUAUUUAAAUGUAAUAUGGUAUUUAUCCUUUAUUUUAAAAAAAAAUAUUUGACCAACAAAUGUUACAAAACCAUACAUUCAAAAAACAUUAUCUGACAAACAGCUUACGCGGACUGACAAAUAAGCUACGCGUAAUGACAACACAUUUACGCGGACUGACAAGUAAGUUCUGCGGAAUAAUGUAUACUAAUUCCUUAUAAAUUUUGACAACCAUGACGAAAAUUUACAAGGUGUCGAAAGUUGUGAAAAUGAGUUCAGUCAAUCAGGUAUUAAGGAAAAGUUUCUCCAGCCUACCGACUUUUUUCCAUAAGCUGCAAAGAAGCAAUCCUACCACCUUCACGUACAUUACGAAGGAUCGGUACAAUCGUUUCCAAAUUUGUUUCGUGGCAUUGGGAUGCGUGGUAUGUAAUCCCUUAUAGUAAAUAAAUAUUUAGUUAUUUCAAGUUGGUAUAUGCCUAAUAUUCUUAUGUUGACUUACAGAUUCGUACAUUUCUCACGUCUAUGAUAUCAAUCAUAUUCGUUGGUCAAGUACCUCUAAUUGGGGCAUAUGUAACAUCCAUGUACAUUGCUUUUGCUUUAGAUGGAAAUCAUGAACCCCUUCUCAUAGUGUUUGCCUUGGGAACCAUAAAUUGUGACAAUUCAUGGUUAUGGUUCAUAAGGAGGCUUAAAGACUGUUUAGGUGACAAUACAUAAUUUGGUUUCAUAAGCCAUAUGUCUGAUUCUAUGGACUUUGCAGUCCACAGAGUCUACCCUGAUUCAUAUCAUGGCUAUUGUUGUAAAAAUAUAGCCAAGAAAAUACGCGCUUCCAUCGGAACCAAUACAGUCGUAGAACAGUGGUUCUGUAAGACGUGUAAAGCAUAUAAUUUAUCUCAAUUUUAUGCAUGUUUGAACAAUUUAAAAAAUGAGGUAAAUGGGAAUGAUCUUCAUUGGCUUGACAAUAUUCCCAUUGCAAAAUGGGUACGGGCUUGUUUUCCAAGAGUAAGUUUCAAUGUUAAAUUCAUUGACAUUCCCGAUGUUUUCAAUUGGUUUAAAACAAACACGCAUGAGUUUCCAAUAACAACAAUCAUUGAAAUGGUUCAUGACUCGAUGUAAGAAGUUUAUCUUCGACGUGCUGUUUUUGGAGGUAAUUAUAAGUUAUGACAUCAUUAAAACGGUGAAUUGAUAUGUUUAUUAUACGUUAUGACCUUAUAAUUUUUUUUAUUGAUUCAGUUGAUUUCACAGGGGAUAUCCAUAAUCUUCUAACCCCUUAUGCACUUAAGGUGAUUCAUAAAAGAUUUAUCCACUCGGAUGGUUGUAGGAUUACGCAUAUUGUUGGCGAUAGAUAUGAAGUGACUAAGUAUUCAACAACCGAAUAUGUACAACUAGACCGUGGUAUUUGUAGUUGCGGUAAAUGGCAAAAAUGCGGUAUACCUUGUGAGCAUGCUAUAGCUUCACUACACAGACUCGAAAUUGCAGAAAUCCAUCAAAUGGUAAAUUUAAAGUUAAGUACAGCGGUGUAUCGAAAUGCUUAUCAAACUGAGACGGUCUAUCCUAUUCCAACCCUUAGGCAUUGGGAAAAACCAGUCGAAAGUGUUGUGGUCUUACCUCCACGCCAAUUCAAUUGAACUUUAUUGUAUGGAUCACAACGAAUAUUAGUUUUUAUUCAGUUCUAUGUUAACCGUACUUGUAAUGGUUUGUUGGCAUUCUUUACUUUUUAAUAAAAAAAAUGUUUACCUUUAAAUAAAUAAUUGUAUUUUCAUAAUUGUAAUAUGUAUGCAUGACAACGACUAGACAAAAAAACUAUGCGAACUGACAAACGCAGUAACGCGGACUGACAAAAACCUCUACGGACUAACAACAGCUCUCUGCAGAGUGGAAGGGACUAUAUAUAGUCAUGGAUGGUCGUCGGAUUUUUCGUAUAGAGUUAUAAUUUUUUAAAUUUAAAAUGACUUCAUCUUCAUCUUUGUAUAUUUGCUCGUGCAACGAAGUUGAUUGUUUCUAUUGUGAUCCGAUCGACCCUUUUCUUGCACCAUCACCAAAUUUAAGAGAGUCAUAUAUGUCGGAGGAUACUUUGCAACAACUACAAUGGGCUGAAGAACAACAAAAAAAAAGAUAAAGACUCGUCUCGGGCUCUCACUGAACGACGUGACCUCAUUGCGGCGGAGUGCAAAGAUGUUGAGGAAAGGAUGACGAUUACAAAAAAAAAUCAAAAAUCAUGGGGAAUGGAAAAAAAAACNCUAAGAAGAAUCUCAAACUGUCUGAAAAAUGGCUUGCUGACAAGGAUGCAGAAAUGAUAGAACUUGGUAGGCAAAAGGACCGUAUGGAAGAUAAAAUAAGAAUAAGGGACGACUACAUAACAAUGGAGAAAGAAAAGUAUCCUUUGCAAUUCCCUUAAGUUAAUUACCGUUGUUGUACGUUUACUAUAUGUUUCUAGUUUGUUGAAUGUAUUAACUUCGAGUAUUAGUUAUUAUUCUACUAGUAAUUAUGCAGUAAUAUAAUCAUAAUAUUACCCAUCAUCUUUAAAAUAAACACACCAGCUCAAAGUAGACAAAUUAAUGUCCUCUAAAACAAAACAUAAUUAAUUAUAAAUACAACAUCAAUCAUUCAAAUCAAACGUUGAACAAUAGUCUUCUCUCUACGUCCCACUCGUCCAACGCGUGUCUUGUGUCCCGUGCGUCUCUAGCGUCUCCUGAGUCCCUUCUGUCCCUUUCCCUUUUCCUUUUGUGUUACUACUUGAUGUCGUAUUAGUUUUUCUAGCCUUUUUUUGUUUCUUUGGGACCAAUGUCGGACAAGUCGCUGCAUUAUGUGUUGUACUAUCACAUCUACUACACCUUCUUAUUAUAGGUUCCUCACCUUGUGACGGAAUACGAUUUCUGUUUCUCGGUCUACCAGCUUGACGUGUAUCCAUUAUCGGGGGUUUCACAACCAUCAUGUUAGCAGGAAUCUCCCAAUCACACGGUUCUGGAAGGGGGUAAACCGGCUCCUCAUACGUACUUCGGUAUGUUUCCAUUUUGUAAGCAUCUAUAGCCAGAUGUCCGAAGUUAGUUUUUUUCAAGUGCUUCAAGACCAUUAUCACAUGACCACAAGGCAACCCAGUUCCUUCCCAAUAUUUGCAUGUACAAGUCUCUUGCCUCAGAUCAACUAUGCCACCAUGUUUGAAAUCAUGAACUUCAUAAAGUGCAUCUGAAACACCAGAAAUGGACCAUCCUGUCGUACGCUCUUCAUUUUUACUAACUACUUUUUCAGCCCACUCGGUUAGCACUGUUGAACGUUUCCCUAUAAAGAAGAUAUAUAUAAUUAACUAAUUAUUCGACCUAAUUAAAGACAAAAUAAAAUUCAUACCUCCUUCGAUGCGACGCUUGUAACACCAUUCCUGUGAAAGACGUCGGAAGAACUCAAGAAGGGGUAUUAUAGGCAUCUUCCUUGCAUCUACAGAUAAAGCAUUCAUGAACUCUGCACUGUUCGAGGUCAUGUAAUCGUAACGUUUCGAUGGCGAAUAUGCUCUAGUCCAUUUAACACAGGGAAUUUCACUUAGAUACGCUGCUACUUGCGGCCUAGUAGAACUAAAUAUAUACCACAAUUCUUCAAAAACAUUUCUUUUGUAAGCUUUCACAAGCCUCCAAAACAACCCUUUUGUUUUAUCAUUUUUCCCAAACUUGUGUACUAUGUUUCCUAGUGUGACAUCCCCAAAAUCUUGGCCAGAAAAGACCGAUUUCAUUGAUGCUUUUUAAAAUAAUUUCAGAGUAAAUCCUUUUGAUUUUAAAAGAGAUGCGGAAUUUGUUCCCAAAAACAAAACAUGAUAAAAUAGAUCUUUUAUCAAAACAUUUCAUAAAGAAAUAUAAUUUCAUUUCAUAAUCAAAACCGGGAUGUCAUGUUCCGAUACAGACCAUAAAGCAUAAACGAUAACAUUACAAGUCAUUCAACAAAUAUUAUACAUAUGCAGACUUGUAAACAAAACAACUUGAUGAUUCAUCCAUCUUAUGCCCUUACGCCACUUCCUGUAAUACAAGUAAACUGAGUGGGUCAGGCUUGGGAGCCUGGUGAGCAUAUAGGGUUUUCAACCCACAAUAAAUAAUUAUAUUUAAUUCAACAAUCAACAAUAACCCGAUUACCCAUUCCCGUUUUCCUUACUUUACGUCCCUAAAACAACAUCUAUUAUAAGGGACCUAAUCUAGGAGUUUCAUCGGGACAAACAUUACUGCAAAGGGGCUUCCUUAGCAAUAAAUAUCCUAAAGGCAACCAUGAGGGGGAUAUAGUUCACCGGUGAACACGUCGUUCACAAGACCUACAGGUUAUGAGCCUACUAGUGUUCCACAGGACUGUCUAGAAUAGUCCGUGGUCGUCAUCCAUACUCUGCUGAAUGACUAGAAUAACACCAACAACAUCGAGGCCUCUCAUCUGUUUAUUACACACCAACUAUCUACCCAUGUUCUACCCAACAUAUUAGUAGAUAAAAAUAUACAUUUGUAUACAUAGUUUAAAACCUGUAUAGCAUGCUCAAUCAAUACAUUUUUCCACAUAACAGAUGAGGUACACACACAUAACACGUAUUUCAUAGAGAAUAAAUCAGAUCUAUGAGAUAGAAGAAAGUGAAUAUACAUCCACACAUAUAGUCAACAAAGUAUACACGUAACACGUAUUUCGUAUAAAAUACUUCAUAAUAAUGUGUUAGAAGAAAAUGACUACACACUCACUUGAUCAGAAGAUGAUCGGGCAACACUACGACUUGUAGAAGUAGUGUUUCUCCGUAGAUCUGGAAGAUCUUCACAUAAACCGGGCUCCUCGCGGGCAGGUCUUCGGCUCUGAAAUCUCACUUCUCGGGAUUCUCGGGACUUCGGAUCUUGCUUCGGGGCUCGCGAAUAAUAUUGGGGCUUCGGGGUAUGAUUGGCAAGCAAAUCGAGGCAAAAACUAGAGAGAAGAAAGAGUUUGAACUAGAGAAAAUGGUUGAUCUCGCAUUCUAUUUAUAGGCUGCUGGGUCUAGGAUUAUGCCGGGCGUAAUUUCCAGGUACGCUGGGCGUACUAAGUACACUGGGCGUAAUUAGGUUACGUUGGGCGUACUUUGACGUCACUGCAUGCGUCAAUUGGUGGCACUCGAGUAUUGGUCAGACAAGUUGCACCCCUCUGAGUACGCUGGGCGUACUCAAAUUACGCUGGGCGUAAUUUGACUCGUCAAACUUCUAAAUUGCGUAACUUUGGCAUACGAGCUCCGUUUUCGACGUUCUUUAUAUCAACGCGUAGGUUAGACCAUACUCUACAACUUUCAUUUAGACUCAAUUUUUACUUUUAUUUUUAUUAUUUAUUUUUAGUAGGCCGGGACAGGAAAACUUCGUUAUAAAUUCAUAACUUCUUCGUUCGACGUCCGUUCUCGCCUAACUUUUCAUCGUUUCACUACUAACAACGAGAUAUUCGAUUCUCGUUUAGAUUGUUCUGGCUAAAAACCGCUCGAUCUCAAAUCGAGUAUUCGGGCUGCAUACUGCCAAGUCGAAACUUCAGANGAAAAUCAUAUUCCUCAUACGAAGUCAGAUUUGGGCGUUCUAUAUAUAUUUAGAAACCUAGUUUCAACUACUACAACAUUAUCCAAAGAUAUCGAGUUUAUUUUACACUUCAUUUUGACGCUAAUUUUUAUUCUUAAUUCAAUUAAAUUAUAAUAAUUAAGAAAACACACACAUAAUUCACAUAAUUCACAAAUAAUACAUUUUUAUUAUUUCAGAUUGGGUUACAAAGGUUAACCUAGACUAUUACAUUGCUAAAAAUGGCAAGCCCAUAAUCACGGGCGUUACAAUUUUCUCCACCUUAGAAUGAUUCCGUCCCUGGAAUCACACAUCAACAAAUAAAUGCGGAUAGCGACCCAUCAUGUCACUCUCCGUCUCCCAGGUGAGAUACGACCCAUUCGUGUGUUUCCAACGGACAAGCACUAACUCAACCAUCUUACGUCGCAAUUUCUUAGUCUUCCGGUCAACGAUUGCUUCUGGUUCUUCAAUCAAUCUUUUGUUUUCAUCAAUUAUUAACUCUGAAAGUGGAAUCAUGUCGGGAACUUCUCCCGUGAACUUCCUCAAGUAACACAUAUGAAAAGUGUUAUGAAUUCCAUUCAGUUCUUCGAGUAGUUCGAGCUUGUAAGCUUGGUUCCUAAUUCUCUGAAGAACUUUAAACGGUCCAAUAAACCUUGGACUUAACUUUCCCCUUUUACCACAUCUUAUAAGUCCCUUCCACGGCGAGACUUUAAGCAAAACCGAAUCUCCAACUUCAAAAGUCAUCGGUCUUCGCUUUUUGUCAGCAUAGCUCUUUUGACGGUCGUGAGCUGCUAACAUUCUUUCCCUAAUUAUUUUCAACUUUUCAGCCGUUUGAUGGACUAUCUCUGGUCCCAUAAACUGCUUUUCCCCAGCCUCAAGCCAACAAGACUGCGUACGACACUUCUGUCCGUACAAAGCUUGAUAAGGUGCCAUCUUAAUGCUCGAGUGGAAACUAUUAUUAUAGGAAAAUUCUACCAAUGGUAAAUGUUCAUCCCAAUUACCUAGGAAUUCCAAGGUACAUGCUCUCAGCAUAUCUUCAAGUGUUUGUAUCGUUCUUUCACUCUGACCAUCAGUCUGCGGAUGGUAAGCUGUGCUUAAACACAACUUGGUACCCAAUUCCUCUUGUAGACUUUUCCAAAACCGUGAGGUGAAACGACUAUCACGAUCCGACACAAUUGUUAACGGAACACCGUGAAGCCUCACAAUUUCCUUCACGUAAGAAUUCGCAAGCUUUUCCAUAGACCAUUUCUCAUUGGCUGCUAUGAAAUGCGCACUCUUAGUGAAUCGAUCAACGACCACCCAAAUCAUGUCGUGACCAUUCUUUGUUCUGGGCAGUUUAGUGACAAAAUCCAUAGCAAUGUCUUCCCACUUACCCAUAGGCACAGGCAAUGGUUCUAAACUCCCGUACGGUUUCUGAUGUUGUGUCUUGACUCUCGCACAAGUCACACACUCGGCCACAUACUUUGCAACAUCAAGCUUCAUCGUCGGCCACCAGUAGUAGGGUUUCAGGUCCCUAUACAUUUUAGUGCUACCCGGAUGAAUCGAGUACAUGGUCUUGUGAGCUUCUUCCAUCAGAAGAUCUCUGACUCCUCCUGUCUUAGGUAUCCAAAUCCGAUCUUGGAACACCUUCAGUCCAUGACUGUUUACACCGAACACCAACGUUUUGCCCAAACGUUCCUCCUUUCUGUCAUUCUUCUCAGAAGCUUCGCUCUGAGCUUUCUUUAUACUUUCCAAAAUAGUUGAGACAACUUCAAUUCUCAACGCUCUUGGCCUUUUCCUUUCGGGAUUGACUUUCCGACUGAGAGCAUCAGCAACAACAUUAGCUUUACCGGGGUGGUAAAGUAUCUCGCAGUCAUAGUCUUUAAGUAAUUCUAGCCAGCGUCGUUGCCUCAUAUUCAAUUCUUUCUGAUUAAAGAGGUAUUGGAGACUCUUAUGAUCAGUGAAAAGUUUGCACUUCGUGCCAUAGAGGUAAUGCCUCCAUAUUUUCAGAGCGAAAACUACCGCUGCCAACUCCAAAUCAUGAGUCGGGUAAUUCUUUUCAUGCUCUUUCAGCUGUCGAGACGCAUAUGCUAUCACCUUUUCUCUUUGGGUCAAAACACAACCCAAUCCAACACCAGACGCAUCGCUAUAAACAGCGAAGUCUUCAACUCCAUCGGGUAGAGAAAGUAUCGGUGCCUCGCAUAGCUUCUUCUUUAACUUCUCGAAUGCUUCUUUAUGCUUCUCACUCCAAGCAUAAGUAGCUCCUUUGUGGGUCAAAGCUGUCAAUGGAGUAGCAAUCGAAGAAAAGCCUUGGAUAAACCUUCAAUAAUAUCCGGCUAAUCCCAAAAAGCUUCGAAUCUCCGUGGGACUUUUCGGUUGUUCCCACUUCAUCACAGCUUCGAUCUUCGCUGGAUCAACCAUUAUCCCUUCUUGGUUGACCACGUGACCCAAGAAUUGUACUUCUCGAAUCCAAAAAUCACAUCUGGAGAACUUUGCAUACAACUUAUCCUUCUUUAAAACUUCUAACACUUCUCGCAAGUGUCUGCCAUGCUCCUCCUGGCUUUUCGAGUAAAUCAGAAUGUCGUCUAUGAACACUAUNGAACGGAUUACAAACCCUGUUCAUUAAAUCCAUGAAUGCUGCUGGAGCAUUGGUUAGUCCAAACGACAUAACCAAAAACUCGUAGUGCCCAUAUCAUGUUCUGAAUGCAGUCUUCUCUAUAUCCUGCUCUCUUACUUUUAGCUGAUGAUAUCCUGACCUCAGGUCGAUUUUUGAAAAAUAACUUGAACCUUGUAGUUGAUCGAACAGGUCAUCAAUCCUCGGCAACGAAUAUCUAUUCUUUAUUGUUGCCUUGUUCAGUUCUCUGUAAUCGAUGCACAUCCUCAUACUUCCAUAUUUCUUUUGACGAAUAACAUCGGAGCUCCCCAGGCCGAUGAACUAGGUCUUAUGAAACCUUUGUCCAAUAACUCCUGAAGUUGCAUCAUCCGCUCCUUCAUCUCCAUCGGUGCUAGUCGGUAAGGUGCUUUUGCUAUAGGCGUCGUUCCCGGCAACAAGUCGAUACGAAAUUCUACUUGUCGAUCAGAAGGUAAUCCAGGAAGAUCUUCGGGAAAUACUUCCGGAUAAUCACAUACGACAGGAAUAUUCUGCAUCACCUUUUUUUCCUUCUUAGCAUCGAUCACGAAUGCUAAAUAUGAUGUACACCCCUUGGUCAAACAUUUUCUGGCUUUCAUUAGAGAAAUGAUUCCAGAAUUUACUCUGCGUUUAUCUCCAUACACCAUAAACGAUUCCUUCCCAGGCGGGUUCACUUUCACUAUUUUCUUCUUGCAUAAAAUUUCGGCAUCAUUGGCGCUAAGCCAAUCCAUUCCCAAAAUGAUGUCGAAACUGUUAAGUUCGAUAUAAAGGAGUAGUUUUCUACCAAAUUCAUGCGAUAUAAAGGAGUAGUUGGCUCCAGAAUCAAAUAAAAUUUGGGCAGACGAUUUGUUUACGAGAAAGGUACCUGAACGACAUCAGCUUCAUCUUUAGCAGCUUCCAGUGUCAUCUGGAAUGCUCUCGCCUUCGGCUUUGGCGAAAUGUUGGGUUUUGUUGCCUCCUUCUUCUUCGGACAAUCUCUUGAUAUGUGCCCUUCCUCACCACAACCAUAACAAACAUUCUUGGUGAGGGUGCAGUCGUUGGCAUAAUGCCCUGGCUUUCCACAUUUCAAGCAUGUGGCUUCCCCGCCGCACUUCCCAUGAUGCUUCUUCUUGCAUUUGUCGCACCAUUUCGCUUCGCCUCCUCCACCCCCUCUCGAACUAGACUUCGAGAAUUUACCCUUUUUGCUGGACCCUGAAGAUCCCUCGAACUUCCUCUUUUCACCAACCUCUGACCUUUCCAGACCUUUUUCCCUGAUCUGGGUCUCAACAUUUCUAGCAGCCCAGAUGGCGGCUUUCAAUGUGGUUGCUUGCUUAACCAUUAGACCAUAGUCCGCUGGUAGUCCAAGGGCAAACUUGUUGACCUUAGAGAGUUCUGUAGGCACCAAAUAUGGGAUAAACUUCAUCUUUUCUGUGAAACUUGCAGCGUAUUCAGUAACGCUCAAUUUCCCUUUCUUCAAAUUCUGAAACUCAUUACUGAUUUCCAGAAGGUCCUGCUCGGAGCAGUAUUGCAGUUUUAGUUGUUCCACAAAGUCUUCCCAAGACAUUUUGCUUGCUUCUCCCUUGGGCAUAGAGUCAGCUAACAGCUUCCACCAACUCAACACGCCAGAUUUUAGCAGAGGGAUCGCAAGAGCGGUCUUCUGCCUGUUGCUGCAUUCGCAACUUUCAAACAUAGUCUCCAUUUCGGAGAUCCAGUCCAUAACUUGCACCGGCGUCGGGCUUCCGGAUAGACAUGGUGGUUUGGAUGCCAUGAAAUCCUUAUACUUGCACCCACGACCAUCAUUUCCUCCAUACUGGUUAUUGCGUCUAACCACUGGUUGUUCGUCUUGACCAAUGAUCCCACUAAAGUUUUCUCCUUCAGACUGCCCUCCAUUCUCCUCGGGCUCUUCCGCUUGAAUUGACGGUUCUUCACGAUUCUGCCUAAGCAGGCGUCUUGUUUCUUCCAUCUGACGAUCCAACAUCAUUUGAAUCAUCAUUUGUACACCAGCCAUUGUUAUCGGCUCAGGUGCAUCAGCUACGACAGGUACUUGUUGAAUUACAGGCGGUUGAUUCCUGUUUUCAUCAGCAUUUCCAACUCCGCUUCUUGUUCUCACCAUUUUUGAUCUACACACCGAAUAAUUUCACCUUAUUACUCCAAACGAUUACAUGCUAGUUCUAAUAUCGUAUACAUACGCUUAGAAUCCUAAACACAUAAACCUUCAGAUCCGGUUGGCAACAAACCGUAGAUCCGAACAAAUAAUAUCAUAUAUGGCAACAUAUAACAUUUAGCACAUAAAAGCAUUUUAGGCAACUUUCCUAAAAUAAACUAGUGCUCGUGUCUAAAAUUUAUCAGACACACAUCUCACAAUCUCCACUUAGCAUACUAAGUUUAAGUCUAGAAAUCCUACAAAUUCCUAGUUCGCUUAAACUAAUGCUCUGAUACCAACUGUGACAUCCCCAAAAUCUCGGCCAGAAAAGACCGAUUUCAUUUAUGCUUUUUAAAACAAUUUCAGAGUAAAUCCUUUUGAUUUUAAAAGAGAUGCGGAAUUUGUUCCCAAAAACAAAACAUGAUAAAAUAGAUCUUUUAUCAAAACAUUUCAUAAAGAAAUAUAAUUUCAUUUCAUAAUCAAAAAUCGGGAUGUCAUGUUCCGAUACAGACCAUAAAGCAUAAACGAUAACAUUACAAGUCAUUCAACAAAUAUAUACAUAUACAGACUUGUAAACAAAACAACUUGAUGAUUCAUCCAUCUUAUGCCCUUGCGCCACUUCCUGUAAUACAAAUAAACUGAGUGGGUCAGGCUUGGGAGCCUGGUGAGCAUAUAGGGUUUUCAACCCACAAUAAAUAAUUAUAUUUAAUUCAACAAUCAACAAUAACCCGAUUACCCAUUCCCGUUUUCCUCACUUUACGUCCCUAAAACAACAUCUAUUAUAAGGGACCUAAUCUAGGAUUUUCAUCAGGACGGACAUUACUGCAAAGGGGCUUCCUUAGCAAUAAAUAUCCUAAAGGCAACCAUGAGGGGGAUAGAGUACACCGGUGAACACGUCGUUCACAACACCUACAGGUUAUGAGCCUGCUAGUGUUCCAUAGGACUGUCUAAAAUAGUCCGUGGUCGUCAUCCAUACUCUGUUGAAUGACUAGAAUAACACCAACAUCAAGGCCUCUCAUCUGUUUAUUACACACCAAUUAUCUACCCAUGUUCUACCCAACAUAUUAGUAGAUAAAAAUAUACAUUUUUAUACAAAGUUUAAAACCUGUAUAGCAUGCUCGAUCAAUACAUUUUUCCACAUAACAGAUGAGGUACACACACAUAACACGUAUUUCAUAGAGAAUAAAUCAGAUCUAUGAGAUAGAAGAAAGUGAAUAUACAUCCACACAUAUAGUCAACAAAGUAUACACGUAACACGUAUUUCGUAUAAAAUACUUCAUAAUAAUGUGUUAGAAGAAAAUGACUACACACUCACUUGAUCAGAAGAUGAUCGGGCAACACUACGACUUGUAGAAGUAGUGUUUCUCCGUAGAUCUGGAAGAUCUUCACAUAAACCGGGCUCCUCGCGGGCAGGUCUUCGGCUCUGAAAUCUCACUUCUCGGGAUUCUCGGGACUUCGGAUCUUGCUUCGGGGCUCGGGAAUAAUACCGGGACUUCGGGGUAUGAUUGGCACGCAAAUCGAGGCAAAAACUAGAGAGAAGAAAGAGUUUGAACAAGAGAAAAUGGUUGAUCUCGCAUUCUAUUUAUUGGCUGUUGGGUCUGGGAUUACGUUGGGCGUAAUUUCCAGGUACGCUGGGCGUACUCAAUACACUGGGCGUAAUUAGGUUACGUUGGGCGUACUUUGACGUCACUGCGUGCGUCAAUUGGUGGCACUCGAGUAUUGGUCAGACAAGUUGCACCCCUCUGAGUAUGCUGGACGUAAUUUGACUCAUCAAACUUCUAAAUUGCGUAACUUUCGCAUACGAGCUCUGUUUUCGACGUUCUUUAUAUCCACGCGUAGGUCAGACCAUACUCUACAACUUUCAUUUAGACUCCAUCGGCUAAUUUUGACUUUUAUUUUUAUUAUUUAUUUUUAGUAGGCCGGGACAGGAAAACUUCGUUAUAAAUUCAUAACUUCUUUGUCCGACGUCCGUUCUCGCCUAACUUUUUAUCGUUUCGCUACUAACAACGAGAUCUUCAAUUCUCAUUUAGAUUGUUUCGGCUAAAAACCGCUCGAUCUCAAAUCGAGUAUUUGGGCUGCAUACUGCCAAGUCGAAACUUCAGAAAAUCAUAACUUCCUCAUACGAAGUCAAAUUUGGGCGUUCUAUAUAUAUUCUGAAACCUCGUUUCAACUACUACAACAUUAUCCAAAGAUAUCGAGUUUAUUUUACACUUCAUUUUGAUGCUUAUUUUUAUUCUUAAUUCAAUUAAAUUAUAAUUAAGAAAACACACACAUAAUUCACAUAAUUCACAAAUAAUACAUUUUUAUUAUUUCAGAUUGCAUUACAAAGGUUAACCUAGACUAUUACAUUGCUAAAAAUGGCAAGCCCAGAAACACAGACGUUACACCUAGUAUAUGAAAAGCACACAAGCCAUGAUGAGCAUGUGGAAAAACAUUUUCAAUACUAACGCGAAUUGUAUCGGCCCUAUCAGUUACAAAAGUCAAUUCUUGACAAUCACUAACACAUUCAUACAACUUUUCAAGAAACCAUGUCCACGUAAGACCACUUUUUUUUUUCAUAUUCCGUGCGUAAGGGGCAGUAUCUGGUUGUUCCCAUCCAUAGCUACUCCAUGCAAUAUGGUUCCCUUAAAAGCACCCUUCAAAUGGGCACCAUCCAUAAUUAUAACUUUACGACAAAAACUUUUGAACGCUCGUAUCUGCAAUAUAUAAAAAUGGAACACAUAAACACUCUAUAAUUUGUUUACAAAAAUUAUAUAUUAAAUAACAACAAGUUUUUUGUAUUUACCGUGCUCCCAAUGGCAUAAAAACAACACUCGAAACAAUCUUCAGAAUCUGUUUGAAUAUACGCAACUGUACCGGGAUUAUGCCUCUUCAAAUUGUGAAAAUAAAUAGGAAGUUUGGCAAAACAUUCUUCAGAGGAUCCCAACAACAGUUUCAUAGCAUAUUGUUUUGCACGCCAAGCUUGUUUGUAAUCUACGUUGAUUUCCAGCAAAGCAUUCAAAUCCCUUGAUAUUUCAUUAGGCCUCCAAACCUUGGAACGAGUUUUUCCCAUAAUCUCAUGCAAUAUAGUACCCAUGACUUUUUUAUUAGCAUGCUUAUGAUUAGGGUGUAUCUGUAAUGACGAACAUGUGUACACGUUGUUGAAAGUCCUGAUUUCAAAUUCAUCAGUGAGAUCAAGGCGUUUUGCAUACAAACGCCAACUACAGUUCUCAAUUUCACAAUAUACCUCAUAACGAUUUUUGUUAGAAUGUUUGGUCUUAAACUGAAACUUUUCUCUUGUUGCUUUAAGAAUCAAUGCAAAAAUUAGUUGUUGUUUGUUGUCAUAUGUUUGACGAACAAACAUAUCAUCAUUUGGACCUAAACUGUGAAAUGGUCCGGGUUCAACAAUAGGAUCAGGACAAUCAGGUAUGGGAGACAUACCGUAAAAAAUGUCUGAAGCUUUUUUCCCGUAUGUGAACUCAUCUUCUGACCAUCCUUCAUUUGACUCUUCACUGUCUGAGAAAGUUUUGUUAGUCAAUCUUCUAAACCCAUAUAAAUUUUUUUCUUCAACCGUAUUCAGUGCCACCGUUUCUUCUUCUGGACAAUCUUCAACAUUAUCAGAUACAAUGUUAUCAACAUUGUAUGGUACAACUUUCUCAGCUGCUUCUGUCUGUUCGACCAAUCCCUGAAACACCUCUAAAUACAAAUGCACAAUCUCCUUCGUUUCAGAAAUUACAUUUCUGAGUUGAUUAACAUCUGCUUCAUCUAAAAUAUUCAUCACAUACCCAUGAACCGGGUGUUGAAAUGACAAUGAUAUAUUACUAUUGAACACCUUAGCCUUACUUUUGACCAAAUCAAACAAUAUUCGAAAAUCAAAAUUAGGCGGAGGCAGUAAACCCAAGUUGUUUAACUUUGGUCUAACGUAGGUGUUAAUCGCAUUACUUAUCUGCAAAAAACCUCCAGUACAUAAAAUAACAAAACUCAUAUUUGGUUUUGAAAAUCAAAUGAAAACGAACUGAUCUAUCGACCAAAAUAAAACAAACAUAUGAAAAAGAAACUUUUGUAUCAAAAAACUCUUCAAAAUCCGCUCCAACCACCCAUUCCACGGAGGCAUUACUCUCUCCGCAGAGACCCAUUCCGCGGAGCAUGAUUAAAAAGGCUAACAACCUAUUGUUCGACCACUUCGCAGAGAUGACUUCAUUCCGCGGAGGUCCGCGGAGGGUCCUCCGCGGAAUGCAUGUCUAUAGCUGGAAUUUUUUUUUUGUGUCUAAAUUUUUAAAUUUCCCCCUUUUUUCGUCUAUAGCCUAUAUUUUCUCUAAAUGAUUUACAUAUUGAAAGUUCAGAAACAAGUUAAAACUUAAACCCUAAAAGAGCGUACAAAUUUCAAUCGUCAACAUACCCCACCACAAAGGCACAAAUAAUCAAAGAAACAAAUGUAGAUGUAGAGGCCUUUUUCACCACAAUCACCCUUCAUCGGCCAUUUCGAAGGCCACGUGAAAUGUCACUAACGUGGCCCUAUAAAUAUCCACUACUUUGUCUUUAACCUUUCCCCCCUCUCAUAUAAAACCCUCCAUCCUCCUCCUUUACCACCAUCACCAACUACCUUCUCUCCUCCAUCAAAAGUAUCCCCAUCUUUUCCGACAUGGCUGCUUCUUCAAUCUUCAUGGCAACUCCCAUCACACUCCUCAAGAAAACUCCCACCUUCUCCGUCAAAUGUAUGUCACAAACACCUCAAAGCGGUGAACCGGGGGUUUCAAAACCAGCAACCACCCCAACACCACCACAGAUCAACAUUCCUCCUCCUCCGCCACCUGCUCCAAAGGUCAGCACGAAGUUCUCUGACGUGUUGGCGUUUAGUGGACCUGCACCGGAGAGGAUCAACGGAAGGUUAGCCAUGAUAGGGUUUGUGUCGGCGAUGGCUGUGGAACUGAGCAGCGGUCAAGACGUGUUCACCCAGAUCGGCAACGGCGGUGUUGCGGUGUUUGUCGGGACAAGUGUGGUGUUGACGUUGGCGUCGUUGGUGCCGUUGUUUAAAGGAGUGAGCGUGCAGUCGAAGUCGAGUGGACUGAUGACAUCAGAUGCAGAGCUUUGGAAUGGGCGGGUUGCGAUGUUGGGUCUGGUGGCUUUGGCUUUUACUGAAUAUGUUAAAGGCAGUGCCCUUGUCUAGAUAAUGUAUCAUAAACUUUUCUAUUACAGAAUUACAUCUAAGAUAGACAAAUGUAUAUUGUUUUGAAUAUUUAUGUUUAUCGAUUUACCAUACAUAGUUCAAAUCAUAAAAAGCAUGUUUUUUGAUAAUAUAGUAUAAAACAAAUAUAAUAUCAAUCAAAUUGAACGAUGUUGUGGUAUCUUUCAAUAUAAAAUUCUCUUUAUAAAAAUAAACAAACAACGUACUAAGAUAAAUUUUAGAGGAAUGAACUUAGAUUAGCAAUAUAAGAGUCAAAGUCUACAAAUUAAGGUAUUGAAAUCCUAGUUUCACAACUUCCUCUUUGAAUGUUGAACUGAGGUGAUCUUCAUUAAUUCAGACUGAAUAAGUGACUUAGUCCAGCCUAGUCAAUUAGCUAAUUUAAGAUGACAAGUAUCCAAAAUUCAAAAACAUUAUAGAGCUCAAUUUCAAACAAAAGUGACAAAUGACUAAUGCUCACAAAACGAUCACCGAAUCAUUCAAAGCAUUUACUAAAAGCCAGUCUAAUUCUUAUUGGUUUGAAAUCUAAUUUUAUCAUCAACUGUAUACAAGAUUGAGAUUGAUAUCAGAGUAAUAAUCUCUAAAAGCAAAAUAAUGUAUUCAAAAGAAUAUAUAUACAAAAUGAAUUAUGUCCCAAGCAGUACUGUGCAUGAGUAUAAGAUUACUAUUAUGUUGGGAUCCAUUAAUUGAUAACUAAGCACACUUCCAAAUUUACUAUAUGGAAUUUAGUUAAGGAUUAAUGUCAAGUGGGGUGCAUCCACCCCACUCAAAGGCCUUGUAUAUGUUACGGUCCCAAGUGAUAUUUUAUAAGGGUCUUUUUGUAGUUUUUCUUUUCCUAAUAUAUUAACAUUUUUUUUUGAUAUUUUUGGAACUUUUUAUUUUCUGAGAAAAGUAUACAAAAUAAUGUAUAUACAAGCUUACUUGAAGAUAUGAUCGUUUAUGAGGUUAUUCAAGACUUAUUCUCUUGAAGUAUCUAUUCCUAGCUAGAUAUGAACAAAUGUGUUUGCAUUUAUCCUUUUUUGCCCUUUGUCAAUUCUUGACUAAUAAGGUAAUGGUAGUUCUUGGUGAGGGAUUCACCUCUGUAUUGAUUCUUCAUUCUAUUUAAAUGUUUGGAUUCACCUCUGUAUUGAUUCUUCAUUCUAUUUAAAUGUUUGGAUUCACCUCUGUAUUGAUUCUUCAUUCUAUUUAAAUGUUUGGAUUCACCUCUGUAUUGAUUCUUCAUUCUAUUUAAAUGUUUGGAUUCAACAAUGUCUAGUUGAGUAGUUCUUUAAAAGCACAUUCUACCAUAUGCAUCUUUAUGUCAAUAUUAAUUGGGGAUUCCAUAAACUGAAACUCUUGGAGCUCAAUAGUGUAGUUGAAAAACUUUUGUUGAGCCCACCACUUACAUGAAAUAGGAGACUUUUUUCAAUAAACUAAGUGGUUCCUUCUUUAUGGAUCAUCUUUUCGUUUCUCCUUUUGAAAGGUCCCCUGGUGAUACUUUUAUGUGUUAAUGAAACUCAGUCCUUAUGGCAUGCUUUUUGGAUAUGAUAGUACGUGACUAUCAAGAGCUUAUUUCUACUCAGUAUAGUCAUACUCUCAUAAGUCUCUCAAGAUUUUACACUCAGAAGCAUCGUUAGAUUGUAUGGCUACCUACCUUGUACUAUAAGCAUGUUUAUUAACAUUUAGGGAUUUAUUUAGAAGGAUAUCAUUUUUCAUAUUUUUUGUCUAACACCAGAUCUUUUUUCUCAGCUCAAUUGUUUCAAGUAAAACUAAGUGUCUUCUUGAUUCGACAACAAACCAUUGGUCAUCUUUCCGAUUUCAAGUAUUUUGCAUAUCCUCUCAAAACUUCUUUAUUUUUUAACACAAAUUCAAAAACUAUUAGGUAUCGGGAUUUUAAGGCUUCUUUAUUUUCACCCUCAAUUAGAUUCAUAUUUUUCAUUGCCUUGCAGAUUUCCUUUUUAGUUUGAGUCUAUUUAUCACGAGCCUGAAGUCAUUUUCUUCCCCUACCCUUGUUAGUUUUGGCUAUUGCUAGUGCACGUACUUCAUUGGCUAAAUGAGAAGACACCUCGAUAAUGGUGGAUGACUUGGUGAAAUUUAUAGGUUGUUCCUUAGGCUAUCCAAAGUGGAGGUAGAAGAAGACGCAUGAUGCUGAAUGGACAUCCAAGUCAUGCGUGAACACUGCCCGAUGGCUUGGCUAUGGAGUCUCCAUGAAGACGAUGCAUUCGAUUGGUUUAGAAUCUGGUCCCUCAUAUUUUCUCUCCUCCUUUUUGUCCCUUCACUACCAACCCACCGGUAAACACCAUUUCCACAACCUAAUGGGUUGAUUGUGGAAUGGUAAACUACCUAUGUGGCGCUGAGUUAGAAGGUGUUUUGGAUAUAACCACUCCCCACAACCUUAGCAUUAGAACAUCCUGAUGCUCCACAUGAACUAAGAACAUCACUUAAUCUUCAUUAAAUACUUUGGGGUUGUACUCAUAAAGUAAAAUAUCUCCCCCCUUAGACAUAUCAUCAUUUUCCUCAUCUGAUGACCAAGGAAUUUGUGGAGAUAUAUGUGACUUUGGAUUAAAGGGGGUUAUAUUGGUCAUCCUUUUUAGACAACUUUUUAAAUUAAUCAAUCCAAGCUCCUAUACCGACGACAUUUUCUGGAAUCUCUUUAGAUGGGGAUGAUGGUUCAUUAAGCGACGACAUUUUCUAACCGUGUACCGACGACAAGUCGUCACAGACAAGUCAGGAUAGGUCAAAAAAGUCGUCGGCAUAGGUGUCGUCGGGAUAGGUACCCCAUAUACCGACGACAUGACGUUGGUACAAGUACCGUCUGGAAUGAUUUUCGAGAAAAAAAAUAAAGUUUUAUUAAUUACUUGUGGCGACGACAUGUCGUCGGGACAGGUGCCACCUAUAGCGACGCCAUUUUGUCGCCACAUGUUUUCCACAAAUAUCAAUCAAAUACCUAUAGUGGCGACUAGUCGUUAGGAUAGCCACUGGGUGUUUUUUUUUUUUUUUUUUUUUUUUUUUUUUUUUUUUUUAGUUUUUACAGAUUUUGUACAUUUACCAUUCGUGCAUUUUUAACAAAUCCAAACAUUUUGCAGCAUAUAUCAAAUAAGAUACAAUAACUGGGUACCAUUGUUUAAAUUCAAAACAUCAAAUUCAAGUUUAAUAUUACAUACCGAAUUAGAUAAAAUAAGUAGUUAACAUUGUUCAAAAUAACACAAAACAUAAACAUCAUUAUAUUCUUUUUUUUUUCUUCUUCUUCUUCUUCCAUCCUCUCGGGUUCACAUUUUGUUGAGAGGUAUUUCCUUGUGAUGUACUUCCUUCUGUGUUGGAAUUGAAUAGAAAACUAGCAAACGGUGGUGGUUGUGUAACAUCCCAAAAAUUUUAACAAAUAUGAACUUUUCAAAACAACCCAUUUAUUAACAAAAGUGUUUACAAAAACAUGAUUUAAAAUUAGAGUCUCCCAAGAUCCACUUUGUUCUAAAACCGAGGAUGCGUACGGUCACGCCUUUGCCUUGCCAUGAAUCAUUUGAAGAAACUGAAACCAUAAACAAAUCGUAAGCAAGAAUCUUAGUGAGUUCCUCCAAAAUACCACCGCACAAACAGAUAGCACAUAAAUAACGACAACAUGUACUAGGUCCACAACUAAAAGACUGGAUUACCCCUGAGCCUAUAAUAUGAAUCUGGCUUGCCUAUUGGGCCCACAACUCAUAUCUGGUUUGCUCUUGAGCCCACAACAUAAGUCAGACUUGCCCCUGGGGCUCACAACUUAUGUCAGGCUUGCUCCCAACUCAAUCAGUCAUCGGACUAGAAUACCAAUGUUCAGCCCUGUGACAACCUGAAAUUUCCAUUCUGAACAAACCAUAUCAAUCCAAUAGAAGUUAGAACAGUUACAAUGAAAUUCCAGACUUUGGGCAUAAGUUUGACAGUUUUUCAGGAUUUACACUUAAGGAGAUAUCAGGAGAGUGGAUGCACUAGGGUUUUGUGCAACACUGUUAUUCCAAAACUCUAGGAUAUUAGGGUUCAAUUCCGGAAUAAAAAUAUUUUCUGCCAAAAAUCUCAGGACUAUAUAUAGAAAUCUGAGCCAUAUUCAUUCAUUAGUUACAUUUCCAACUAGAGAAAAGCCAAAUUCUCUCUCACGGAUCUUCAGGUUUUUAUCCCAAAUCGUGAGUACUUCUAUCUAGUUGUAUUAUAUAGCUUAGAUUGUUUUUUAUAACAUCAAAAUCGGAUCAAAACCCCAAGAUUUGGGAGUUUACCGCCCAAGAACACUUGGAGAGUAAACUCCUUUUUAAGGGCCAAAAGUGUGCCCAAUGUCCCUCAAAGCCUUGGGAAUGAACCUAGAAGCUACCAUUACAUGUUUAAGACCACAAAACAAUUAAGAAUCAUGGCUAGAAGUGAGUUCACGGCCAAGGAAGUUCUUCGUCCGUGAACUCCAUUUUUAUGUGCCAAAAUGCCCUAAAAGCCUUCCUUAAGCCAAGAGACUAAUUUAGACAUGUACCUAGAUGAGUUUAGGACUAGCAAACACCUUUAGAACACCAAGAGUAAGGUGUUCACGGCCCAAGAAGUUCUAGGGUCGUGAACUCCAAACAAUGGUGCCAAAUGGUGCUAUAAACUCUCCUAAAGCCUUGGACAAUUUCCUUGCUUCAUUCUUAGAUAAAUUAGGGACUUGAAAACACCACAAACACCCUCCUAAGGGAGAUUACGGCCGUAAUCUCCAUGGGAUAUGGUCCAUGGCGCGUGAACUCCUCAAAGGAGUUAAAAGGAAGCCCAAACACUUGUUUAAGCCUAGAAGCACUUCACCACUUAAGUUGUAAUAAUGUUAGGCUUCAUUUAGUGACCCUAUAGAGAGUUUACGGCCAAGAGUUUACUCCCCUAGGCCGUAAACUCCAACACAUAUGGUCUUUUGACCAUAAACUCCCAUAAGAGGUCUUGCACUCCUUUGUUGCAACCCAUUAGCCUCCUAGCACUUGACCAAAGUGUUUUCCUCACAUUAGGAUGUUUAUACAUGUUUAAUUAGUGUUAUAAUCACUAAUUGUUUAUAUACAUAUGUCUUCAUAUGUAAUUAGGACCAUUGUGUGUGUCUAAAGUCUUCACUUGACACCUAGCAGUCCUACCUCUUCAGUUCAUCCGUAUCACCCACAACAGGUGAGUUUAUACCUNGGGGAUACAAGUAGAAUUAUGCUAAUUAUUAUAUCAAUCACAGGUGAUUAAUAAGCAGCAUUCAAAUGAUUAGCUACUCAUUAGCCGUUUUACCAAACCGUUUCCUUCAAAUGUUUUUCAUAAACACCUUAUGUGUUUAAAACUCCUUAUUACACUGUACCUUUUAUUCUGUAUGUUUCAAUUCAAACUUAUUUACAAUUGUGUUUCAAACAAAUGUUUCUUUAUACUAAACUAUUUUGUCAAACCCAUGCCUUCAAAACCGUUUUAUAGAUUGACAUCAAGUCGAUCUUUUCUUAGAUAAUAAUUAUGUUCAAAGGUUUUACAAAACUUAUUUUAUGUUUUUAUAUUAUAAAUUGGAUGCCUAUAUAUGCAUAGUUAUAUAAUAAAUGUUGAAAGGACUUAGGAAGGCUAUCCACCCUAUUUCCUUUUCCUCGAUUUGGAUGUGGUCUGGUGGGAUAUCAGGUACCCGUCCGAAGGUUGUUUAAAUAUUAAUUAUAUAUCAUGUGUACGUAUAUAGUCAUAAAAGUCCUUCCAGCUCAGCCAAUGCCCUUGGGUAGCAAGGGUAUAUUUAACAUCCCCCUCUUGCACGUAUCACAAUAUUAUCCGCUUUGGGCCACUCGGCACGAGGACUUCCCAGGGGGUCACCCGUCCUGGUACUACUCCCGCCCGAGCACGCUUAACUACAGAGUUCUUAUGGGAUUUGCUGCCCUCACGGCUUUAAAACGCGUUGUGCUAGGGAAUGUAUCCACACCCCUUAUAAGGAAUGCUUAGAUCUCCUUCCCAGCCGAUGUGGGAUCAGAUCUAACCCACUUUCACCCCCCAUUAUAGGGUUCGACGUCCCCGUCGAACACAUCGACCCAUGCCCUGGCUCUGAUACCAAUUGUGACAUCCCCUAAUUUCUCGGCCAGAAAAUACCGAUUUAAUUUAUGCUUUUUAAAAUAAAAUCAGAGAAAUCUUUUUAAAAGAUGUUGCGGAAUUGGUCCCCAAACAACAUAUGAUAAAAGUUUAUCAAAAUCCUUCAUUAAGAAGGUAUAUAUUUUCCAUAUAUAUCAAAACCUCGGGAUUUCAUGUUCCGAUACAGAUCAAAAGCAUAAACAAGACAUUAUAAGCCUUUCAACAGUUAUUUACAACUACUGGCCUAUAAUCCAAAAAUUCUCUCGUCGUCCUCCGACUAUGCUCAGGGUCCACUACCUGUAAUCAUAAAAACUGAGUGGGUCAGGCUUGGGAGUCUGGUGAGCAUAUAGGGGUUUCAACCCACAAUAAUAAUAUACUUAUUAAGUUCACCAAUCAACAAUAACCCUGAUUACCCAUUCCCGUUGUCCUCACUUUACGUCCCUAAACACCUAUCACAAGGGACCUAGCCUAAGGAUUAUCAUCGGGAUGGACACUACUGCUAAGGGGUUUCCUCAGCCAUACAUGUCCUUAAGGCAACCAUGAGGGGGAUGAAGUACGCCAAUGAACAUUUAAUUCAUCAACACCUACAAGUUGCGAACCUGCUAGUGUUCGACUGGACUAUCUAGAAAGUCUGUGGUCGUCAUCUAUACUCCGCUAGAUGACUACAACAACAACAACAACAACAUCGAGGCCUCUCACCUUUUUAACACACAUCAACUAUUUCAUCUACCCAUGUUCUACCCAACAUAUUUUGUAGAUAAAAAGAAUAUACAGUUUGAAACUUGUAUAAAACAUCAAAUCAAUAGUCACCUUAGUUAAACAAUUACUAUAUUUACACAUAACACGUAUUUCAAGGUAAAUACUUCAUAUCUAUGUGUAAAUUGAAAGUAACUACACACUCACAUAUUUUGAUGAACAUCGGGCAACAAUUCAUUUCCUAAAACGAUCGUUUCUAAUAAAACCGGGAGUUUUAUUGAGAAACUGGGCUCUGCAAAAGUCGGGGUUUGAAACCGAAAAGAUAAAUUUUCCGGGCUUCACGGGCACUUCGUGGAGUAUUCCGGGCUUUACAAUCGAUACCGGGGCUUUGCGGGAUGUUAAGAUGAAGAAAAUAUGGGUUUAGGGGUUAAAUAUGGCAAAAUUUCAAAGUUACCUGGGAGGUCUCGCACCCUUCUAUUUAUAGGGGCGAGGCUUCUGAUCCAACGGAUAGAAAGAGGACACGCGUCGCAGAUCCGAAGGCUCGCAGGGAAGCCUCGCACGUGGCUGCGCAUGGCUCGCACCUGUGAGGGGCUCGCUGGCAGCUUGUGAUUGGACCGAGGUCUAGGGUCCGAAGUAGAGGGUUCGUGGCAUGUUGCGAGGGCUCGGUCUCGUGCAUGAGGGUACGUGUCACCUUCUCAGUGGACCACUUCGGAUAAGGCCAUGUGCUCGGAUGACUCAGCAGCUCGGGUGACUCAACAGCUCGGAUGACUCAGCAGGACACAUGGCACUUUUUCAGCGAGGGUGACGUGGCAACUCGUGACUAUGCGAAUUUUCUCGAUUUUCGCGCCAAAACUUCUAAAAUCCAUAACUUUCGCAUACGAGCUCCGUUUUUGACGUUCUUUAUAUGCACGCGUAGCUAAAAUUACGCUCUACAACUUCCGUUUAGACUUCGUCGGCUAAUUUUGAAUUUAAAUUUUAUAUUAUUAUUUUUAACAGACCGGGACAGGAAAUCCGUUAAAAAUUCAUAACUUCUUCAUCCGACGUCCGUUUUCAUCAGAAUUUUUACCGUUGUGCUCCUAAUGACGAGACCUUCAAUUCUCGUUUAGGUUGUGUCGGCUAAAAAUCGCUCGAUCUAAAAUUCGAGUUUUUUAGCUGUCUACUGCUAAGCUGAAACUUCGAAAAAUCAUAACUUCCUCAUACGAAGUCAGAUUUGGGCGUUCCUUUUAUCGAACUUCUCAGUUUAACGACUACUACGACUUUCAUUUAGAUUACUAAGGCUAAAAAGUAGUUUAUCGAAAACUCACUUUUUACAACAUUCAGCACCGUGCCGGUUUUGUCGCGAAACUUCGACAUGUCAUAACUUCUUCGUUAUAACUCGGAUUUUGGUAUUCUUUAUAUCCCCGAAAUCCUUGUUUCGACCACUACAAAUUUAUGUAAAGAUAUCGGGCUUAUCUCCCACUUUAAUUUUGACGCUUAUUUUUAUUCUUAACUAAUUAAGCCCUAAUAAUUAAGCAUAAAACACAUAAUUCAUAUAAUAUUCACAUAAUUCCUUUUCAUUUCUUCAAAAUGAGUUACAAAGGUUAACCUAGACUAUCAACUCAAUAUAAAUGCCUAGGAUAGAAACAUGAGUGUUACAAAUUGUAUCAAGACAUGUUAUAUGGACGUGUUGAACUUCCGUGUCCAUUUCUCCUUCUGCUGUUUGUUCUUCUAAAGAAUGAGGAAAGAUAUCCAAGUCUAGCAUAUGCAGAGAACUAGCAACAAGUAGAUCUAAGUCGUCCAAGUUGUUGGCAAUUUCGACUGGACUCGUCGGGUCUAGGAAAGUGACUCGGUGAGUCAGAUCAUAUUUCACCAUUUCCACUGUGUUUUCCGAGUCGGCUCCUUCCAGUAGCUUUUCUAUCUCCUCCAAGUCCUUGUUAACAUCUCCAUCCUCUCCAGAAGGUAGCAAAAGCUUGCUUGGAUCUUCUUCUUGCAAAAGUGCAAGUUCUUUUUGUAGUAUCUCAUCAUCCAAAUCGAUAAAUGAGAUAUCUUCUUUUCCUUCCUCUUCUUGCUUGGCUUCUGGUAAAGCUCUAAAUAUUGCUGACUCGUCUCCUACCCUUAAUGUUAGUGUAGACUCGCAUACAUCAAUUAAAGCACAUGCGGUGUUUAAAAAUGACCUCCCCAAAAUAAUCGGAAUUUCGGGGUCUUCUUCCAUAUCAAGCACCACAAAGUCUACUGGAAAUAUGAACUUGUCGAUUUUAAUAAGAAGAUCCUCACAAACGCCUCUUGGAUGAAUUGUUGUCUUGUCUGCCAAAUGGAUCUUCAUGUUUACCGGCCUUGGCUCCGAUAAAUUCAGUUUCUUGAAGAAAGAGAAAGACAUUAGGUUAAUGCUUGCACCUGAGUCGGUCAACGCUUGAGUGACAAAUGCAUUUCCAAAUUGGCACGGAAUUAUGAUACUCCCCGGAUCGCCCUUCUUUUCGAGUAACUCACUCAAUAUUAUUUCCGUGACUUCAGCCAAAUAUUUCCUAGCAGCAAAGAGACCCUUUAGUAAGUUGAAGUACUUGGGUGUUUUAAGCAUCGUUUCUACAAAUGGCACAUUGACUUGUAGGGAUUUAACAUGCUCCAUAAAAGCUCAAUAAGCUUCAACUUUUUCAACUGGCAUGGCUUUGAUUGGGAAUGGCAAAGGGGGAUUAUAUGGCUUUAAGGGAAUGACGGUUUUGUCAUUAACGCAUGGACUCGUCGAGUCCAUUAGAGGGACUCGGCGAGUCUUGUCGGGCUUAGCUGGAGCCGACUCUUCUGCCUUUUCUGUCUUCCUAUUGGAGAUCCUCUGUGCAUGUGUGAAAAUUUCUUCAUUGCUGGAAGUUACUGCACUCACAUUCUCCAUUCUCGGAUUGUUUUCGGUGUUACUUGGAAGUUGACCCGGUCUUCUUUCGUUCACUUGAUGUGAAAGUUGUCCCAGCUGUUUCUCAAUGUUGAGAAUGGAUGCCUGCUCAUUCCUUAGCAUAUUUCUGGUCUCGUGUAUUGCAGCAUCGUGAUCAUUGUGUCUCUUUUCGGACACGGCUAUGAAUCUAGUGAACAAUUCUUCUAAAUCGGCUUUCUUUUCCAUUACCGGUUCUUCCUUUUGAUAAAAUACCCUCUCCUUCUGCUUGUAUUUCUCCUCCUUAUCCUUCUUGUAUUCUUCGUAUGGGAGCCAUUCCUUCUUCGGUUUCCCCCAAUUCUCGUCGUAUCUAUCGCCACUUGAGUAGAACACUUGAGCCUUCUUGUUUCCAUUUUCAUCCAAAUCACAAUCCUUUGUGAGAUGGGGCCCUCUACAAUUCUCACAUCCAACAUGAAUAGCAUGGAUUGUUUGAUCCAUUUUUGUCAUCCUUCUAUCUAGACUAUCGAGCUUAGCUAUCAUCGCCGCCAUGCUAUCAUUUGCCGAGUUCACUACCCCCCGACUUACUUCAUUUAUUGGAUUGUGGUAUUCUCUAGAAUGCUUAGAGAAUUCUUCAAUUAACUCCUUGAUUACCGGGGGCGCCUUCUUCGUGAGCGGGCCUUGUGAAUCGAGCAAUUGCCUUGUGGUGACAUUGACUCCAUCAUAGAAAAUGGAGACCUCUUGUUGGAUAUUGAGGUCAUGGUGUGGGCAAUUUCUAAGCAAGCUCUUGUACCUUUCCCAAGCUUCAUAAAGAGAUUCUCCGGGUUGUUGCUCGAAGUUGGCAAUGGCUUUCUUUAGUUUAGCUAUUUUGGAGGGCGGGCAAAAGUGGUCUAUGAACUCUUCUUUCAUCUUGGCCCAUGUGGUGACCGAUCCGGGAGGAAGUGACUUGAGCCAAUCCUUUGCAUCACCCUUGAACGUGACUGGAAGCAUGCGAAGUAGUUGGGUCUCGCGAGGCAUAUUUGGUACAUUGAAGUAGUCAGCCACAUCAUUUACUUCAUCCAAGUGCUUGUAGGCGUCUUCGUGGUCCUUCCCAUAAAAAGGAAUCUCCUUGAGUUGAGCGAGAAUAUGGCCUUUUAGUUCGAACGUAGUGGUUGCGGGAAUUGCGGGUUGCACAAGUCCCGAGCCGGUGUCAUCGCGCAUCCUUUUCUUCCAUUACCCCAUGGGGACUUCAUCGAUAUUAGCCAUAGCGAUAGCUAAAUCGUCUUCAAACUCGGAUUCUUGCUCGUAUGUGGGUUCUUCUUCUUCCUCGGUCUCGUACUCGAUGUCUUCUUGAAUUGGGUCUCUGAUUGUCAAAGAGGCACUGGAUGCUCCUGAUUUGCUGCUCCUUGUCUUGCUGAAAACGGACUUGAGGUUUUUGAGUGGUAAGUUCUUUGAAGAAGCGGAUUCUCCAACGGUUUUGCCUUUGCUCCUCCUUAGUGCGGAUUCCGGGUCUUCAAGAGGAGGGACCAGAGGUGUAUCAGAUCCUCAGGUCAUGAAACAACUGUAAACAAAACAAAAAACGCGUAAAAAGAACAAAAAAUAAAUAAAAAUUAAAACUGUGAAUCAGCGAUGUACUCGCCGAGUCGGCACGAGUGCACUAGGCGAGUCUGGUCAAAACAUAGAAAAAUUUUUCUAGUUACUUUAAAAACGGAUUUUUAUUAAAACUUAUACUACUUACUAAAUUACCUUUUAAAUAACUUUGUGUAAGAUAAAUCCCACACAAAUGAUCGAUUAAAUUAGAAUUUAACGUUAAUUUUAGAACCGUUCCCCAGCAACGGCGCCAAAAACUUGAUGUGUGCAAACUCACUUAGUUUUAAACCUACUUUUAAUUUUAAAAUAAACACACAAAGGCAGUGGACCUAUCAAUUGUGGUAUAGUUAAAUAAGUAGGGUAUCGAACACAGGGAACGGCAAAUUAAAACUAAAAACUAAUUCUAUCUAAAUUAAUUAAUAAGUAGGAGGUUUUCUCUAGUUUUUCAAGACUAGAAACUUACUAACUAUUACUUAUUCUAAAACUUAGAAAAACAAAGAAUUAACUAGAUUCAAUAAUGGGAAGGAACUUCUGUUUAGUUCAACUCAAUUGAUCCUAUGGUUGAUAUCAAGGUAAUGGUGCAAUGGAUUAACUCUUUUGUUGGUUACCGAUUCAAGUGAUUAGAUUUGCGUUCACUACACUAAUCCUUAGCAAAUAAACUAACUUAAACAGUGGCCAGUUGUCUAAUUUAAUUAAAUUCACUAGAUUAAUUAUUCGGGUUAAUUUAGACUUGCAAUAGUUAACUAAUUUGGUCCUUUAAUUAACUUNUUUGUUGAUGGUCAUCACAAGCUCACACAUGAAUUUACUCAAUUUUCUUAUUAAUUCUAGUUUCAUGUUCAUUAAUCCUAGACAUAUGACAAAGUGGUCACAUAGCAUAUGAGGUUGAUAAUCAAUAGAUGUUCAUGCUAUUCAAUUACCUUCCUAUUAAUAGAAAAUUAAUUAUCAUUCACACACAAGGUUCUUUAGCAAGCUAAAAUAACAAAAAUCACUAACUUUAAAUUAAUCCUACCAAUAAUCAAACCAUAGUAUCAAUUUUGUAUCCCCAAACAGAAGUUUAAGAGUUUUAGCUCAUGAUUGAAGUAAAUUACAGCAAACAAACAGAUUUUAAUUGUUUAACCAUUAUGAAAAAUAAAAAAUUAAGUAGAAUGAUGAAAUUUGCCUCAAAUCUCCUUCGGAAUUGGAUUCUAGCUUGUAUCUUCGUCCUCUAGGUUUUUUCUGACUCUUCAAUCGCAGCUAACCUCUCCAGAAUCGUUCCAGAAUUCCUCCCCAUCGUUCUCAGAAGUUAUCUUUAUAUAUGCAAAACGACUCGUCGAGUCAGAUGCCGACUCGUCGAGCCCAUCUCUAAGUCCCCGUAUGCGAUAAGUCUCUAGGUCUCCGAGUCUUUAUCUUCUCGAAUAUUCGCUUGGGCUCGCCGAGUAGUUGACCCUACUCACCGAGUAUGUGUUGUUUUUAGUGUUUUUCUUCUUUGUUCGAUUCCCGAGCUCUCAACCGCUUCUCCUGCUUCCUUUUGCUUCCGAGCUUCACUUUUGGACUGAAAACAUAAUUCAAACACUUUUAAGUACCUUUUGUCCAUGAAAUGCAAUAAUUUAGCUAAUAAAUGAAUAAAAAUCUACACUUAAUAUGAACUAAAUAUGCACAUAUCACUUUCCUUAGAUUCAUAGUCUCUCCAACCAAAAUUCCUAGAUAAUUGAAUGGGAUGGAUGAAGGUUCACAUCCAAGAGGAGCUGCCCAAUUUAUUACUUCCAUGUGGGUAGCUCCUAUCCCAUACACCUUCGAUUUCCUAAAGUUCACCUUUAGCCCCGAUGAUACACAGAAGCACCUUAAUAUCCGGGCCAAGUUUGCAAUAUUUCGCCUUGACCAUUAGCCUAUAAACAGUGUGUCAUCUGCAUAGAAUAAAUGAGACAAACAUUGAUUAGAUUGUGAAAAUUUGAUGCCUUCGAAGAUUCCUUUUUCCACAACUGUCUUCAUCGCCUGAUUUAAUCCUUCAAUCACAAUGAUAAAAAGAAAUGGGGAGAGUGGAUCUCCCUGUCUGACACCUUUUGACAUAGAGAACUCCUUGGUCGGACUGUCGUUGAUCGACUGGGAAGGAGAACUAAGCAUUCCUUAUAAGGGGUGUGGAUACCUUCCCUAUCACAACGCGUUUGAAAACCGUGAGGGAAGCAGAUCCCAUAGGAACUCUGCAGUUAAGCGUGCUUGGGCGCGAGUAGUACCAGGAUGGGUGACCCCCUGGGAAGUCCUCGUGCCGAGUGGCCCAAGACGAACAAUAUUGUGAUACGUGCCAGAGGGGAAUGUUACAAAUGGUAUCAGAGCCAGCGCACAGUUCGAUGUGUUCGACGAGGACGUCGAACCCUAUAAUGGGGGGUGAAAGUGGGUUAGAUUUGAUCCCACAUCGGCUGGGAAGGAGAACUAAGCAUUCCUUAUAAGGGGUGUGGAUACCUUCCCUAUCACAACGCGUUUUAAAGCCGUGAGGGCAGCAGAUCCCAUAAGAACUCUGCAGUUAAGCGUGCUCGGGCGGGAGUAGUACCAGGAUGGGUGACCCCCUGGGAAGUCCUCGUGCCGAGUGGCCCAAGGCGGAAAAUAUUGUGAUAUGUGCCAGAGGGGGAUGUUACAGUAUAUAGCCAUGUUCAUACGUACCAGUUAAAUUACUAGUAAGCUAUUGACUAUCCUACACCUUGCUGCUUGCUACAGCCGGACGUCAUUUCUUUCUACAUAUAGAUCAGUUAAGUCUUGGUAGAAGACUCCCUGUUAUAGUAGUAGGAAUCAUAGGGAUUUCUAGAGUUUUUCAAACGUUUACAGUUGUUUUACAUACAUUUUCAAUACUUACGAUUUACAUACAUUUUCAAUACUUACAAAUUCUUACAUACAAAUUCUUACAUACAAAUUAAGACACUAAAAUACUUAUGAUCUCACCAGCUUCAAAGUUGAUACUCGCUUUCAAAAUUACUUGUAUCCUCAGGUCAAACAUAGACAGGUACCGAUGCAAGGUUUAGAGAAGAUGGAGCUCGUUCAAGACUCAUCUUUCAUUUUGAUUUAUGCCUUAGUGUUUAUCAAAAUUUGACAGAACACAGUUGUAUAAUAAUUAUAUUAUUAAUGCAAUGGAUGAUGUUGCUGCUUGUUUACUACUUUUCAUUGUUGUGAUAUUGUACAUGACGUCCUCCGCCCCAGAACGUUUCCGCGGUUCUUGGUUUUGGGGUGUGACAAGCCCUCAGUAAGAGUCUAGCAUACCAACUGGUCCUCAGAUCAUAUCUGGAAUGCUACUAAUCCCCCAGUAUGAGUCUGGCAUGCCCCAUCCGAGACUCAACUCAUAUCUGGAUUUCUCCGAUACCCUCAACCCCUUAGUACGAGUCUGGCAUACCAAUCGGGUCCUCAGCUCGUAUCUUGAAUGCACCUGAGCCCUUAGUAUGCGUAUGGCAUGCCCUAAUCAGCUCUUAGCUCAUAUAUGGAAUGCUCCAGGGUUUGUUGGCUACAGAACGAAGCAGUACAACCUCAACCCAACACAAUAUGUCGACAAAUAACCAACAUAUACAGAUAAUCAUGCACACAUAAUCAUAGGUACUCCUAUAGAUCUACCAUACUAACAUAUCGGCAACUAGCAUACUCAUGCAGAUCUAUUCCAUACUCAGAAUAUUAGUGAAUUGUAGGAUAACAAACCAAUACACCGGCAUUGGUGCCUUCGACUCGUAAAUAUAGUGAGGAAAAAUCACAUCGCACUGCUGAACAUAAAGACGAUCCAUGGUUGAUGGCUGCCAGAUCCCCGAACCGCCAAUAUCAAGACAACACCCCAUCACAGCUGAUCCCAUGAAUAAUUUCUGACUACAGAACCACUAUGAUCCACGUGCUAUCAAAUACUACAAUGACAACCCAUCAAUAGACCUGGCAAUGGAGCGGGUUUGGAGCGAAUCAGCCUUGAUCCAAACCCUUUUAACAAAUUUCAAAAUCCGAUCCAAACCCGCUCCGUAACCCACAGGGUUUUAAAUAAUCAGACCCAUACCUUUAUCCGCCGAAUCAACGAAUAUUCAAGCCCGCCCCAUAACCCAAAGUUUUUUUAAAUAAUCAAACACAUUUUAAUAAACUCCUAAAAUAAAAUUUCUUAAAUAAGAAACUGUAUACUAUAUCUUAAUACUUAAAAUAACAUUUUUUUAAAUAAAAAAAAUUGAUUUAGAAAAGGACAUUACAUACUCGAAGAAUUUCAAUCGGAAUUAAAAAUCACUAUUGCAACAACUUUGAAUUGAUUUAUGACUGUUGGUUGUAGUGAUAGCGAAUUGCAAUUGCCAUCUUUUUUCAUGUUAAAAAUUGAUUUAUUGAAUUAGAAAUGGAUAUGAUGAUUUCUUGAUGCAAAUAAAUUAAAUGACAUUAUGAUUCUUGAUAGAAAUCUAUAAGUUUAGAAUCUGAAUUAUCGAUUCCUAUGUAAAAGCAUUUUUUUUCUUUGGCCUUUGCAUUUUGGACUUUUGAUUGGUAUUAAAAUUAAACGUUAAGAAGUAUAAAAUAUAAAUAUAUAAUUCUAAAUUUAUAUGGGGCGAGUUAUAAAUGGAGCGGAUCGGUGAUGAUCCAUACCUGACCCAUUUAAUAAAAGGGCUAGUGGGAAUGGAUCGUUAACGGGUAAACGAAUCAAAAACUACACUCCAAACCCAUAUAAUUCUUACGAGUUUGGAUCGGAUUAGGGUCAAAACCCACUUCAUUGCCAGGUCUACCCAUCAACCUUUAGCCCCUGACUCACGUUAUGAGUGAAAAUUAGGGUAAAAGACCUUUUUAUCCUUCUUAAGCUUGGCCCGAAGCCAAGGCCCAACUAAAUGGUUAAUGGCCCAAAAUCCAAAAUAGACUUCUAAGGCCCAAAUAUGGCCCAAUUUUCCAAAUUGGGCCCAAUUCCUUUCUUGGGCCUUCAGCUAAGAAAGUCCAUCAAAACAAAAGCCCAAACCAUAAAAUCUAGAUGGCCUAACAUGGCCCAAGACAAUCCGAGCCCAAAACCGGAGCCAAAAAUGAAGGCCCAAUAGUACCGCAUACGCGGGGAGUACUCCAAAGGCACACUUAGCGUACAUGAGGCUGCGUAGAAUCCACCAUUGGGGUGGCAGAUUGGGUAUGCGGGGCGUACACCUCCCUACGCGGGGCGUACCCUCUUAAAACUCAAUUUCUUCAUAACUGCUUAAUGGCUUAGCAUUUGAGCUCAUACUUCAGAUCCAAGGUCCAGAGCCAUACUAUGGCCAUAAAAUUCCCAACUUUAUGAAUUUCCACGUCCAAAAAGUCCUUAAUGAAAGGUCUUAAUGGAUUAAUACUUUCUACAAGAAGUAUGGAGAAAAACUAGCUAAGGUGAUCUCACUUUUAUGGCUUAGAACCCCUCUUAGGGUCUGAAAGGACAGCCCAAAAUGACCAAAACCAAACAUGCAUAACAAUGGGACUUUUGGGACAAAAAGAACAUCAUAAUGCUACCAAAAUGAGAUCCAAGCAAACAAAGCAUAAAGGUAGAAACUUUUUACCUUCUGGAGCUUCCCAAGAAGAUGAUGAUCCAAGAUCCACAAGCUUGCUUCAACUACUAAUCUCCUUGAUGCAACUCCUUCUUCCUUAAGAACACAAAGAACACACUUUUAGCUCAAAACACUCUCUUAUUGGGUUAGGGUUGCCAAAAAUGACUCAAGGGUGUGGAGGCUGAAAAGAUGAGGCUAAAUGAUCUAUAAAGGUGAUUAAAUACCCCACAAACCCUAAAACUUAGGGUUUUUUCUAACAAGAGUACACCCAUCGUACAUAUGAGUACGCCCAACAUACUAGGGUACACCCUAGUAUGCUUAGCGUAUGCACAUGUACGCUUAGCGUACCACUCCUUCUCCCAAAAUUACGAUUUUUCCAAUAGGGCUUCUUGCGACCACUUCCUUCCAAAACAAGGACCAAAAUGGUAUACUCUAAAGCCAAGAGAUGAAUUUGAAAAUGCCUGAAAACUGGGGCAUUACAGGUUGGGAGUUCGGAAUACAUGUCGCCAAUGAUGCAUUAUAUUGUUGCAAGUAUUCUUGCAUUUGUUGUGCAUUAGAUUGGGAUUGAGAUUGGAAAGAUGUGGAAGUUGAAGCACAUUUAUUUGGAAUUAGACCGAAGUUGGUGACUGGUCUCCUACCCACUACGCGAGCCUGCCCUUGUCUCGUCCUGAGGGCACGUGCAAGCCAUUCUUCCUCAUCUACUUCUUCACCUUACCCGACCCCGCUUUGCAUUUUCUCGUAUUUAUCUUGAAUCUUCUUCUAAAAUAAACAAGAUAAUAAACAUACGAUAAUUAAAACAAACAACUAAACUUAAACAUUAAAAUAAUAAUAAUAUACCUUAGACAUAAACUAUAAUUAAUAAUAAUAACAUAUUUAACUAACGUAUUAAUUUCGCUUAUGACUUACCUAAUCUUGUUGUGCUCGACUUGUACACCAACCCUAGCCUUCUUUGUAGCGCAUUUGUCUCCAACCCUCAAUAUGUUGCGGCUUCAGUCCUAGUUUUUCCUGUAAUAUGUAAAAAACAAUAAAUAUAUUUAUACGAGUGAUAGUAACAUUUUUAAAUAAUACUAAUAUACUUUAUUACUUUUAAAUGACGUCGUUGAGCAUACGACCUACAUCCAUGAGAACUUGUGUCCGGAAGUUUAAUUCGACCUAGUAACUUUAUUUUUGGCCGAUGUGUGUAUAUAUUCAUCAGUAAAAAACAACAUGCCAAUCGUCUUAUUCUAAGCUUUGGCAGACCAAUCAAUCUGUGGAUGUUUUUUUGUCCUUUCCACAUCCGCAUAUCCACCAGCUUUUUCAAAAUGAUUUUCCAUGUCAUGCUUGCAAUCUCGAUAAGCUUUUUGCAUACUAUCUUGGGUACCCGCUCGAACGGGUUCCCACAACUCUGUGCCCUAGUGCAUAUCGGGAUCAAAAUAAGUCUGCAAAAAAUACAUAUUUGAUUAGUAAUAAGAAAUAUUUAAUAAGUGUAAAAUUCAAUACAUAUAAAAUAUUUUGUAUAUACUUACUUCUAGCUCGAGAUAUAAAUUAUCUUCGUACUUGGUAGAAACAUGGCGCCAAGAAUGAUAAUGCAACAGUACCUCUGAUCCCACCAGAUUUGAGAUCAAUCUAACAAAUAAGUGUCUGUUGUCCCGCACGAAUCGAUACGUCCUCCUGGAGGUAUCAAGGCUCACAACCAAAGGAUUACUACCUUUAUCUUCAUACUCAUCGUACAAUUUUAAGUUUCUCCAUCUGCCAUGUACAUUCACAUUCUUCACUUUUGUUACAUUUACACAUAGAAUUGGAAAUUUAGAAAUUUAAAUCCAAUACUUAAUAUUUUCAUGUAACUUACAUGAUUGGCAACCCGAUGGUAAACCAUGUGUGACCAUGUGUGGGGCUCUAUCACCACUGUCUCCUCCAUGUUACCUCAUGACUUCUGCCAUUUAUUUAACAAAUAUUAUAAACAUUCAAAAUCUAUAAUAAAGCUACUUAUAAAUAGGCAAAAUUUAAAAACUUAACACAUAUUAUAAACAAUCAGGAUAUAUAAUAACCGUAACAUACCAUCAAUGAGAAUCAUCACUAGAACAAUAUAACAUCAUCAUCGUUAUCAUAGUCUUUGUUAUUUAUUUCUUCUUCUGAAGAGUACGUAUCCCCACCAUCAUCGUCAUCGUUAAUUGUCACACCCCUGAACCAGACGACGGAAACGUCUGGGGGCUCGUGUGACUAACAAUUGAAUUAUCAUCACAAUGAAUAUACAUGAAACAUUACACAUUCAUCACCAACAUUACAUAUUACAACCAGCAUUGUUCACAGCAAGUACAUUGUUAAAGAUUACAUAAAUUCAAAGUAUUAAUAGUAAGAUAGGUGAUGUUACACAAAAUAAAUCGAUACACUUGAAAAUCUUCCUGCUUAACGAUUACCUGAGAAUACCAGUUAUUUUGAAAAACGGUCAACAUAUAUAAUGUUGGUGAGUUCAUAAGUAUGUGUGAAUAAAAGUCUUUGCAUCUUUUGUAAAAACCUAGAAAAUCUGAUAUUUUCUGUAAAAUGUCUUAAAAUGAUGUGAAAAUCAAGUAUAAAUGCAUGUGUGAAUUUCAUAGCAAUAACAUAUAUGAUUUCAGUUUAAAUUUCUUUGUAUUUUAAGUAAGUGAUAAAUGAAUAAUAGUAUUUCCCUAGAAAAUCUGAGUAUUUCCUGAUUUAUAAUAAUGUCGAGGUUCUUGUAUCAUUAAUUAAGUUGUUUCGUAUUGACACAAUCGAAGGGUUAAUCUUCGAAAUGUCAAAUUGGUAUUGGAUCUCUAUAUGAGCAGUUAUAACCAUGUAUGAUAAUGACUAGGUUGUCUUUCUUGGCAUUUUCCAAACGUCGGUAUUUGCUCAAGGUUUUGUCGCCCAAGACUGGCCUAGUCUAGUUGUAGCGAACAACUAAGGCGUGGGGGGUCACCCCAUAUAGAUCUAUACACAAACUCCCGCUCUCCCUCCAGGAAACUCUGGUUAUAACUACAGACUACGAUUGUACACUCAGAGGUGUCAACCGACAUGUCUCACUAGAUUCUCAACUUUUCAUACCAUGUUUAAUGUUUACGUGAAUGUUGUAUGUUUUCAAAUCCAAAGGUAUAUAUAUAAGUAUACGAACUUUAGGGCUGGCAAUUGUUGACACGAUACGCGACACGACAUGAAAUAAAUGGGUUUGGGUUGAGUUUUUCAACCCGCCAACCCGCUAACCCGUCAACCCACCAACCCGUUUAUUAAACGGGUCAUAUAUGGGUUUCUCAAAAAAUAAACGGGUUGACCCGCCAACCCGUUUAUAUUCUUAAUAAAAAAAUUAUUAUAUUUUUAAAUGUAUUUAUGUAUCAAGUAUUAAUAUUUAAUAUGUAUUAUAUAAUAUAUACCAUUUAUUCAUAGACCAUUUGAUUGUUUUGACAUUAUUACUCGUGGUGGAUGGUCUAAGGUCAUAAGUCGUAACCUAUAAGACUAAGUCUGUAACAUGUUUCUAUGAAUGUUUUUAAUUUUCAUUUGGAUGUUUAAGACUUAAAUAUCUAAAAUUUAGACCCACGAACCCAAAUCUGACCCACGAACCCGCCAACUUGUCAACCCGUAUAAAUAAAUGGGUUGGUGGGUCAUAUAUAGGUUUAAGUUCCAAACCCGCCAACCCGUGACCUGUAUAUUUAAAUGGGUCGUCAUUGGGUUGGCAUAUUUUGACCCGCCAACCCGCCAACCCGCGACACGCCAACUCGAACACAACACGAUUGCCACGCCUAACGAACUUCAAGAAUUAUGUAAAGGUAUAGUUACAAUCUACUAAGCAUGUGAAUUUCAGUCCAAGCCCAACUAGCAUGUAAAUGGACCACAAAGGUCCAAUGACAUGUAAGAAGGUAAUUUAGACCCAAUAGGCAUGUAAGUGGACCACCAAGGCCCAACAAACAUGUAACCUAUAGCUCAGGCCCAAAUUAACAUGUAAAUGGGUCGCAAGGCCCAAUAAACAGGUCAUUGAAAAUAUUGGGCUCAAUAUAUACUUGAAUGGGCCCUUAAGGCCCAUUGGCCAUGUAAUGUGAAUAUUAGGUCCAAUAAAAUUAUUAUCGAUGUAUUUCGUCAAUUCGUUAUUAUUUCAUGGUUUGCUUUAGCUCGAUGUUUACCGAAUUAAAUAUAAAAGUCCCCUUUUUGUAUAAACGACGUUCUUGGCCAAUAAGACUAAAAUUUUGAAUUAAGGCCCAAAGUUUUGUAAAAAUUAACACUUUAGUCCAUAAUGUAUAAAAAUUUGUAAUUUUGCCCCAAAUGUUUAGAAAUUUACGGAUCUAGUCCAAAAAAUUAUAUUUUGACAUUUAUGGCCCAGUUUCGCAGAAUAUUACAUUUUCAGACCCUUGUUUGUAAAAAUGACACUUUUGACCCAGUUUUUAUAAAAGUUACAUUUUUGGUCCAAUUUAGAAAUAUAUGUUAUUUUUACCCCUAAAUUUGGUUUAUUUACAUUUAUGACUAAAACUUUGGUCAAAUAACAUUUUUAAUCCCAAAACUUCCAUUUUUUCGCAAAUUUGGCCCCAAAACCGUGAGGCCCAAAUAUUCAGCCCAUUAGGCUAAAAUUUACGUUUUUGGCCCUUUGGAAAGCAUGUUUAUCAUAAAAAUCCCUUUUUAUACAAACAGGACCUGUUUGGUCCUUUAAAAACCGUAAAUGUCACUUUUUUCCCUUAUCUUUUGUUUUCUUGACAGUUUUGACCCUUAACAAGGUUUUUGCUUUAAAUUUUUGUAUCUUAAACAUAUAAACACUUUUAACUUGAUAAUAUGAUGUAUAAGGUGUUUUAGUGUUGGAUUAAUGUCUAAGUUUAUAACUAUAAUUGGUAAGACUUGACCCGAUCCGGCAUGGUCCAUUUGGGUUGCAUGGCAUCAUGCACUUGGAUAGACUAUAAUGAGAGAAAUAAGACACUUAUGGUUAUUAAUAUAUUAUAAGUUCUAGUAUAUUAAUAAUAAGAAUAAUAAGAUUAUUUAAUUAGUAUUGAUCAAGAAUUAAUCUAGGAUUAAUUAAGUGAUCAAAAGAAGACUAAUUAAAUAUAUGGGUUGAUUGUGUAAAUCAUCCAUACUUAUAUAGUGGGCUAAUGCUCCAUGGAUAAUCAAGUUGGGCUAAAACCCAUAGGAUGGUCCAUGGAUGCUCCAUGGUGUAUUUGAACCCAUGGAUCCAAGGAAAUGGAAAGUCAUGACAAUUAGGGUUUACCCUAAUUGUAACACUAUAUAAAGAUCUUAUUAUUGACCAAAAUCGGCCACUAGAAUCAUUCUAGAGAAGGGCUAGCCGAUUUCAUGUAGUGUAGAUUUCUCUCAAGUUAUUCCAAGUGUAUUUGGUGUUGUGUGAACCAUUUGAGGUGUCACACUUGGGGCACUAGACACUCAAGCUUCAUGAAGACUUUCUACAUCAAAGAAGUAUGUAUUCUAUCUUGUUACAUUCAUUGUUUUGUAUGCUAGAUUAGGAUAAUACCUUGGAAGUUCUUAUUUGCAUGUAUAAUAGAGAAAACAUAGAUCCAAGGUAUUUAGGGUUGCAUGUACACUUAGGAGUGUUAGAAUGCUCAAAACCCAACAGUGGUAUCAGAGCCUAGGCUUGUUUUCUUGUUAUACUUGCAAAAGAAGCUGAAAAAUCGAGUUUUGAUGCUGUCUGCCCAGCAGACUCGCCGAGUCCAUGAAUGGACUCGCCGAGUCCAAGGCAAAAUGCAUCCAACUCGCCGAGUUGGUUCGUGCACUCGACGAGUUGGACCCCCAGACAGCAUAAAUUCGACUUUUUUGGCUGGAAUUGGACUAGGAACAUUACCCUAAGAUGUUUUUGGACUUAUAAACUUGUUUUUGAUGUGGUAAUGUUCAUGCUAAUCCAAUUUCAAAGAUAAUUGUCAAUAGAUUCAUGUUUUGUAUUAGUUUAAGGUUUAGACUAAUUACAUGAAAAAGUUUGAUUUGAAUUAUCUUGUUCUUAUGAGUUGCUUAGAUUAAUAGAAAAGUUGAGUGAAAUAGUUGUUUUCAAUCCAAAUUAAUCUAAGAGUUGAUUCUAAAAUGUGUUUUUGUAACUUGUCCUCAAGUUAUAUGAAAAGUCACAUUUAAGUUUCAUAAAACUCAUAAAAGUUGGCAAAGGUUACAAAAUGAAGAGUCUAGUUCUAAUUAAAUGGUUUUAUGACUCCAUAACUUGUCCUCAAGUUAUGGAGGACCAAGAGUCUCUUCAUUAAAUAAUAAAUAAAAAAAAAAAGUAACCUUAAUUAAUUCCAUAAGUUAUAAAAUAAAGAAAAGUUAAUUCUUUUAUUAGUUUAAAGUCUUCCAUAACUUGUCCUCAAGUUAUGGAACUUGAAGAGUUUUUGGAUUAAAACUACUUUAAACACAUAAGUUAUGGAAUUAAUUAGUUUUGAAUAGUUUCAAAACUUGCCCUCAAGUUUUGGAAUUUGAAAAGUUUUCACUUAUGAAUACUUUAAUUCCAAGUUAGCCCUUAGAAUUUUAAAAGUUAAAAUUCAACCCUUAUACUUUAUAAUAUUAUAAGUUAAUAAUAUAUAUAUGUAUAAGAGUAAAGUCAGUCUUACCGCUAGUACGCCUCAUUCACGAAGCCGGUCUAUAAGGUGGGUAUAAGGUUGUUGCCUAUAAAAUGGCAACUUAAUGGGUGUCCACUCUCACCCACCGCUUGCUUGACUGGUGGAGGGUCGUUAGCCGAACGGGUUUGACAGGACUAGAAUUCUCCCUUCAUUAAAAGUAUUAAUGAUAAUACUAAGUAACUAAACUCUUAAUAAUACCCAAUCUUAGUUACUUAGGAAAAAUGUGAAUAAGGUGCUAAUCCAUGAAAUUACACUUUGCACUUUGUUUAAGUCGGUUAGUGGAGCGUGUGUGGUUAACCGGCACACUAACUCGUAUUUAACAAGGUAGGCAAAGGGUAACUUAAUGUUUAUCAUAGUAUCGAUGGAGCGUGUGUGGUUAACCGGCACAUCGAUUGAGGGGUAAACACUUAAGGGUACCAAGUAAUUUGCAUGGUUACUUCACACCUUGUUUUGUGAUCCUCGGCAUCCCAGUCACAAAACCUGAAGGGCACACUCGAGAUUGAAACAUGCCAUUGAACAGUUCAAUGAAUCUCAAAGAUCUAGGAGUUUCAAAACCAAUUAAAACCUAAUAAUACAUUUCGUUUAUCUUGGUGGAAAUUGGUGAAUCGUCAUUCACCUACCUUCAAAUAUUUUAUAGCUUGGAUUACGGCAUACCUCUUCUAAGUUAUAAAAUAGUUUGUUGGGUCCUAGCCUUAAUAUUUCAUAUUGGGUGUCAUAUUAAGGACUUUAAAUCAACUAUCUUGAAUAUCUCCCAAAAGAUGUCUGGUUUAGACACCUAUGAUCUUCCCAAAUCUCUUGAAACAAGGUUUCCUAAUGAAGAUGAUGUCCCAUGGAUAUCAUACUUCUUCACCUCUUCAAAUUAUUCUCCCUAACCCACAAGUUCUUGAAAAGUUUAAGGUCACUCAGGCCCUAUUGGCAAGGCAAGGUCUAGGUGUGAUCACAUCUUGGAGAUGUAGUCACAUAUUGACAAGCCGGGAGAGUUGGGUGUCAAAGUCUUGAGAAAGUUGGUGGUUCAAUCACUUUCUAAGUCACAUAGUGAGUUCCUUUGGGACACCUAUGAAACAGACUAUGACAAGACCCUUAAUGAUCUUAUCUAUUUGAUAAGAUCAACUUCCUAAAACUUUAUGGACAUUGACAAUGAUAACAUUGGAUAUCUAGUAAAGCUCUCUCUUCCCAGUGGAAAGGGAUCAGCCAUAGUCAACUGGGUUGACCAAAAUGGUAAAGAGAAAAGCUAAGUCUGUGAUAGUCCCGUGUACCAUUAUCAAAGGGUCCAUAUGUUUAUAUUGCCAAAGGAAGGGGGAUUGGUUGCGAAGCUGCCAAAUUUACCUAAAGAUGUUAAAGUCAAUAAGUUUGACUCUACUUCAUGUAAAGUCCACUAUCUAACUCUGUUAAGUUUCUAUUCUGAGAUUCCUGAUACAUGAUGUGACUGGGUCACAUGGUGAUGUUUUAAGAAUCGGAGCAUAUCCUCGAGUGUCUGGAUGGUGCACUCACUCUGACCAUCCGUCUGUGGGUGGUAGGCAGUGCUCAUAUCUAGCUGUGUUCCCAUUGCCUUCUGAAGAUAUUGCCAGAAACUUGAAGUGAAUCUGCUAUAUCGAUUUGAGAUAAUAGAUAUUGGCACUCCAUGGAGUCUCACAACCUCCUUGAUGUAGAUUCGGGUCAGCUUUUCCAUCUUGUAAGAUUCUUUUAUUGGUAGGAAAUGAGCGGAUUUUGUUAAUCUAUCCACGAUUACCCAAAUAGCAUCCAAUCCGUCUGCUAUCUUUGGCAAUUUUGUCACAAAGUCCAUGGUAAUCCUCUCCGAUUUCCACUUGGGUAUCACUGGUUGUUGCAGUAGUCCCGAGGGCUUUUGGUAUUCCACUUUCACUUUGGCACAAGUAAAACACUUGCCCACGAAAGUGGCUAUCUCUGCCUUCAUAUUAGGCCACCAAUAUUGUUGCUUGAUAUCCAAAUACACCUUAUCUGACGCCGGAUGAAUAGAAUAUCGCGUCUUGUGGGCUUCAUGCAUGACUACUUCUUUGAAUCCCUUAAAUUUGGGAACCCAGAUUCUAUUCAUGAAGUAGUGAGUUCCAUCGUCUUUAACUUCGAGCACCUUCUCCAUUCCACGUAGUGAGUCACUAGCGACAUUCUCUGGCUUCAAUGGUUCCAAUUGGUCUUCCUUGAUCUGUGAGGCUAGAUGAGAUUGGAUGGUGAUUGAUAGAGUUUUCACACGACGACUUGAAUACUCCUUUUGGAUCAAGGCAUCGGCUACCACGUUAGCCUUGCCUGGAUGAUAUUUGAUCUCACACUCAUAAUCAUUUAACAGCUCAACCCAUCUCCACUGCCUCAUGUUUAGUUCCUUUUGAUUUAGAAUGUGCUGGAGGCUCUUGUGGUCUGUAAAGAUGGUGCACUUGGUACCAUAUAGGUAGUGCCUCCAAAUUUUCAAGGAGAAGACCACCUCCCCCAAUUCGAGAUGUUGAGUAGUAUAAUUUACUUCAUGUGUUUUCAAUUUUCUAGAUGCAUAUGCAAUUACCUUCCCGCGUUGCAUAAGGACACAACCUAAACCAUGAUUCGAAGCAUCAUAGUAAAUUAUGAAGUCUUUAAUUCCCUUCGGUAAGGAUAACAAUGGAGCACUACAGAGGGCUUGCUUCAAGGUUUGGAAGGCGAUCUCUUGCUUCUCAGUCCAGUUGAAAGGUACGCCUUUCUGUGUCAAUGUGGUGAGGGGUUUGGCUAUCUUAGAAAAGUUCUGAAUGAAUCUUCGGUAGUAGCCCACAAGACCCAAAAAUUGGCGAAUUUAUGUUGGCGUUGUUGGAAUUUCCCAGUUUUUGAUUGCUUUGAUCUUUGAAAGAUCCAUGUGUAUUCCUUCCUAACUAACUACAUGGCUUGGAAAGUUUACACUGCGGAGCCAGAACUCACACUUGGAGAGUUUCGUAUACAACUUUUCAGCUCGAAGGGUCUUCAAGAUCUGUUGGAGAUGUUGACUAUGCUCUUCUUUGCUUCGAGAGUAUAUGAGGAUAUCAUCGAUGAAAACGAUCAGGAAUUUGUCAAGGAAUGGGCGGAAGACUCGAUUCAUGAGGUCCAUAAAUGCAGUGGGGGCAUUUGUUAGACCGAAGGGCAUCACGACGAAUUCGUAAUAACCGUAACGGGUUUGGAAAGCAGACUUAGGAAUGUCCUCAUCUCGGACCUUGAGUUGAUGAUAACUGGAUCUUAGAUCUAUCUUUGAAAAGUAACUAGCCCCUUGAAGCUGGUCAAAUAGAUCAUCGAUUCGUGGAAGUGGAUACCGGUUUUUGAUGGUGAGCUUAUUUAGUUCCCUAUAAUCAAUGCACAUCCUGAAGGAUUCGUCUUUCUUUUUAACGAAAAGAAUCGGAGCUCCCCAUGGAGAGAAGCUUGGUCUUAUGAAUCCUUUAUUCAAGAGUUCACUUAGUUGGCUUGACAAUUCAUGCAUUUCAGCGGGAGCCAACCUAUAGGGUGAUUUGGCUAUUGAAGUGGCUCUAGGCACUAGGUCGAUUCAGAAUUCGAUUUGUCGUUCUGGGGGUAUUCCUGGAAGCUCUUCUAGAAACACAUCCGGGAAGUCACAUGCCACUGGGAUGUUUUGAAUGUUCGCUUCCUCUUUGGUAUUAUCCACCACAUGAGCAAGGAAUGUGUAGUUCUUCUUUUGUAGACACUUUUGUGCCUUGAUACACGAGAUAAGGUAAAGGUUUGCACCGGGUUUAUCUCCGUAGAUUAUUAGGGUUUCGUGAUUAGAAAGAUGAAAGUGAAUGACCUUCUCGUGACACAUAAUAUCGGCAUGAUGGGGGCUUAACCAAUCCAUGCCGAUGAUGACAUCAAAACUCCUAAUAUUUACUGGCAUCAAAUUUAUUUGGAAAAAGUGGUUGUUUAGUGUUAACGUACAUCCUAUAUAGAUAUCUUUGGUUGUUUCAGUGUUCCCAUUAUCCAUUUCCACCGUGAAGGAUUCGUUGAGCUUCUGGGGUUGUUGAUUUAGAAAGUAUUUGAAUUUAUUACUAACGAAACUUCGCUCCGCCCCACUAUCAAAUAAGAUGCAUGCAUACGAGUUGUUAAGUAGGAACGUACCGAUGAUAACAGCUGGGUCCUACACUGCUUCAUCCUAACCCAUUGUCAACACUCUCCCUGCUGCUCCUGCCCCUUGAUUGUUUGCGUUGGGGAAAUUUCUCCUGAAAUUCCCGGUUUUCCCACAUACGUAACAGGUAUAAUUGGCCCCAACAUUGGUGUUGUUGUUAUUGUUGUUGUUGUUGGUGUUGUUGUUGUUGUUGUUUUUUGGCAUCUGGUUUUGUUGAAGCUGAGUCCUGCAAUACUUUGUUGUAUGGCGUUUCUGGUUGAACCUUGCGCAAAUCAUCUCUCUGUAUUCCCCAUGAUGGUGGAAGUUGCAUUUGUUACACUUGGCGAGAUUUCCUGAAUACUGCUUUGGAGCAUUUGGCGUGGAUGAGGCUGGAGCAUGGGGUGUGGUGGUAGCUUGAGUUACAGCAUGGACAGUCACAGUUUGUUGCUUCUUAGAUGAUUCUGAGUUAUGUUUUCCAUUUCUCUUGUUGUUUAUCCCUUUCUUUCUCUCUUCUUCCUUCUUAACCUCCGCUUCCACUGUUUUGGCACGCUUCUUAUUUCCAUGAUCAUACGAUUUCUUGUCCAGUCUCUUGGCGCUAUCAAACAUCUCAGGGUUUUGCUGCAAUAACAUUCCCUUAGAUAGGUGCAGUCAAUCCCUAGAUAAACCUAUCAAUCUUUUUCCCUUCUAAGGUGAUCAUUCCGGGACACAAAAGAGAUAGCUCACUAAACCUAGAUAUGUAUGCGGUUAUAUUGGAGUUUUGAACUGUGAGGUUCCACAACUCUUGUUCCAUCUUCUGAAUUUCACCUCCAAGACAGUAUUCUGCCAACAUCAUUUCCUUAAGCUCUUCCCAGAGCAUCGCGUUCGCUACCGGGAGUGUCAUGGCCUCUACAUGCCCAUUCCACCAGGAGAUGGCUUGAUCAAUGAAUUUGCAGGUUGCGAACAUGACCUUACACUCAUCUGGGCACCCACAGAUUUCAAAAAUGGAUUCUACUUUCUCGAUCCAUCGCUUCAGGGCUAUUACGCCUCCUGUCCCAUUAAAGGUUCGAGGUUUGGCAUUGGUGAAGUCCUUGUAGGUGCAUGUUCGUGUGGCUCCAUGGAUUGUUCCUUGAUUUGUGCUUCCGUUUCCCUGUCGGUUGCCUUCUCUAUUGUUUCCAUUGCGAAUCUGCACAAGUGUUGUAGUGACCGCAACAGACAAUGUUGCCUGGAAUGCAACCGAGAUUAUUUUCGGCGGGUUUGGUGUUGCGUUGUUUCCACGAUUGGGCCUUUGAGGCAUCUUUCUGUCAUGGAACGGAAAGAUGUAGAGUGACUAUUGUUUUGCGAGUUUGGAAUCCCCUAGGCUAGGUGUAUCGAGUGUGUAUUUAAGUAAUUUCAUACAUUAACAUAAAAUAGGGAAGUAAAACACAUAGCAGAUGACAACAUCAUGAUAAAACGUAAAGCAUUUUCAUUAAUACUAAUUGUUUUGAUACAUGAACAUUUGCCAGAAGGCAUACAGUACAUAGGGAAAUAUAAAAUAUGGCAGCAUUACAACCCUAUGAGCAGUGUGAUCACUUAAACAUAGAGUCGAUAGUACAUAGCAUAGUACACAUAAGGGAAACCUAAUAGUAUUAAGAGAUACUACUGGUCCUGAUCAUACUGAGAAGUGCCUAAUGGUGGUGGUGAAAUCAUAUCCCAAAAUGUUAUGCUAAUAACUGAUCCAUCUCGGUCAUCUCUCCGAUGACCUCAUCUUUUUCCUACUCAGUUUGCAUGGCUCGUGCCUCCAUAGCAAAUAGUUGUUGUCGAAGUGUGGCAACCUCCGCUUCCAGAGACCGAUCCUCAUCAACGGGGUUCCCUAGUGGACCAGGGUGGUCCUGGUGUGCCUCAUUGGUAGGUGGUUCGACGGGGGCUUCAUUUUUGUCCCCAUCCUCCUCCAUGUCUUCGUCAGUCCUAUCAAACUCAUAGUCUGUAUUAGUGUACUCGUCGGGCCCAAUGGUAGGGGCUCCUCCUUGUUCCUCCUCGGGAUUCUCCUCAAGCAUCCCAUGUGCCACUAGGGAUUGAUAAAAAUGGACUCCUUGCUGAGCGUCGUCCAUGGUGACUGCAUGAGGGCGUAUGAAUAAGUCAUGUUUUGAUUAUUCCUAUAGUAUAUUUUACUUAUUUAGGUUUGGUUUCCCUAGAGUUGUUGGAGAGUGAGGUAGGCUUUUGGAUUCAUUUCCCGCUAUGAUUACUCCCAAACACAAUUUGGUCAUAUUCUGAAUAAAUAUAGUUGAUCAGGCUAUAUUUAUCCCUAAUAGGACUACAUAACUGCCCAUGUUUAAUUAUAAUGUUCAAUAUCCUCCAAAAGCUUUUAUUAAAUAUUGUUAGGUUAUUAUCCUAAUAUGCGCAUAUAAGUAUGAAAUUUUUGUUUUGUUCACAGUUAUUUAGUCCCAUUGUGUUUAUAGUUGCAUAUCAUGUAUGGUUAGAUAUGCUAGUUCACUAUAAACAUUGCUUUGAUACCAACCUGUCACACCCCCGACCCAGACGGUGGAAACGUCUAGGGGCUCCUGUGACUAACAAUUGAAUUAUCAUCACAAUGGAUAUACAUGAAACAUAACACAUUCAUCACUAACAUUACAUAUUACAACCAGCAUUGUUCACAUCAAGUACAUUGUUAAAGAUUACAUAAAUUCAAAGUAUUAAUAGUAAGAUAGGUGAUGUGACACAAAAUAAAUCCAUACACACUUGAAAAUCUUCCUGCUUAACAAUUACCUGAGAAUACAAGUUAUUUUGAAAAAUGGUCAACAUAUAUAAUGUUGGUGAGUUCAUAAGUAUGUUUGAAUAAAAGUCUUUGCAUCUUUUGUAAAAACCCAGAAAAUCCGAUAUUUUCUGUAAAAUGUCUGAAAAUGAUGUGAAAAUCAAGUAUAAAUUCAUGUGUGAAUUUCAUAGCAGUAACAUAUAUGAUUUCAGUUUAAAUUUCUUUGUAUUGUAAGUAAGUGAUAAUUGAAUAAUAGUCUUUACCCAGAAAAUCCGAUAUUUCCUGAUUUAUAAUAAUGUCAAGGUUCUUGUAUCAUUAAUUAAGUUGUUUCGUAUUGACAAAAUCGAAGGGUUAAUCUUCGAAAUGUUAAAUUGGUAUUGGAUCUCUAUAUGAGUUGUUAUAACCAUGCAUGAUAAUGACUAGGUUGGCUGUCUUGGCAUUUUCCAAACGCCUGUAUUUGCUCAAGGUUUUGUCACCCUAGACUGGCCUAGUCUAGUUGUAGCCAACAACUAAGGCGUGGGGGGUCACCCCAUAUAGAUCUAUACACAAACUCCCGCUCUCCCUCCAGGAAACUCUGGUUAUAACUACAGACUACGAUUGUACACUCAGAGGUGUCAACCGACAUGUCUCACUAGAUUCUCAACUUUUCAUACCAUGUUUAAUGUUUACGUGAAUGUUGUAUGUUUUCAAAUCCAAAGGUAUAUAUAUAAGUAUACGAACUUUAGGGCUGGCAAUUGUUGACACGAUACGCGACACGACAUGAAAUAAAUGGGUUUGGGUUGAGUUUUUCAACCCGCCAACCCGCUAACCCGUCAACCCACCAACCCGUUUAUUAAACGGGUCAUAUAUGGGUUUCUCAAAAAAUAAACGGGUUGACCCGCCAANUGUAAGUGGACCACCAAGGCCCAACAAACAUGUAACCUAUAGCUCAGGCCCAAAUUAACAUGUAAAUGGGUCGCAAGGCCCAAUAAACAGGUCAUGGAAAAUAUUGGGCUCAAUAUAUACUUGAAUGGGCCCUUAAGGCCCAUUGGCCAUGUAAUGUGAAUAUUAGGUCCAAUAAAAUUGCUAUCAAUGUAUUUCGUCAAUUCGUUAUUAUUUUGUGGUUUGCUUUAGCUCGAUGUUUACCGAAUUAAAUAUAAAAGUCCUCUUUUUGUAUAAACGACGUUCUUGGCCAAGAAGCCUAAAAUUUUGAAUUAAGGCCCAAAGUUUUGUAAAAAUUAACACUUUAGUCCAUAAUUUAUAAAAAUUUGUAAUUUCGCCCCAAAUGUUUAGAAAUUUACGGAUCUAGUCCAAAAAAUUAUAUUUUGAUAUUUAUGGCCCAGUUUCGUAGAAUAUUACACUUUCAGACUCUUGUUUGUAAAAAUGACACUUUUGACCCAAUUUUUAUAAAAGUUACAUUUUUGGUCCAAUUUAGAAAUAUAUGUUAUUUUUUCCCCUAAAUAUGGUUUAUUUACAUUUAUGACUCAAACUUUGGUCAAAUAACAUUUUUAAUCCCAAAACUUCCAUUUUUUUGCAAAUUUGGGCCCAAAACCGUGAGGCCCAAAUAUUCAGCCCAUUAAGCUAAAACUUACGUUUUUGGCCCUUUGGAAAGCAUGUUUAUCAUAAAAAUCCCUUUAUAUACAAGUAGAACCUGUUUGGUCCUUUAAAAACCACUUUUUGCCCUUAUCUUUUGUUUUCUUGACAAUUUUGACUCUUAACAACGUUUUUGCUUUAAAUUUUUGUAUCUUAAACAUAUAAACACUUUUAACUUGAUAAUAUGAUGUAUAAGGUGUCUUAGUUCAUGGGUUUUUUACUUAAUGUUGCUUAAGAUGUCGAGACAUGCUAAGAUCUAACAUAUUUUUUACAAAAUAGACUAAGAAAUCACACACGACAUGCAUAUAACACAUAGAUCUACACAUUUUACUUGUAUUCUCCCCCAAAACUAAUAUGAAAACCAAAAACAAGGGGGUAAGAACUCACCUUUGCUUCGAUGUUUCGGUUUUGAAGAAGAAAUGGAAGAAGUUGAUGUGAUUUUUUGCUCUAGCAAGCUCCUUGAGUAGAUUUCGAGCUUAAGAAGUUUCCAAGAGUCUGACCAUGGAAUAAAGCUAUGUAACAAGGAAUUUUUUGAUGUUAAAAUAAAAGGAGAUGUUUGUGUUUGAUAACAACUUACCAAAGAUUGAAAAUGCUUGAUGAAGAUCCUUAAAACUCAAGCAAAAUUUUGAGAUCCUUGGAGAAAGGAGGAUGAUCUUUGAGAGUGUUUGGAGAGGAUUUGAAAGAGUGUGUGUGUGUGUGUGUGUGUGGUUUGCCUCUCGGCCGUGAGUAGAAGAAGAAGGGGGAAAGAGAAGAUGUGAUGGAUACUUAGGAGUAUAAGCUUUGUAUUUGCUUAAUGGGUAAUUAGCUUGGAGAACCACCAUGUAAUUAUCAUGUGUCAAUGCAUGGUAAUUCUCUUAUUUUCCUUUUUUUACAUGUAUAUGAAUGUACAUAUCUAAUGGGCCGAGAAAAAGAAAGAAUGGAGGGGCUUUGGCCUCUUUUUGAUUUGGUUCGAGUUUAUGAGGCCCAUAGAAAGAGGCUUUCGGCCCAUUGGGCCUUUAGGUGUGUUCACGGCCCAUUUCGAAAGAAGAAAGGGUGUUUAUGGCCCAUUACGGCUAAUUAAUUCAUUAAUGGCCUAAUAAGGCCCAUUAAGGAUAAACCAAUUUAUUUUGGACCCAAAAUGGCCCAAAAUGCUAAGUUUCACGGAAGUGGGUCCAAUUAGUGCCCAUUUAAGGGUCCUAAGCCCAAAAUAGUUAAAUUGGAACCUCAUUGGUCCAUUAGGCCCAAUAAGGAAAUCCUAGUCCAAUAUGGACUUAAAUCGGGAUUCUUAGGGUUUUCAAACUCUUUGUUGAACAUGAGAGGUGAAUUUAAAUGAGCAUUGCGUGAUAUUUACUUAAAGUAUAUGUUUUACACUAGUUGAAUGAUUACACGAGAAUAGAGUUUUCUAGCAAAAAUGCUAGUUGUGACAUUAAUGAAAUCGUGAUUAUUUAUAGUAGGAGCAACAUUCCUCAUAGCAACCACACUUGAUUUACCAACUUCACCUAAAGUCAUCUGCAUAGGCAAGGUGCUUAAGUUUACAAACAAGGUAAAAUCAGUUGAUCGAGUUUUGUUCACGACAUCUAUCUCAUUAACAACACUGAUACUUGGAUGAUCCUAAAGUUUUGAUGAUGAACCUCUUCCACAAAUAUCCGUUUAUUGUUUUGAGUAUGAUCUUUGAGAUAAAACACUUGUUUAGCUUGUGUGGAUAAGAUGUAUUAUUGAUCAUCAUACCUUCUUUUAUUGACAUACCAUCCAUGACUGGUAUCUAUAACGACCAUAUUAUUUAUAGUCUUUAAACAUCCAUUACGUAAUGACACAUUGAACCAUUUACCACGACAGAGUAAAAUUGAGUUACCAUAUAAAUAAUGCGAAUCUAGGAUCUCCUCUAAUUGUCCAUAGAAUGGUCUACCAUCUUCUUGUUGGAUUAGUGUCUAAUUCCAUAACUAUAUUUGGUAUGUACUUGACCCAAUUGGCAUGGUCCAUUUGGGUUGCAUGACAUCAUGCAUUUGGAUAGACUAAAAUGAGAGAAUAACACUUAAGGUUUAUUAAUAUAUUAUAAGUUCUAAUAUAUUAAUAAGAUUAUUUAAUUAGUAUUGAUCAAGAAUUAAUUUGGAACUAAUUAAGUGAUCAAAUGGAGACUAAUUAAAUAUAUGGGUUGAUUGUGUAAAUCAUCCAUACUUGUAUAGUGGGCUAAUGCCCCAUGGAUUAUCAAGUUGGGCUAAAACCCAUAGGAUGCUCCAUGGUGUGUUUGUACCCAUGGAUCAUGGAAAUGAAAAGCCAUGAAAAUUAGGGUUUACAUGGUGUAACCCUAAUUGUGACACACUAUAUAAGUAUCUUAUUCUUCCCAAAAAAAGAGCUAUAAAGGAAUGGUGAGGGCUAGCCGAUUUCAUGAAGUGUCUAAUUUCUCUCAAGUUAUUCUAAGUGUAUUUGGUGUUGUGUGAACCAUCUGAGGUGUCACACUUGGGGAACUAGGCUCUUAAGCUCCGUGGAAUCAAGCUACACCAAAAGGAAUGUCUUCUAACUUGUAUUAUUCCUCAUGAAUCAAUAUUUUGUAUGCUAGUUAGGAUAAUACCUUGGAAUAUUAAUAUUUGCAUGUAUAAUAGAGAAAACAUAGAUCCAAGAUAUUUAGGGUUGCAUGUACACAUAGGAGUGUUAGAAUGCUCAAAACCAUUCACUUCUCCAAAUUUAACAACACCACUAUUUUUAGUAGUGUGUCAGAGAUCACGAAUACUCACAACAAAACGAACACCGACAAUAUGUAUUAUGUUGGUCAUAGACAAUUCUUGAAUAUGAACCAUAGAUGGAGGGAGAGUCUAUUGUUUGAUGGUCCACCCGAUACAAGACCGUAUCCUAGACGAUUUAGUAAUUUAACUAUAUUAAAGUAAUGUAACGUCUGUGUUUCUGGGCUUGCCAUUUUUAGCAAUGUANNNNNNNNNNNNNNNNNNNNNNNNNNNNNNNNNNNNNNNNNNNNNNNNNNNNNNNNNNNNNNNNNNNNNNNNNNNNNNNNNNNNNNNNNNNNNNNNNNNNGACGAAGGUGGACCGGUAUGCGAAGGGACUCCCAUGGGAGUAUGACGUGCCAGUACGUCAGGCACAUACUUUAGAGGCAGCUAUCUGGGCUACCAAGUCUGUUGAGAACAUGAUAAAGGGGAGAACCACCAACAAGGUUGAGGUUGGUGAGAAGAGGAAGUUUGAGGGAACAUCUGGUUCCGGUAAGAAAAGCAAAUUUUCGAAAUCUGAUUCGAAAAGGUUUGGUGGGGGUAAAGGAGGGGAAGCGAAGUGGUGUGAAAAGUGUAAGAAAAAGCAUUUCGGGAAAUGUAGCGAGGAUGUAACUUGCUACAAGUGUGGAAAGGUUGGACAUUUUGCCAAUGAAUGUCCGAACAACAAAAGGAUGUGUUUUGGUUGUAAUGAAGAGGGGCAUAUUUUGAAAGACUGUCCGAAGAAGAAGGAGGCAGCUAAGCCCAACAUUCCACCAAAGCCGAAGGCGAGAGCCUUCCAGAUGACACUUGAGGCUGCGAAAGAUGAAGCUGAUGUCGCUUCAGGUACCUUUCUCGUAAACGAAUUACCUGCUCAUAUAUUGUUUGAUUCUGGAGCCAACUACUCCUUUAUUUCGCAUGAGUUUGGUAGAAAGCUAGCUUUGCCUAUUGAUAGACUAGAUGAUGCUUUAUUAGUCGAAGUAGCUAGUGGCAAGUUUGUACCUGUUAGUCAUCGUAUGAAAAGCAUCUUAAUUGAUCUGAAUGGGAAUAAGUUUCACGAGGAAUUAUUGCCUAUCGAACUAAAUGGUUUCGACAUCGUGUUGGGAAUGGAUUGGCUUAGCGCCAAUGAUGCCGAAAUUUUGUGCAAGAAGAAGAUAGUUAAAGUAAACCCGCCUGGGAAAGAUUCGUUUAUGGUGUAUGGGGACAAACGCAGAGUGAAUUCUGGAAUCAUUUCUCUAAUGAAAGCCAGAAAGUGUUUGACCAAGGGAUGUACAUCAUAUUUAGCAUUCGUGAUUGAUGCUAAGAAGGAAAAGAAGGUGAUGCAGAGUAUUCCAGUGGUGUGUGAUUAUCCGGAAGUAUUUCCCGAGGAUCUUCCUGGAUUACCACCUGAUAGACAAGUGGAGUUCAGAAUAGACUUGUUACCAGGAACCACGCCAAUAGCAAAAGCACCUUAUCGAUUAGCACCGACGGAGAUGAAGGAGCUGAUGAUGCAACUUCAGGAGUUAUUGGACAAAGGUUUCAUUAGACCUAGUUCAUCGCCCUGGGGAGCUCCGGUGUUAUUUGUAAAGAAGAAAGAUGGAAGUAUGAGAAUGUGCAUCGAUUACAGAGAGCUGAACAAGGCAACAAUAAAGAAUAGAUAUCCGUUGCCGAGGAUUGAUGACCUGUUUGAUCAAUUGCAAGGUUCGAGCUAUUUCUCGAAGAUCGAUCUUAGGUCAGGAUAUCAUCAGCUGAAAGUAAGAGAGCAAGAUAUCGAGAAGACUGCAUUCAGAACUAGAUAUGGACACUACGAGUUCUUGGUUAUGUCGUUUGGACUAACCAAUGCUCCAGCAGCGUUCAUGGAUUUGAUGAAUAGGGUUUGUAAUCCUUUCCUUGAUAAAUCCGUGAUAGUGUUCAUAGACGACAUUCUGAUCUACUCGAAAAGCCAGGAGGAGCAUGGCAGACACUUGCGAGAAGUGUUAGAAGUUUUGAAGAAGGAGAAGCUUUAUGCGAAGUUCUCCAAAUGUGAUUUUUGGAUUCGUGAGGUCCAAUUCUUGGGUCACGUGGUCAACCAAGAAGGGAUAAUGGUUGAUCCAGCGAAGAUCGAAGCUGUGACGAAGUGGGAACAACCGAAAAGUCCCACGGAGAUUCGAAGCUUUUUAGGAUUAGCCGGAUAUUACCGAAGGUUUAUCCAAGGCUUUUCUUCGAUUGCUACUCCAUUAACAGCUUUGACCCACAAAGGAGCUACUUAUGCUUGGAGUGAGAAGCAUAAAGAAGCAUUCGAGAAGUUAAAGAAGAAGCUAUGCGAGGCACCGAUACUUUCUCUACCCGAUGGAGUUGAAGACUUCGCUGUUUAUAGCGAUGCGUCUGGUGUUGGAUUGGGUUGUGUUUUGACCCAAAGAGAAAAGGUGAUAGCAUAUGCGUCUCGACAGCUGAAAGAGCAUGAAAAGAAUUACCCGACUCAUGAUUUGGAGUUGGCAGCGGUAGUUUUCGCUCUGAAAAUAUGGAGGCAUUACCUCUAUGGCACGAAGUGCAAACUUUUCACUGAUCAUAAGAGUCUCCAAUACCUCUUUAAUCAGAAAGAAUUGAAUAUGAGGCAACGACGCUGGCUAGAAUUACUUAAAGACUACGACUGCGAGAUACUUUACCACCCCGGUAAAGCUAAUGUUGUUGCUGAUGCUCUCAGUCGGAAAGUCAAUCUUGAAAGGAAGAGGCCAAGAGCGUUGAGAAUUGAAGUUGUCUCGACUAUUGUGGAAAGUAUAAAGAAAGCUCAAGAGGAAGCUUCUGAGAAAAAUGACCGAAAGGAGGAACGUUUGGGUAAAACGUUGGUGUUUGGUACUAACGGUCAUGGACUGAAGGUAUUCCAAGAUCGUAUUUGGGUACCUAAGUCAGGAGGAAUUAGGGAUCUUCUGAUGGAAGAAGCUCACAAAACCAUGUACUCAAUUCAUCCGGGUAGCACUAAAAUGUAUAGGGACCUGAAACCCUACUACUGGUGGCCGACGAUGAAGCUUGAUGUUGCAAAGUAUGUGGCCGAGUGUGUGACUUGUGCGAGAGUCAAGACACAACAUCAGAAACCUUACGGGAGUUUAGAACCAUUGCCUGUGCCUAUGGGUAAGUGGGAAGACAUUGCUAUGGAUUUUGUCACUAAACUGCCCAGAACAAAGAAUGGUCACGACAUGAUUUGGGUGGUCGUUGAUCGAUUCACUAAGAGUGCGCAUUUCAUAGCGGCCAGGGAGAAAUGGUCUAUGGAAAAGCUUGCGAAUUCUUACGUGAAGGAAAUUGUGAGGCUUCACGGUGUUCCGUUAACGAUUGUAUCGGAUCGUGAUAGCCGUUUCACCUCAAGGUUUUGGAAAAGUCUACAAGAGGAAAUGGGUACCAAGUUAUGUUUAAGCACAGCUUACCAUCCGCAGACUGAUGGUCAGAGUGAAAGAACAAUACAAACACUUGAAGAUAUGCUGAGAGCAUGUACCUUGGAAUUCCUAGGUAAUUGGGAUGAACAUUUACCGUUGGUAGAAUUUUCCUAUAAUAAUAGUUUUCACUCGAGCAUUAAGAUGGCACCUUAUCAAGCUUUGUAUGGACAGAAGUGUCGUACGCCGUCUUGUUGGCUUGAGGCUGGGGAAAAGCAGUUUAUGGGACCGGAGAUGGUUCAUCAAACUGCUGAAAAGUUGAAAAUAAUUAGGGAAAGAAUGUUAGCAGCUCAAGAUCGUCAAAAGAGCUAUGCUGACAAGAAGCGAAGACCGAUGACUUUUGAGGUUGGAGAUUCGGUUUUGCUUAAAGUCUCGCCGUGGAAGGGACUUAUAAGAUUUGGUAAAAGGGGAAAGUUGAGUCCAAGGUUUAUUGGACCGUUUAAAGUCCUUCAGAGGAUUGGGAAUCAAGCUUACAAGCUCGAAUUACCCGAAGAACUGAAUGGAAUUCACAACACCUUUCAUGUGUGUUAUUUGAGGAAGUUCACGGGAGAAGUUCCCGAUAUAAUUCCAAUUUCUGAAUUGAGAAUUGAUGAGAACAAAAGGUUGAUUGAAGAACCAGAGGCAAUUGUUGACCGAAAGACUAAGAAGUUGCGACGCAAAAUGGUUGGGUUAGUGCUUGUCCGAUGGAAACACACGAAUGGGCCGAAUCUCACCUGGGAGACGGAGAGUGACAUGUUGAGUCGCUAUCCGCAUUUGUUUGUUGAUGUGUGAUUCCGGGGACGGAAUCAUUCUAAGGUGGAGAGAAUUGUAACGCCUGUGUUUCCGGGCUUGCCAUUUUUAGCAAUGUAAUAGUCUAGGUUAACCUUUGUAACCCGUUUUGAAAUAAUAAGAUUGUAUUAUUUGAGUAUUAUGUGUUUUGUGCUUAAUUGCUUAAUUAUGUGGUUUGAUUAAUUAAGAAUAAAAAUAAGCGUCAAAAUUUAAGUGUAAAAUAAACUUAAUAUCUUUGGUUAAUGUUGUAGUAGUUGAAACGAGGUUUCCGAAUAUAUAUAGAACGCCCAAAUCUGACUUCGUAUGAGGAAGUUAUGAUUUAUCGAAGUUCCGGCUUAGCGAUAUACAGCCUGUUUUACUCGAUUUGAGAUCGAGCGGUUGUUAGCCGAAGCAAUCUAAAUGAGAAUCGAAGAUCUCAUUGUUGGUAUUGAAACGAUAAAAAGUUAGGCGAGAACGGACGUCAAACGAAGAAGUUAUGAAUUUAUAACGAAAGUUUCUGUCCCGGCCUAUUAAAAAUAAUUAAUAAAAAUAAAGUCAAAAUUAGCCGACGGAGUCUAAACGAAAGUCGUAGAGCGUGGUCUCACCUUCGCGUGGAUAUAAAGAACGUCGAAAACGGAGUUCGUAUGAAGAAGUUAUGAAUUUCCGAAGUUUAUUAAUCAUUUUGUAUUUAUUUUUAAUUCAAAAUUCGGAAGCAUUAUCCGAAGGAGUCACCGAUCUGAUCCGAGGUACGCCCCGCGUACUCGAGUACGCCCCGCGUACUCCGAGGGAUGUCGACACUCGCACUCGAGCACUUCGGAUACGUAAGCAAUGACGUUUUGGGCAGUACGCCCCGCGUAACGCAGUACGCCCCGCGUACUCCGAGGCUCCAGCCUCCUAUAAAUAGGAUGCGAGGGUUCCGGGUAUUUUUGCCAAUUCCCUCUCGUUUUCGUGUCGAAGCUCUGUGCAAAAACCCCCGAAGCUACCCCGAAGUCCCGGUAUCAUACUCUAGCCCCGAGGCAAGUCCCGAGAUCCUGAAGAUCCCGAAAAGUGCGGUUCCCGAGUCGAAGCUCUGCCCGCGAGAAGUUCGAUUUUCGAGAAGAUCUUCCAGAUCUGCUGUGGAUUACUACUUCUAUAAGCCGUAGUGCUGUCCGAUCAUCUUCUGAUCAAGUGAGUGUGUAGUUAUUUCUUCUAAUACAAUAAUACGAAGUAUUUUAUAUAAAAAUACGUGCUAUGUGUAUAUAUUUUGUUGUUAUAUAUGUGAAUGUAUACCCACUCUCUUCUAUCUUAUAGAUCUGAUUAUUUCUCAAUGAAAUACGUGUUAUGUGUGUGUGCCUCAUCUGUUAUGUGAAAAAUGUUUUGAUUGAGCAUGCUAUACAGGUUUUGAAACUACGUAUAAAAAUGUAUAUUUUAUCUACUAAUAUGUUGGGUAGAAUAUGGGUAGAUAGUUGGUGUGUAAUAAACAGAUGAGAGGCCUCGAUGUUGUUUUGAUCCAGUCAUCUAGCGGAAUUUAGAUGACGACCACGGACUUUUCUAGACAGUCCAGUGGAACGCUAGCAGGCUCAUAACCUGUAGGUGUUAAUGAACUUGGGUGUUCAUUCGCUGUAUUCCAUCCCCCCCAUGGUUGCCUUAUUUGACUUAUAUUGCUGAGGAACCCCCGAAGCAUGUGUAGUCGCCCCGAUGAAAUAUUCUUUGACUAGGUCCCUUGUGUUAGUUAUUUUAGGGACAUAAAGUGAGAAUAACGGGAAUGGGUAACUGGGUUAUUGUUGGAUGAUAAUAAUUAAUUAAAUUAUUUAUUGUGGGUUGAAAACCCUAUAUGCUCACCAGGCUCCCAAGCCUGACCCACUCAGUUGAUUUAUUUUACAGGAAGUGGCGCAAGAGCUUAAGAUGGGCGAACAUCAAGUUGUUUUGUUUACAAGUCUGUAUAUGUAUAUAUUUGUUGAAAGACUUGUAAUGCUAUCGUUUAUGCUUUAUGAUCUGUAUCGGAACAUGACAUCCCGACUUUUGAUUAUGAAAUGAAAUCAUAUUUCUUUAUGAAAUGUUUUGAUAAAUAUCUAUUUUAUCAUGUUUUGUUUUUGGGAACAAAUUCCGCAUCUCUUUUAAAAAUUAAAAGGAUUUACUCUGAAAAUUAUUUUAAAAAGCAUAAAUGAAAUCGGUCUUUUCUGGCCGAGAUUUUGGGGAUGUCACAAGUAAGUAGCUCGUCUCUCUGAUAAUAUGUAUUAUGUUGGUCAUAGAUGAUUCUUGAAUAUGAACCAUAGCUAGAGGGAUAGCCUAUUGUUUGAUAGUCCACCUAACACAAGACCGCGUCUUAGACAAUUCAGUAAUGUAACUAUAUUAAAGUAAGUAGCUCGUCUCUCUGAUAAUAUUCCAGGGGAAUAUCCUAAUCAUGGGGCUAAAAAAGAAAGCAUGAACAUGAAAGCAAAAAGGCAGAGUUGAAUCGGAUGAAACAAAGUAUCUUAUUUGAGCUUGAGUAUUGGUCUUCCCUCCACCUAAAACAUAAUUUUGAUGUUCUACAUGUUUUGAAAAAUAUGAAUGAGAGUGUGUAUAAUACUACACUGAUGAACGAUAAAAGAAAAUACAUAAAAGAAGUAAGAAUUGACUUGAAAAAUACGGUCAUUCGACCAGAUCAAUGGCCAAAAGAGAAAGUCAAGAAGAAGAAGACAGUACACCAUUCUAUGGUCCCUUGGUUGAUGCAUCUCUCAUUUGGACUCCUUCAACCCAUAACAUUUUCAACUCAGCCACCAAAGGCCUCAAGUAAACAUCAAUGUCCUUUGUAGGUGAUCUAGGGCCAGGAAUCAACAAAGUUAGCAUGAAAGAAGAGUCCUUCAUACAUAUCCAUGGUGGUGUAUUGUAGUUAGUAAAUAUAACCAUCCAAAUAAUAUAAGUAUUAUUAAAGUUGUUGAACGGAUUAAAGCCAUCAGCAGCUGAACCUAGACGAAUAUUUCUAUAUUCUUUAGCAAACUCUCGAUAUCUCUUAUCAAAUUAUUUCCAUGACUUCUCGUCAACCGGAUGACGCAUCUUACCAUCCAUUGAGCAUCCAGUAUUAUGACAACUAAUAUAUUUACCAGUGAAUCUGGAACUAUACAUUCGUCGAAGCCUUGAGUCAAAGGAAACUACCACAAUGCUUUUUGUGGUACUCUCUUCCCAUUUUGUUGUUGUGUCCACCCAUUUGCUUGCAUUACAAAUUCGGGCAAUUUUACAUGGAAUCAUUCUCCUUCCAAAACGAAGCACAAUCAUAUUUACAAGUAUGGAUGGAUUGAUAUCAAACCCUAUCUUUCUCAACUUAUUCUUAGCUUCAUAGUGUGAAGUUGCUCUUCGGGAAUGAAACUCUUAGUAACUCUACAAGUUGGUUAAAAAAAAUAUUUGUCCAUUUAUUUAUCACUUUAGUAUGCAACAACUUUGCCAGAAAGUUUAUGUAACGUCCCAAAAAUUAAGACUAAAAGUUUUUAAUUUUAAAUUAAUUAAAACCAUUAUCCAAACAACAUCUUAGAAAUCAUAGUGCAUCAAAGUGUAUCAAUAACAUCCAUGUACAUCAGCAAGAUAUAAAAAUGCAGAACGACGUGGUGGGUGCAUUGCAAUCAUCCCGUGUAACGCCCGUAAACUCGGGCUAGUCAAUUUAGAGACAAUGUGCGUCAAAAAUGACUUUUUGAUGGGAGAUUGUUUACAAGAAACAAUCUUAACCAAGUUAUAUUAUAUGUCACAAAGGUUCCUUAUAUAUAAAGAACGCCAAAAUCCGAGUUAUAACGAAGAAGUUACGACCUUUCGAAGUUCUACGACAAAACCAACACGGCACCGUGUAACGUAAAAAGUGAAAUCUUGAUAAAUUACUUUUUAGCCUUAGGGAUCUAAAUGAAAGUUGUUUUAUACAUUAAAUUGAGAGCAUGCAUAAAAAGAACGUCAAAAUCUGACUUUGUAUGAGGAAGUGAUGAUUUUUCUAAGAUUUCGCACAGAGUAUACAACCUGGAAUUCGAAUGUCAGAUCGAGUGAUUUUUAGCCAACACAACCUAAAUUAUAAUUGAAUAUCUCAUUAAUAGGAGUUCAACGAUAAAAAGACAGUUAAAAACGGAGUCUGUAUGCAGAAGUUAUGAAUUUUACACGGUCGUUAACAAAAUAAUAUUUUCAUACUGUUAUAUUUAAAAUUGGUUGAGAAUUAGCCGAUUCAAUCUAAAGGAAAGUUGUAGAUCUUGUCAAUACCUAUGUGUGGAUAUAAAGAACGUAAAAAACGGAGCUCGUAUGCGAAAGUUAUGAAUUUUUUAAAAUUUGUUGUUUUACCUGCGUCCAGCGCCACGUGUCAGCACCAGGCGAAGCCUUAGUGCCUACACAAGGCCACGACGUGGAUUAUAAGUCUAUGAUGUUGAUUUCCCCAGAUAACCUAUAAAUAGAGGUGGAAAUAAUCCAUUUCCUUCACACCUUCACCCUUCUUUCUGUCUCAACACUCCCAAUCUCUCCCUCCUAAUCCCUAGCAACUUCUAAGUGCUAGAGGCGAGUCCCGGAGCGCCAAAAGGGUCCGAGAAGAAGAGUUUUCGUCUCAAAAUUUCCGCCCCCUCAGAGCCCGGUUCCUAGCCAAACCCCCAGGAAGUGAGUUAUGCUUACACUACUUUAAGUAUACUUAUGUUUAAGUUUAUUAUCGUUAUUAUGAACUUAUAAACAAGAUUUAUCAGUGAUUCCAAGUCGUUAUACUAAUUGAUCUACUUACGGGGAUGAUAUAUAGGUUGUGAUUUAGUGAGGUGUUUAAAGUGGGAUUUCAAAACAGUAUACUUCGUAUACGAAACGGAACUUACCUCCGAUAUGAUCCUACAUGGUUGUUCCUUACUUGAUAGAUCAUGAAAGUAGACUUUGAGUUAAUGAUGAAUCUAGACUAAUAAUUAGUCGUGCGUAAAGAUUAGACUAAAACUUAGCGAUAAUAAUGCUAGGUUUCAUCGAAGGAAAAUAGAAUCAUGAGAAGCAAAGUGCUUCCCGAGUUUGGAAUUAUCACUUUGAUAAGUGAGUGCAUAGUUACUUUCAUCUUACACAUAGAUAUGAAGUAUAUUAUAUAAAUUACAUGCUAUGUGUUCAUAUUAUAUGUUUACUUUAUAUCUAUGCUAGAUGAAUGAUCCUAUACAUGUUUUGAAUGAUUUAAACUGUAUAUAUAUUUUUUGUAUCUAUAAAAUCUAUUGGGUAAAACAUGGGUAGAUGAAUGAUAAGGGAUGAAAGUUGAUAUAGAGGAACAUUGGCAGUUAUAGACAUAGUGUCCUAUAGGUGAACAUUGACAACAAUGGACUUAGUGCCCUAUAGAUGAGCAUUGGCAGCCGUGCCACCACCUGUAGAUGUUUUGAUCUACGAUGUACUCUAAACAUCAUAGCAGCUGCGCUCAAAGGGUAGUAUCGGCAGCUGCGUGUAACGCAUGUGUUUCUAGGCUUGUCAUUAAUAUUGAUGUAAUAGUGUAGGUUAACCAUUGUAACCUGUUUCGAAAUAAUAGAAGUGUAUUAUUUGAGUAUUAUGUGUUUUGUACUUAAUUGUGUGUCUUAAUUAAAUUAAGUAUGAAAAUAAGCAUCAAAAUUAAAUGUUACAUAAAGCUGAUAUCUAUGGAUAAUUUUGUAGUAGUUGAAACGAGGUUUCUGAAUAUAUAUAGAAUGCUGAAAUCCGAGUUAUAACGAAGAAGUUAUGAUCUGUCGAAGUUUCGCGACAUAAAUCGGCACGACGAUGAAUGACGUAAAAAGUGAAUUUAUGUUAGAUUUAUCUUUAGUCCUAGUGAUCUAAACGAAAGUUGUAGAGUUCGUUAAACCGAUAGCGUGCAUAAAAAGAUCGACCAAAUCUGACUUCGUAUGAGUAAGUUAUGAUUUUCCGAAGUUUCGACUUAGCAGUGUGCAGCCCGAAUACUCGAUUUGAGAUCGAGCGGUUUUUAGUCGAAACAAUCUAAACGAGAAUCGAAGAUCUCGUCAAUGGUAGAGCAACGGUAAAAAGAUAAAUGAAAACGGACGUCAGAUGAAGAAGUUAUGAAUUUAUAACAGAGUUUUCCUAUCCCGGCCUACUAAAAAUAAAUAAUAAUAAAAUAAAUUCAAAAUCAGCCGACAGAGUCUAAACGAAAGUUGUAGAGUGUAGUCUCACCUACGCAUGGAUAUAAAGAACGUCGAAAACGGAAUUCAUAUGAAGAAGAUAUGAAUUUCUGAAGGAUUUAUAUGAUUAAUAUUUAUUAAUUAAUCUUUAAUUCGAAUGUAUAUCCGAAGGAGUCACCGACCUGAUCCACACUAUGCCCAGCGUACACCGAAGCGUGACCCACCUCGCACUCGAGUGCUCCGAUGACACAUGCAGUGACGAAUCCGAAGCGUACGCCCCGCGUACUGAGCAUUACGCCUAGCGUAAUGCGAGGCUUCAGCCACUAUAAAAGGGCAUGCGAGGGCAGCCAAUCCUUUUGCUCAAUUUCUUUUCUCUCUCUCUUGUUUUCCAUCGUUUUGCGUUCAACUUAUACCCCGAAUCCCCAGUAUCAUUCCCGAGCCCCGAAGCAAGUCCCGAAGCCCCGAAGAUCCCGAGGAGUAGAGUUCCCGAGCCGAAGCUCUACCCGCGAGAAGCCAAUUUUUGUGAAGAUCUUCCAGAUCUAUCAAAGAAUACUACUUCUACAAGUCGUAGUGCUAUCUGUUCAUCUUCUAAUCAAGUGAGUGUGUUGUUACUUUCUUCUAACGCAUAAUUACGAAGUAUUUUAUAUGAAAUACGUGUUAUGUCUAUAUUUUGUGUUGGAUAAGGUGUCUAAGUCCAUAACUAUUUCUGGUAUGUACUUGACCCGACCCGGCAUGGUCCAUUUGGGUUGCAUGGCAUCAUCCAUUUGGAUAGACUAUAUGAGAGAAUUAACACUUGUGGUUUAUUAAUAUAUUAUAAGUUCAAAUAUAUUAAUAGUAUUAUUUAAUUAGUAUUGAUCAAGAAUUAAUCUAGAAUUAAUUAAGUGAUCAAAUGGUGACUAAUUAAAUAUAUGAGUUGAUUAUGUAAAUCCUCCAUAACUUAUAUAGUGGACUAAAGGGCUCCAUUGAUAAUCAAGUUGGGUUUGUUGGAUUAUUGUCUAAGUCCAUAAACUAUUUUGGUAUGUACUUGACCCGAUGGUGUAUGGUCAUUUUGGGUUGCCUUCACCAAAGCAACUUGAUAGGAUGAAUUAUAAAGAGAAAGGAUUAAAUAUGAUUUAUUAAUAUAUUAUGAUAAUACUAUAUUAAAGGAGAAAUCAUAUUGUUUAAUUAAUAUUAGUCAAGAAUUAAUUGAUAAUUAAUUUUGUGACUAAAAGAGAUUAAUUAAACUUAAGGGACUAGAACUGUCAAUUGUAUGAUAGUUGAAUAUUGAGCUAAUGGACUCCAUAUUAAAGGAGUGGAUGAAUUCUAUGGGGAAACCCAUUAGAAAUCGUCCUAGGCCUUUAAGGAAGGAGCCCAUGGGUUACUUAGGGCUUAAGCAUCCAAAUUAGGGUUUCCUUGUUAGAUAACCCUAAUAGCCUCACUAUUUAAGGACCCUUUGGGCACCAAAAACGUAGGCAACUGAAUCCUAGGGGUUUCUACACGUUUUUGGGUGUUUCUUCUCUUCUCCUAUUCAUCCUCUUGCUCUUGGUGUUUGUGAACCAUUAGAGGAGUGACAUUUGUGACUCUAAGCUUUCUAAAGUCAUUACAAAGGAGGAUUUGAGAUUGUUAUUGCUACAUAACAAUCAAGGUAUGAUCUAAACCCUAAUUCAUAUCUUAUACUGAUUAUCAUAUACUAGAUCCAAGCAUUAGGGUUUGUAUGAGCACAUAGGAUGUUCUUAUAGCUAAAACCCAUCAGUGGUAUCAGAGCCUUGAUUGGUUUCUAUUGUAUUGAUGCCUUGUUAAUUUGUUCAUGCUUGAAAAAUUCGAUUUUGUGAGUCUGCCUAAUGAACUCGGCGAGUCCCAUUGUGGACUCGGCGAGUAGGCCCCUACUCGGCGGGUCCAUAGGGGUACUCGGCGAGUUCGAGCGUCAGAAAGAGGGGACUUCGAGAUUUCUUGCUGAUUUACUCAUGGAUACUUGCCUUAUCUGUUUUAGAUCAUUAAAAUCCGAUUUUAAACAUAUUUAUGAGUAUAUCCUUGAUUAAACAAAAGAUAAUUACCAAUUGAUUAGAUAAUAACUUCCUUAUAUGAUAAAGUUUGAUUAUUUGUAUUAAUUGGGUAACUUAUUUUGCAAGAAAUUGAAAUUAGGUCAAAUAUAGAUAAUGAUGAGAUUAAUUGUUUAAUUUAUAUUAUUUGUUAUUUGAUCCUUGUGUUAUGAAAAGUUUCAAUUUUCCCCUUUAGGUUUUAUAGUUUAAAUUUGAACUCAAAAGUUUNUAGGGUUUCAUGUACACCACAGGAACGAUGUUUCAUAAACUUGACGAGUUCCAUAGACUCGAUGAGUUAAGUGUCCUGGUGCCGGGAUUUUCGAUUUUCUGGCCAAAUUUUAAUGAGGAUAACUGUGAAAACUCGUUUUUCUUUCCUAAAUUCAAAUCUUUAAGAUCGGUAUGGAUAUCCUUAUCAGAUUUGGUGGAUUUAGUUAAAUAUGGAUGAUAUAGGAUUAUUUUGAUUCAAAUAUUUAACCUAGUAAGUUUGAAAAGUUUCAAAUUACACCCUUUAGGUUUUAUAGUUUAAAUUUGAACUUAAAAGUUUUAGUUUUGAAAUUUAAAUAGUUAAACCCUAAUAUUUUGAAAAGUUUUAAAAUUUGUCCUUAAAUUUUGGAAUUUAAAAUUUAAUUAAAAGGUAUUACUUUUGCAAUAUUAAUUUCUAAAACCCUAGUGUUUUGAAAAGUUCAUAUUACACCCUUAUGGUUUUAUUAAAUUAAUUAAGUGCUUAAUUAAGAGAGAGAAUUAAUAAAUCCAUAACAAUAUGGUUUAAGAUUAAUCAAAUUAAAAGUGUAAUUUAUUAAUAGAUUAAACCACCUAAUAUUUUUAAAGUGUAAAAUACACCAUUAUACUAUAUAUAAAAUUAAAAGUCUAAUAUAUUAUAUAUGUAUAAGUAAAGAGUCUGUCUUAUCGUUAGUAAGCCUUAUUCACGAAGUUGGUCUUUAAGGGGUGUUUAAGGAAGCGGCAUGUAAAAUGACCGUCAUUGGAUAUCCACUCUUACCCACCGCACCAUUAACUAGUGGAGGGUCAUUAGCCGAAUGGGUAGGAUAGGACAUAACCUUCCAUUAUAAGUAUAAUGAAAUACGAAGUAACUAAACGUUUAUAUAAAUUCUCAAAUCUUAGUUACUGUAGGAAAAAUGUGAAUUUGGUGCUAAUCCAUGAAAUUGCACAUUGCACCUUGUUGGUCGUUAGUGGAGCGUGUGUGGUUAACAGAACACUAAUAUGGGACCAAUGAAGGAUGGCAAUGGGUUUCUCGUAAUAUUAUCAUUGAUCAAUGGAGCGUGUGUGGUUAACCGGCACAUUGAUUGGGUGGUGAUCGACAUCGAGAGUAUCAAGCUAAUUUGCAUGGUUAUUCACACCUUGUUUGUGAUCCUCGGCGUCCCAGUCACAAACUUGAAAGGCAUAAUCGAGAUUAAACAUGCCAUUGAAAAGUUUAAUGAAUCUCAAAAGAUCUAGGGCUUUCAAUUCAUUAAUAACCUAAUUUUCAUUUUUGUUUUUCAUGGUGGAAAUUGGUAAAUCGUCAUUUACCUACCUUCAAAUAUUUUGCGACUGGAUUACGGCAUCCCUCUUCCGAAUUGUAGAAUAUUGUGUUGGAUCCUAGCCUUAAUAUUCCCUUUGGGUGUUAUAUUAAGGAUUGAAUCAACUAACUUGAACUUCUCCCAUUUUGUAGAUGUCUAAAUCUAACAACUAUGGUAUUCCACAAUCCUUUGGAAAAAGUCUUCCACAUGAAGAUGAUGUUCCACGAUUCGAUCGAGGAACAAGAGAUCAUGCUUCACUUCAUCCUCCUCCUCCCGUUGUUCUCCCUAACCCACAAGAUCGAAGAAUUGAAAGGUUCAAUGUCACUAAAGCCCUAUUGGAAAUGAAACAUGAAGAUAAUGUUGGGUGCGUCAUUCCCCGAUAAGUUGGCUGUGAACUGGGUUCUGCAGUCGCUCCCUGAAUCAUAUAAUGAGUUCAAGAGAAUGUAUUAUAUGAUGGAUCAUGACGAUAACCUCAUUGACCUAACUUACAUGCUCAUUGCUGCUGAAUCAGAAAUAAUUUGGCAAAGCAAUGGAGCGGUUUUGUUGGGAAAGUCAACCAACCAUGCUUUCGAGGACGUUCUAGGAGAACCGACCUGCGUUUGCUGCCAAGAGAAAGGGCGUUGGAUACAAGUUUGCCCUAAGAGCCUGAAGAAUCCAAAAGAUGGGAGAGUCAAAGAGUAUGGUUGUGCUUCAGGUAAAAAUCCACUAUCUAACUCCAUUAAGUUCUUAUUCGUUGAUUCUUAAUACAUGAUGUGAUAAGAUUGCAUUUGAAUGUUUUGCAGGAUCAGUGAAAAGAGAGGAAGCUUGAUGGAAAAGCAAGAUAAGUCUAAUCACAAAGAAAUGGAUCUCGAUCGCAUGGACUUGAAGAUUAGAUUUUGAGCUUAGAAAGUUAUGAUAGAGUUGUUAGGAAUAUUAGACUACAUAGUUUUUCAGUUAAUUUUGCAUUGUAAGGAAAAAUGUUUUCCGCUGCUUUUAUGAAUAAAAUAAAUUUUGAUUUGACUCAUUUAUUUAUUUAUUUCCUUGCAAUGAAAUCGUUAUGAAAAAUUGAUGUUUGCAUAUUUCUACAACGAAUGGAUGUGAUUCUUAAUUAUGUUAAUUAUGGAAAGGUCAAGAAUUUACCAAAUAGGAAAAGUUUCUCAUCGCCCAAGUUUCAAUUGGAUAGAGACUUGGGUCAUGCAACUUGGUUGCACGAUGAAUGAGAAAUUUCAUAUGUGGAAAUAAGACUAAUUCGUUGACAAAGUGUCAAGUGAAGAACUAGGAGAUCGAGUACACAAAGUUGUGUGUUGAUCAAGUCCACCGCAAGAGUAACGAAGAUAUUCGUCAUGAUUUACUAGAGGUUUAGUAAAAAUGAUUAUACUUAUAAGAUUAAGUGUAAUUCUGAAUUGAUUGAAAAAGGUUUAAAUCAAUAGCAUAACGAAUAAGAAGAAUCAAGUAGACAGAAAGAUAAAAGUCUCUCUAUUCUAAGAAGAAGGGAGAGUAUCUUUAUGCUUUAUGAUAUGUCUUAAUGAUUAAGAACCAUAUCUCAAUUGAUCCUCUAAGUAAGUCUUAGUACAAUUGUAUGUCUGAGAAGAGGAAUCAAGAAUUAAAGAAAUGGUUAAAAUCAAGAAGUCAAUCGUAUUUCGUUCCAAACAAGUCUUAGAGUUAAGAUUGUGACAUAGAGUGACAAGUAUUAGGAAGGUUUAUGACAAUCAUCAAAUGUAGAAUUUGGAAAAGGGUUUUCUUAUUCUUGCACAUUUGAAAUUCGUAAGUUGUGAUGUCUUGGAUUAGACAAAGACCAACGAGGACCAAUUUGUGAAGUGUUUUGUCUUGAUAAAAGCUACACUAACUCUUGAAUAUUUGGUUGUCGAGAAAUGUUUAUUGACAAGAGAAUCUUAUAUGUCAAGGAGUCAGUGGGAGUCUUAAUGGUCUUGAAAAGGUUUCAAUAACAAAUCAAAAUAAACCUUAUCAAUCAUCACUAGCACACGAGUUGAGGUUUACAACCUAUCGUGUUGACAUUAUCUUGUUUCUGUGCCGUUCCAAUCGAGUUAAUUAUGCAUGUGAGUUCUAUGAGUUCUCAUUUGAAUGCAUAAAAGGCAAGGACCUUGAUCAAUGGAAAGUACAUUGAUAGGAAAGGGUGAGCUGCUUAACUACUUGGAAGACAUGGUGGGCAGCCGUGUUACCAUAAGGCAAGAAAUCAAGAUUAAGAGUUCGGUCCAUAUAAGUUUGAAUUUGUCAUAAACUUUGGUUUUAACAAAUUCACAUGGAUAGGAACACAUACACUAUUAAAAUCUAAGUGUCAUAAGAUUCCCUCCUUCAUGGAAAUGACUGUGAGGUAAUGCUUUCACUAAAAGAGAUUUUAAGAAGAUAGUAAUUGUGAAAAUUGGAUUCUCGAAUUCGAUUAUGGUUACAGUAUCCCUUUCCAUGAUUCGAAUUGUAAGAUUUGGCAAUUAGUCUGAAUUGUUUAGACACACAUAUGAGCUAUCUAAGGGAAAGGUGUAUAAGCUUAGAUAAAGGAUUAUCAAAGCAUUAGUUAUUAGAAACAUGAACUUAAGAAAUUCAAUAGGUAUUGUUCUUCUGAAAGUUAAGUUGUUUCUAAAUACAUGUCAAAGCUAGUGGGAGCAUAAGUGUUAUGUUUAUAAUAAUCAUCAUGAUAGUGGGAGCAUAAAUGUUAUGAUUAUGUGAUUAUUAAGGCAAGUAUUGCAAGUUAGCAAUAUUAAUUAUAGAAAACAAGAGUUAUACUUUGCAAAGUCACAAUGGUUAAAAGGUUGUUUUGCUAUAAUUAAGGGAGAGAAUAUUAUGCUUCAUUUCAAAACUAAAGGCUUAGGUUGUGGAAUGUUAAUUAUUUUAGUCAAGGAUACAUAGUAUUCUUAAAUUUCGAUUAUGAUUACGACAUUUCUCUUCAUAGUUCGAAUUGUGAGAACAUAGCACAUAAAAUAUUAUGGCAGAAGACUGAUAAAGUAUCAAAUCUUUAUGCAUCGUGUCCCAUGCGCUUCGGGUAUAGGAUCGAUUGCAAAUGCUAUAAUAUUUGACCAUUCCAAAAUUUUCCAAAUGUCUAGCGCAUUUAGAGGGAAAAGGACAAGAAUAGGUUUUGACUAAGAUAAUUAAACAACUAUCAAAGGACAAUCCAAAGUUCGCCAAGGAUUGGUCACUUAUGAGUAGUUGGAAGUAUAGUAUUGAAUAGACCAUAUCGACAUUAUUAUGAAUAGAAAAGAUUCUAUUAAGAAUGAGUUGUCAUAUGGAAAAUAUGGAAACGUUUCCAUAUUGGGAGUCGGAUAUUGAGAAUCUAUGUCUAGAUUAGAAAUUUUAUGCAAAAGGAUGUUCAAAGGAAUGUCCUUUGAGUGAGAGACAUCACAUCUAAGGAAUUGUCUUGUAACAAUCUCCAAUAGACAGCUUUGUAAUUCAUUGGCAAUAGUCAUUGUGACUUUGGUGCAGUGACAUUAUGAAAGGAUGAUUGCAUAAAAUAUUAGAAUCUAACAUAUUCCAUAAGUGGCAAGAAUUUGAUAUUCUUUCACUUGUGAAAAGGAUUGGGAGUUAUGAAAUGAUUAUGAUUGGAAAUGUGUUCAUUUGAUCUAUUUCACAAAGUAAGAACCAUAGAUAAACACUGUGUGCAUGCUAAGAGCAUGGGACAAGUGUUGUAAUAAUUUAAGUAAGAAGUUUAUUACCCGAAACAAGAAAUAAUGAGUAAUCGAUAUGGUGAUAAUAAAAGGUGUUUUAUUUAUACUCAAGGUUUGAGGCCAUAUGGGACUAGUAUUAUUCUUGUGUUUCACUUUGCAUGUUUUGACUUCCUAAAUAAUUUAAAUUGGUUUAGAACAGUUAAAUUAUUCGAACGGGCCCUAGUCGUUCAUAUGUUGGAAGUAGGUAUGAAUGAAGACUGUCAUGAAUUGGUGUGUGGAUUGUCUAAAGAGCAUUAGACAUAAGCAAAUGUUUGCUGCAACGUUCAUGAGUGCUUAUAAAUAUGAUUUGAGCAUUGCAUUAAACCCACGCUCACUUGGAUCACUUCAUGGAUUUUAUCACGAGUGAUUGGUGAGACGAUAAUAUCUUAUAUUCUUGAAACCGAGAUGUGUGAGUUGUAUCUUGCGAGUUGGUUGCACAUUGAUAAUACGUAAACGCACCAGUAACUUGGUGUUAUAAAACAUAUUGUUGUGUGUGAUUCGGUGAGUAAGUGCAAUCGAACAUUGAGUCAAAGUUUAUCCGUUCCUUUUAUCAAAAGUAGGAUAAAAACGAUUUCUGUGGGCCCCUCGAUUAUUUAGUGAUGGCACCUAAGCGCUUGGCCAAGCCGGGACUAAAUUGAUGUGUUCAAUUGUAGUCUAUUGUUAGUCGUCAUAAAUCUGAAUUCGGGAAACAACACAUAGACAGAGAGAAUGUUUUAGAUCCAUGUCUCAGUCUAUACGAUAUCUAGAAUGGAGGAAUAUAUGAUCCCUUAUCUAAAGGAUACGCGAAUAUGAUAAGAUCAGAGUUGACAGCGGCUUUAGAAAGCUACGAUUGCAGAUCAGGAUCUGAAGUCAUACGCAUAAUAGUUAUUAGACUUAUCCAAGUGGGAGACUGUUGGAUUAGUGUCUAAGUCCAUAAACUAUUUUGGUAUGUACUUGACCCGAUGGUGUAUGGUCCUUUUGGGUUGUCUUCACCAAAGCAACUUGAUAGGAUGAAUUAUAGAGAGAAAGGAUUAAAUAUGAUUUAUUAAUAUAAUAUGAGAAUAAUAUAUUAAAGGAGAAAUCAUAUUGUUUCAUUAAUAUUAGUCAAGAAUUAAUUGAUAAUUAAUUUUAUGACUAAAAGAGAUUAAUUAAACUUAAGGGACUAGAACUGUCAAUUGUAUGAUAGGUGAAUAUUGAGCUAAUGGACUCCAUAUUAAAGGAGUAGACAAAUUCUAUGGGGAAACCCAUUAGAAAUCGUCCUAGGCCUUUAAGGAAGGAGCCCAUGGGUUGCUUAGGGCUUAAGCAUCCAAAUUAGGUUUUCCUUGUUAGAUAACCCUAAUAGCCUCACUAUUUAAGGACCCCUUGGGCACCAAAAACGUGGGCAACUGACUCCUAGGGGUUUCUACACAUUUUUGGGUGUUUCUUCUCUUCUCCUAUUCAUCCUCUUGCUCUUGGUGUUUGUGAACCAUUAGAGGAGUGACAUUUGUGACUCUAAGCUUUCUAAAGUCAUUAUAAAGGAGGAUUUGAGAUUGUUAUUGCUACAUAACAAUCAAGGUAUGAUGUAAACCCUAAUUCAUAUGUUAUAUUGAUUAUCAUAUACUAGAUAUAGGGUUUAUAGUCUUGGAUGAGUUGCAUGUACAAUAGAGAAACCUAGAUCCAAGCAUUAGGGUUUUUAUGAGCACAUAGGAUGUUUUUAUAGCUAAAACCCAUCAGGGUUAAACCCAUUGGAUGCUCCAUGGAGGCUCCAUGGGAGUUACAAACCCAUGGGUAAUGGAAAUGAAGAGUCAUGUCACAUUAGGGUUUACAUGGCGUAACCCUAGAUGUGACACACUAUAUAAAGAACAUCAUACUCCCUAAAAUCGGCUACACAUAGUGACAAGAGGGCUUGCCUGAUUUUUUGAGUGUUACACGUUCUCUCAAAGUUGUUCCAAAGCAUUUGGUGUUGUAUGAAGCAUUUGAGGAAUCACACUUAGGGUGCUAGGCUCUCAAGGUUUCAAGGAAUCAUAACAACAACAAGGUAUGUGUUUCUAGCUAUCUUUUAUAUUAUAAAGUUCCCCAUGUAUGCUAGAUAGGUUUAUGAACCUUGGAAAAAAGUAAUUUGCAUGUAUCUUAUACAAACAUAGAUCCAAGGUUCUCUAGGGUUGCAUGUACACUUAGGAGUGUUAGAAUUGCUCAAAACCCUUCGAUGGUAUCAGAGACUAGGCUUGCUUGUUUGAUAUUUGAUGCAAAAUAGUGAAAAAAGUCGAUUUUUUGUUGUCUGCCUGCUGAAAUCGCCAAGUCCAUGGGGGGACUUGCCGAGUUCAUGUGUAAAAUCAUCCUACUCGUCGAGUAGGUUCAUGCACUCGACGAGUAGGAGCCUCAGAAUGCAGUUUUUUGACUUUUGCUGCUGGAAAUGGACUAGAAACGUUACCCUAAACUGUUUGGGUGUUAUUAAACAUGUUUUAGAUGGUGUAAUGGUUGUUCUAAUCCAUUUAUAAUGACUAAUAUCAAAAUUCCAUGAUUUUAUGUUUUCUUGAAAAUUUGAUAUUCAUAUUCAUGUUCUUAUGAGUUUAGAUGAUCAUAGGAAUUAUGUGUAACUUCUUGAUAGUUUUAAUUCUUAAUCAUUAUGUGUUUUAAUGGAAUCCAUAAUUUGUCCUCAAGUUAUGAAUUACCAAAAGUUUUAUCUUUGAAUGUCCAUUGAAGAAACACAUAGGUUACAUAAAAUGAAGAUUUACUCAUUUUAAUGAACCAAUUAAUCUCAUAAGUUAUGGAUUGAAGAGUUUUGUUAAGUUACAAAACUUUCCCUCAAAUUUUGGAACUUGUAAAGUCACCUAAUUAACUUUAGUUCCAACCCCUAGAAUUUAAAAUGUUAAAAUUCAACACUUAUACUUUAUAAUAUUAUAAGUUUAAUAUAUAUAUAUAUAUAUAUAUAUAUNNNNNNNNNNNNNNNNNNNNNNNNNNNNNNNNNNNNNNNNNNNNNNNNNNNNNNNNNNNNNNNNNNNNNNNNNNNNNNNNNNNNNNNNNNNNNNNNNNNNNNNNNNNNNNNNNNNNNNNNNNNNNNNNNNNNNNNNNNNNNNNNNNNNNNNNNNNNNNNNNNNNNNNNNNNNNNNNNNNNNNNNNNNNNNNNNNNNNNNNNNNNNNNNNNNNNNNNNNNNNNNNNNNNNNNNNNNNNNNNNNNNNNNNNNNNNNNNNNNNNNNNNNNNNNNNNNNNNNNNNNNNNNNNNNNNNNNNNNNNNNNNNNNNNNNNNNNNNNNNNNNNNNNNNNNNNNNNNNNNNNNNNNNNNNNNNNNNNNNNNNNNNNNNNNNNNNNNNNNNNNNNNNNNNNNNNNNNNNNNNNNNNNNNNNNNNNNNNNNNNNNNNNNNNNNNNNNNNNNNNNNNNNNNNNNNNNNNNNNNNNNNNNNNNNNNNNNNNNNNNNNNNNNNNNNNNNNNNNNNNNNNNNNNNNNNNNNNNNNNNNNNNNNNNNNNNNNNNNNNNNNNNNNNNNNNNNNNNNNNNNNNNNNNNNNNNNNNNNNNNNNNNNNNNNNNNNNNNNNNNNNNNNNNNNNNNNNNNNNNNNNNNNNNNNNNNNNNNNNNNNNNNNNNNNNNNNNNNNNNNNNNNNNNNNNNNNNNNNNNNNNNNNNNNNNNNNNNNNNNNNNNNNNNNNNNNNNNNNNNNNNNNNNNNNNNNNNNNNNNNNNNNNNNNNNNNNNNNNNNNNNNNNNNNNNNNNNNNNNNNNNNNNNNNNNNNNNNNNNNNNNNNNNNNNNNNNNNNNNNNNNNNNNNNNNNNNNNNNNNNNNNNNNNNNNNNNNNNNNNNNNNNNNNNNNNNNNNNNNNNNNNNNNNNNNNNNNNNNNNNNNNNNNNNNNNNNNNNNNNNNNNNNNNNNNNNNNNNNNNNNNNNNNNNNNNNNNNNNNNNNNNNNNNNNNNNNNNNNNNNNNNNNNNNNNNNNNNNNNNNNNNNNNNNNNNNNNNNNNNNNNNNNNNNNNNNNNNNNNNCUCCUGGAAGAAUCGCGGGGCCACCCCGACUCAACUCGCCGAGUCUGAAGAACAACUCGACGAGUCCCAGUUAAUCUUCAAGCUACUCGCCGAGUCUGUUCAUCGGACUCGGCGAGUCCAUGCCAUGCAACCGCUCAAACUGCUUUCUAAGGUCAGAACUGCUCCGACCAUUCAUAGGUCUGGCCUUCCUAGACUGAUUCAUCACGUAAGGUCCUCAUUUCGGUGCUCAUAAUACACCCCAUGACUCAUAAUUUACAUUUUGACCUAAGGCAUAAGGAUUCCAAUCCAAAACCUCCAUUGAUUCCUGAAAUGCUCAGGCAUGGGACAUUCUGGACUUCCAAAGAUCUCAAUACAGGGUUCCAAUCGUUUGGGGGACUAAAGUAACACUCAAUCUAGCCACAAAAGGGUUCAAUAAAUCCUAAAUCCAUAUACACAUCAACAUAGAAGAAUGUAACUCGAAAUAUUACCUGAAUAACGUGCUCUCUGUGUCCCCAAUCCACAGAACGUGGCUCUUCCUGUUGUUCCCUUAACCAAGCCUCUUCUUCCUUGCAAAACCACACUUCCAAAAUCAACAAUGGUCUUCAACCUUGCUCCAGACGCUCACAAUCGAAUUAGGGUUUCUCUCAGAGGACUAGGGUGAACAAUGACGGCCAUAAAGUCCCUCAUAUACGUCCCAAACCUGAACGGUUAGGGUUUUCGCUAAAUAGCGCAGACUCGCCGAGUCCAUAUCCGGACUCGUCGAGUCCAGUCGCGAACCCGCAACCAGAUCCGCGAUCCUACUCGGCGAGUCUAGGCUCCAACUCGCCGAGUCCCCUCUUAAAACACCCAAAAUCAUAAAUAUAACAAUACCUGAAAUUCCAGGCUGUUACAGUAAUCGGGUUAUUGUUGGUUGGUAAAAGUAAAUACAAUUAUUUAUUGCGGGUUGAAAACACUAUAUGCUCACCAGGCUCCCAAGCCUGACCCACUCAGUUUAUUUGUAUUACAGGUAGUGGCGCGAGGGCAUAAGAUGGACGAAUCAUCAAGUUAUUUUGUUUAUUAGACCAGUUGUUAUAUGUAACUAUUGUAUGGUCUAUCUUUUGUUGUUUAUGCUUUUGUGUCUGUAUCGGAACAUGACAUCUCGAGUUUUGAUUUUAUAGUGAAAAUACAUUUCUUUAUGAAAUGCUUUGGUAAAUAUUAUUUUAUCAUACUUUGUUUUUGGGAACAAAUUUCGCAACUCUUUUAAAUCAAAAGGAUUUACUCUUAAAUUAUUUUAAAAAGCAUAAAUGAAACUGGUCUUUUAUGGCCGUGAUUUUGGGGAUGUCACAGUGGGUAUCAGAGCAUUAGUUUAAGCGAACUAGGAAUUUGUAAGAUUUCUAGACUUAAACUUAGAAUGCUAAGUGGAGAUUGUGAGAAGUGUGUCUGUUAUAUUAUGGACACGAGCACUAGUAUAUUUUAGGAAGUUGCCUAAAAUGCUCUUAGGUGCUAAAUGUUAUAUGUUGCCAUAUAUGAUAUUAUUUGUUUGGAUCUAUGGUCUGUUGCCGACCGGAUCAUGAAACCUUAUGUGUGUAGGAUUCUAAGCAUACGUCUACGACAUUAGAACUAGCAUGUAAACGUUUCGGAGUGAUAUGGAAGAUCGUAAUAUCUAUCAUGAAUAAAGAUCUAAAUUUCACCUUAUUCGGUGUAUUGAUCAAGAAUGGCAAGAACAAGAAGCAGUGAUGGAAAUGCAAACAAGAACAGGAAUCAACCGCCUCUAAUUGAACAAGUAAUUGUUGAAACUGCUGCACCAGAGCAAAUCACUCUGGCUGGGGUGCAAGCCAUGAUUCGGGCUAUGUUAGCCGAACAAAAGGAAGAAAUGCGACAGAUGUUGCAUGAAAAUAGGGACGAACCAAUCAUACCCAUUGAGGAACCCAAACUGAUUCCCGAACAAUCGGAGGAAGGAAACAAUAGUCGCGUUGUGAGUCAAGUUGGGAGUCAAGGAGAACGAAGGAACGACCCGGAAAGGGGAAACAAAAAGGAUGGGAGAAUGUAUAAGAAUUUCUUGGGCGCCAAGCCGCCAAGUCUUUCUGGGAACCUAAAGCCCAUUGAGAUUAUGGAUUAGAUCUCCGAAAUGAAGAUGGUAUUUGAAAGUUGCGACUGUAUCAACAAACAGAAGACUGUCUUUGCAGUUAGACAACUGAAGACCGGAGUCUUGAGCUGGUGGAAGUUGUUGGCAGAUAUUAUGUCAUGAGGAGAAGCCCUGAAAAUGUCAUGAGAGGAGUUCUUAGAACAACUAAGGGCGCAGUAGUGUUCAGAGAUAGAUCUGAUUGAUCUGAACAAUGAGUUCCAAAACUUAAAGAAGGGGAGGAUGAGCAUAAAUGACUAUGCUAUCGCAUUCACUGAUAAAAUGAGGUUAUUUCCAUACCUAGUGCGAAUGAAACUCUCCAAGAUUGAGAGGUUCGCUAAUGGACUACCUUCCGACUUUUGCCCGAUAGUCAAGAUGGCAACUACUCUAAAAAUAGUUGUUUGUGCGGCUAAGAAUGUGGAGACCCAGCAGAAGGAAAAGGGUCUGGAAAGAAUAGAGGUUGGUGAGAAAAGGAAGUUGGAUGGACCUUUAGGGUCCAACAAGAAAAUCAAGUUUUCGAAGUCUAGUUCGAGAGGAGGAGGAGGAAGAGAAGCCAAAUGGUACGACAAAUGUAAGAAGAAGCAUCAUGGAAAAUGUGAAGUAGUAGCCACAUGUUUUAAAUGUGGAAAGCCAGGGCACUAUGCCAAUGAAUGCACUCUCACCAAGAAAGUUUGUUAUGGCUAUGGUGAGGAGGGGCACAUCUCGAGAGAUUGUUCGAAGAAGAAGGAGGCAUCAAAACCCAAUAUUCCCCCAAAGCCGAAGGCGAGAGCAUUCCAGAUGACACUGGAAGCUGCAAAAUAUGAAGCUGAUGUCGCUUCAGGUACCUUUCUCGUAAACAAAUUGCAUGCCCAAAUUUUAUUUGAUUCUGGAGCCAACUACUCCUUUAUUUCGCAUGAAUUUGGUAGAAACUAGCUUCUCCUGUCGAUAGACUAGAUAAUGCUUUAUUAGUCGAAGUUGCUAGUAGCAAAUUUCUACCUAUUAGCCAUCGUAUGAAAAACAUCUUAAUUCACUUGAAUGGGAAUAAGUUCCAUGAGGAAUUAUUGCCUAUCGAACUAAACAAUUUCGACAUCGUGCUGGGAAUGGAUUGGCUUAGCGCCAAUGACGCCGAAAUAUUGUGCAAGAAGAAGAUUGUAAAGGUAAAUCCGCCAGGNGCAAGAAGAAGAUAGUAAAAGUAAACCCACCAGUGAAAGAGUCAUUUAUGGUGUAUGGGGACAAACGCAGAGUAAAUUCUAGAAUCAUUUAUCUAAUGAAAGCCAGAAAGUGUUUGGCCAAAGGAUGUACAUCAUAUUUGGCAUUUGUGAUAGAUUCUAAGAAGGAGAAAAAGGUGAUGCAAAGCAUUCCUAUCGUAUGUGAUUAUCGGGAAGUAUUUCCCAAAGAUCUUCCCGGAUUACCGCCUGAUAGAAAUUUGGAGUUCAUAAUAGACUUGUUACCAGGGACGACGCCUAUAGCAAAAGCACCUAAUCGAUUAGCACCAUCAGAGAUGAAGGAGCUAAUGAUGCAACUUCAGGAGUUAUUGGGCAAAGGUUUAAUUAGACCUAGUUUAUCACCCUGGGGAGCUCCGAUGUUAUUCGUGAAGAAGAAAGAUGGAAGUAUGAGAAUGUGCAUCGAUUAUAGAGAGCUGAACAAGGCAACAAUAAAGAAUAGAUAUCCGUUGCUGAGGAUUGAUGACUUGUUCGAUCAACUACAAGGUUCAAGUUAUUUUUCAAAGAUCGACCAAAGGUCAAGAUAUCAUCAGCUGAAGGUGAAAGAGCAGAUAUAGAGAAGACUGCAUUCAGAACACGAUAUGGACACUAAGAGUUUUUGGUUAUAUCAUUUGGACUAACCAAUGCUCCAGCAUCAUUCAUGGAUUUAAUGAUCAUGGUUUGUAAUCCGUUCCUAGAUAAAUCUGUGAUAGUGUUCAUAGAUGACAUUCUGAUUUAUUUGAAAAGCGAAGAGGAGCAUGGCAUACACUUGCGAGAAGUGUUAGAAGUCUUGAAGAAGGAGAAGUUGUAUACAAAUUUCUCCAAAUGUGAUUUCUGGAUUCGAGAAGUCCAAUUCUUGGGUCACGUGAUCAACUAAAAAGGGAUAAUGGUUGAUCCAGCAAAGAUUGAAGCUGUAAUGAAGUGGGAACAACCGAAAAGUCCCACGGAGAUCCGAAGCUUUUUAGGAUUAGCCAGAUAUUACCGAAGGUUUAUCCAAGGCUUUUCUACGAUCGCUACUCCAUUAACAGCGUUCACCCACAAAGGAGUUACUUAUGCUUGGAAUGAUAAGCAUAAAGAAGAAUUCGAGAGGCUAAAGAAGAAGCUAUAUGAGGCAGCGAUUCUUUCUCUACCCGAUGGAGUUGAAGACUUCGCUGUUUAUAGCAAUGCGUCUGGUGUUGGCUUGGGUUGUGUUUUAACCCAAAGGGAAAAGGUGAUCGCAUAUGCAUCUCGACAGUUGAAGGAGCAUGAAAAGAACUACCCGACUCAUGAUUUGGAGUUGGAAACGGUAGUUUUCGCUCUGAGAAUAUGGAGGCAUUACCUCUAUGGCACGAAGUGCAACUUUUCACUGAUCAUAAGAGUCUCCAAUAUCUCUUUAGUCAGAAAUAAUUAAAUAUGAGGCAAUGAAGUUGGCUUGAAUUACUUAAGGAUGUACGACUGCGAGAUACUUUACCACCCUGGUAAGGCUAAUGUUGUUGCUGAUGUUCUCAGUCGGGAAGUCAAUCUUGAAAGAAAAAGGCCAAGAGCGUUGAGAAUAGAAGUUGUCUCAACAAUUGUGGAGAGUAUAAAGAAAGCUAAAGAGGAAGCUUUUGUGAAGAAUGAUCGAAAAGAAGAACUUUAGGGAAAAAUGUUGGUGUUCGGUAUAAACAGUCAUGGACUGAAGGUGUUCCAAGAUCGGAUUUGGAUACCUAAGACAAGAGGAGUCAGAGAUCUUAUGAUGGAAGAAGCUCAUAAGUCCAUGUACUCAAUUCAUCCCGGUAGUACUAAAAUGUAUAGGGACCUAAAACCCUACUACUGGCGGCCGACGAUGAAGCUUGAUGUUGAAAAGUAUGUAGCCGUGUGUGUGACUUGUGUGAGAGUCAAGACACAACAUCAGAAACCGUAUGGGAGUUUAGAACCUUUGCCUGUGCCUAUGGGUAAGUGGGAAGACAUUGCUAUGGAUUUUAUCACUAAACUGCCCAGAACGAAAAGUGGUCACAACAUGAUUUGGGUGAUCGUUGAUCGAUUCACUAAGAGUGCGCAUUUCAUAGCAUCCAAUGAGAAAUGGUCUAUGGAAAAGCGUGCGAAUUCUUUUGUGAAGGAAGUUGUGAGGCUUCACGGUGUUCCGUUAACGAUUGUGUCAUAUCGUGAUAGCCAUUUCACCUCGCGAUUUUGGAGAAGUCUACAAGAGGAAUUGGGUAGCAAGUUGUGUUUGAGUACAUCUUACCAUCCACAGACUGAUGGUCAGAGCGAACGGACGAUACAAACACUUGAAGAUAUGCUGAGAGCAUCUACCCUAGAAUUCCAAGGUACUUGGGAUGAACAUUUACCUUUGAUGAAAUUUUCCUACAAUAAUAGUUUCCACUAGAGCCUAAAGAUGGCACCUUGUCAAGCUUUGUAUGGACAGAAGUUUCGUACGCCGUCUUAUUGGCUUGAGGCUGGAGAAAAGAAGUUUAUGGGACCCGAGAUGGUUCAUCAAAUUGCUGAAAACCUGAAAAUAAUUUAGGAAAGAAUGUUAGUAGCUCAGGAUCGUCAAAAGUGCUAUGCUGACAAAUAGCGAAGACCGAUGACUUUUGAAGUUGGAAAUUCGGUUUUGCUUAAAGUCUCGCCAUGGAAGGGACUUAUAAGAUUUUGUAAAUGGGCAAAGUUUAGUCCAAGGUUUAUUGGACCUUUUAAAGUUCUUGAGAGGAUUGAGAACCAAGCUUACAAGAAUGAAUUGCCAGAAGAACUGCAUGGUAUUCAUAACACUUUCCAUGUGUGUUAUUUGAGGAAGUUUACUAGAGAACUUCCCGACAUGAUUCCACUUUCGGAGUUGAGAAUCAAUGAGAACAAAAGGUUGAUUGAAGAACCAGAGGCAAUCGUUCACUGAAAGACUAAGAAGUUGGGACGCAAGAUGGUCGAGUUUGUGCUUGUCCGAUGGAAACACACGAAUAGGCCAAAUCUCACCUGGGAGACGGAGAGUGACAUGAUCAGUCACUACCCGCAUUUGUUUGUUGAUGUGUGAUUCCGAGGACGGAAUCAUUCUAAGGUGGAGAGAAAUGUAACACCUGUGUUUCUGGGCUUGUCAUUAAUAUUGAUGUAAUAGUCCAGGUUAACCAUUGUAACCCGUUUCGAAAUAAUAGAAGUGUAUUAUUUGAGUAUUAUGUGUUUUGUGCUUAAUUGUGUGUCUCAAUUGAGUUAAGUAUGAAAAUAAGCGUCAAAAUUAAAUGUUAGAUAAAGCCGAUAUUUAUGUAUAAUGCUCUAGUAGUUGAAACGAGGUUUCCGAAUAUACAUAGAAUGCCGAAAUCCGAGUUAUAAGGAAGAAGUUAUGAUAUGUCGAAGUUUCGCGACAGAAACCGGCACGACGCUGAAUGACGUAAAAAGUGAAUUUACGUUAGAGUGAUACUUAGCCCUAGUGAUCUAAACGAAUGUUGUAGAUUUCGUUAAAUUGAGAGCGUGCAUAAAAAAAUCGCCCAAAUCUGACUUCGUAUGAGGAAGUUAUGAUUUUCCGAAGUUUCAACUUAUCAGUGUGCAGCCCGAAUACUCGAUUUGAGAUCAAGCGGUUUUUAGCCGAAACAAUCUAAACGAGAAUUGAAGAUCUCGUUAAUGGUAGUGCAAUGGUAAAAAGACAGAUGAAAACGGACGUCGGAUGAAGAAGUUAUGAAUUUAUAACGGGGUUUUUCUGUCCCGGCCUACUAAAAAUAAAUAAUAAAAAAAUAAUAUCAAAAUCAGCCGACGGAGUCUAAACGAAAGUUGUAGAGCGUAGUCUCACCUACGCGUGGAUAUAAAGAAAGUCGAAACGGAGUUCAUAUGAAGAAGAUAUGAAUUUCCGAAGUUUUUAAAUGAUUAACAUUUAUUAAUUAAUCUUUAAUUCGGAUGUAUAUCCGAAGGAGACACCGAUCUAGUCCGCACUACGCCCAGCGUAGUUGAGUACGACCAGCGUACACCGAAGUGUGACCCGCCUUACACUCAAGAGCUCCGAUAACGCAUGCAGUGACGAAUCCGAAGUGUACACCCCGCGUACUGAGCAUUACGCCCAGCGUAAUGUGAGGCUUCAGCCUCUAUAAAAGGGCUUGCGAGGGCAGCCAAUGCUUUUGCUCAAUUUAUUUUCUCUCUCUCCCGUUUUGCAUCGUUUUGCAUACAAAUUAUACCCCGAAACCCCGAUAUCAUUCCCGAGCCCCGAAGCAUGUCCUGAAGCCCCGAAGAUCCCGAGGAGUAGUGUUCCCGAGCCGAAGCUCUGCCUGCAAGAAGCCAAUUUUUUUGAAGAUCUUCCAGAUCUACCGAAGAAUACUACUUCUACAAGUCGUAGUGUUGUCCGAUCAUCUUCUGAUCAAGUGAGUAUGUAGUUACUUUCAUCUAAUGCAUAAUUACGAAGUAUUUUAUACGAAAUACGUGUUAUGUGUAUAUUUGUUGUUAUAUGUGUGAAUGUAUAUUCACUUUCUUCUAUCUCGUACAUAUGACUAAUUCUCUAUGAAAUAUGUGUUAUGUGUAUCUGUCUCAUCUGUUGUUUGGAAUAUGUAUUGAAUGAGAAUGUUAUACAGGUUUUAAACUAAGUAUAAAAAUAUAUAUUUUUAUCUACUAAUAUGUUGGGUAGACCAUGGGUAGAUGGUUGAUGUGUGAUAAACAGAUGAGAGGCCUCGAUGUUGCUGUUGAUCUAGUUAUUCAGCGGACUAUGGAUAAUGACCACAGACUCUUUCGAGACAGUCAUGUGGAACGCUGUGACAUCCUCAAAAUCACGGCCAAAAAAGACCGUUUUAAUUUAUGCUUUUAAAAUAAUUUGAGAGUAAAUCCUUUGAUUUAAAAGAGUUGCGGAAUUUGUUCCCAAAACAAAAUAUGAUAAAAUAAAGUUUUUCAAAGCAUUUCAUCAAGAGAUGCAUCUUCAUUAUAUAACAAUAUUCGGGAUGUCAUGUUCCCAUAAACAGACCAAAAAUAUAAACAACAAAAGAUAGAUCAUACAACAGUUACAUAUAACAAUUGGUCUAGUAUCAAAAGAUCUUGAUAAGUCAUCCAACUUAUGCUCUCGCGCCACUACCUAUAAUACAAAUAAACUGAGUGGGUCAGGCUUGGGAGCCUGGUGAGCAUAUAGGGUUUUCAACCCGAAAUAAAUAAUUAUAUUUAAUUUCACCAACCAACAAUAACCCAAUUACCCAUUCCCGUUAUCCUCACUUUACGUCCCUAAAACAACAUCUAUCUCAAGGGAUCUAAUAUAGGAUUUUCAUCGGGACAGACACUGCACAGGGGUUACCUCAAUAGUAGAUGUCCUAAAGGCAACCAUGAGGGGGAUAGAGUACACCGGUGAACACAUCGUUCACAACACCUAGCUAGCGUUCCACAGGACUGUCUAGAAAGAGUCUGUGGUUGUUAUCCAUACUCCGCUGAAUAACUAGAUCAACAACAACAACAUCGAGGCCUCUCAUUUGUUUAUCACACAUCAACUAUCUACCCAUGUUCUACCCAACAUAUUAGUAGAUAAAAAUAUAUAUUUUUAUACAUAGUUUAAAACAUGUAUAGCAUUCUCAUUCAAUACAUAUUCCAAUCAACAGAUGAGACACAUACACAUAGCACGUAUUUCCUAGAGAAUAAAUUAUAUCUCUGAGAUAGAAGAAAGUGAAUAUACAUUCACACAUAUAACAAAAAAUAUACACAUAACACGUAUUUUGUAUAAAAUACUUCAUAAUUAUGCAUUAGAAGAAAGUAACUACACACUCACUUGAUCAGAAGAUGAUCGGACAACACUACAGCUCUAAGAGUAGUAUUCUUCGGUGAAACUGGGUUCACUUCACUCACCAGGCUUCUUGCGGGCAGAGCUUCAGCUCGGAAACUCUUUUCUUCGAGGGAUCUUCGAGCUUCAGGACUUGCUUCGGUUGUCGGGAUGAUACCGGGGCUUCGGGGGUACUUUUUCACGUAAAUCGAGGUAAUAUGAGUGAGAGAGAAGAGAUUUGGCAACCACAAACGGUUGCCCCUUCAAAUCUAUUUAUAGGGCUAUUUUCUCAUUUUCCACGUCGUGGGCACUUCUUCCACGUCGUGAGCUUGGUCGUCAUUGCAUGCGUCAUCGUCCACUUGCUCUGCCAGGCUCCAGAAGGCGUCAGAAGCCAUGCCACGUCGUGGUCUCUGACGGUUUUGGUGUUUCGCACCCCGAACUUCAGAAAUCCAUAACUUUCGCAUACUUACUCCGUUUUCGACGUUCUUUAUAUCGACGUGUAGGUAAAAACAAGAUCUACAACUUUCAUUUAGACUUUGUAUGCUAAUUUUGACUUUAUUUUUAAUAUAUUAAUAAUAUACUAUUGUUAGUAGGCCGGGACAGGAAAACCCCGUUAGAAAUUCAUAACUCCUUCAUCUGACGUCCAUUUUCGACUGUCUUUUCACCGUUGGAGUACAAUCGAUGAGAUCUUUGAUUCUCGUUUAGAUUGUUUCGUCUAAAUAUCGCUCGAUCUCGUAUUCGAACUUCGGGCUAUACACUGCUAAACAAAAACUUCGAAAAAUCAUAACUUCCUCAUACGAAGUCAGAUUUGGGCCUUCUUUUUAUGCACGCUCUCAGUUUAACGAACUCUACAACAUUACUUUAGAUCGCUAAGUCCAAAUAUUUUUCUAAUGUAAACUCACUAUUUACGUCUCGCUGUGUCGUACCGGUUCUGUCGCGAAACUUCGACAAGUCAUAACUUCUUCGUUAUAACUCGGAUUUCGGCAUUCUUUAUAUAUUCAGAAACCUCGUUUCAACUACUACAACAUUAUCCAUAGAUAUUGGGUUGAUCUAACAUUUCAUUUUGACGUUUAUUUUUAUUCUUAAUUAAAUUAAGACAUACAAUUAAGCACAAAAACACAUAAUACUCAAAUAAUACACUUCUAUUAUUUCAAAACGGGUUACAAAGGUUAACCUAGACUAUUAUAUCAACAUUAAUGACAACCCCAGAAACACCGUCAUUACAAUUCUCUCCACCUUAGAAUGAUUCCGUCCCCGGAAUCACACAUCAACAAACAAAUGUGGGUAGCGACUCAUCAUGUCACUCUCCGUCUCCCAAGUGAGAUUUGGCCCAUUCGUGUGUUUCCAUCGGACAAGCACAAACUCAACCACAUUGCGUCGCAACUUCUUAGUCUUUCGGUCAAAGAUUGCCUCUGGUUCUUCAAUCAAUCUUUUGUUCUCAUCGAUUCUCAACUCCAAAAGUGGAAUCAUGUCGGGAACUUCUCUCGUGAACUUCAUCAAAUAACACACAUGGAAAUUUUUAUGAAUUCCAUUCAGUUCUUCUGGUAGUUCGAGCUUGUAAGCUUGGUUCCCAAUCCUCUAAAGAACUUUAAACGGUCCAAUAAACCUUGGACUCAACCUUCCCCUUUUACCAAAUCUUAUAAGUCCCUUCGACGGCGAGACUUUAAGCAAAACCGAAUCUCCAACUUCAAAAGUCAUCGGUCUUCGCUUGUUGUCAGCAUAGCUCUUUUGACGAUCUUGAGCUGCUAACAUUCUCUCCCUAAUUAUUUUCAACUUUUCAGCAGUUUGAUGGACUAUCUCUAGUCCCAUAAACUGCUUUUCUCCAGCCUCAAGCCAACAAGACGGCGUACGACACUUCUUUCCAUACAAAGCUUGAUAAGGUGUCAUCUUUAUGCUCGAGUGGAAACUAUUAUUGUAGGAAAAUUCUACAAAAGGUAAAUGUUCAUUCCAAUUACCUUAGAAUUCCAGGGUACAUGCUCUCAUCAUAUCUUCAAGUGUUUGUAUUGUUCGUUCGCUCUGAGCAUCAGUCUGUGGAUGGUAAGUUGUACUCAAACACAACUUGGUACCCAAUUCCUCUUGUAGACUUCUCCAAAAUCGCGAGGUAAAGCGGCUGUCACGAUCUGACAAAAUCGUUAACGGAACACCGUGAAGCCUCACAACUUCCUUCACAUAAGAAUUCGCACGCUUUUCCAUAGACCAUUUCUCAUUGGAUGCUAUGAAAUACGCACUCUUAGUGAAUCGAUCAACGACCACCCAAAUCAUGUCGUGACCACUUUUCAUUUUGGGCAGUUUAGUGAUAAAAUCCAUAGCAAUGUCUUCCCAAAUACCCAUAGGCACAGGCAAAGGUUCUAAACUCCCGUAUGGUUUCUAAUGUUGUGUCUUGACUCUCGCACAAGUCACACACUUGGAAACAUACUUUGCAACAUUAAGCUUCAUCGUCGGCCAACAGUUGUAGGGUUUCAGGUCCCUAUACAUCUUAGUGUCGCCGGGAUGAAUUAAGUACAUGGUUUUGUAAGCUUCUUCCAUCAGAAUUUCUCUGACUCCUCUUGUCUUAGGUAUCUAAAUCCGAUCUUGGAACACCUUCAGUGCAUGACUGUUUACACCGAACACUAACGUUUUGCCCAAACAUUCUCCCUUUCGGUCAUUCUUCUCAGAAGCUUCCUCUUGAACUUUCUUUAUACUUUCCAUUAUUGUCGAGACAACUUCAAUUCUCAACGCUCUUGGCCUCUUCCUUUCAAGAUUGACUUUCCGACUGAGAGCAUUAGCAACAACAUUUGCUUUGCUGGGGUGGUAAAGUAUCUCACAGUCAUAGUCCUUAAGUAACUCUAGCCAGCGUCGUUGCCUCAUAUUCAAUUCCUUCUGAUUAAAGAGAUAUUGGAGACUCUUAUGAUCAGUGAAAAGUUGGCACUUCGUGCCAUAGAGGUAAUGUCUCCAUAUCUUUAGAGAGAAAACUACCGCCGCCAACUCCAAGUCAUGAGUCGGGUAGUUCUUUUCAUGCUCUUUCAACUGUCGAAAUGCAUAUGCGAACACCUUUUCCCUUUGGUUCAAAAUACAACCCAACCCAACACCUGACGCGUCGCUAUAAAAACAAAGUCUUCAACUCCAUCGAGUAGAGAAUGUAUCGGUGCCUCGCAUAGUUUCUUCUUUAGCUUCUCGAAUGCUUCUUUAUGCUUAUCACUCCAAGCAUAAGUAGCUCCUUUGUGGGUCAAAGCUGUUAAUGGAGUAGCGAUCAAAGAAAAGCCUUGGAUAAACCUUCGGUAAUAUCCGACUAAUCCCAAAAAGCUUCAGAUCUCCGUGGGACUUUUCAGUUGUUCCCAGUUCAUUACAGCUUCAAUCUUUGCUGGAUCAACCAUUAUUCCUUCUUGGUUGAUCACAUGACCCAAGAAUUGGACUUCUCGAAUCCAAAAAUCACAUUUGAAGAACUUAGCAUAUAGCUUCUCCUUAUUCUAGACUUCUAACACUUCUCGCAAGUAUCUACCAUGCGCCUCUUGGCUUUUCGAAUAAAUCAGAAUGUCAUCUACAAACACUAUCACUGAUUUAUCAAGGAACGGAUUAGAAACCCUGAUCGUUAAAUCUACGAAUGUUGUUGGAGAAUUGGUUAGUCCAAACGACAUAACCAAAAACUCAUAGUGUCCGUAUCGUGUUCUGAAUGCAGUCUUCUCUAUAUCCUGCUCUCUUACUUUCAGGUGAUGAUAUCCUGACCUAAGAUCGAUCUUUGAGAAAUAGCUCGAACCUUGUAGUUGAUCAAACAGGUCAUCAAUCCUCGGCAACAUAUAUCUAUUCUUUAUUGUUGCCUUUUUCAGAUCUCUGUAAACGAUGCACAUUCUCAUACUUCCAUCUUUCUUCUUUACGAAUAACACCGGAGCUCCCCAGGGUGAUGAACUAGGUCUAAUGAAACCUUUGUCCAAUAACUCCUGAAGUUGCAUCAUCAGCUCCUUCAUCUCCGUCGGUGCUAAUCGGUAAGGUGCUUUUGCNNNNNNNNNNNNNNNNNNNNNNNNNNNNNNNNNNNNNNNNNNNNNNNNNNNNNNNNNNNNNNNNNNNNNNNNNNNNNNNNNNNNNNNNNNNNNNNNNNNNNNNNNNNNNNNNNNNNNNNNNNNNNNNNNNNNNNNNNNNNNNNNNNNNNNNNNNNNNNNNNNNNNNNNNNNNNNNNNNNNNNNNNNNNNNNNNNNNNNNNNNNNNNNNNNNNNNNNNNNNNNNNNNNNNNNNNNNNNNNNNNNNNNNNNNNNNNNUCUUUCCCAGGUGGGUUUACUUUGACUAUCUUCUUCUUGCACAAUAUCUCAGCAUCAUUGGCGCUAAGCCAAUCCAUUCCAAGCACGAUGUCAAAACCUUUAAGUUCAAUAGGCAAUAAUUUCUCGUGAAACUUAUUCUCAUUCAAAUCAAUUAAGAUGUUUUUCAUACGAUGACUAACAGGUACAAACUUGCCACUAGCAACUUCGACUAAUAAAGCAUUAUCUAGUCUAUCGACAGGCAAAGCUAGUUUUCUACCAAAUUCAUGUGAAAUAAAGGAGUAGUUGGCUCAAGACUCAAAUAAAAUUUGGGCAGGCAAUUCGUUAACGAGAAAGGUACCUGAAGCGACAUCAGCUUCAUCUUUAGCAGCUUCCAGUGUCAUCUGGAAGGCUCUCGCCUUCGGCUUUGGCGGAAUGUUGGGUCUUGCUGCCUCCUUUUUGGGGCAGUCCCUAGACACGUGUCCCUCCUCACCACAACCAUAACAAACUUUCUUGGUGAGAGUGCAUUCGUUGGCAUAGUGCCCUGGCUUUCCACAUUUAAAACAUGUGGCCACUACCUCACAUUUUCCAUGAUGCUUCUUCUUACAUUUGUCGCACCAUUUUGCUUCGCCUCCUCCUCCUCUCGAACUAGACUUCGAGAACUUUUUUUUCUUGUUGGACCUGAAGGUCCUUCGAACUUCCUCUUUUCACCAACCUCUAUCCUUUCCAGACCCUUUUCCUUCUGUUGGGCCUCCACAUUCUUAGCUGCUCGAACAACUUUUUUCAGAGUGGUUGCCAUCUUGACUGUCGGACCUAAUUCGGUAGGUAGUCCAUUAGCAAACCUCUCAAUCUUGGAGAGUUCCGUUGGCACCAGGUACGAAAAUAACUUUAUUUUCUCAGUGAAUGCAGUAGGAUAGUCGUCUACGCUCAUUCUCCCCUUCUUCAAGUUUUGGAAAUCAUUGUUCAAAUCAAUCAGAUCUAUCUUUGAACAGUACUGCACCCUUAGUUGUUCCAAGAAAUCCUCCCAUGACAUUUUCAGGGCUUCUCCUCAUUGCAUAGUAUCUGCCAACAGCUUCCAAAAACUCAAGACACCAGUCUUCAGUUGUCUAAAUGCAAAGACAGUCUUCUUUUUGUUGCUACAGUCGCAACUUUCAAAUACCAUCUCCAUUUCGGAGAUCCAAUCCAUAAUCUCAACAGGCUUCAGGCUUCCAGAAAGACUUGGCGGCUUGGCGCCCAAGAAAUUCUUGUACAUUCGCCCAUCCUUGUUGUUUCUCCUUUCCGGGUCGUUCCUUCGUUCUCCUUGAGUCCCAACUUGACUCAUAAUGCGACUAUUGUUUCCGUCCUCCGAUUGUUUGGGAAUCAGUUCAGGUUCCUCAAUAGGUAUGAUUGGUUCAUCCCUAUUUUCAUGUAACAUUUGUUGCAUUUCUUCCCUUUAUUCGGCUAACAUAGCCUGAACCAUGGCUUGCACCCCAGCCAUUGUUAUUGGUUCUGGUGCUGCUGCUACAACAGGUAUUUGCUCAAUCACUGGUGGUUGAUUCCUGUUUUCAUCUGCAUUUCCAACGCCACUCCUGGUUCUUACCAUUUUUUAUCUACACACCGAAUAAGGUGAAAUUCGAUCCUCAUCCAUGAUAGAUAAUUAAAUCAUCCUUAUCACUCCGAAACAUUUACAUGUUAGUUCUAAUACCGACGUCAUACGCUUAGAAUCUUACACACAUAAGGUUUCAAGAUCCGGUCGGCAGUAUACCAUAGAUCCGAACAAAUAAUAUCAUAUAUGGCAACAUAUAACAUUUAGCACAUAAAAGCAUUUUAGGCAGCUUCCUAAAAUAUACUAGUGCUCGUGUCUAUAAUAUAAUAGACACACAUCUCACAAUCUCCACUUAGCAUUCUAAUUUUAAGUCUAGAAAUCCUACAAAUUCCUAGUUCGCUUAAACUAAUGCUCUGAUACCAACUGUGACAUCCCCAAAAUCACGGCCAGAAAAGACCGUCUUAAUUUAUGCUUUUACACUAAUUUCAGAGUAAAUCCUUUGAUUUAAAAGAGUUGCGGAAUUUGUUUCCAAAACAAAAUAUGAUAAAAUAAAGUUUAUCAAAGCAUUUCAUUAAGAGAUACAUUUUCAUUAUAUAACAAUGUUCGGGAUGUCAUGUUCAGAUAAACAGACCAAAAGCAUAAACAACAAAAGAUAGACCAUACAACAGUUACAUAUAACAAAUGGUCUAAUAUCAAAAGAUCUUGAUAUGUCAUCCAACUUAUGCUAUCACGCCAAUACCUGUAAUACAAAUAAACUGAGUGGGUCUGGCUUGGGAACCUGGUGAGCAUAUAGGGUUUUCAACCUGCAAUAAAUAAUUACAUUUAAUUUCACCAACCAACAAUAACCCGAUUACCCAUUCCCGUUAUCCUCACUUUACGUCCCUAAAACAAUAUCUAUCUCAAGGGACCUAAUCAAGGAUUUUCAGCGGGACGGACAUUACUGCAAAGGGGUUUCCUCAACAGUAGAUGUCCUAAAGGCAACCAUGAGGGGGAUAGAGUACACCGGUGAAUACAUCGUUCACAACACCUACAGGUUAUGAGCCUGCUAGCGUUCCACAGGACUGACUAGAAAGAGUCUGUGGUCGUUAUCCAUACUCCGCUGAAUAACUAGAUCAACAACAACAACAUCGAGGCCUCUCAUCUGUUUAUCACACAUCAACUAUCUACCCAUGUUCUACCCAACAUAUUAGCAUAUAAAAAUAUAUAUUUUUAUACAUAGUUUAAAAACUAUAUAGCAUUCUCAUUCAAUACAUAUUCCAAUCAAUAGAUGAGACAUAUACACAUCGCACGUAUUUCAUAGAGAAUAAAUCAUAUCUAAGAGAUAGAAGAAAGUGAAUAUACAUUCACACAUAUAACAACAAAAUAUACACAUAACACGUAUUCUGUAUAAAAUACUUCAGAAUUAUGCGUUAGAAGAAAGUAACUACACACUCACUUGAUCAGAAGAUGCUCGGACAGCACUACAGCUCUAAGAGUAGUAUUCUUCGGUGAAACUGGGUUCACUUCACUCAUCGGACUUCUUAUGGGCAGAGCUUCGGCUCGGAAACUCUUUUCUUCGCGGGAUCUUCGAGCUUCUGGACUUGCUGCGGGUGUCGGGAUGAUACCGGGGCUUCGGGGGUACUUCUUUGCAUGUAAAUUGAGGUAAGAUGAGUGAGAGAGAAGAGAUUUGGCAACCACAAACGGCUGCCCCUUCAAAUCUAUUUAUAGGGCUGUUUUCUCAUUUUCCAUGUCGUGGGCACUUCUNUUCACAUCGUUACAUCAUCGCAAGUUGGGUCUGGUAGACUCCAGGAGUCGUCAAAAGACAUGCCACGUCGUGACCACUGAUUUCACAUCGUGGUCUCUGACAGUCUUGGAGUUUCGCGCCCCGAACUUCAGAAAUUCAUAACUUUAACAUACGAACUCCGUUUUCGACGUUCUUUAUAUCGACGCGUAGGUAAAAACAAGGUCCACAACUGUUAUUUAGACUUUGUAGGCUUAUUUUGACUUUAUUUUUAAUAUAUUAAUAAUAUACUAUUUUUAGUAGGCCGGGACAGGAAAACUCCGUUAGAAAUUCAUAACUCCUUCAUCUGACGUCUGUUUUCGACUGUCUUUUCACCGUUGGACUACUAUCGAUGAGAUCUUCGAUUCUCGUUUAGGUUGUUUCGGCUAAAUAUCGCUCAAUUUCAUAUUCGAACUUCGGGCUGUACACUGCUAAACCGAAACUUCGAAAAAUCAUAACUUCCUCAUACGAAGUCAGAUUUGCACAUUCUUUUUAUGCAUGCUCUCGGUUUAACGAACUCUACAACAUUCCUUUAGAUCACUAAGUCCAAAUAUUGCUCUAAUGUAAACUCACUAUUUACGUCUCGCUGUUUCGUACCGGUUCUGUCGCGAAACUUUGACAUGUUAUAACUUCUUCUUUAUAACUUGUAUUUCGGCAUUCUUUAUAUAUUCGGAAACCUCGUUUAAACUUCUACAACAUUAUCCAUAGAUAUCGACUUUAUCUAACAUUUCAUUUUGACGCUUAUUUUUAUUCUUAAUUAAAUUAAGACACACAAUUAAGCACAAAACACAUAAUACUCAAAUAAUACACUUCUGUUAUUUCAAAACGGGUUACAAAGAUUAACCUAGACUAUUAUAUCAACAUUAAUGACAAGCCCAUAAACACAGUCAUUACAAACGCUAGCAGGCUCAUAACCUGUAGGUGUUGUGAACGAUGUGUUUACCGGUGUACUCUAUCCCCCUCAUGGUUGCUUUUAGGACAUCUACUGUUGAGGAAACCCUUAGCAGUAAUGUCCGUACCGAUGAAAAUCCUAGAUUAGGUCCCUUGAGAUAGAUGUUGUUUUAGGGACGUAAAGUGAGGAUAACGGGAAUGGGUAAUCGGGUUAUUGUUGGUUGGUAAAAGUAAAUAUAAUAAUUUAUUGCGAGUUGAAAACCCUAUAUGCUCACCAGGCUCCCAAGCCUGACCCACUCAGUUUAUUUGUAUUACUAGUAGUGUCGCGAGGGCAUAAGAUGGAUGAAUCAUCAAGUUAUUUUAUUUAUUAGACCAGUUAUUAUAUGUAACUGUUGUAUGGUCUAUCUUUUGUAGUUUAUGCUUUUGUGUCUGUAUCGGAACAUGACAUCCCGAGUUUUGAUUUUAUAAUGAAAAUACAUUUUGUUAUGAAAUGCUUUGGUAAAUAUUAUUUUAUCAUGCUUUUUUUGGAACAAAUUCUGCAACAAUUUAAAAUCAAAAGGAUUUACUCUGAAAUUAUUUAAAAAAACAUAAAUGAAACUGGUCUUUUCUGACUGUGAUUUUGGGGAUGUCACACUGCGCCUAAUCGAGAACAUCAUAAUCCUGGCAGCUACGCCCAAAGGACAAUAUUAGCACUUGCGCCUAAUAGAGAAUAUUAUAAUUCUGGUAGUUGCGUCUAAAUGAUAAUGUUGGUAGUUGUGCUUAAUAGAUAACGUUGACAACUGUGUCAUUAGGAAAACGGUGGACUGCGUGCCUAUUCCUUAGGAAAAUCCUUAGGAAUGAAUGAGUUAAUGAUAAAUGAUUCUUAGGAUACAUCCUUAAGAAAUAACGAAGAUAAUGGGGAUGGAUAAUUGGGUUAAUUUUUUAAUGAUUAAACAUAAUUAUAUUAUUGUGGGUUGAAAACCCUAUGUACUCACUAGGUUUCCCAAUAUGACCCACUCAAGUUUAUUUGGAUCACAGGUGUCUAUACGAAGCUACUUUACACUGAGAGAUUAAGGAGACGUAAAUCACUAGUGUAAAUGAAUGGAAGGUCUGUUUAUGCUUAUAUUUAUGUAUUAACGAUGACGUCCUAAAGUUUUAAAAAGAAAUGAAAUACAUUUCUUCGAAAAUGCUUUGAUAACACAUUUAUCAUGUUUUUCUGGGAACAAAUUCCGCAACAUUUUUAUAAAAAGGGUACUCUCAUUUUUAAAUAAAGCAUAAACAAAUCGGUCUUUUCUGGCUGUGAAAAUGGGGAUGUCACAAUUGGUAUCAGAGCAUUAGUUUAAGAGAACUAAGAAUAAGGGUUUAUUUCUAGACUUAAACUUAGAAUGCUAAGCGAUGAUUAUGAGUUGAGUGUGUGAUGUUGCGCAUAAAAAAACACAAAGAUAACCAAGAAUGAACCUGUUGAUUCUAAAAGAAUAGCCAGGACAAUCUCUUCAAAACCACGUUGAUUCUACGAAUACUGUGGGAUUGGCUUCAAAAACUGGGUUAACACGCACAAAAUUUGGGAGAAAACUGAAAGUUCAUAAAAUUGAUGAUCGACCAUCCAAAUUACAUAAAAAACAGUUAAAUAAAAAGCAUAAAUUAAAAUGAAACCCUAAAAGUCCAUGGGCGAAAUACAAACCCAAAAAUUAAGGAAAAAUAACAAAAUUGUUCAUAACUCCAUUUAGAAAGCGAUUUCUGGACUCAAAAUGGGUAAGUCCCUUUCGGGGACUUAUCUAGAUGUGCUCCUUGCUCCAAGCUUCGACUUGACUGGUCGUAGGCCCAAAACGGAGACUCGUAGCCAAAGUUAUGGCCAUUUCCGUGAAGCCCCUUUAAUCACACGAUCGUGGGCCUCUAGGAAUGCAAUGGCCCGAUCCUCCACACUAGGGCCCGCAUCUGUGUGUCUAAUAUAUUUUAGGUAGUACACCUGAAUAGACACAGCCACUAUCUUAUUUUGGGAGGAUGCCUAAAAUGCUUUUAUGUGCUAAAUGAUUUGUGAUACUUUAUGAUGCUAUUGUUCGAUCAGAUAUAUGGUAUGUUGCCCACCGGAUCCAGAAACUUUAUGUGUUUAGAUUUCAAAAUGUUUAAUUACAGUAUUAGAACUGGCAUGUAACUUUUCGGAGUGAUAAGAAGAUUUACAUGUGGAUCGUAAAUAAAACCUUUCCUAUCUUAAUUAUCAUCAUUACACAUCAAACGUCUGAUUUGGUGUAUAGAUCAACAUGUUGAGAACUCGAAGCGGAUUAGGAGACGCUAAUGGAAAUGUUGAUCAACGGCCUAUGAUUUAACGUGCACUAAAGGUAGCAGCUACACCAUAGCCAAUCACAAUGGCAAGAGUCCAAGCAAUGAUUCAGGCUAUGAUAGCCAAACAAAGGGAGGAGAUGAGGCAAAUGUUGCUUAAUAGGGAUGAACCUACCAUGCUCAUUGAAUAACUAGAACUAAAUGAUGAACAGUUAGAGAAGGGAAUUACAGUAGAACCGUUGGUCAAGCUGAACUGCCAGUGGUUAGGAGGAAUAACCAAGAGGAAGGGAUCAAGAGAAAUAGAUGCAAGUAUAAGGAUUUCACAACUUGCAAACCAUAGAUUUUCACUGGGAAAGAGGAUCCAAAUCGGAGUUACAGACCGGAUCUCGGAGAUGGAUUUGGCUUUCAUAACAUGUAGAUUCAAAGGAAAGCUAAAAACCAUAUAUGCAGUGCGUCAGUUGAUGGGUGGAGUUGUUCACUAGUGGAACACUUUGGGAAAGAUCAUGAGUCCUAAUGAGCUGCUGCAACUGACGUGGGCAGAGUUCCUAGUGCAUUUCAAACGAAAGUUUUGCUCGGCCCAAAAUCUGUUGGAGCUAGAGAACCAAUUCCUAACAUUGAAGAAGGGCAUCAUGCCUAUUGACGAAUACAGCAAUGCCUUCACCGACAAGAUGGAAUUUUCUUUGCGCAUCGUCCCUGGCGAACUAACUAAAGUCGAUAAGUAUACAAAGGGACUACCAUGGGAAUAUGUUGUGCUAGUACGCCAGGCACCUACCAUCGAGGCGACUAUCUGGGCUGCUAAGUCUGUUGAAGAAAUGAUCAAGAGUAGGGCCACCAACAACGUCGAAGUUGGUGAAAGAGAAAGUUUGAAGGAUCUUCAAUGUCCAAUGAGAGGAGAAAAUGCUCGAAGUCUGGUUCGAAGAAGUUUGAAGGAGGAGGAGGUGAAGCAAGAUGGUGUGAUAAGUGCAAGAAGAAACACUUUGGAAAAUAUGGCAAGAAGGUGACUUGUUUCAAGUGUGGAAAGUCUGGGCAUUAUGCCGAUGAGUGUAUAUUCAACAAAAGGGUGUAUUACGGAUGUAAUGAAGAAGGGAAUUCAAGCUGGACUGCCCAAAGAGGGAAGGAGCUACAAAGCAAAAUGCACCGCCAAAGCCGAAGGCAAAAACAUUCCAUAUGAUCCUUAAUGAAGCAGAUGAUAAUGCAAGGAAUCAAGAAUGAGGACUGAUACCCGAAGAUCAAGUUAUGAAGUAGCCAUGCAGAUAGUAUCAGGAGGUGUAGCCUAUUAGAGGCAUAUUAUAGGUUGAACUUUAACAUCCAUGUAAUCAUUUCAAGAAGUAAUAUAAGCCUUGGUUUUGUUAUCUGGUGCGUUAAGUUGUUAUGUGAUUUUCAAGUAUGGUGACUUGGAAAACUGCGAGACAAUACUUGGGACAAGUAUGAGUAUAUGUGAAUGGUAGUAGAGGCCUAUACUACCAGAAGCACAGGACUCGCACUUGGAUUAGGGAAAGUCACAAGGUUACCAAGGCACUAGUAAUUGAUUCUUUUUUGUUCAUGUUUGUCGUCACCAUCGUUUCGGUAAUGACUAAGAAGAUGAUUGUUAGUCCAACCCUAGUGGUCAUAUCAAAUCGAGUCCGACUAAGAUGAAUAUGUUGCGUGGUUCAAAAAACCAAGGUCGAUGUUGCAUCUGACUUAAGCCAGACGAUUGAAGUGAAAGAUAAUCGAACCGAUCAAUAGAAGUAUCGUAACCUUUGUUAAGGUAAGAAGCUUGUAGCUAGAAGUGCUACAUGCUAGAAUAUGAUUAUAUCACAUUAGAACAUGAAGGAAGGUAUAUUUUGUUCUAUAGUUUGACUCUAAAAGACCUAAGUCUAAGUGUUGCAUCAUACGAUAAGAGGUCAUUACAACAUGACCCAUCGGUUUAUUGUGGUAAUCAAAUAACUUCUCUUAAUAUAAGUAUGUUUAACAAGAAGUAGGAGUCUCUGAUUUGGAUCGAUUUUGUAACUCGAAGGUUACGAUUGGAAGUCCAACAUAGGAUAAAGAACGGGUGCAAGAUUGAGUACCUCCUGCGGUCAAGAAGUCCAAGAGUUUGAUACUCAUUCGAAGGAACAUAAAAGUUACGAUUAUUACCUAAUAUGAAGAGAUAACAUAAGGAUUCAUUAUACAAGCCCUAUUUUGUUGAUUAUUCUGGGACGUAAUCAUCCUAAGGAGGAGAUAACUGUAACGCCCGCAGAUUCAGGCUAGUCAAUUAGAGAUAUUGAGCGUCAAAAAUGACAUUUUUAUGGGAGUUUAUUUAGAAGAAAUAAUCUUAACCUAGUAAUAGUAUAUGUCACAAGGGUUCCGUACAUAUAAAGAACGCCGAAAUCCGAGUUAUAACGAAGAAGUUACGACCCGACGAAGUUCUACAGCAAAACCGGCACGACACCGCGUAACAUAAAAAGUGAAUUUUUGAUAAAUUACUUUUUAGCCUUAGAGAUAUAAAUGAAAGUUAUAAUAUAGGUUAAACCGAUAGCAUGCAUAAAAAGAACGUCAAUAUCUAACUUCGUAUGAGGAAGUUAUGAUUUUUCUAAGAUUUCGCAAAGUAGUAUACAACCCGGAAUUCGAAUUUCAGAUCGAGCGAUUUUUAGCCAACACAACCUAAAUGAAAAUUGAAUAUCUCAUUAAUAGGAGUUCAACGAUAAAAAGACAUUAAAAAUGGAGUUCGAAUGUACAAGUUAUGAAUUUUACACGGUCAUUAACAAUGUAAUCUUCUCAUACUAGUAAAUUUAAAAUCGGUCGAGAGUUAGCUGUUUGAGUCAAAAGGAGAGUUGUAGAUCAUGUCAAUACCUAUGCGUGGAUAUAAAUAAUGUCAAAAAUGGAGCUCGUAUGCAAAAGUUAUGAAUUUUUGAAAAUUGGUUGUUUUACCUGCGUCCAGCACCACGUGUCAGCACCAAGCGAAGCCAUGGUGCCUACGCAAGGCCACGACGUGGAUUGGCUCCAGAUAGCCUAUAAAUAGAGGCGGAAAUCAUCCGUUUUCUUCACACCUUCACCCUUCUUUCUCUCUCAACGCUCCUAAUCUCUCCCUCCCAAUCCCUAGCAACUUCUAAGUGCUCCGAGAAGAAGAUCUUUCGGCUCAGAAGUUCCACCCCCGCAUAGCCCGGUUCCUAGCCAAACCCACGGUAAGUUAGUUAUGAUUACCCUACUUUAAGUAUAACUUAUGUUUGAGUUUAUUAUCAUUAUUAUGAACUUAUAAACAAGAUUUAUCAAUGAUUCCAAGUAGUUAUAUUGAUUGAUCUACUUAUGGGGAUAAUGUCUAGGCUGUGAUUUUGUGAGGUGUUUAAAGUGGGGUUUCCAAAUAGUAUACUUCGUAUACCAAACGAACCCUACCUCUGAUAUGAUCCUACCUGGUUGCUCUUUACAUGAUAGAUCAUGAAAGUAGACUUUGAGUUAAUGAUGAAUCUAGACUAAUAAUUAGUUGCAAUAAAGAUUAGACUAAAACUUAGCGAUAAUAAUGUUAGGUUUCGUCGAAGGAAGAUAGAAUCGUUAGAAGUGAAGCGUUUCUCGACUUUGGAAUUAUCACUUUGAAAAGUGAGUGCAUAGUUACUUUCAUCUUACACAUUGAUAUGAAGUAUUUUAUAUAAAUUACGCGCUAUGUGUGCAUGUUAUCUGUUUACUUGAUAUAUAUGAUAAAUGAACGAUCUUAUACAUGUACUCUAAACAUCCUAGUAGCUGUGCUCAAAGUGUAGUAUCGGUAGCUGUGCCGUCACACCCCCAAACCAGAACGACGGAAACGUUCAGGGGCGGAGGACGUCAUGUAUAGUAUCAUAACAAUGCAUAAUAGUAAAACAAGCAACAACAUCAUCCAUUGAAUUAAUGAUAGAAUUUAUACAUGUGUGUUCUUUGUAAAGUUGUAAGACACCAAAAAUAUAUAAUCAAAAUAAAGACGAGUCUUGAAUACGCUCUGUCUCCUCAAAACCUGGUCAUCGAUACAUGUCUACUGGUGACCUAAGAAUACAAGUUAUUUUGAAAGAGUAGAUCAACAUUUAAGCUGGUGAGUUCAUAAGUAUAUUAGUGUCAAAAAUUUUCAUCUGUUUCAUGAAAAUGUUUGUAAGUAUUUAGAUGUAAAUGUUUGUAUGCUUCCAAGAAAAUCCUAUAUUUUCUACUAAAAUGAAAAGUAGUCUUCUUCCAAGACUCAACUGUUUUGUAUGUUUGUUUUCUCGUAAAAAUUGAUGUAAGAUGUAUGUUUGUACUUGUAAUAGUAUAAAUGUGGGUUUUCCAUAUUUUUUUAAAACUUUCUAUACACGAAAAAUAGUAUGCAUUUCUUACGUGAGAAUAUCACUGUGUGAAUAUGAUGGAAAAAUGACGAUAUUCAGUAGUGUUGUAUAAAAUAUCUACUGAAGCACUAACUACCUUAAAGCAAAUUGUUAAUUAAGGUAAAACGUGAUGAGGUUAUAACCAUGCUUGAUUGACUUGUAUAAAACACAACGAUCAAAAUACAUCGAAAUGGUAUGACAUUUGUCACUUGUAGACCUGUAGGUCCCAUUGUAGCUAGCAACAAGGUUUAGGAUGGUCAAUCCAGUAUAGAUCUAUACACAAACUCACGCUCUCCCUCCAAGAGACUCUGGUUACAAAGCGUGACACAACAAGUAUAUUGAUAUGCCAUGAAGUAGUGGCUCACAUUAAUGUUAUCUUGUUCUAGUUAUAGUAUGUAUGUUCCUUUCUGUUCUAGUUAUAGUAUGUAUGUUCCAAUCUGUUCUAGUUAUAGUAAGUAGUAAUACUCUAAACUAUACCUAUUAUAGUUUACUAGUAUGAUUGUUUGACUGUUACUAAUUUGCAGAAAAGUCUCAAUUACUCACAUAAGCAACUAACUUAAGUAUGUAACUUAAAAAUGGGUUUAAUAUUCAUAUAUGUAUUUAAUAAGCAUAACUAUGAUUUUGCUGACAUUCGAACUAGUGAUCCUACCCUAAGCCCACAACCAAACAAAGAAACAGGAGUUAAGGUAUCUCGCAGUAGUCCUAAGCCCGUUAAAGCAUACUUACACGUAAACAGAUAGACGAAUAUGAUUUGAUAUAAAAGAAGUUUAUAAAAGAUUUAAAAGAGUUUUAACAAGUUUUGAGUAUAAGAAAUCCCUUUGGAUGUUGUUUUCACAUGUAAAUGGUUAACAAAAUUUAAUUGUGUUCUACUUGUUAUCCCCCAUAAAAGCAUUUAAAAGGUAUUUAAAAGUGUAUUGUAGGGGUAUGAACUCAUAUGUAGUGAGUGAUUCGAAUGAAAGAUCGAUAUAGGAUGAUAAGUAUGCCAAGUGAAGUAUCGAGCACAAACGGGUCCUAUUAAGCAUAUAAUAACACAUAUAUGUAUACAAUUAGUAUAUAUAACAACUAAAAUGUAAGGGAAACAACCUUAGGAACUAGGAAACACUUUGAAUGAAGUGUUAGCAUCACAAAUGAUUGGCUGAAAGGUGUUCACGACUAAACAAGGGGUGUUCACGGCCUUAGGAGGGUACAUGUCCAUAGAACGCAUGAUGUGUUCACGGACCAAGGUUGAUCUUAUGAAGGUUUCACGGUCCUAUGAUGCAUCUAUGAAGGGUUCAUGGCCCUAUGAAGGGUUCACGGUCGUGAACUCUUGAAGAUCUUGCAAAUAAGUGUUUGUUUCAUGGGUGGAAUCAAGUGUUUCUAAGGGACAACAAGAUGAUGGAUGAGAUACUUAUGUUUUGGAAGCCUUUAGAAGUGUUCACAGUUGAAGAUAGUUGAGAGAGAAGUGGUGUUCACGGCUAGGGUUUAAAGAAAUGAAGAAAAAUGAGCCAACUCCUUAUAUAUAAGACUUGUUCACGGCCAAGGAUGGGUACACGGCCAUGAACCUAGAUGUGGCCGUGAACUCCUUUUGGUGGUGUUUCCGGCUCGAUUGCAACUCAAUGAACUCAAGCUAACACUUCCUAACUCACAAUCCUUGAGUGUACUAGGCUUAGAAAUUCUCAAACAUACCCUUAACACAACAUAAAGGUAACAGAAACAAGUCUGACUUUAGAUUGAAUUGAUUGACUUUACAAGAUAGAAAUUCCAGGUUGUCGCAUGUGCCUAAUAGAAAACAUCAUAACCCUGGCAGCUACGCCCAAAGGACAAUAUCGACUGUUGUGCCUAAUAGAAAAUAUCAUAAUUCUGGCAGCUGCUCCUAAAUGAUAAUAUUGGCAGCUAUGCUUAAUAGAUAAUGAUGAUAUAUGGUCCAUUAGCAUGGCCUAGACUGCUCUAGCGCGCCAUAUGAUGCGACAUCGGCUCCGACCACCUGCUCUAAGGAGAUGCUUCUGCACCAGAGAUAGAUCUGUGAGGUCACAACAAACAAGACCGUUAGAGCUGCCCCAAAGACUGUGCCCUGGGAGAGAGCUCCGACGGUCAAGUUAGAUCAUUUGGUAGAUCUGAGAUGGAUCUCUUUAGCUAGAGAGGAUCAUCCUUGUGUUGGUGGUGUUGUAUGGUGGUUGACGGCGGCGGGUGCCGGCUGAGCCACCCGGCCAAAGUAUAGGGCGGCGGCUGAGCCAAGGGGAAGAUCCUAAUGGUGGCAGAACCACCUAGGAAAGAGUCCUCCUUCAUGAAGGAGGCACUAUUCUAUUUAUAGGGGGACAACUAGGUCAAGGGGAAUUAGGUCAGGCCUUGGGCCAACCCAAUUCAGGCCCAGCUAGCAAGGAGCUGGGUAAGGCCGCCCGGAGGCGCCGCGCGGGACUUANUGACGGGCGCGUACCAGGAAAGGACGGCAAGGGUGCGCCAGGAAAGGGAGCGUCAGGUCGGGCCUGCAAGAGAUUCCCCAGCAAGGCUGGCAAGGGAGUCCCCAACAAGGUUGUCAAGGGAAUGCCAGGAGAGGCUGGCAGGAGCGCGCCAGGCCAAGAUGGCGCGCUAGAGCAGUGUAGGCCAUGCUAAUGGACCAUAUAUCAUUAGAUAACAUUGACAGCUGUGUCAGUAGGAAAAUGAUGGACUUUAUGCCUAUUCUUUAGGAAAAUCCUUAGGAAUGAAUGAGUGAAUGAUAAAUGAUUCUUAGGAUAGAUCCUUAAGAAAUAACGAAGAUAAUGGGGAUGGAUAAUUGGGUUGAUUGUUUAAUGACUAAACAUAAUUAUACUAUUGUGGGUUGAAAAACAUAUGUACUCACUAGGUUUCUGAACCUGACCCACUCAAGUUUAUUUGUGUGACAGGUGUCGAUACGAAGCUACUUUACACUGAGAGAUUAAGGAGAUGUAGAUCACUAGUUAAAAUGAAUGUAAGGUCUGUUUAUGCUUAUGUUUCUGUAUUGACGAUGACAUUCCAAAGUUUUAAAAGAAAUAAAAUACAUUUCUUCGGAAAUGAUUUGAUAACACAUUUAUCAUGUUUUUCUGGGAACAAAUUUCACAACAUUUUUCUGGCAUCGGGCCUCGCCCGGUAUACAAAUAACAUAUAAGCACAUGCAUAAAAAUCACUUAAACACAUGCAUAAAAAUCACAAUGAUAAAUAGCAUACAAUAUAAUCAUUACGCCCCGCCCGGUAAUCAUAUAAACACAUAACACAUGCAAGAGUAACACAUACAACUAGUAAGGAAACUCACCUCAAGCUGCAAAAUCACUCGGAUAAAAUCUCAAUCUGUUGGUCCGGAAGAUCCUCGCGCUAACCUCAUAAUAUAAAUAUCCAAUUAAUAAUUGGAUCUCGACCCAUAAUAACCAAUCUAAGUUCCUUUUCCAAUAUCCAGGGUAAAAGAUUGUUUUACCCUUUUUCUUACAUGGCCCAAAACCAAGGCCCAAUCCAUUGCUCAAAAGGGCUAAAUUCCAAAAUGGCAUCCAUAGGCCCAAUAAGGCCCAACUUCCAAAUUGGGCUGAAAAUCAUCAUGGACCUAAUCCCAUGAAAGUCCAUAGUCUAUCCAUGACCCAAAGUCAAAAUUCUAAUGACCUAACAAGGCCCAAAUCUUAAAAACCCAAAAUAUGGCCAAAACCCAGGGAAGUCAAACCAAAAGUCAACCUACUGUACGCUUAGCAUACUCCUUCCAGGGCAAGUAUGUGCAUCGUACCAACUGGGUAUGCCCAACGUACUCCCCAGAUUAUCAACCCAACCCAUUAAUAACUUAAUUGGUUAAGCCAACAUGCUAAACUCUCAGAUCUGGUUCUAAAUGGCGACUUACUAUGUAAAGUUGACAACUUUACACCCAUGCAUGAAUUAAUGGGGCCCAACACUAAAAAAGAAGCUUAAUAAGACUCUUAACACUUGCAUGGAAUAAUAUCUUACAUAAAGUUUGCAUUUUUAUGGGCAAAGGACCUCAAAUCAGCGAAGAUCUAACAUCCAUAGCUUCUGGAGUGGACCAUAACUUCAUAUAUGACUUAAAAGACCCAAAAACGCAUAAAUAUCACCAUAAAAUGGAUCUAGCACAAAGGACCAUCCAGAUGAGAGAUUUUUACCUCAAAAGGCUUGCUAAGGUGAAGAUAACUCUAGAUCUACAAGAUUAAGCUACUCCCAAGAAACCUCGAAGUGUUCCUCGUUUUCUUCUUCUUCACCACAAAACACCAACAAACUCACUUUCAAGCUCAAAUCUGACCAAAUACACUUAGGGUUUCGAUAUUGUGACAUAGGGUGAUGGAGGCUGAUCAAUAAAAUGUCCAAAGGUGGUUUAAGAUGUUUAAGUAGGCUGCAAACCCUAAAAAUUAGGGUUUGCCCCUGCUCUACGUAUGUCAUGCAUACUCUACGUACGCCCCACAUACGUGGGUGAAUCUUGCGUCCAGAAAAUAGAUAGUAUGAUAAGCGUACUCAUAGAGUAUGCCCUGUGUACUAGCUAUGGACCAAAAUGAUAAGGAUUUUGCAUUAAGGGGUUAGAAAGAAACUUACCAAAUUACGAAUGUUACAAUUCACUUUAAUCAGAAUUUGUCCUUGAAGUAUGCUGCUCCAAACAACUUUGGGUAGUGCUCUCUCAUCUCGUCCUCCGGCUCCCACGUCCAUUCUGAACCCUUUCGAUGCUGCCACUGAACUUUCACCAAUUCAACAACCUUGUACCUCAAGGCUUCGUCUUCCUGUCAAGAAUUGUUACCGGUCUCUCGAUAUAAUUCAUGCGAUCAUCCACUUAAAUAUCCUCUAAUAGAACCACCACGGAAUCAUCAAUUAAACAUUUUUGUAACUGAGAGACAUGAAAUAUGCUAUGGAUCAUACUAAGAUCCUCGGGAAGAUACAAGCGAUAAGCAACCCGAACCACCCGUGUGAUAAGUCCAUUUUAUGAAUGUACUAAAUUGUCAUAAAUCUGUUGAAUUGAUGUAUAAUUGUCCAAGAAUGGCACUACAUUGCUGAGUUAUUGAACUUCAUAUGCAGGUCAAUAUAUUGUACUAAAAGUGGGUGGAACCUACAAGUAAAACGGAUUGUUAAAGGAAUGAAGAAACGUUGCUGGGAAAAUUGACCAUUCUUCAAUGUUUUGGUCUAAUCUCAAGUUCUGGAGCUCCGAUUGACAUGAGUAUAGAAGUUCUGGAAACUAGACAAGAUUUUCUACAACUUUCGUGUUUUGUGCUUCUGCUAGUUAUGUCGUUUUGACUACCAAAACUUGCACAGAAGAUGAAGGACACCUCCAGACAUCUAAGACGUCCAGGUCAAACAGCCAACAUCUGGUCGUUAUUUCAGAGCAGAAAAGAAGGAAGAACCCCGUCAGCAUCUAACAUGGAAUCUAAGAUGUCCCCUAGGAUGUCUUGGCAUUUUAGGGACGUCCCGUGUUGGAACGGUGUGUUUAGGAAAGUUUAGAAAACAAGGCACGACGUCCUAGAACGCAUCUAAGACGUCUCCUAAGACGUUUGACGUUUUUGGCCAUUUUUUAGUAUAUUUCAAGGACGUACAAAGAUCGCUUGGGCGUUAUACACGACGUCUAAGAUGUCUCCUAGGACGUCCAACGUCCCACAUCGCCCAAUUUCAUUAUUUUUUAUCCCACACUAUAAAUAGGAGCCUAUUUCGUUGGUUAAAAUUCGGAUUCAAAGCAAGAUUCGAUUCAAUUCAUCAUCAAGCUAUAAGUGAAGAUCAUUUCAUUGGUUAAUUUUCAUCAAUUCUUUAUUUUCCAGAAUUAUUUCUUCUUCCCCAAGGUUUAUUUGUUCUACACUUCGAUAAUCAUUAGGCUACAUUUGUUUGAUGAUUCUACGUUUGUUUAUGAAUUCUAUAAUGGAUUUUAUUCAUUUUAAUCAAGUUAUUUGUCUUAUGAACUCAAUGGAAGGCUAAAUCAUUAGGGUUACUUCCGGGGAUGUUUAGGACUUUUUGAUGAACACACUUGAUUAUUACUUGAUUCUAGUUAAUUUCAAUUGUUGUUUUAUGCUUCAUGUGAUGAUCUUUUGGUAAUGAUAAUUGAAAUUGGGUUGUAUGAAUUGUUUGAUGUCAUAAUUAAGAUAGUCUAUUGUCAAUUCAUCAUUUGUUCCAAGUUCACAUAGUUUAGGAAUAAAGACAAGUGAUUGAAUCAACAUAUAUUAUUCCAACUUAUGAUAUUGAAUCUUAAUGCGGUAAUAGGUACUUGUAAGAUAUUUUAUUGCUAGUCCACUAAUUGUUCUUAAUCCAUUGAGGCAUAAAGGAGUAAGACAACUAGUUAAAUGAACAUUUAGUAUGCCCAAACUAUGUAUUACAAGUUAAUAAAUCCCAAUUGUAUCUAAGUAAUUGAAUUAGGAUUUAAGGGAAGAAAGUGUGUGAAUUUAAACUGUCCAUAACUGAACCGGGAGUACUCUAGUUUUCUCAUUGAGAUUUUCGUUGUAAUUAAUAAAUUUCCAUGCUUUUUGUUUGAUCUUUGCGUUAAAUUCUUUUUCGUGACAAUUGCUAGUAGCUUUUUUUCGUUGACUAUUUUAACACAAAGUUUGACAACAAACUCCCUGUAGAUUCGACCCUUACUUACCCUAGCUAUCUAGUGGUUUUGAGGUUAUUUUUGAUUGAUACAACGACAUCAAUCAUAAUUUGGCGCCUUUGUCGGGGAGAUUGUGCGCUUGAGCUAUUGUUUUUAAGUAGUUAUAGCCUUUUACUUUCAUUUUCAAUUCUCGUUUGUAGUUCACAUUUUGUUUUAUUUGUGUUGUGCAGGCACACUGGUGCAUGCAUACAAGACAUAGCAGACGCUCUUCACCGCUUGCAUUUGAUCCGGAAAUCGAACGAACAGCUCGCUCAAAUCGGGUCGCCAGAAGGAACAUCAACACUAUGAGUGUAGAUAAUGUUGUCGUGGAAGAUGUGGUUGAAGGGCAUGAGGAAGAAGCCAACAAUCCUCCACCACUAGUUCCACCACCAGCUCCUCAAUUCCCAAACAACAACAAUGGGAAUAACAACAAUGCCGGUGCACCAAUCAUCCAACCAGUGCAACCAUAACUGAAUAGAAACAACCGUGGCCAAAAUGGUGGAAACGGAGGAAAUUGGGCAUAGAAUAUGGGAGGCAAUGUAGGAAACCACACUGGUGGUAAUGUUAGAAAUCAUAACCAAAAUCCUAGAAAUGUUGGUCCUCAAUUCGGUAAUGGUGGUAAUGGUGGUAACGAGGAUGAUUGGGAUUUUGACGAUGGAAGUUACAACGGACUUGGUUGGAAUCAUAACCACAACGGUGGUAAUAGGCGGAAUCAAGGAAAUCGGGGUGGAAACGGGUACUAAAACAAUAACUGGAACAACCUGAAUUUCCCUAAUGGUGGCAACAAUUACUACAAUGAUGGGUUCGGAAAUCAAGGCUUUGGGAAUCAAUAUCGAAGGAAUCCAAAUGGUGGAUUCAACAAUGCGAAUGGAGGAUACUAAAAUGAAGGUAAUCAAUUCCCUCAUCUUUACUUUCUGCAGCCUAAUAGACAAUCUGUGGCGUCUCAUUUUCAGCCGAGAGAGUAUGAUGAUGCUUCACCCAUACUCUUCGCAGAAGUAAAUGAGCAUCAUGUAGAAGUAAGACCACAACUAAUUAGUGUCUUACCCGUCUUUAGAGGCCAUAAAACUAAUGAUCCAUACAAUCACCUCUAUGAGUUCCUUGCAAUUGCUAACGCGAAUACUCCGCGAGGAACUAAUAGAGAUUCAUUUAGACUUCUCUUAUUUCCGUUCACUUUAAAAGAAAAAGCUAAGUAUUGGUUCACUUCUCUUGCCCCCAUAGUAUCACUACUUGGGAGCAAUUAAAAACUAAAUUUUUGCAAGAGUUUUACCCAGCUAGUAAAACAACGGAAAUAAGAAAAGCCAUAGAAGAUUUUGCACAAAAACCCAAAGAAGAAUUUCAUGAUGCAUUUGAACGCCUCAAGGAAUUGUUCCGUUCAUGUCCCUAUCAUGAAUUUCCCCGUUGGCAACUGGUAGGUUUCUUUUAUGAUGGAGUCGAUACUGCCAAUCAAAGCAUGAUUAAUGCCUCGUCCGGCGGCAUUAUUAUGAUACAAGAUAGUGAAGACGCUUGGCGAUUCUUAGAGUAGUUGAGUCAUGGUUCAAAAACCAAUUACUCAGCUAAGAAACGGGACAAUCCAGUUUCAUCUGUUGCUUCAGUUGGACUAGACAAAAAACUGGAAAAAUGAAGUCAAAUCUGAUAUUAAUUCUUUAAAUAAAAUUUUUGACUUACUACUCUCUAGUCUAGGCAAAAAGAAAGGUGUGUUUUUUCGCAGGGACAGAAGAUAUGUGUAAGCUGUGGAGAUUCAUGACACAUUGCAGAUGAGUGCAUGAGAAUUCAAGAGGAAAUCAAUCAAGUGCAUGGUUAUGGUCAAUUCCAAAAUAAUCCACGAUCAUUCAAUCGGAACUACAUCCAAGGCGGGAACUACAACAACAUUGGGAUUUUCAACAACAACAACCGUCAAGGGAAUUACCAAAACCAAAAUCAGCCAAAACAGUUCCAGCAGUCCAACUUUAACCAAGGUGGAACAUCAAAGAAGGAGGAAAAUGAUGGCAACAAGUUGGACAAAAUCAUGGAGUUCAUAACCUAAACAUAUCAGAAAACCGACACUAACUCCAAGUCUAUAGCUGCUAUUGAGAAGCAAAUUGCUCAACUGGCGGAGCAAAUUGGGAAAAGAGAAGAUGGCAAGUUUCCAAGCACCACAACAGUGAACCCAUCUCAUACCCAGAGACCCCGAAAAGAGCAUCAAGUGAACGAGGUAAUUACCUUGUGUAGUGGAAAAAAGGUUGACAACAAGGUAAGUGCUUCUACAUUAGAUAAUGACAGUGACACUGAAGUCAUCUUUGAUGAAAAAGAAGAGUUUGAGAAAGAUUUUAAAUCCGAAAAACAAAAAGAAGAUAAGGUUAAAAAUGACUCUAAAGUUGGGGAGCAUGGUGUGGAGGUUAAUACCGCACCAUACCCUUCGGCUUUAGAGAAGCCGGCAUCCUUCCCUUUUGGGAAGCGAGGGCUAAAAAUGGAAGACAUGUGAGAUCUAUUUAGUCAAGUUAAAAUAAAUAUCCCAUUAGUCAAACUUAUUAAGGAGGUACCUUCUUAUGCUAAAUUUUUGAAGGAUUUGUGUGUUCAAAAACGCAAACUCCAAGCAUACCUCCCUAAAAAGAUUGAUUUAGUCAAGCAUGCGAGUUCGAUAAUAUCAAAUAAACUUCCACCCAAGCUUAAGGAUCAUGGAGCACCUUUAAUUUUUGUUACGCUAGGUAACAUUAAUAUAAAAAAGGCGCUCCUUGAUCUUGGAGCUAGUGUUAAUAUAAUCCCGGGAAAUUUUUUUGAUCAACAUGACUUAGGCACUUUGGAACAAACUGAUAUUAUUUUACGAUUGGCCGAUAAGUCAACAAAAAUUCCUUGGGGAAUAUUAUCAGAUGUUAUUAUUAAGGUGGGAGAUUUCUAUUACCCAGUUGAUUUUCUUAUGCUUGACACCGUGAGCACUUAUAAAGAAAGUCAACCUUCUAUUAUUUUAGGUCGUCCGUUAUUGACAGCAAUAAAUGCACAAAUUAAUUGUAGAACGGGUGCAAUGGAUAUCUCUUUUGGAAAUAGGAAACUUAGAAUUGAUAUUUUUAAUACGUUUCCUAACUCACCAUCAGAUUAUGAAUGUUAUCAUGUGGAUGUGGUUGAUGACUUAGUGCAUCAAUUCACUCUUAAAAUCUUACACCCUGAUCCAUUGGAGUUUUUUCUUUCUAAUGACAGGGACGAAGUUUUAGAGUUGGAUGACAUCAAGAUGGUUGAGGAGGCAUUUGAAAAUGUUAUUGAGCAAGAGAGGCCACCAUGGAGUUAUCAAGUUGAAAAAUUGCCAACAAGUUUUUCGGACCCACUUAAGCCAUCUUUGGAGGAGCCACCCAGUCUUGAACUCAAAACUCUUCCUUCACAUCAUAGAUACUCUUUUUUAGGAUCUAAGGAGAACUUACCAAUUACCAUAUCUUUUGAUUUGACAUGUCCACAGGAGGAAGCAUUACUGAAGGUGCUUUCGAAGUACAAGGGAGCAAUUGGAUGGACCAUAGCAGACUUGAAGGGAAUUAUUCCAGCCACAUGUAUGCAUUGAAUCAUCACUGAAGCUAGAGAAAAGCCAUCCCGAGAUGCACAACGAAGGCUCAACCCGAAUCUGCGAGAAGUUGUUAAAAAGGAGGUGUUGAAAUGGCUUGAUGCGGGUAUUAUCUACCCAAUAUUUGAUAGUGAUUGGGUGAGCCCGACACAGACAGUGCCAAAGAAGUCGGGCGUUACAGUGGUAGAUACAGAAGAUGGAGAGAAGAUCUCAACAAGAUCGGUCACCAGAUGGAGAGUUUGCAUCGACUAUCGCAAACUCAAUGCUGCAACAUCAAAUGACCAUUUCCCUCUCCCUUUUAUUGAUCAAAUAAUUGAGAAAUUGUAUGGUAAAAAGUUUUAUUGUUUUUUGGAUGGAUACUCGGGGUAUAAUCAAAUUGCCAUCCACCCCGAGUAUCAAUCCAAAAUGACAUUCACGUGUCCAUAUGGCACCUUUGCUUUCCGAAGGAUGCCAUUCGGCUUGUGUAAUGCCCCUGCCACAUUUUAAAGAUGUAUGAUGGCUAUUUUUUUAGACGUGGUGGGGGAUGCAUUAGAAAUUUUCAUGGAUGAUUUUUCUAUUUUUGGAUCAUCUUUUGAGACAUGCUUAGACCAAUUAGAAAAAGUUUUGAAACGUUGUAUUGACUCUAAUUUGGUUUUAAGUUGGGAGAAGAGUCAUUUCAUGAUAAAAUAGGGAAUUGUACUUGGCCAUGUUGUCUCCGAGCAUGGCUUUGAAGUCGACCGGGCCAUAGUACAAAUUAUUUCUACUCUUCUCCCACCAACUUCAGUAAAAGGCGCCCGUUCUUUUCUUGUACAUGCCGGCUUUUAUCGAAGAUUUAUCAAGGAUUUUAGUGCAAUGUCAAAACCUCUUUGUAAUUUACUUUUAAAAGAUGCACCAUUUUCCUUUGAUAAAGCAUGUCUUGAAUCUUUUACCACAUUAAAGAACAAACUUGUUGAAGCUCCUAUCUUGCAAUCACCCGAUUGGACUUUACAUUUUGAAAUUAUGUGUGAUCCAAGUGAUUACGCGGUAGGGGCAAUUUUGGGACAACGGGUGAAUAAAAAACCCAUUGCAAUUUGUUAUGCGAGCAAAAAAAUUUCGGAUGCACAAUUGAAUUACACUACUACCGAAAAAGAGUUGCUUGCGGUCGUGUUUGCACUUGAAAAUUUUAGAUCUUACAUAUGGGGAUCUAAAGUUGUAAUUUUUACCGACCAUAGUGCCAUUCACCACCUCUUGGAAAAGAAGGAUGCCAAACCACGUCUCAUAAGAUGGAUCCUUCUUCUUCAAGAGUUUAAUCUUGAAAUUCAGGACAAAAAGGGUUCUGAAAAUGUUGUGGUGGAUCAUUUAUAUAGAAUAACUAAUAAUGAUAACUCAACGAAAGUUAUUCAAGAAAACUUUCCAGAUGAGCAUAGUCUUGUUGUCAAAACUAUACCAUGGUUUGCUAAUUUAAUUAAUUACUUUGCGACAGGGGAAACUCCAUUGUAUUGGAAUGCUCAACAAAUGAGGUUCUUCCACUCUCAAACAAAAUACUACAUAUGGGAGGACCCAUAUAUUUUCAAAAUUGGAGCAGAUCAAGUGAAUAGGAGAUGUGUACCACAUACAGAGCAAGAAGACAUUCUUCGACACUGCCAUUCAUAUACAUGUGGAGGGCAUUUUAGUGCCAAAAGGCAGGGCAUCGGGUUCUACAAAGCGGUUUUUUCUGGCCCUCUAUUUUUAAAGAUGCACAUACAUUCGUUAAAGCUUGUAUUCGUUGCCAACAAGUUGGGGGGAUCUCAAGACGGGACAUGAUGCCAAUGACCCCAAUUUUAGUAGUUGAAAUCUUUGAUGUAUGGGGCAUUGAUUUCAUGGGUCUGUUCCCCACUUCUUUUGGCAAUCUAUACAUUCUUGUAGCCGUUGAUUAUGUAUCAAAAUGGCUCGAAACCGAGGAUACACACACGAAUGACCAUAGUGUUGUUUGUAAAUUUGUUAAAAAGAACAUAUUUUCUACACACGGAAUCCCUCGAACUAUUAUUAGUGAUGGGGGCUCCCAUUUUAAAAAUUGGCAUUUUGCAAAGUUACUUAAACACUAUAGUGUCACACAUAUGAUAGCUACUCCAUAUCACCCACAAACAAAUGGACAAGUAGAAGUGUCAAAUAGGGAAAUAAAACGAAUCUUGGAGAAGACUGUUCAUCCCGACCGAAAAGAUUGGUCAUUAAGAUUAGAUGAUGUGUUAUGGGCAUAUCGAACAACCUAUACGACGCCCAUUGGAAUGUCUCCGUAUCGGCUUGUUUAUGGAAAGCCAUGCCAUCUCCCGGUGGAGUUAGAACACCGUGCCAUGUGGGCCAUAAAAAAUGCUAACUUUGAAUUGAGUGAUGCAGGUAUAGAAAGGAAACUCCAAAUUGUUGAAUUGGAAGAGAUUCGAAAAGAAGCUUACGAAAGCUCAAGGAUCUAUAAAGAAAAGACGAAGGCAUUUCAUGACCGACAUAUUGUCCGAAAACAAUUCGUUAAAGAACAAUUGGUGUGGCUAUUCAACUCUCGUCUCAAACUCUUCCUCAGAAAGCUUCGGAGUAAAUGGAAUGGACCUUUUGUGGUGAAAAAUGUGGCGGAUCAUGGAUCUAUUGAAAUCAAGGACACGAAAGGCAGUGAACCAUUCAAGGUAAAUGGACAAAGACUCAAACCUUAUAUUCGAAUGGUAAAUGGUGAAACAACAUUCGUUGAGAAAACAACGCUCAAGGCAACACAAUAUUUAGAAACAACUUAGUCGAGGUAAACCGUCCGGCUGAAGACAUAAAACUUACCGCUUUUCGGGAGGCAACCCGUGGUUUGGUGUGUUUUUACUUCUAUUCUUCUUUUGGUGUGUUUUAAUUCUUUUCGUAUCGAGGACAAUCCAAGGUUUAAAGUUGGGGAGGGGGUAUUUAAUUUUUGUUUAAAAUUAAAUAAUAUUCGAAAAAUACUCAAAAAACAGCAAAAAAAAAUAGCCUCAGGCAUCCUAGGGGUGUCUUAGACGUUGUCUAAGACGCCGUCGGGCUGUCACUUCUUUUCCCCCCGAUGAAAACCCUUCGCGAAAAUUAAAAAAAUACCCUUAAUGUGUAUGACGUCCUAGGACGCGUCUAAGACGCCGGCUAGGACGUCGACGUGUUUUUCAACCGUUUUAUGCCGUUUUCUGCAUUAUUGUUGGUAUCUUUCUUCUCCAAACUGCCAUAGCCGAAAACCCACUUGUUCUUGCUUAUUUCCUUUGAUUUCUUGGCCAAAACUCAACCAAAAUUCGUGGUUUUUGUUGCAAUCUUCAAGAAAUCAAGUAAGAAACAUCACAUUGCAAGAUUUACACACUCUAAUCACUUAUUUGGGGCCGAUUUCAAAACCCACAAAAACUAGGGUUUCGAAAUUUUGACUUAUUUUGAGAUUUUACUUCAAGUUCUUGGUUCUUCUUCACUAGAAACACAAUUUCAACAAGGUAUAUGCUUCAAAACUCCAUCUUUUAGUUGAAUUUCAGAAUUUUUGCAUGUAUGUUCAUAUAUGUUUGAAAUUUUGAAAAAGAUGAAGAAUAUGAUAUAUAUUGGUAUGAAUUCUUGUGAAUUAGUGUUUGUAGUUGUUAGAAGUAUGUUCCAAACAAGUUGCAUGUGUUGAUUCGAGAAAUUUCUAAAAAUUGAAUUUUUGUUGUUAGUUGUUAAAAAAUAAUAAUAAUAAAUAAAAGCACAUAUAAUGUUGGAAAAUCAUUCUUAUGUUUAUAUUUGUGUUUGAAUUAAAAAUUCAAGUUUUUAGAAAAUUUCAGAAUGACACUGAAUUUUGACAUUGCAUUGUUAGUCUGAAUAUUUGCCUGUUACAGUUCUGUUCUGGUUUUAGUUAGAACUUGUCAGUUGAAGUUAACUUUUGGUUUAACUGUGUUUUUACUGAUUGGAUAAAUUUUUGAAAAAUAUUUAGUUACUAAAAACAUAACAGGACUUAAAACGGUUAUUUAUUUAGACUGGAUUUAUUUUAACUUUGUUUGGAACAACUUGCCAACUGAAUUAUUUGUUUUAUUUUUGUGACAUUUGAUAUGUUUAAUGGCAAGUUUUGUUUUGUGGUUUUGUGUAUGAAUUAUUUUGCAGAUGCCAGCAAAGAGAUCAAGGGUAGCAUCAUCAAGCAGUGCAUCUAGACAACCAGCUAGACAGUCGGAGCCAAAUGUACAUGUGGCUUUCAACCCACAGUAUCAGACAUUGCAUGAGCAUCUAGAUGACAUUCGUCCAACAGUUUAUGAGGCAACUCAUCCGAAUAUGGGUUUUAUUGUAGAGUACAUGGUGGAGCGACCGAGCUUCACUAGGUAUAAUAUUGUGGAGACGUUUGAUCGCUAUGGAUGGGGUGGAGUGCUAGACUUCAAUCCCACGCAGAUUUAUGUUGAUAUAGUGCAGGAAUGGAUGAGGAAACUUCGACGUGUCGAGGUGCCUGGUAGGCCGGAGGAGUUGCCGCUGAUUGGGACGGUCCGUACUCAUGAUAUAGUGAUAACUGUGCAGGGUAUUCGGGACAUGUUUCAUGUAGAUACUGGCUGUCAUUUUCAUUAUCUUGAGAAUCAUCUGACUGAGUAUAGAUGUAUUGACACGAGGGGGUAACCCUGGGGUUAGUAUGACUGAAGUAUACCGUAUAGUGUUCCAUGAGGGGACGAGGGCAUACGACAGAUUCCGCGAAUUGGUGCCUUUAGCAAAGGCAUUACAUAACAUUAUCACGAAAAAUGUGAACCCAAGGAAUAGUGAUCCUAGGGCGGUGAGGCCACAUGACUUAUAUGUAUUAUAUGGAUUGAUGAUAGGAUCUAUCUUUAUCUCUUAUGCAUAUAAUGCUAUGUGCAACAUAUGGUCCUGUUUUGAUAUCCAGCACAGAGUCACUACCCCCCAUGUUGCCCUGAUAUCGACAUAUGUUGCCUUGCUACUUCUUUUAGACACAUCUCAUUUCAUGUUGAAAAUGGGAGACAUAUUCUGAGGGAUUCUACCACAAAUCCGACAUACACGGCACCACUCGGAGUGGGGGAUGAGGAGCCAUUCGUUGGUGAUUUUUAGGGGGAUCAGUAGCAGCAAUAGGCAUAAGCAGCAGGUCGGGGAUAGAACAUGCAGGCAGCUUGGGAGGACUUUGUGGGGAGGCAGAACAUGCAUAACCAGGAGGUGCAGGCUUGGAUGGGGAGAACGGAUAUAUGGUUGAAGGGUGUCGAUACGACACUAGCUGAUAUUACUGAGCAGAUGCGACAGAUUGGCAUUACAUCUAGCAACACUUAUAGUGUUGCCACUCGUCAGUUGUACCAACAGGAGUACUAUGCAGAUGCUGCCUACACAUAGAGUCGUGUCCAGUAUGAACCGAUGGACAUUGAUCAACCACAGUAUCGAUACCGAGCUCCAGCUCCGUUCUUCUACCGAUCCGGGAAUCUGAGCAACUAUCCACCGCCAUCCGAGCAUGAGCAUUAUCAGCCACCACCAGCUACAGAGGACUCUACUCGCUUUGAGGAUUUAGUUGGAUCGAUCUUUGGGUAUCCUCCACCAUACCCACGUUAUCCUCCACAGUCGCCCCCACAUUGAACUUUGGUGAGAUCCUCUUUUGAUUUUUAUUUUUAUGGUUGUUUGAUGAAGACUUUUUUUAUUUUUAUUUUUAUUUUUCGUUUGCUUUUCAUGUCUUUAUUUGGGAUGAAUGUACUAUUAUUAAACUCAUUAUUAUUAUUACUCUCUCUUGGGUUGGUUCCAUUAAAUAUGUGAUGAGUUAGUAGCAUCUCUAUAUCUUGAACGUAACUCAUCAAAAUGGAAAAUGAUAGGAGUUUCGUAAAUUGAGUCAUAAUAUUUAUUUAAUAUUGAUUUUGUGGAUUGCUCAACCGAUUUGGGAAUAUUUAUAUUUAGUUAAAAAAUUGUUAUGUGAAAUACCCAAGUGUUUGAAAAAUGACGGUUUUUAGCUCGAGCCUACGAUCUUUCAAUUGAGGACCCAACCGAACAAUAUGUGUCAUCACGCUCUGAGUACUUGGUCUUACUUACUCUUGCGCCUUUGGGGUUGGGAGGGGACUAUUAUUGUUUUCACACAAUAAAAAAGCAUCAAAAGACAUUGAAGAACUUCCAAGUAUCUAUAUUCAAGCUCAAGUCAAAUACCAAAAUGAUCAAAUCCGAUGAAGCCAUCAAAGAACUUGAAGAAUGCAAAAUCAAGAUAAAUAUGAAGAAAAGUUCAAGUUGAAGACAUUGUGUGAAAUAAUGUGUGACCCCUCGAUAGCGGGAGCGUAUGGGUUGGUCCAUUAAGUGUUACCGACCGCGCUAACUAUGUUAGUGAACCUUGAAAAAAGGGACUUUGGCAAUGAGUUCAACUGAUUACUCAUGAGGGUGAUUAUUGGAAAGGGUUCAAAAAGUGGAGGGUUUCAAACAACAAAGUAAAAUAAGCAUAACAUGUGUUUUGAGUUUAAAAGUCUGGAUAAGAAAAUAAUAAUCCCCAUAAUCAAUAUAUUGUGCUAUUGGAAAUGUUGUGAUAAAAAGUACAGAAUUCAUGAUUCCAUUGAGUUUUUCUUAGGAUAAGAGAGUAAAGACUACGCUGAUUAUUUCAGGCCAAUCUCGGGACGAGUUUGGAAUAAAGUUGGGGAGGUUUGAUAAGUCCAUUUUAUGAAUGUACUAAAUUGUUAUAAAUCUGUUGAAUUGAUGUAUAAUUGUCCAAGAAUGGCACUACUUUGAUGAGUUGUUGAACUUCAUAUACAGGUCAAUAUAUUGUACUAAAAGUGGGCGGAACCUGCAAGUAAAACAGUGCUAAAGGAAUGAAGAAACGUUGCUGGGAAAACUGACCAUGCUUCAAUGUUUUGGUCAUAACUGAAGUUCCGCAGCUCUAAUUGACAUGAGUAAAGAAGUUCUGGAAACUAGACAAGAUUUUCUACAACUUUUGUGUUUUGUGUUUCUGCUAGUUAUGUCGUUUUGACCACCAAAACUUAAACGAAAGAUGAAGGAUGCCUCCAGGCGUCUAAGACAUCCCCUAGGACGUCCACAUCAAACGGUCAGCAUCUGGCCGUUAUUUCAAAGCAGAAAAGAAGGAAGAACCCCCGUCAGCGUCUUACAUGGCGUCAAAGAUGUCCCCUAGGACAUCUUGGCAUUUUGGGGAUGUCCCGUGUUGGAACGGUGUGUUUCGGAAAGUUUAGAAAACAAGGCAGGACGUCCUAGAACGUGUCUAAGACGUCUCCUAAUACGUUUGACGUUUUUGGCCAUUUUUUAGUGUAUUUCAAGGACGACAGAUGGCAUGCAAGGACGUACAAAGAACGCCUGGGCGUUAUACACGACAUCUAAGAUGUCUGCUAGGACGUCCAACAUCCCACAUCCCCCAAUUUCAUUAUUUUUUAUCUCACACUAUAAAUACGAGCCUAUGAAUUCGUUUUUAGGGUUACCACCUCCGAUUUUCAGAGUUUUUCAUGUGUUUUUGAGGCUUCUAAAACACUUGGAAACAUUUGAAAACACAAAUCCAUUCCAUUAAAAUCCGGAUUCAAAGCAAGACUCAAUUCAAUUCAUCAUCAAGCUAUAAGUGAAGAUCAUUUCAUUGGUUAAUCUUCAUCAAUUCUUUAUUUUCCAGAAUUAUUUCUUCUUCCCCAAGGUUUAUUUUUUCUAUAAUUUGAUAAUCAUUAGGCUACAUUUGUUUGAUGAUUCUACAUUUGUUUAUGAAUUCUAUUAUGCAUUUUAUUCAUUUCAAUCAAGUUAUUUGUUUUAUGAACUCAAUGGAAGGCUAAAUCAUUAGGGUUACUUCUGGGGAUGUUUAGGACUUUUUGAUGAACAUAAUUGAUUAUUACUUGAUUUUAGUUAAUUCAAUUGUUGUUUUAUGCUUCAUGUGAUGAUCUUUUAGUAAUGAUAAUUGAAAUUGGGUUGUAUGAAUUGUUUGAUGUCAUAAUUAAGAUAGUCUAUUGUCAAUUCAUCAUUUGUUCCAAGUUCACUUAGUUUAGGAAUAAAGACAAGUGACUGAAUCAACAUAUAUUAUUCCAACUUAUGAUAUUGAAUCUUAAUGCGGUAAUAGGUAGUUGUAUGAUAUUUUAUAGCUAGUCCACUAAUUGUUCUUAAUCCAUUUAGGCAUAAAGGAGUAAGACAACUAGUUAAAUGAAAAUUUAGUGUGCCCAAACUAUGUAUUACAAGUUAAUAAACCCCAAUUGUAUCUAAGUAAUUGAAUUAGGAUUUAAGGGAAGAAAGUGUGUGAAUUUAAACUAUCCAUAACUGAACCGGAAGUACUCUAGUUUUCUCAUUGAAAUUUUCGUUUUAAUUAAUAAAUUUCCAAGCUUUUUGUUUGAUCUUUGCUUUAAUUUUUUUUCGUGACAAUUUCUAGUAGUUUGUUUUUUUUCGUUGACUAUUUUAACACAAAAUUUGACGACAAACUCCUUGCGGAUUCGACCCUUACUUACCCUAGCUAUCUAGUGGUUUUGAGAUUAUUCUUGACUGAUACAACGACAUUGAUCAUCGUGCCAAAACCCUAAAGAGACCGAUGUGCCUGGGGCCCAAUUUGCUCUUCUUCCUGAAUCGGAUGACACCUUUCCAAUGUGACAAGUUCAGGGGGACCAUAUCCCUAACCUGAAACUCUAAAUCUGAUUGGUGCUUGUCGGCAUAGCUCUUCUUCCGGCUCUAAGCUGUCUGGAGCCUACUCCAAACUGCUGAAUCAACUUGGUAGUCUUGAGUACCGCUUUGGUACUCCCCAUUAGUAGCUGACCGUCCUCACCCCAACAUAUCAUGGUACUGCAUUUCUUUCUAUAGAGCAUCUCAAAAGGAGGUCGAUUAAUGUUGGCGUGAUUACUAUUGUUAUACAAAAACUAUUGGAUUAGGUGUCUAAGACCAUAACUAUUUUGGUAUGUACUUGACCCGAUUGUGAGCAUGGUCCUUUUGGGUUGCCUUCACCAUAGCAACUGAUGGGAUGAAUUAAGGAGAAAAAGGAUUAAUUAUGAUUUAUUAAUAUAUUAUAUGAAUAAUAUAUUAAAAGAGAAAUCAUAUUGUUUAAUUAAUAUUAGUCAAUAAUUCAUUUUGUGGCUAAAAGAGAUUAAUUAAAUAAAGGGGACUGAUAUUGCAAUUAUAUGAUAGUUGCAAAUUGGGCUAUGGAUUCCUAAUGGAAAUCGGAUUGGACAAAAUCUAUGGGAAGCCCAUAUGGAUUUCGUCCAAGGGCUUUCCAAGGGAACUCCAUGGGUUGCUUAAGGCGUAAGCAGUGAGAUUAGGGUUUCCUGAUUCAAAACCCUAAUAGCCUAAGUAUAAAAGGAACCCUUGGCAAGCCAAAAACGUCCCUAACCUUAUAAGAGAAACCCUAGGACGUUUUUGGUGCCUCCUCCCUCUCUCCUUGUUCAUCUUGUUACAUAUGGUGUUUGUGACUCCAUUAGAGGUGCAACAUUUGAGGCACUAGGCUUUCAGAAGUCAAUUACAAGAAGGAUUCGGAUUGUUAUUGCAACAUAACAAUCAAGGUAAGAUCUAAAAUCUAUCCUUUUGUCAAUUUUGAUUAUUGUAUACUAGAGUUAGGGUUUAUGAGCUUUGGAUGAUUAUUACGUAUAUCAGACAAACUAGAUCCAAAGCUUUAGGGUUUGCAUGUACACCAUAGGAUUGACGUAGUGCUCAAAACCCAUCAAAAACUACGCCAAAGGGAUAUAUGUAUCCCAACUCCCACCAAAAUCCAGAACACACGCCCGAAGCAUAUCCUCCAAGGUAUGAAUAGUCCUCUCGCUCUGACCAUCAGUAUGUGGGUGGAAAGUCGUACUGAAAUGCAGAUGAGUACCCAGCUCGUCGUGGAACCUCUUCCAAAAUCUGGAAGUAAACCGGACGUUCCUGUCUAAAACCACAAAACGGGCACACCAUGAAGUGCCACUACCUCCCUGAUGUAUACCUCAGCUAACUUCUCUGAGGAGAUACUAUCUUGAGUCGGAAUAAAAUGUGUGAACUUGGUCAAUCAAUCCACGAUGACCCAAAUCGAAUCCACUCUAUGUUCACUCUAAGGCAACAUCGUAAUGAAAUCCAUGGUAAUCUCCUCCCAUUUUCAAACAGUGAUAUCUAACGGUUACAUCUUGUCGUGAGGCCACUGAUGCUCGGCCUUGACUUUCCUUCAAGUCAAGCAUCUCUCCACGUACCAAGCUACAUCCCGCUUCAUACAGGGCCACCAAUAAUCAGGAUGAAGAUCAAUAUACAUCUUCGUCGUGGUGGGAUGAAUGGAGAAUCUCAAUUUGUGUGCCUCCUCCAUCAGAACUUGACGCACACCAGCCCAAUCGGAACCCACACUCUUCGAUGGAGAUUCAAUAACCCUUGGUUUUCAUAAUAAAAGGAAGCCACCUGACUCACUGUGCGCUCACUCUUCCCAUCACAACCUCAACCUGAGCCUCUCAAAUCUACUCUAAAAGUGGAGUGAUCACAGUCAUCCUGAAACAAAUAUCCUUGAACGGAGCCGCGAUCGCCUUGCUGCUAAGAGCAUCGGCCACCACAUUAUCCUUCCCCGUAUGGUAAAGGAUCUCACAAUCAUAAUCCUUCACCACAUCCAACCAUUGGCACUGCCUCAUGUUCAUAUUUGGCUGAUCCAUCAGAUACCUCAAGCUCUUGUGAUAUGUCUAUAUAGUACAGCGGGCCCCAUAGAGGUAAUGUCAUCAAAUCUUGAGGGCAAAAACCAUAGCCCCAACUCUAAAUCAUGCAUCGGAUAAUUCGUCUCAUGAUGCUUCACUUACCUUGAAGCGUAAGCGAUCACGUGACCCCUCUGCAUCAGAACUACACCUAAACCUGUGAUCGACGCAUCAUAAUAAACCAUGAAAUCUUCAACACCCUCCGGCAGGGUCAAAAUAGAUGCCUCACACAAUCUUUAUCUUAGGGUCUCAAAAGUUGCAUGUUGGUCGGGCGCCCAGCGAAAAGUGACAAUCUUCUUCGUCAACCGAUUUAGAGGAACCGCUAUCUUGGAGAAAUCCUAAAUGAACCUCCGAUAAUAGCCUUCCAACUAAGGAAACUCCAAAUCUUAGAUGGAGACCUCGGUACCUCCCACCUCAUCACGGCCUCGACCUUGGCCGGAUCGACCAGAAUACUGUUUUGGUUGACAAGGUGCCCUUGAAACUGCACCUCGUGCAACUAGAACUCGCACUUGGAGAACUUUGCAAAAAGUCUCUCCCUCCUCAAAGUUUCCAAUACCUCCCUGAAGUGCUCCUCAUGUAGCUCCUGGGUCUUGGAAUAGACCAGGAUAUCAUCAAUGAAUAGGGCAUUUUGUAUAAUCAAUUGUUGAUGUUAUUGAAAAUAAUGAUGUUAUUGAAACAUAUGCAUGGCAUGUAUUCCCAAUAAUUAUAUUUAAUUAAUUGGUUGUUGUGCAUGUUAUUAUAUUGGGAACAAAUUAGAAAGUGGUCCAUGUGGUAGUACAUGAUAUGUAUGGGGACCAUUUGUAGUUAAUAGUCAAUGGGUAUUUUUAUAAUGGAAAAAUGGGACCUUUGAACCCAUUAUAGAACCAUAUCCAUGACUAUAUAACAAAUUCACAUGCAUGCACAUUAUUCCAAAUUUUUCCAUGCAUAAAUAUUCAAACCCAUUGGUCAUGAGUUUACUUAAAAAGGCAACAUACUUUCAUAAGUGAGUAAAAUAUCAUUUCAUGUCAACAAUUUACUUACAAAGGCAACAUACAUUCAUUAGUGACCAAAAUACCCUUUUAUGUCAUGAGUUAACUUAAAAAAGCAUCACGCAUACAUAAAUGACUAAAAUACCCUUUUAUGUCAUGAGUGAACUUAAAAAGGCACCAUGCAUACAUAAAUGACCAAAAUACCCUUUUAUGUUAUGAGUGAACUUAAAAUGGCACCAUGCAUACAUAAAUGACCAAAAUACCCUUUUAUGUCAUGAGUUAACUUAAAAAGCCACCAUGCAUACAUAAAUGAUCACAUCACAUGUAUUCAAAUACACAUACUUUAAAUCCAAAUUACCAUCAUCCUAAUACACAAACUUAAAAUCCAAAUUACCAUCAUCCUAACACACAUACUUUAAAUCUAAAUAACACAAAGGAAAAAUCAACACUAAUAAAUUAGAAGAGCUUUUCCCUUAGAAUUUCCUGGAUCAUCAACACCACCAACUUUCUUGCCUAAUUUCAACUUGAAGAUUCUCUUUGACUUUCUUCUCCUUAUCCUGUUCAAAAUCUUGGAAAUUGGUCUAACCCUUACCUGUUGAACCUAGAUAAUAGGAGUAACCUCCUAAAUUUGAACAUUAUCAACAACUUGGACAUUAGGAAUAACCUCAUCAUCUUGAACAUUACCACCCUCCUCAACUUCCUCACCCAUAACACCCCCAUCACCUUCAUAACUUCUAGGUGGAAUAACUUGCAUAGACUGACUAAAAUCCCUUGCACUACUGGAUUCAACAUGAGUAGAAGUAACUUGCAUAUCAUUUUGAGUAUUAUCCAUCUCAAUUGGAGUCAUUUAACCUCUUCUUGUUGUUGUGGUUCACUUGUACUACCCUAUAUGGCAUGAUAUAAUUAUGUUAGUGGCAAAUCAUAUGUAAAUAAAUUUAAAUUUUAAAUGGUUUUACCUGUUCUGCAUUUUUCUUCACAUAAACUUUUUGUUUCUUCUGUUUCUUUACAUUUAACUUUUGGGGCCUUCUCUAUGGACAAGUGGCCUUACUGUGACACAUCUCCUUGCAUAUAAUACAUCUAAUUUUCUUUCCAUCCUUAGAAACCCUGUGUGUUCCUGUAUUCUUUGUAGUGGAUUUCUUCUUCUUAGUAGCUGGCCUACCAUGCAUCCGUCUACUAAUAAGAGGCAAUGGUGGAGUAUAAUUUGUCUCUGGCCACAUGUCACUGCCAUUCAUGGGGGAAAUUCUGUAAUUGUAUGCCUUCCGAAUUGUGGUGGUGUUAAACAUGUUGUCUACAUAGGCUUCUACAUCUCUAUUAAGAUUGGAUAUGGUAGCUACAGAAUGAGCAUAUCCAUAUCCAUUUAACCGCCACAACCUACAUGAACAUGUUUUCCUUUAUAAGUCCACCUCAUAUGCAUCUGUUUCUCCCUUACCUCGAACUGGUUUAAUCCACUAGGUAGUACCUGAUAAUGCCUCUGAAUUUUUUAAGCAAAUUCACCUUAUCCCUUAUCUCUGGACAAAUAUUAUUUCCCCAUUGUUGUCCCUUUAAUUUCAUGUUGUACAUUUUGUCCAUCAUGUAUAAUCUUAACUCCUCUAACAUGGUUAUUAUGGGCUUCUUCCUGGUAUCCACUAUUACAACAUUAAAACUUUCAGAGAAAUCAUUUUCAACUGCAUCACAACACCUUCCAGCUUGAAAGUAAGCUCUUGACCAUGUUUUAAGAUCUUUCUCCAUGAGAUAUUGAUGGGCAUCUGGGUUUAAUGUCUCAAUUUCCUUCAUCACAACUUUAAAAGCAUGCUCAUUUGUGGUUUUAGAUGCUCUCCAAAACAAGGUAUGAUAUAUGACACCAGUGAAUCUCUUCUGCAAAUUUUGAAAAAUAUGUCUAGCACACUGCCUGUGCAUAUGGAAGAAACUCUUUAACAGCCUCUAUCAAACCUUGUAUUAAUAAAAAGGUUUAAAUCAGAUAGUAUAAAAUAAAUAUAAAUGAAUUACUAUGUAAAAUACUAACCUUAUGUUGGUCUGACAUUAAACUGAAGCAAUUGCCUAAACUUAAGUUUAGAUUAUUAAUGAGAAGCUCUAAAAACCACUUUUAAUUCUACUUGUUCUCCACACUAACCAUUGCCCAAUCAAUAGGAUAUAUCUUGUUAUUUACAUCCCUCCCAAUAACACAAAGCAAUCCCCCCUUACAAACACCUUUAAGAAAACAUCCAUCAAGACCCAUUAUCCUUCUACACCCUUUAAUCCAACCUUGUUUAAUUCCUUGAAAACAAACAUAGAACUUGCUAGAAUAUUUCUUUCCAUCUGGACCAUCCUCCACAUCUAGUUUCACAGUUGACCUAGGAUUUGUCCUUAAAAUCUCAUCAACAUAUUACCAUAGCUUACCAUAAUGUUCAACAAGGCUACCUUCAACAAGAUUUAAUGCAUACUUCUUUGUUCUCCUACAUUAGCCCAUACUAACUUGGAUACUAAACUUGGUCAUUACCUUUACCCUAAGCUUCCUUACACUCAUUUUAUGACUUUGUACAAUCUCUUUGGUAUAGUGACUCCCAAUCCAUGCAUAUGUCACCAAUAAUCCAAACUUGAAGUUCCUAGCACAAUUAUGAUAAGCUUUUUGUGACUUGAUUUGGAAAGUCUCUCCAUCAUUCAUCCAAGAAGCCCAUAAUAUAAAUGUGCAAGCACCCUUGCUACAUCUCACCAAAAGUCUUUUCCUAUCAUAUUUUUUCAAAACACAAUUGAUAUCCAUUAGCCACAACAUAGUUGCACAACCUUGACUUUACUUGCCCUGGACCCUUAGAUCUCAUUCCUAGAAUUGGUUUUUGUUUUUUCCAGUGUAAUAGCUCAUUAAAUAUGGAAAUAGUUUGGAUGUUAGGUUCAACUUCUCUCCCAUUAUCAUCAUCUACAAUGUUGUUAUCCUCCUCAUCAUCAACACACAACUUACUCACGAAAGGAUCAUUUGAUGUCCUAUUCAUAUGCACUGCAUCCUUAUUAAAUUCAAAGACAACAUUCCUAAGUUCAUCUAUGUUAUCUUCAUCUAUGUUAGCGGCGCAGCUUUUUGCCCGUUUGCCUUCAAUCGAUAUGUAUUGAACAAAAAUGUUUGAAUGUCUAUCAAUACAAGGCUCAUGUUCAUCAUCAAACCACCCACCAACACCAACCCCAAUAUGAUCCACAUAAACCGAAAUUACACCAUCUGUUCCAUCAACAUCAAAAAUAAAAGCAGCAUAGUCCACAUCAUCUGAAAAUGGGAUUAAGCUCUUCCAUCAGGGAAUUGCCUGGUUUACAGUAGUAAAACUUUUUACACUCUUCAUGCAUGAAAUGUUCACAGAAGGUCACAAGCUCAGAAUAAGUCAUAGAAGAAAAGUCGACAUCAGUGAACAUGGUUUUCACACCACCAGUGUAAGAGAAAGGAUUUCGAUUAAAUACCCCUUGGUAGUUGAGUUCCACCAUCACAAACACUCCAUUAGGUUCCGAUUGUGCCAUUUUUGCGACUUCUUUGGCUCUUCAGCUCGAUCACAAAAAUGCUUCACAAAACCUAAAUCAAUUUCUUUUAAAACUAAAUAAUGAAGACGAGUGAAGUUCGAUAGCUGAAGACAAAAGGCUUAAAGCUUCGUAUAUCAUCUAUUGAUGUGGCAUAUCUCACAUGGCAUCAGAUUAGCUAAAAAAGAUAUAUUAAUUGACAUAUAUAAAAUGUCAACCAGGAAACCGUUUACAAGUAUGGAAAUGACUAAAUUAAUAAGUCAGAUACCAUUUUAAUGGUCUAAUGUACCCAAAAAACUUUAAUGACCAAAUUAGCCAAAUGUAAAAAGUUUCAUGUGCUACAGUGACAUUAUCCCUGAUGGGUUUUGAGCAUUCUAACACUCCUAUGGUGUACAUGCAACCCUAGAAACCUUGGAUCUAUGUUUGACUAAUAUACAUGCAAAUAAUUAUUUUCCAAGGUUCUUAUCCUAUCUAGCAUGGCAUGGGAACUUGAAUCAAAUAGAGCUAGUAGAAUUACUUACCUUGUAGUUGUUUAAAGCUUCGUAUAUCAUCUAUUGAUGUGGCAUAUCUCACGUGGCAUCGGAUUAGCUAAAAAAUAUAUAUUAAUUGACAUAUAUAAAAUGUCAACCAGGAAACCGUUUACAAGUAUGGAAAAUGACUAAAUUAAUAAGUCACAUACUAGUUUAAUGGUCUAAUGUACCAAAAAAACUUUAAUGACCAAAUUAGCCAAAUGUAAAAAGUUUCAUGUGCUACAGUGACAAUAUCCCUGAUGGGUUUUGAGCAUUCUAACACUCCUAUGGUGUACAUGCAACCCUAGAAACCUUGGAUCUAUGUUUGACUAAGAUACAUGCAAAUAAUUAUUUUUCCAAGGAUCUUAUCCUAUCUAGCAUGGCAUGGGGAACUUGAAUCAAAUAGAGCUAGUAGAAUUACUUACCUUGUAGUUGUAGUUGAUUGCUUGGAGUUUUAGAGCCUAGCACCAAUAGUGUGGAUGCCUCAAAUGUAAAUCACAAAUCACUACAAACUUGGAACUUUGAGAGAAUAGUAACCACCUUUCUUGAAAUCGGCCCUCUUACUUUACUCACCACAACUAGUAUGAUUUCAAGAACCAAAGCCUCCUUUAUAUAGUGUGGUGGAUUAGGGUUACAUCCAUGUAAACCCUAAUACCCAUGUCUUUUCAUUUCCAUGAGAUCCAUGGGUUAAAGCUCCAUGGAGUAUCCAUGGACUUUCCAAGCAAGCCUAGCCCAUUCCAAAUAAGCAUUAGCCCACACUAUAUAAAUAUAAGAGCCCAUAUUUAAUUAGUAAUACUUUUGAUCUCUAAAUUAAUUUUAGAUUAAUUAUAGAUCAAUACUAAUUAAAUAAUAUGGUUUUAUAUUAAUAUAUUAGAACUUAUAAUAUAUUAAUAAAUCAUAACUUAUACUAUUCUCAAAAGAUUAUCCAUAAAUUGUUCGGGUGAAGUGCAACCCAAAUGGACCAUGACGGGUCGGGUCAAGUACAUACCAAAUAUAGUUAUGGACUUAGACACUAUAUCCAACAAUCCCUACAUAAAGUCAUAUGUAGUCAAGGAUCAGAUAGAUAAUCGAACAUAUGACUCACCUAAGAGCGAACAAUCAGAAAAGAACAUCACAAUCAAGCCUUAGAUCAAGAGUUAUCAGUCUAUCCAACUUAAACUAGAUAGACCUAAGAUAUUAUUACCACCUAACCAUGUGACAUAAACAUUUAACAGAUACUAGCAUAUUUAUACACUUAGCAACUAUCCUUCCCUAGUUACCCUGUCAUUGAUCACUUCUCAAUCAAGUGAUCAUCUGGUCAGUCAUGCAUAAUCAUGAUAAUUGACCUACCCCAAUUUCCCUAACUAAACAUAACUCAUAACAAUAUCAUACAAUAAAUAGGAAAGACCUCACAAGAAUAGCAUACCCAGACACCAAGUGUUCUAAACUGCACAUGCAUAUCCUAGCCAACUAGCAUAUUUGUACUCUAACAGUAUCUCCAUCCUAUCAUGCACAGGAUAUAUAAUGAGAUAUGUGGCAUACUAUGAAACUCACCUGAACUGAAGAACCGGAGAAGCACAACAACACUCUUACACAUUUCACUACUCGAUCAUGUGAACCAAUUAACACCAAAAUAGAUAAAUCCUCAAUCAAUAAUCCAAAUCCUCCAAGUUUGACCCUAAGUCAAACUGGUCAAAAGUCAAUAGUCGAUGUAACGCCCAUGUUUCUUUCCAGACAUUAACUAAAUAAUUAGGGUCAACAAUCACCACAACGUGGUAACCUCUUGGCCACAUCCUGGGAAUUUCCAUACAAAAUAGUUACGAAGCUUAGGAUCACCAUGUCGUUGCAAGCCUAUUGCCACGUCGUGGAAAUUCACAGGAAGUCAUAUUCUUCAUUAUGAGCUUAAUGCUUACAGAUCUAAGCUCAAACUUUCAUAUUUGAUUCUUCUUGAUGAAUUAAUGGAUCUUAAACCAUAAGUCUAUUAAGUCUUUAAUAUGACCAAAACUAGAGCAUGGAGAAAAGGGAGCUAUGAAUUAACGCUUUUUCCAUCAAACAAGACCAAAAGAUGGUCACCAAACAAUUCUAAAGUUCUGGAGUUGGCCAAAACUCCAAGAAAAUGCCUUCAAGGGACUUCAAAGCAUGAUAUGAGAGAAAAGGAUGAUAAAGGUGGAAGCUUUAUACCUUCCCAAAAUCCACAAGACAUAGGAGAUGCAAGAUCUGAAGUAGAUACACCAUUCAAACUAGCAAACACACUGUCGUUUCCUUCCCAAAGUGCAACCCAAGGCUUCAAACUUCAAGAACUCCAAGAACUCAUCAAUAUCACUCAAAUAGGGCUAGGGUUUCGAAAUAGGAGGAUGGAGACUGAGGGAAAUGAGCUAACCCUAGAGUUAAGGCCAUUAAAUAUGGGAGAAAAUAUAAAAAAAAAAAUUAUGUGCUUGGGCUACAGCACUCACAACGUCGUGGCAACCCUCUAGUCAUGUCGUGGUGCUCUUCAAAAUGUGCGUUCCCGAAAAUAUGUGUCACGUCGUGGUCAUCCAUGCACCAUACCAAGGCAUAGAUUUUUCUCCUAAAACCCCAUCUUUGAUCCUAUUAGCUCUUUAGUUAAACUAUUAUAGAAAAUAGGUGUUAUAGCCACCAUUCCGAGUUCCUUCUGUGACUGCUAAAUUAGUGUUUGGCGGGUUGGGGAGCCCGACUUCUUUCUCUUAUAUCUUCACAUAUAUAUAUAUAUAUAUAUAUAUAUAUAUAUAUAUAACAUUUUUUUUUCAAAAGUGUAAUACUAUCAAGGGAAAUUGACUUAUCAGGGUAAUUACUGUUUUGUUUUGUUCACAUCGGGGUAACUCUUUUUUUAGUACACAUCUAGGUAACAAACUUUUUGUAAGUGUUCACAUGUGACCAUUAUAAUUGGUUGUAGCAAGUUACAACCGAACGUAAUUGUCAUAUAUGAACACUUCCAACAAGCUCGUUACCUCGAUGCAUACAAAAAAAUGAAGUUACACAUAUGUGAACAAAACGAAAAGGUAAUUACCCUGAUAAGCCAAUUUCCCUUUUUAUUAAGGUGGCAAAUCAUAAUGUUUGUAAUAUUAAUAUAUUCAUUUAAAUUUCUUUAAAACAACAUUUGUAACACCCGGAAUCUAGAAGAUUAAUUAUGGAAACAAAUUCCCUUACCUAAGUAAAAACACGAUGAGUUGAUGGUGGGAAACUCGAUGUGUUGGAGGUUUUUGGGACACACGUUUUUAUGAACCAACUCGGUGAGUUGGUGAAGGAAAAUCGGCGAGUUGGACACUGACUGAGAAACCCUAAUUUUUAGGGUGUUACACCCUAUUUAAAGACCUUAAGUUCUUUAGCUGGCCUCCUUACCGGCCUCCUCUAUCCAGAAACCCUAAAACUGAGCCUUGUCUUCCAUUUAUGAGUGUGAAAGCUUGGGGAGAGCCUUGAGAGUUCAUUUUUGGUGCUUUUUGAAGGAGCUAAGGAAUUAGGAGUUGCUUGGCUUGAAGAAGAAGUCUUGGAUCCAGAAUCUCUGCCUCAUUUGCCAAGUUUUUGAGGAAUCGUGUUCUUACCUUGCUUAUUUGUUGCUUAGAUCUCUUCUUGGGUUAGAGUUUAUGAUUUUUAGCCAUUUUGGGUGAAUGUUGGGGAUUAGGAGGUCCCAAGCAAUUAUUAUUUCAGAUAUAAGGGCUAGCGGCGCUGCUUGUUGCCCGUUCGCCUUCAAUCGAUAUGUAUUGAACUUUCAUUGGAGUAUAUUUUCUUAAUAUAAAUAUAUAAUAGAUAUAAGGUCUACAUGAGCUCUUUAGGCAUAAAGGUGCCAACUUUAUGGAUUUAAUGGCUUCAUGUAUUCAUUAAGUCUUUCAGUUAGCCCUUUUUGAGCUUUUGAUCACCUCCUAGUCAUGCUUAAGUGUAAAGUUGGAAACUUUACACGGCCAUCUAGCCUUAUGGGGACAGAUCUGCAUUAUGGGUUUUAUCUUUGAUGAUUAAGUGAUUAAUGAUUAAGCCUUCACUCUUUUAAGUUUAGGGUUUGGGUUUGGACCCAUUAGGUGAUUCCUAGGGGUAAAGUUGGAAAAUUUACCCUUCUUGAUCUCAUUUUGGUCGAGAGCAGAGCUUUGGAGCCUUUGGACUCGAUGAAGGUACCUUAAUGCAUUAAGAUGUUGGUUCUUGAGAGAACUCGGCGAGUUGACUUGGUUUCCCCGAUUUGUGUAGUUGAUGGAGAAACUCGACGAGUUGGGUUAACUUGGACCGUUGACUUUGACUUUCGAUUUAUGUCUUUGAACAAGUUUGUCCCAAUGGGUACUUGAGGUAAUCUGAAUUGUAAUUAAGGGAAUUAUGAGAUUAGGAUAAGGCCCAUAUGGGGUUGGUCCCAAUUUGGAAAAUUGGGCCAUUACUGGGCCUUUGCGGAUCUUUUGGUUUUGGACUUUUUGGUUAAUGGAAUUUGGGCCUCAGUUUUGGUUCAUGACGCGUUAGGGUUAAAAUGGUCAUUUUCCCCCAAGUAUGGAUGGAGGGCUUUAGAAUGGAACCCAAUUGCUAAUUAGGUGUUAUUUUGAUCUCAUAGCUCGGAGGUCUCAUCAGGGCAGCAGCUAGGGACUUCUUUCUGUGAGUUUCUGCGUUCGAGGUGAGUCUCCUUACUUUUCUAUGGUUUGAAGGCAAUAAUGACGGCCCAUUUGGUUUAUGUAUUAUAGGAAGACCUGGGGGAUAAACCUUGGCAGUUUGUAUGAAAGACCAGGAGGCGGCUCCUGGCAAACUGUAUGCAAGACCAGGGUCUGAACUCUAGCAGUUGACUAGUUAAGUAGUGUAGAUUUUAUACUAUUUGUCUUUGUGACACUUUCAUGGAAGACUCGAAGGUGGAUCCUGGCACUUGUCUGUAAGACCUAGGUUUUUGGCCCCCGGCCUGACAAGGAAGACCACAAGGCGGCUCAUGUCAUAAUGGCAAGACUAUGGAUGGCACAUAUCACCUUUACUAAUUGGGGUAUAUGUAUGCUAAGUAAGACUCAGUGAUAUUAAUGUUAUUUAUAGUUUUGAGUUGAGUUUUCUCCUGCGAUUGAGGUGCAACAGUUGGUGCGAGAGUUUCUGGAUCUCUGUCAGACUACUGAGACUGUGGCAGAUUGUGGAAGGGUGGAAGUGAUGUAAGACUGAGGGGUGGCCCGUAGCAUUCACUAGUUAGAAGUUGGUAUAAAAAUGUUGUAAGACUGUGGGGUGGCACGUAGCAUUCACUAGCGAUCAGAUAGUGUGGGAAGUGUUGUAAGACAGAGGGGUGGCCCGUAGCAUUCACCAGUCCCUAUACAGCGGUGAGAGUGUGGCAAAUUUGUGAUUUGCUCACGGUUUUCUUCGGAUGAUUUUGGCCAGGAUGGAUCAGUUCGCAAGGCUAUGGGAAGGACACAACAUGUUUGGAAUCAAGAUAUGGGAGGUCGUGGGAGACCGGGUUUGAGGUAAGACUAUAGUUGGUCUGUAACGUUCAACCUAGUAUCAGAUUAUUGACGAGACGGUUUGGGUAGUUAUUGCCAGUGAGGCUUUUUUUCAAAAGUUGCGAUGGGCGAUUGUGUGGAGUUUCAAAAGCAGCUACGAGGCAACAAGCUGUUUUGGGCAGUAUUAGUGAUUUUUGGGCAGUAUUUUCGGGUAGUACUAGUCAUUUGGAAUUUGUGUGUGAAUAUGUAAUUUUUCAAACAAUUUUUUUUUCAUUUAUAAAACUCAUAAAAACUCAUAUAUUUCAUUUCAUAAAAUCACAAGUGUCUCAAGUCAACAUAAAUCCACAAGAAAAAUCAAAUCCUAGAAUCCUCAACAUAAUCUCGAACAGGUGUGUACAAUCACGUCGGUGCCUUCCCGCGAUCCUCGGAGGUACUUGAAACACAUAUCACAUAGCACGGUAAGCAUAAAGCUUAGUGAGUUCCUCAAAAUACCAUGCACACACAUAAUUAGCCACUCGAGGCUAUCGCUCUGUAAGACCCUCCGGUUAAUGUGUCUUAGCGAGACCCACCAGUCCUACAAAUCGUCAGACCCUCCGGUCCGGUCUAAGUGAGAACCCUCCGGUCUCACUACUCGUUGGACCCUCCGGUCUAGUCUAAGUGAGGACCCUCCGGUCUCAUAGUUCGUUGGACCCUCCGGUCCGGUCUAAGUAUCUCAUAAUAUAGUACACAGUAUAUAUCACACAGAAAUACAUAACUCAAGCAAGCACAUAAGACCCUCUGGUCACACAUAAUGACCACACUAGGUAAGGUAUAAUGAGAAGACUCACCUCCUAAGAACUCGGAUAAUCUCAAACUCAAAUCACAGGUUUAGCCUCCGCCUAAUAUACACAAUAAUUAUCCCUAAUUAAUAACGGCUCUCACAAGGCUGAACUAACCCUUCCAUACACUCACAGAAGGGUAAAAGACCAUUUUACUCCUCCAUGGGCUUAAUAGACCACAUGUUGACCAAACCCUAAAAGUCAACCGAAAGCCAACAGCAAGGAGUACGCUGUGCGUACCAACUCCCUACGUUGGGCAUACUCGGCUGCCAUGCAGGCAUCGUGGAGACUCGACCUCUACGUUGUGCGUACUGGGAUUAUGCCCAGCGUACAUCCUAGUUUCACUCUCCUCACAAUUUUGGUCUUAAACAGUUAAUACAUUGGCUCAUAAUUCAGAUCUGGACUCCCUAAUGUCUCUUAAUCCAUAAAGUUGGUGACUUUAAGCCUUUGCGUGGCUAAAUAGGUCACAAACACUGAAAACUCCCAUCCCCUUUCCUCAUGAAACUCAUAACUCAUGCAUGGCUUACUCCUAAUGUCCAAGAUUAGAUUUUUAUGACUUUACUCCACAAAAUACACUGAAAAGGGAUAGAUCAAGGCCUCUAGAGUGCAUUAUCUCAUAAAGUCUCCAUCUUUUGGGAAAAAACCCUAAAGUAAUUCAUAUGAAUGCACCAAACAAACAAAUGAGAAAGCUUGAAGAUUUAUACCUUUAUGUGAAACCUUCUUCACAGCUAAGCUCAGAUCCAACUCCUGGGGCUCUCACUCCUUCUUCUCUAAAGCUUCCUCUCUACUUCAAGAACACAAGAUUACACCAACAAGCUCUCAAAUGCACUCUCCAGCUAUAAUGACGGAGAUUUAGGGUUAGGAGGGGUUGGUGUUUGGGAAUGGUGGCCAGGAAUGAGGCCAUCAUGUCCUUUAAAUAGUGAGCUCAUUAAAAUUUAGGGUUUCAUUAUGGGCCUAGCAUGCCCAGCGUACCCACUGGUACGUCGCGCGUACUAGGUGGCCUCCACAUCACUAACACGCAUUGGAGUAUGCUGAGCGUACACUCAAGUACGCCCCGAAUACUCGUUUACCACCUUUUCUCUAAUAAGGCCAAAAUGGACAAAUGCUCAAUAGAUCAAGGUUUACAAGGUAUACCUGGACUUGGGAUGUUACAUCGUGUGUGAGUCUCUUGUAGUUCGGGGAAUAUAAUAAGUUGCUUGUAGUGGAUUAAAUAAUCUCAGAGUGGUUGAUUUGAUUCUAUUGCGCAGUUCUCGUCUGAGUCUAACCAUUGCAGGGAUGAAUCUUCUACUCAAAGGAUUAUCUGAGCCUAUUGUCGAGUAUAAGUGUUCUGUAGCUGCAAAUGAUCUGUUUUUUGGUUCCUUUAAAAGCAUUAAGAUAUUGGUUUUAUAGUGGUUCAGAGAGGGGGAGGGGGUGAUCAGCCAGGAAGUCAAAUCAAAUUGAGAUUUCAGGUAUCAGGAAAGGUAAAGGUGGGUUUUUCUGCAAGGGAUUAAGGUUCGUUCUGCUAGGGUUGGUUUCAGUUGCUAUGGGAAGGUGGUAGUAUUAUGGGGUUGUGAAGAUGAGUCCUUAUGGGGACAGUGUUAUCUGGUGCUAUCUGUCAUGGAGUUCGGCAAUGUCCAGGGUUUUCCAGGUUCAAGUUUAAUGGUUAGGGAUCUUCUAUUUUGGAUUUGUCAUCGGUAUGGGUGGGCGGUUAUCUAAGCGGGGUGACUUCCUUAGUCUUUUGGGGUUCAAGGAGUUUAGUCAGGAUCAUCAGUUCGGUACACGAGAUUUUAGGGAAUGAUUUCGAGGAUGAAAUCUAAUUUAAGUGGGGGAGAGUUGUAACAUCUGGAAUUUACAAGAAUAAUUGUGGAAAUAAAUUCCCUUUCUAGGGACCAACACGGCGAGUUGAUCGUGGGAAACUCGACGUAUUGGAGGCUUUUGGGAUGAGCGUUUUUAUAAACCAAUUCAAUGAGUUGGUGAAGGGAACUCGGCGAGUUGGACGCUAAUCGAAAAACCCUAAUUUUUAGGUUGUUGUACCCUAUCUAAAGGCCUUAAGUUCUUUGGUUGGCCUCCUUACCAGCCUCCUCUGUCCAAAAACCCUAAAAUCGAGCCUUAUCUUCCAUUGUUGAGUGUGAAAGCUUGGGGAGAGCCUUGAGAGUUUAUUUUUGGUGCUAGUUGAAGGAGCUAAGGAAUUAGGAGUUCCUUUCCUUGAAGAAGAAAUCUUAGAUCCAGAAUCUCUGCCUCAUUUGCCAAGUUUUUGAGGUAUCAAGUUCUCACCUUGCCUGUUUGUUUCAUAGAUCUCUUCUUGGGUUAGAGUUAAUGCUUUUUAGCCAUGGUUGGGUGGAUUUUGGGGAUUAGGACAUCCCAAACGAUUAUUAUUUCAGAUCUAAGGUAUAUAUGAGCUCUUUUGGCAUAAAGGUGCCAACUUUAUUGAUUUAAGGGCUUCAUAGAGUCAUUAAUUCUUUCAUUUAGCCGUUUUUGAGAUUUUGUGCUCGUCCUAGUCAUGCUUAAGCGUAAAGUUGGAAACUUUACAUGGCCAUCUAGCCUUAUGGGUUCAGAUCUGCAUUAUGGGGUUUUGUCUUUGCUGAUUAAGUGCUUAAUGAUUAAGCUAUCACUCUUUUAAUUCUAAGGUUUGGGUUUGGACCCAUUUAGGUGGUUCCUAGGGGUAAAGUUGGAAACUUUAACCUUCGGGGUCUUAUUUUGGUCAAUAGCUGAGUUUGGAGCUCUUGGAUUCGAUGAAGGUAGCUUAACGCAUUAAGCUGUUGGACUUUUAGAGCUCAUAUCGUGAGUUCGAUCUUAUCCAUCCGCUGAAUCGACUUCUGACAGCCCGACUCUGGAACCCAUCCAUCACUGGCUCACGUCGUGAGCUUCAUGCUCACGUCAUGAGUCCUCUUAUAGUGUGGGGUUGAGUCUUUUACUCGAAGGAUUAUUUGAUCUUUGUUGCGUGUGGCUAUAUUAAUGAGGAAGCUAGUUGACAUUGGUGGGAUUCCUUUAGCAGUUGAGGGUUUGGUGAGGUCGGGAACCUAGGAAAGCCUAGGAUAUGCUUUAGUGGGUUAGUGGUACGGUUUAGUGAGUUUUGGUGCAUUGUGCUGAAGAAGUGACUUAGAGGAUUCGAGAGGAUUACUGAGGAAAGUAUGGAUAGGUGGGCUUUAGAAUGGAACCCAAUUGCUAGUUGGGUGUUAUUGUGAUCUGAUAGCUCGGAGGUGUCGUCAGGGCACUAAUGUCGGCCCAUUUGGUUUAUGUAUUAUAGGAAGACCCAGGGGAUAACCCUGGGCAGUUUGUAUGAAAGACCAGGAGGCGGCUCCUGGCAAACUGUAUGCAAAACCAGAAUCUGAACUGUGGUAGUUAACUAGUUAACUAGUGUAGAUUGUAUGCUAGUUGUCUUUGUGAUGCUUGCAUGGAAGACUCGGAGGUGGCUCAUGGCACUUUUUUGUAAGACCGCAGGUUUUGGCCCCCGCCCUGACAAGGAAGACCACGAGGCGGCUCGUGACAUAAUGGAAAGACUAUGGAUGACACAUAGCACCUUUACUGAUUGUAGUAUAUGUAUGCUAAGUAUGGCUUGUUGAUAUGAAUGUUAUUUAUGGUUCAAUCGGUAUGUUUGGUAUGUGGUAUUUGGGGAACUCAAGAAGCUAUGUGCUUACAUUUUGUGCUUUAUGGUUUCAUGUAAUUCCAUUUUGAAAGGAAAGGGUUCGGCUUAAUCGCAACGCAUACACCCAUGUUUUCCGCAAUGUGUGAUAUUUAGGAAUGAACUCUGAUAAUUGUUUUAUUUUGAAACUCUUCUAGAUGUCGGAUUAAAGGUUAAUGAAUGUUUUGGGCAUAAUAAAAACGAAAUUUUUACCCCUGAUUUUCGGGAUGUUACAACAUUUAUUACCAUUUAUUGACAUUUAAAUUGGCCACGACAUGUUUGAAACCAUUUGUGAUAGCAUAAUUAUCAAAUCAAAUAACUCUAUAUAUUGAGACAAGAGCAAUGUUAUCCAUGUGGAUAAAAUGUAUUUCUAUUUUUUGUAUUUUAAAUUCAUGUAAUACAUGGAACAAAAUUGAAGAUGAUAUUCUAUUUCAUGUUAUUGGUCUCAAUAUCUGACACUUUUAGUAUCUAGUAAAUUUUAAUUUUCAUAUGUAAUAUCUUAAACAAUAAAAUUCUAUAAAAUGACGAUGUAUUUUUUCCAUGUCAAAUGUGAUUUUUUUUUUGUAUCAAAGUAGUGUAUUUUAAAAAGAUAUUUACCAAGUUGGAUUGAGUGACAAGUGGAUUGAGUUAACUGAAAAAAAAAAUUAUUUUUCAUGGGUUAGAAAAGAUGAAAAAAAAAAGUUGAUAUAGAACUCACACCACAUGAAUGAUUUGACACCGUUCUACUCCUACGACCUUUACCCCCAACAUCGAAUUCAUUAUGAUUGUUAGCCUAUCUUACGAGACAGACAUGACCUCCUACUACCAUGUAUACUAAGUCCCACUAUUUAUAACUCUACCCUAUAAAACUCGACGGAGCGCUGGGGUGAAGGGUUACGGGAUCCUUUCCCGCUCACCGGAACANNNNNNNNNNNNNNNNNNNNNNNNNGGGGGGGGGGGGGGGGGAAGGCUGCUGCACUCUCUCUCUCUCUCUUCUUCCUAUUGGCUGGUUUUUUUCCCAAGCGAACUGUUUGAAAUAAAUAACAAAAUUAAUUUUUUUUUCAAUACAACUAUUGAAAAACAACAAUGAAUUUAUAUAUAUAUAAUUUUGUUUUUACCUCUAUAACAUCUAUAAAUAUACACAUACUUUAACCUUUCAAACUCACACCUCCUUCUAUGAAUUUCUCUGUACUUUCUUCAAAAAAAGGAAUCCAUACAACCAAACCCCAAACUUCGAUAGAAGGAAAAAAACCAAUGUUUCAAAUUUAAGCACCCCAACUCGAAACAUUUUUGAUAUCGAUUCAUCUCAAGGGGUUUAUCGUCCACAACUCGAUGCUCACAUUUAAUCUUCACUACAAUCACAAUACCAAAAUAUUAGACAAUUUUACCCGAUGCAAGUUCCAAAUGUUACUCCAAAUAUGCUAUUAAACUUUGUUGUUUUUCCUGAUCAACUUUCGCCAAAUCAACCCCAAACUCAAAUCCCACUCUUUCAAUCUCAAACCCAAACCCAACCUAAGCCCAAACACAAUAUCAACAACAAUACCAAAUCUUCGAUGAGUCGGAUGAAGAGAUUGUACGGGAAACUCAACCCACAACCCCCAACCCCACAAAGUAAAACAACAAGUGAGAGAGGGUUCCAUACAACCGGGACGACAGAAGCCGCAACCAUGGACUAAACGAGAAGAGAUAAUUGGGGUAAAAGCUUGGGUUGACAUUUCAGAUGAUUCAGCGACAGGAAAAUGCACAACCUGAGGAUCAUUUUUGGUUUCACAUUCUUGAGAGGUUUCAUAAGGAGAUGGGAAAAAGUGACGAGUAUCGUACCAAUCAUCAAUUGAAUUCAAAGUUUCGAGAAAUAGCGUGGGCCGUUUCAAAAAUGAGCGGGUGUACAACAACCUAAAAACCUAAUGGAAAAGCAGCCAAGGAGAUGAAGAAAUACUUCAGGAAGUUUUGCAUUUUUUCGAGAGGAAGUGGGAAAGUCAUUCAAGUGCCACGAUUGUUGGAAAAUAUUGAUUAAAAGUCGUAGGUGGAAAAAAUACGAGCAAGAGUUUAUACGUCGAGUACAACAAUCAAAACGAACAAAAAUGAGCUCUAGUGGUUACACAACUUCCUCCGAUGCUCGGGUCGGUCUAGAUUUAAAUGACGAGGACGCACUCGAGCUAGAAGAAAUUGUCCGACCGAUAGGUAGGGACAAAGCAAAAAUGAAGGGAAAUGAGACUUCUUGGGGUGAAUCGAAUUUCAGCAUGGACGCGGACCAAGUGCGAAAAAUGGUGGAGAUAUUUGAUCGAUAUAAUCUUAAUUUUGCUGAAAGUUUUGGCAUUCGACAAAGACAAAGAAGGAGAAAAAAAGAAGGAGAACGCAUAGAAACAAGAAAUGGAGGAGAUGAUGUUAUUGAUGAAAAAUACCGACCAUCUUUCGGGACUAGCUUCGGAGCUCGUUUUGAAAAAAAAAGGUGCGGAUUAUGCAAAAAUAUUUUCCCUAAGAGUGUUGUUUGUUUUUUUUUUCUAGUUAUUUAAAUCUUAGGUUUUUAUGUAAUUUUUAUUAUAAUUAACAAUGGCGGAGUUACUAUAUCAUUAUAAAUAAUAUUUUGUUUCUUAUAAUGAUAAUCUUUCCUAAUAAAUAAAGAACUUUUUGUCACAUGUCAAACUCUCAUUGAUUUGACCACAUGUCAUUUUGUGGUUAUUUUCAAUUAAUUUUUUUUUACACAUGUCAUUUUGGGGUUUUUUCAUUUUAUUAAUUUUCACAUAAUAUUUAAAUGUAAUAAUUACAAUAAAUAUAAUAAUAAAAUGCAUAUCAAUUUUAUUAAUUGACUUCCUUUUAAUUUUAAAAUUUCUAAAUUAAAGUUUCAUUAGUUUCCUUUAUUUAUUUAUCUAAAUUAUUUGUUUAAUUUAAAAGAAAAACAAACAAUUUAAUUUUAAUAAUUAAAUGUUUUUCUAUUGUUUUCUUAUAAAUUCAAACUUGUCAAAUGUUUAAAAUUUUAUAUGUUUUUCUUUAAAAUGAACUCAUGUAAUACAUGAGUGUUACACCUAGUGAUAGAUUAUAUCACGAGUACAAUUCAUUUAAUGAAACAUAUGUACGUAUAAUUAGAGAAAAUUUUUAAUAUUAGCAUGUUAAUCCUCUCUAAAAAAUAAAAAUAAUUUUGCCACAUAUCACUCUUUUAUUAAUUUGGACACAUGUCAUUUUUUGGUAUUUUUGAUUAAAUGUUUUUUCCAUUUGUCAAUUUUUUAUUUUUUAAUAUUUUCUUAAUUAACACAUCAUAUAUACACCUCAAUUAAUAAUUACCUUAAUUGAAAAUAACCAAUAAAUUACAAUAUUAAUAGUCAUAUAGUAUUUAAUAUGUUUCCUUUUAAAUUUAAAUUUUAAAAUUUUAAUUUCAAAUCUAAAAUUUCAAAUUUGAAUAAAAUUUGUUUGAACUUUUAUAUUUAAUUUUUGUUUUAUCAAACUCGUAUAACAUACGGGUCUCACACCUAAUGGAGAAUUAUAAAUCAACGUUUAUUGUCGGUCUAAACUUUUGAAAUGUCAUUUUUGCAAUGAUCGGUAUAACUUCUCCUUAAAGGAAUUUUUAUAGUCAUUUUCUCUUUCAAGAUUGUAGACUCUUUUACAUUAUUUUGAUAAAAGAUAUAUUUGAAUAUAUUUUUACGACGUCGGCUUUCCUUAUUCUUAAAUCCUGGCUCCGUUCCUUUUAAUUAAUGUAGUGGUUUUUAUUUUUAAUUAUAUAUAUAUAUAUAUAUAUUACUUAUUCAUUUAUAAAAUUAUAAAUCAUAAAAUCAAUUAUUUUUACUUAAAAAAGAGUGAUACACCUUUACAAAAUUAUAAACCAUAAAAAUCAAUUAUUUUUACUUAAAAAAUAGUGAAAAAACCUUCCCACAUACACCUUGGUUUCUAACUAAGAAAAAAAAUGUAGGAAAAAGGAUAAAAUGAUAAAGAAAAAUAAUAAAAAAAAAAAUAAAAACCUUCCCGUACCCACCCUCCGGCAUAAGAAGGUGCGUCCCUACGAGUACAAGAUACACAGGUGUAGAUACAUAUGUAAAAAGCUAGUAAUUAACCAACUAAUUAUUAAUUAUUAAAUAAAAUAGGGAUAUAAUAUUAAUGAUAAACACAUUAAAAUAUUCCAAAUGCUCAUGAAGUCAACAUGAGAAAUUAUAUUGCAAUAAAUUUCUUGUUGGGUGAGAAAUUCACAAGUAAAAUUUGUAUAGUAAAUAACAAACCGAAAGUUCCAGAAACAGGUCAAAACUUAAAACCCUAAAUGAGCUUACAAAUUUCCAUUGGCCACAUACCCCACCACAAAGGCACAAACAAUCAAUGAAACAAGUGUAGAUGUAGAGGCCUUUUUCACCACAAUCACCCUUCAUCGGCCAUUUCGAAGGCCACGUGAAAUGUCACUAACGUGGCCCUCUAAAUAUCCACUACUUUGUCUUUAACCCCUCCCCCCUCCCUUAUAAAACACUCCAUCCUCCUCCUUAAUCACCAUCACCAACAACCUUCUCUCCUUCCUCAAAAGUACCACCAUCUUUUCCGACAUGGCAGCUUCUUCAAUCUUCAUGGCAACUCCCAUCACACUCCUCAAAAAAACUCCCACCUUCUCCGUCAAAUGCAUGUCACAAACACCUCAAAGCGGUGAACCGGAGAUUUCAAAAUCAGCAACCACCCCAACACCACCACAGAUCAACAUUCCUCCUCCUCCGCCACCUGCUCCAAAGGUCAGCACGAAAUUCUCUGACGUGUUGGCGUUUAGUGGACCUGCACCGGAGAGGAUCAACGGAAGGUUGGCGAUGAUAGGGUUUGUGUCGGCGAUGGCUGUGGAAGUGAGCAGCGGUCAAGACGUGUUUACCCAGAUCGGCAACGGCGGAGUUGCGGUGUUUGUGGGGACUAGCGUCGUGUUGACGUU